rnacentral:lncRNA from 1 species
AAAGAAGUAUUAAGGUAAACCUAACCAUAGCAUGAAACAUUGACACGGCACAUUAUAAAGAGUUCAAUCCAAAUUUUAUAGUAACACUAUUAUAUUUAAAUAGUGAUUAUUCUAACACAUGGAUAAUUAAUUAAGGCACCAGGUUGCGCUUGUGACCAGGAAAGACAAACUUAUGAACUUGCAAGCAUGGUAAUCAGAUCGACAUCCACACAAUGUCAAUAUGAACAUUGUCUUGAUACAACUUUAUUUGUAUUUUAUUUCAGAAUUUAAACAACUAGUUUGGGCGGGUCACACACGACGUUGUGUGACACUUUAUUUGUCACCGCUGCAUCGACAUAUCCAUCGACUAAACAACGGUGAUCCAACUAUAUAUUACUAGAGACCUUUCCUUAUCAGUAGGCACCAACUCCGGUGCCAACGCUGAAUGGCACACUAGUGGUGGUUCUAUACAAGGGCACAUUGACACGGCACAUCGUUGGCAGGGUACGGAGCGCAAUGGAAGUCAUCACCUCAAGCUGAGCUAUCUGGUGUGGAUGCAAAAAGGUACCCUGUGCCAAUUGUUGUUGUUGAGGUUGUUGCCCGAGUUGCUGCUGCGACUGCUGUUGGGGUUGGGAAACGCAUUGGCCCAACUAUUGCGGUUGCUGCUGCUGAGUUUGGAUGGAACCCUGAACCUGUUGUUGUUCUUGCAGGACGAUGGAGUAGAUGAUAGCACGGAUUGCCUCAUAGCGGGAUUGCUGGGGGAUUUGCGGCAACUGCUGGCAACAUUGUUGUUGCAUCACAUGGCAACUGCUCUGCUGCAACAUUUGCGACCUAGCAAGACUUUGUGGCAUUGCCACAGGGCUGCAUUGCUGCUGGAGGAAUACCUUGCAUGGGUUUAGUUGCUGCAAGAUAGAUGGAUGAACAAAUGGUAUUUGUUGUUGCGGUAGAACUGAUUGUUGUUGUUGCGAAAAUGGUGGUUGUUGCGGUAGUACUGGUUGUUGUUGUUGCGAAAAUGGUGGUUGUUGCUGUGAAAAUGGUGGUAGUUGUUGCUGCGAAAAUGAUGGUUGUUGCGGUAGAACUGGUUGUUGUUGCUGCAAAAAUGGUGGUUGUUGCUAUGAAAAUGGUGGUUGUUGCGAUAGAACUGGUUGUUGUUGCUGUGAAAAUGGUGGUUGUUGCUGUGAAAAUGGUGGUUGUUGUUGCUGUGAAUAUGGUGGUUGUUGUUGCUGCGAAAAUGGUGGUUGUUGUUGCUGCGAUAAUGGUGGUUGUUGUUGUUGCUGUGAACAUGGUUGCUGUUGUGGAAAUGGUUGUGGUUGUUGUUGGAUAGGUUGUUCUUGUUGUUGGUGCCAUAAUGUUUGUUGUGGUGGUAAUGGUUGUUGCUGCGAUGGUCUCUCCAAACCAGGGAUGUGGCUAUUCUCCAUUUGUGCAAUGGCACUUGUCGCCGCAACGGCGAGGAGGGCAAAGAUGAGGAAGGUCUUCAUGGUGGAUUGGUGUUAACUAGUGUUGCUUGGUUUUGAUGCUUGUGCUUGUGACGAUCUUUAUACUUCAUGCCUAUUUAUAGUAGCCCGGGCACCACCUUUUUCUUCUUUGCAUUAGCUUUAAUAAUUUUGUUUGGAUGCAAAAAUGAUUUUUGGUACAAUGUGUUAGGUUGCACUAGCUACACGCGUACUUUUGGAUUGAUCAUCAAAGUUGCUUUUUAGUUGUGCAUAUGAUCACACAUAAAGUACAGAAACCUUGAUGUUUGGUAUAUAUGACUCACCUUAUUCACUUUACAUGUCACACACUUAUCUGGAUAGUAUCACUUUUGCAACCGAGUUUGGAACCUUGUAUAGGCUGUCAUCCAUAAACAAGAAAGGCAAAACUUGUGUAGGACUAAGUGUAGAACUAACUUUGUAUUUUUCCUCUAAAAUGAUUAGAUGAACCGACGCCUAUAGAGCAUGACAUGACUCAUCGAAUUCCCUUUACAUGUAAAGGAUGGUAAUUGCUUACAAGCUACUCCUACUAGCAUAUAUCCGGUCCUAACUCUUGACACGUCAUCAUCAGUUUCGCCUAUUUUUUUAGAUAAAUCAUCAGUUUCAUCUAUUUGUGAAGGGUUUUUUUGGGGGAAAUGAUAGUUUUUUUAUGCUAGGGGGAUUUUUUUGGGGGGGGGGGAUGACGCUAGGGGGAAAUGAUAGAUGGGGCUGGAACAGAGGCCCCCAGCCUGGAGCGAGAGAUUAGGCCCAACAUAAGUGCCGUGUGUUAGGGCACCAAUUCGAUUUGGGCUAUAGUUCUCGUAGGCCCCAACGACACAAGCCCAGCCCACACUCCGCGGAUCUGCGUCCCUCCCUUCCUCGUCCUCCUCGCCGGCCGGACCGCUCGCCGUCGCAGCCUCUCCCGGACGCCCACCGCUCGCGGCCCCUCCACGUACCUCCGCGGCAGCGGAGACGUCAGCCUCCCUCCCACCCUCAACAUCCGGCCCCCCACCACCACCACCACCGCUCGACAAAAAAGGUCACUUUUGAAGCUCCUCCGUCGAUUGUGGGCCGUACGUCGACGGCAGCCACUCCGACCUCCCCAUCAACACAAGGUAUCGAUUUGUUUCGUCUGUCUCUUCCAACGAUUCAAUGCACAUAAAUCCGAGAGGCAGACCCAUCUCCAUGCUAGCUGCACGGAUUAGGAGGGUCAGGCAUCAGAAUUCAGCUGGGAAGCCUGACAGUAAUGUACAUUUGUGGCUUUAGUAGCUGAAUAUAACUAUGUGCUUUCUGAGAAUUUCACUUCAAAAGUUCCAAUAAUCAUCAAAUUUCCCCCUAUGCGCGCUAAGCAGGUGGACCAUAUAUUUCUCAUGUCGACGAACGAAAAAACAAAACUCCACAACUAGAAGUCUAUGAUAUUGACACGGAACCGUGCUGUAGGGUCGCAAGUAAAAAUAUGAAAAGCAUGCCUAAUAAGCGAGAUGACGCAGUUCCUGACCGCCCCGCUACGACUAUUGGUUCCAGCGUGGCGUUUGAAUUAUGCCGCGCUAGAUGUCUUUUGUCCGGCGAGGAACAAGUGGGGUCAAGCGUGCUUCGGCAAUUCCCGCCGUCAGAAGACUUCCUUGUAGUCCGGUGUAGAGGUGAGGUUGUGGGGAGAUACAUCGACUAGCACUACUAGGGAAAAGGCUAGCAGCAGCGCGGGUUUUAGAUGUAUCAGUAGUGCGGGUACCCGCGCUACUAAUACGGCGCUACAGCUAACUCAUAGCAGUAACGCGUGAGCACCCGCGCUACUGCUACACAAGUGUAGCAGCAGCGCGGUUAUGAGAAGCUCGCUACCGCUAGUAGCGCUAGCGCUCUUUGGCCGGACGCUCUACUGCUAUUGAGGCGCUGCUGCUAACUUUUGUACACUCGCUACUGGUAAUUUAAGUAGUUUUUUGGCAUAUUUGUUUUGUAUUUGAACCGGCUUUGUAGAAGAAUCUUUAGCACAUAGAAAUGUCAUCAUGAUACACAUACAAAUGCCUGCGAGACCACAAAUGUAAUCAUAGCAUGUACAUACAAAUAGUCUCUUCAUAAUCAUCAUCCAACACAAAGUGAUAUCUUGUCAUCAUCUCGAAAAUAGCAAUACAUGCAAGUCUCGAAUACUUGCAACUACAACAACGUCAUCCAUCUAAACAAAGGUAUACGCAAGAAGUGCUAUCACUAUGAGUGAGAGCGGAACCAUGCAGUACAUGAGGUGGCGGUUAUGAGUCCUCUCUUGCGCUAGCGUGAACCUCAAGUAACUAGCUUCUCCUUCUUGUCUGCUUUUGAAGCCUUUAUGGCUGGCGCCCGUGAACCCAUUCACUUGCGCCUGACACUCAUGCCACUCGUUGUACACCCCCGGAACCUUCCCUUUGUACACGACAUAGCAUUUCCAUCUCGCCAUCAAGAAACUAGGUACCUGUUAGAGAUGCAUGUUCAUGAAGAGGAUGUACAAUCAUAUAUAUGCAACAAAAUAUACUAGAGCAACACUAAGAAAGAAAGGUUAGCAACUAGAUGCAACAUAUACAUUACGCAAAUUAAUUAACUAGAGGUACGCAGGUCAUCGUACGCAAACUAACAAAGUAGCGUUACGCAAGUUUGGCAGGGACCAUGGACAUCACAAAGUUUCAUCGCUACAAAAAGUAUACAAGUUCAACCGACACAUAUCAUCAUCAUCGGCAUCAUAAAUCACUAGAAGUUCCAUCCUUCCAUAUCAUCGAGGACGAACCCUAGCUGCUUGAACGGCGUGAGGUCUAGACGUUGCAUGCCUAUGCGAGUUCGGACGUCAGCUCGCGAUAUAGGGCCGUGGUGGAACAUCCCCUUCUCAUCGACGACUUCUUUCAUGAUGAUCAUCGCAAUGUCGCUUUGGAUGCGAAAGAAGUCAUCUCUAAGUUUAUAAUUCGCUUCUCCAUGAGAUUCUAGCCACUUGUGGAUAUGAUCAUCAUUUCUGCUGUUAAUGCGAAGCUUUUGGUGAUCCGUGUUGAACUGAAUCAUGAGAUGGACGAUGUAGAAUCCAUCCUUCUUGCUUGGUUUUGGGACGUGGAUGCAGGAGAAGUUAGUUUUAUGCGCGAAACCCAUCUUCUUGUUCCUUUGUUUCCUGAUAUGCACGUGGCCACCUCUAAAGUUGAAGCCUUGGAGAGCAUCAUCUAGAAUAUUCAUUAUGUGGGUGUAGUCCUUUUUCUCGUAGUCUCUAGAAGGGUCAAAAUACACGGCGUGGGAGACUUGCGGGUAAAGAAUGAUAAGGACGGCGCGCCCGUUGCUGCGGGGAAAAGACACCUCAAAUUAUUCCCCAUAUGAGAGAGAAGGAAUGAUUGAAAUGUACGAAAGGGUUGUCCGGAACUGACUUACUUUGGAUGAUAAGGCACGAGGACAAUUUCCCGGUCCUUAUUCUGUACCAUGAAGUUUUGGAGGUACUCCCUAGCAGUUUCACGCUCAAAGUCGCCGAGACUCAAGAAAGACUCGUGCAUGUAGUACGGAUCCGCCACACAGAUUUGCGAGACUUCUUCACUCUUCACGACGGAGCUCAUAUGUAGCGCAAAAAGGCGGACGAUAGUAAAAUCAAGCCGCCUUGUUAGAAACAUCUCAAAGAUAUGGUCAAACCGCAGGAAGAACACCUCCGUGGGCCGUGUGUCGACGUAGCACUUCCCCUCAGGCACACGAGCUGCGUAUGUCGGAUAUCCUGGAUCCUUUGAGGCUAGUAGGCUUUUCUCAGUCGACAGCACGUGGUCGUGCAGUCUCCUGAGAUUCCCUGAUAGUGCCUCCAGCGGUUUCGGCGGUAGCAUCGGCUCGCCCGUGAGAUGGAACAUGACCGCACCUUUCACGGGUACACGCUCUUCAGAAUGCAUCGUCUGGCUGCUGUGUGCUCUGGCUUGUUUGGAGGCAGUUACCUUCCCCAAUCUCUUCCUCUCCUUUUUCUUGGGCACACCUUCCAGACCCUUCCUUAACCCCUGCCCAAGUGUUCCCGGGCUAAGUAUUGUACGACCCUCACGCCCGGCUAGUUGAGCCUGUGUUGAGGCGGCAUCUUCAGGCGUGUCCUGUGAGGAUUUCAUGAAGAGAGACUUUUUGCAUUCCAUGGUACGGCCCUGCCCGGGCAUAUCAUCCAUAUCCUCAUUAGCAAGCUGAUAGCCCGAUUCGUCAUAUGGUUGACUCAUCAUAUCUAUGUCACAGUCAUACGCGUUUGUAUUGAGGUAAUCCAUCGGGUCGACCUCCGUCUCAUCAUCCAUUCUCUGUUCUACAGGAGAAAUUACAUCAGCCAGUACUAUUGCACCCCCUUCAUCAUGUCGUCCGCCGCUCUCACACGGCACUACUACAGGAGCUGGUAAUUGCGUAGGUGGGGUGGUGGUCUCCGCACAUGCUUGCUGAUGUGUGGUAGUUAUUGGUGUGCUCUCGGCCGGCUCCAGACGAAUAAGAUUCUUCGGCCAUAGCAGCACCCAACCCUUGCAGCGUCCAAUCCGCGGCGGGGUCUCGUCGUCCGCUCCCACCUGCUGUACUGGAGGAGGCAAAUCCUCGUGCCCCGAUUUCACACUGGUCAAGCUAACCCUGAAGUGCCCAGCGGGGAUCGGCUGGUUGUGGAAUGUGCGUUGAGAGGGGUCCAUUAUCAUCCCCUUUCCCACGUCCACCUUCUGGCCUUUGAUCAAGUAGAGUAUGGUGCAUGGGGUUUCUUUCGCCUGCAAACACAUAUGUCUGUGGUGUAAAACAACCGAAAGGCAACAAAAAUGGAAUAUUAUAUAUAUAUAUAUGUUGGUGCGACAUGUAAUUACCGUGACGGCGUCGAGCUCAGCCAAAGACGAAGGCCCACCUAGCGCGCCUGAGACUGAGGACGGGCUGCUAUGAGCUGGAGCGGCUGCGAGAGGAGGCCCGGUUGCUUGAGCAAGUGAUGGUGCGAUGGUGUUGUUCAUGGAGUUGCUCGCGACGAAACUGGGCAUUGGGAAAUCAUGUACCGUCUUGUCUGGAUUUUCCUUCGCCCAGUUGAUGAUAACUGGAACCAAGUUAGUAGCGAAAUCAUUUCUGCAGGCAUUUACAGCUGCAUUGACUGCCUGCUGUAGCAACUCAUAUUUGUCCUUGGCUGCUUUUUUCGCGUCCUCGGCUGCUUUUUUCUCGACCGCAAGCUUCACCUUUGCGUCGAUGUCCGCCUAACUAAACUUCUUUUUCUGCUUCUUGGCCUCCGGGCCGUCGUUGUAAAACACCUUCCACGUGGCGCCGUCUCCAGCGCCGUGCACACGACCAUAUUGCGGCCGCUGGUCCAACGGGAGUCCCUUAAGUUCGUUCAAGGCCCAGUUGAGAGGUGUGUCCCACUUGGGCCUCAUCGGAGAAGUAGGGCUUUCGGCUGCAAGCCGGUGUUGCUUCUCCAGUAGUCUAAUCAAUUUCCUCGUGAUCUUGUCCGUGUAAAAAACCUUUUUCUCCUUGUCCCACUUGUAGCGGGCCCUGAUGAAGUCAUGCUCCAAGGGGUUGGUGAACUUCGCGAAGGGGUCUGGGAGACCCGCGGCUUCACGUUCCGCGUCCUCCUUAUCCCAUAUGGGCCUUUUACCGAGGUAGCCACGGCUUCCGAGGCGAUGCUUCCCCAUGUUCCGGAGCUGAAGGCUUUUGAAUUUCGCAGCCUUAGCCUUGGCUGCCUUGGUAGCGCAAGUGUCCUUGAACUUUUCGAACUCCUCUUCCGUAAGUGUCGGAUUUUCCUCCAGAAUCUUGGACAGGGGUUCAUCAGCCUCAAUAGCUCGUUUCACCCUCCCUUUCCAGGAGGCCAAAUCAUUGCUGAACAUGCCCAUGGCGUGAUUGUUAAUCUUUUUCAUCUUCGGAUCAUCCCACGGUUGUUCUAUGUUAUCAUCCCGGUCGGGGAACUUGAAUCUCUUCUGCAACUUCGUUAGGAGCAACUGCGUCAAAUGUUCUUUACUCCUUAAGUCAUCAUCGUUGAUGCUCGCGCAUUCCCGUAGGAUGCAUCCUACUUGGUUCCCAUAGCACUUGCGAGGUUCUUCCGGCUCUAACGGCUCAAACUUUCCAGGUGCCAUCUUUGUGAUCACAAGUCGUCCAAUCCCUAGUUUGUUAGGUUUUCGUAUCCUCUGCUUCUUAUGCUUCCUCUUUUCGGUAUCGGCAUCGGGGCCGGUACCUUCCCCGCCGGUCUCGGCGCCGCCAUCGGUGCCGGCGCCGUCGGUGCCGGCACCGUAGGUGUCGAUGUCGGCGUCAGUACCAUCAUCGAGGCCGACCUGCAAACCUUGCUUAGCAGUCAAAUAGUCGAGGUACUCUUGUUCACCCUCAUAAUCCAUCUCGUCUGCAUCUUGGUCAGAAGGCCCAGUUUCUUCGUUGUUCGACAUGUUUCCUAUGAUUAAGUGGCCUCAUUUAUUUCUAAAAGUAUGAAUAAAUGAGAAAUGACAUAAAAAGAAAUCUAUGUGCCAACACUCGAUAUGCCAACUAUGUAGCACAAAUCAUGCCUUUAUUCACGGGAAAUUUCGGCAUGACCUUUGCUAAAAAAUGGACAUAUCGAGCGCCUGAAAUUCACCGAAACGGAAAUGAAUCAACAUUCCUGCGCAACAUAGGCCACUCGGAUCAUUUUCCAAACAUGACAUGUCCAAAACAUGACAUAUGCACAUAUCACAUGUCCAGUUCAAAUUUCCAUAUAAAUUCAGCUAAUUCAUAACUAAAUAGAUAACCUAAUUAAUUAACAUGAAGANNNNNNNNNNNNNNNNNNNNNNNNNNNNNNNNNNNNNNNNNNNNNNNNNNNNNNNNNNNNNNNNNNNNNNNNNNNNNNNNNNNNNNNNNNNNNNNNNNNNNNNNNNNNNNNNNNNNNNNNNNNNNNNNNNNNNNNNNNNNNNNNNNNNNNNNNNNNNNNNNNNNNNNNNNNNNNNNNNNNNNNNNNNNNNNNNNNNNNNNNNNNNNNNNNNNNNNNNNNNNNNNNNNNNNNNNNGGGGGCGAGCGACAUGGUCGGGGGCGAGCACGCCGGAGUCGGGGUCGAGAGCGGGACAGGGGCGAGCGCCGGGGCUGGCACCGGCGCCGGCAGGGUCGGGGGCGAGCGCCGGGGCCGGGUCGGGCACGGCGGAGCGACGGGGGCCGGAGAGAGAGUGGGGAUUUGGGGGGAAAUGGCGGGAUGAAGCUGGGCGAGUGCGAAUUUUGGGUUAAGUGGACGUAGCAGUAGCGGGUUAUGUCAAAACGCGCUGCUACUAUAUUCUGUAGCGGCAGCGGUUUAUGAGAAACACGCUACUACUAUGGUGCGUAGCUGCAGCGCUUUAUGGGAAACUCGCUACUACUAUGGUGCGUAGCGGCAGCGGUUUAUGAGAAACACGCUACUACUAAGAUCUAGCAGCAGCGGUUUUGUGGAAACGCGCUGCUACUGCCGUCGCUACUGCCAGGUUUCCUUUUUCUUUUCCUUUAUUUUAUCCCACUUUUAUUUCCCGAGGGCAAUGAACGAAGGGAGGGCGAUAUAUAUUGCAUCAUUUGACGGUUAAAUAUGUAUGCAAAAUAGGAACAUAUAUAUUACACAUCAUUGGACCCAUGCAUAAUAAUGACUAAGUGUGUAUACAAAUUAAAUAGGAACAUAUAUAUAUUACACAUCAUUGGACCCAUAACAUACGUUUCCUCAGUGCUGACGUUUUCGUUUUUGAGUCAGCUUCUUUCCCUUCUUGUUCGUCGAAGAAUAAUUGAGCCCCUCAUUGUGACUUUGCCUUUUCCAUGGAGUACGAUUUUUCUUAGGUAAUGUAGUAUUGAUUCUUCUUUUGACGUAUACUUCAUCAUCAUCAUCAUCUUCCCUCAUUGGGUUGCUGUACUGAUCAUAGUCUUCCUCGUUGGCGACUCCAUCCAUUCCAAUGAUGUUCCUUUUGCCUCUCCUCACGACAACACGGCUGGGAUUGCGCGGGUCAGUUAUGAAGAAACAUUGUGUCACGUGCUUAGCGUGUACCCAUGGCUCGUUUUUUGCGAUAGCGUUCAUGGUAGCGCUCUUGGCGUCGGGUAUAGUCAUGGUAGUGAACAUCCGGCUUUCUCUUUCGACAUUCUUAGCCCAUCUGACACGGAACAUCAUCGUGCUGUGCAGUCCAGAGUAGUCAAGCUCCCAGAUCUCCUCGACCCUUCCAUAAAAUCGUUCAGUUGUGCCGUUGUCGCUGCCGGUCAUGCAUUCCAUCGUCACCCCUGAGUUCUGAUCAUCACUGUCCAUAUCUUUUGCCUCUGUGUAGAAUGUGUAUCCGUUGAUAUCAUAUGCCUGAUAGGUUACGAGGUUGGGCGAGGGGCCAUGUGCUAAGGCGUAUAUGAGCAAUCCGUCCUUAGAGCCCUCCUCCGGUGGAUUAGCAAUAAUAUGCUCUUUGAACCAAUGCAGGAAAGUGGAGUUGUGCUCUCUAGUAACUUCGGCGUCCGUCCUGCAUACCCCCCGGUCACGAUACUUCUUUGUGAUAAUUUCUUUGUGCAGUGCCACGAAAGGAUCUACCUCGUCUAGGUGUUGUAGCACUACCAAGUUUGCUCUGUCAAAGUCGCUGCGUCGAUCUGAGUAUGCCACGUGCAGUUCCCUGCGACCGUUGCAGUGACCAUCUCCUUUGAGCCUCCCAUCGUGCUUGUUAACGGGCAAACCAACACUAACACCAGGCGGCUGGUCUGCGCCAUAUAAAAAAUUCUCACAGAAAGAGAUGCACUCUUGUGCCAAAUAGCCCUGGACGAUGCUUCCAUCCGGACGGGACAUGUUACGAACGAAUCCUUUGAUGAUCCCAUUCAUCCACUCAAACGGGAUCAUGUUGUGCAGGAAUGACGGCCCCAGGUCUAUUAUGUCAUCCACAAUAUGGACACACAGAUGCACCAUCACGUCGAAGAACGCGGGCGGGAAGUACAUCUCAAGCUCAUUCAGUAUCACAACGAUCUCUUCCUGUAGCCUUUGGAGCUGCUUCACACUGAUCGACUUUCGAGAGAUGACAUCGAAAAAGUUGCAGAGACCAAUAAGCGUGUCACGGACGUGCUUGUCCAUUAUCCCUCUAAGGGCAACAGGUAGUAUCUGCGUCAUCAUCACAUGACAGUCAUGAGACUUCAUCCCGCUGAACCUUUUCUUGUCCGUGUCUAGAUAUCUGCUUAUCUUGCCACAGUAACCGGAACUAACUUUCACUCCGGUAAGGCACUUAAAGAAUUGAUUGAUCUCAGCCUGACUUAAGGUGAAGCAAGAGGGGGGGCAAUAAUCUUCUUUCUUUAAUUUCUUGCCCUUCUUCUCCCGUGCCUCUGUCUUCGUCUCUGUCUCGUCUGACAUUUUACGGGGCGGCAUCUGCAGAUCUUCCCUGAUUUUCAAAUCUUGCAAGUCUUUUCUUGCCUUCGGCCCAUCCUUGGUCUUAUCCGGCAUGUUCAUCAGUGUUGCGAGCAAGCUCUCAAGGACAUUCUUACAGAUAUGCAUUUGAUCAAGGCAAUGAGGUGUAUCGAGUUUGUGCCAGUACUCCAAGUCCCAGAACACGACCUCGUCUUCCAUACCUUCAGCAGCGGCUCCGGCGCCUUUCUCAUCGUCUUUCCCGGCGCGGGGCACUCAUUCCAGUUUUUCAAUAGCUCAUCGAUUUCGGCACCGCUCCGCUUACGUGGAGGUCCUCGAUGCUCAGCGUGACCAUUGAAUAGAUCUCCACGGUUUCUCCACGGGUCGUCCUGUUCAAGCCAUCUUCGAUGCCCCAUGUACAUGAUUUUCGCAGACCCGCCAUCUUUCCUUGACGUUAGCUGCUGAGACGUUGUAUCAUCCAUGCACCGCGUGCAUCCGCAAUAUCCAUGGCACACCUGGCCUGCCACAUAUCCGUAACCGAGAUAGUCCUGCACUGUCGUGAUCAGCGCGGCUCUCAUGUUGAAAUACUCACCUUUGCUGGCGUCCCAUGUCUUGGCCGGUGUUUUCCAUAACGUGUCUAACUCCUCUUGAAGUAGCCCCAGAUACAAAUUAAUAUUAUUUCCUGGUUGUUUCGGCCCUUGAAUAAGCAUGCUCAUGUGAAUGUACUUCGAUUUCAUACACAACCAGGGGGGGAGGUUGUACAUCCAUACAAACACGGGCCAUGUACUAUGGUUGGUGUUCUAGUUGCCAAAUGGAUUCAUGCCAUCGGUACACGCGCCGAGCACGAUGUUCCUUGCAUCACAUUCAAAAUACCGUUAGAAGCUGUUCAACGCUCUCCACUGGCUUCCAUCCUUCACGUGUCUCAGCUUCGGAUCAUCUCCAUCGUCGGGCUUCUUCCUCUCCGCGUGCCAGCGCAUUAGCUUUGCUUCCUUGGGAUCUACAAAAUACCUCUGAAGACGGGGAGUGAUCGGUAAGUACCAUACAACUUUCUGGGGACAUUUCUUCCCGGCCUUCUUGUAUCGAGAAGCAUUGCACACCGGACAGCUUGUUUUUUCCGCGUGCUCCUUCCGAUAAAUUAUGCAAUCGUUGAUGCAUGCAUGGUAUCUAACGUGUGGCAGAUCAAGAGGGCACACGAUCUUCUUGGCCUCAUCAACACUAGUAGGACAUAGAUUACCCGCGGGAAGAAUAUCCUUUAGGUACUUGAGAUGGUCAUCGAGGCUAGUGUCGGUCCAUUUGUUUUUAGCCUUCGUCUUCAGGAGUUGGAGCGUGAAACUCAACCGGGUCACCUCAGGAUUGCAACCAUCAUACAAUGGAGUGUUCGAGUCUACCACCAGUUGCUCCAGCUUAGCCUCCUCUCUAGAAGCAGCUCUCUCAGUACUCGUCUCCUUGCGAAGCAAUGCUUGAACAUGAGGGUCCCGCACAAUUGAACUUAGUACCGACGAACUCUGCUGCGUGGAGUCCAUGUCGUUCUCUCCGCCGCCAUGUCCGGCCCCUUCUCCUCCGCCAUGUCCGGCCACUUCUCCGCUGCCAUGUCCGGCCUCUUCCCCGCCGCCAUUAUCGAUCAUCUCUUCGUCUUGCCCCGUGUCAUCAUUGCCUGCCCCGUCGGCAUCCUCAACAUCUUCAUCCUCAUCUUCAAUUAUCCACCGAGUAUAGCCAUCCAUGAAACCAGUCAUGAGCAGGUGCGCUUCGACACGACCAUCGUCAUGGGGGUCGAGCCAAACUAUUCCUUUGCAUUUUCAACACGGACAUAAAACCUCUGUCCGGUUAUUUUCUUUCAUGUCUUGCACCGCCGACCGCAACCACCUGUCCACCAUUGUUCCACUGACCAUCGUCAACUCUGCACGGUAAUAAUAAAAAAAUUGAUUGUAAAAAUGCAUGCAUGCAUCAAAGUCAUAAAAAAAUUUGGCAUGACCUUCCCUAAAAAUAGGACAUAUAUGGAUCUAGAGUUUGCCCGAAAUUCGCCGAAACGAAAAUAAAUCGACAUUUCGGCAAAACAUAGGCAACUCAAAAGCACAAUUUGGCGGCGUCAACUCAUGCCACAGACACAAUUUCCACAAACAUAUCACACAUACACAUAAACACAUUUCCAUUUUGCAAAAGCAUGAAAUUUUCAUCACCUCUAUCUCGAUGGCCGGAGAUGAUGUUGUAGGGAGAUCAAAAGUGCACAAAGCUAUUCUUGACAAAGAUAGAUCUAGUUAGGGGGCAAAUAGGUCACUUAACUAAAUCCUACAUCUACCUAGCUACCUAAUUUGGAAGGAGACAACUUCAACUAGUGGAGGGGGAGGAAAAAGAGAAAGAAGAUGCAUUAAUUAAUGGAGGUGGUGUAGUUAUGUAGGAGUAAUGAAGAGAGAGAAGGUGGAUAGAGAANNNNNNNNNNNNNNNNNNNNNNNNNNNNNNNNNNNNNNNNNNNNNNNNNNNNNNNNNNNNNNNNNNNNNNNNNNNNNNNNNNNNNNNNNNNNNNNNNNNNNNNNNNNNNNNNNNNNNNNNNNNNNNNNNNNNNNNNNNNNNNNNNNNNNNNNNNNNNNNNNNNNNNNNNNNNNNNNNNNNNNNNNNNNNNNNNNNNNNNNNNNNNNNNNNNNNNNNNNNNNNNNNNNNNNNNNNNNNNNNNNNNNNNNNNNNNNNNNNNNNNNNNNNNNNNNNNNUGUGGUGGAGGGAAGAGAGGAGAGGGGGAGGUAGGGGGGAAGGGAAAAAAGGAAGGGGGAGGGGAGGGACGGGUUGGGGGUUGGUGGGGUUAGCAGUAGCGCGGGAGAUAAAACGCGCUGCUGCUAAGAACUUAGCAGCUGCGCGCUUUGCGGUAAGGCGCUACUGCUAACUGGGACAAAAAAUUGUGGCAAUUUGAAACUUACCAGCAGCGAUCUCGAGGAAACCGCGCUACUACUACGUACUUAGCAGUAGCGCUGUUAUUGCGACCGCGCUACUGCUACUUAGAGUUGGGGGAACACCGCCGGUCGAUAUUUGUAGCAGCGCGUUUCUUGUCGAGCGCGCUACUGCUAAAUCUUUAUCAGUAGCGAGUUUACGUAACCCGCGCUACAACUACUUAGCAGCAGCGCUCUAUUUUGAACCGCGCUGCUGCUAAGAUUCUGUGUAUAGGCUUUUCCCUAGUAGUGUAGGAAGGAAUGACCACAUGAAUGAGCAUACGUAUGAUGUGAUUAAGUCUCUCGAUUGGGUAUCUGGUGCCUUAUGUACGGUGUCUUCUUUUUGUCAAGCUAUGACAUCUUUCAGUUUGAGUGUCUGAUAUUAGGGUUGCAUACGUUUUGUUAUUCAGUUGCCUGUUGUGAACUCUACGGUUAUAUCAUCUCGAUGUGUGAGUCAAUGUGUUUGAACCAAUGUAGAGUUUCAUGUGAAUGUUACAAGUGUGAUUGAUAUGUUCAUGUUAUCCGCGGUUGCCUUGGUAAGAAACUGAAAGAGCAAACCGUUAUCGUGCUAGGACAAAAGUCAUCACUCAAUAUAAGUGCUUCUCUAGAACAGCCACACCUUGUGAAAGAAGAUGGCAAACACCCAAUCAUGUCUGGUUCGAUAUGGGCGUGGCUAUGGGUAGCUUAUAGCGACAUGGAAGCCAGCAUCGCUGGAAGAAACGCCCGGGUGGGCCGGCCUAGAGACAUUUCUUGAUAUCUACCCUUAGUUUUGUUUUUCUGCCCUUCUUUCUUUAUAUUUAUAUUUUUCCCGACAUGUUCACUACUUGAUGCUCAACUGGGAUCUCAUCCUUCACAAAUACGGAGAGCCAUUAUUGUUAGAGUUAAUCUUGACAUGUGUGUAUGUGCAUGUGUGCAUUGCAUGUUAGUGGUCUAGAGAUGGCCGGGUCGAUGCGUCUGUUCUGUGCUGGAGUGAGUCCAGCAGUUUGUUUUGGUCAGGUCGUGGUGGCUAGAGCCAUUCUAGGAGAGGAUCAAGUCAAGUUGUUAGCUGAACUCGGCUGGGUAGUGUUUGGCCGUUGAGGAUAGGCUGUACUAGUGGUGGGCAUGGCCGUGCAUAUAGCUAGCGAUUAGUUACACUAGUAGAAAACCACCCAUUAGUCCCGGUUCGUAAGGGCCUUUAGUCUCGGUUCAGGAACCGGGACUAAUGGGUCGUUACUAAUACCUCCACCCAUUAGCCCCGGUUCAAACACGAACCGGGACCAAUGUGCCUCCACGUGGCCCUGUGCGGCGAGCCCAGUCAGGGGGCCUUUGGUCCCGGCUGGUGGCUCCAACCGGGACCAAAAGGCAUCCACGCGUCUGCAUUCUAGUGGUUUCUGGUUUUUGUUUUUUUUUUGAAAGGAGGGGGGUUGGGGGUUUUGGGGAGUUAAUUUAGGUGUUUCGUAUAUUGUGUUAACUAGCUAAUUAAUAGAGAGAAGUGUCCUCUCUUAUGUCCGUGCUUGGUCGACGCUACGUAGUAUAUAUACAUAAGUAAUCGAGAGAACCAUUCAGUACAGAAGUUCGUCAUGCAUACCGAGAGAAGUGAUCGAUCGACCUCUCCUUCUCCGAGAGAUUGGUCGAACAACAAGUUUUUUACUGGCUACAUACAUGUACAAUAUGUAUAAGAUCUCUUAAUUACAAACCCAUAGCAUUUGAAAUCAACUUCCACAUGGUAUUCUCCGGCUUUACUGAUGACGUGUUCAAGAAAGAAUCCCGCUAAUUCCUCUUGAAUUGCUUUCAUGCGAUCUGGUUCUAGGAGUUCACCCCGCAUCUGCCACGUCUAAUUAAUUUGAAGAAGGGGGUUAAUUAAUACAUAUAUAUGAAUGAAACUCAACAGAAAAUGAUGGUGUAAUAAAAUGAAAUUGUGAAUAUUAUUGCUUACGCACUUCAUAUUGUCUUCUAGAGUAGCCCCGCUUGUUUCUCAAAGUUGCGUUGUGGAUGAACUCGCACACGUAGUAUCCACAAAAAUCAUUCCCUUCCUCCUGUCACAAGCACUUUACGAGAAACAGAGGUCAAUCAAACUGAUAAUGAAGCAUUAUAAAUGGCAUUGAUGAAAGUAUAGCUAUAGAAUCAACGGGAGAUGCACGCAACUAGCUAGCCAGUAGUACUUACUUUCGGGUAUACAUAUCGCAGCUCCUUCGGCAGUCCCGGAGCUUGUGCGGUGAACUGUUUCCGAACCCUGCAAGACAAAGAAAAUAAUUAUUAUUACUUGAGAUAUCAGGAAAUGAACAAAAAGUUGCCGAUAUGGUGCGAUAAUGAUCGAUUGAACUUACUUGCUGAGCAUUUCAGUCAUGUCCACAUAGGUGCUGGGAUCUUUCCGUCUCGAGUCUAAGACGGUUACUAGUCCACGCUCAAGCUUAAUCUCCAGAAGAAUAUAGUGGUACCUGCGCACGCGUGCAUAACUCAUCAAUUACAUUAACCUCGCUCGAGUAAUAAGGGAAACCGAAUAUGCACACGACAGUAACACUCACGGGCCGUUGUAAGGAAAGAGUAUGGUAUCUUUGUUUUGAUUUUUGAUCAACGAUUGUAGCAAGUUGUCCUCGGCCUCUUCGACGUUCUUUUCAACCAGAAAUACAUCUAUGAUAUUUGUGUUAAUGAACCCAAUAUCAUAAAUUUUUUGUUUUUUGCACUCGACGAUCUUCAAUCUGCAUAAUAUAUUGAGGAUAAUUAAUUAUAAAUACAUGCAAUGAAAGAUCCGAGCUAUAUAUAGAGACUUAAUGUCAGAAAUAGUACUUACAUGCAGUAGCAAAAGACCAUUAAUUUAUCGAGGGCCUUUUGAUUGAAGAACUCAAAGAACUCCUCAAAUGGAACACACAACAGAUCAUUUGAAAUGAGGUCGUGCUCCUCUUUAAUAUUCAAAUACAAACUGUUCGUCCCCUCAGACUCUCUGCAGGUUUUCAUGUACCAAUUAUGGAAUCUUCGCAUCAUUAUUGUCAGAGAUUUUUCAUCUUUGACGAGAGGCUUCCCGUACUCGUAUCUGAAUACGUCCACCUCCAUGAAAUCAGGAAGUGCAUCGUCAGGCAGGUAAUCUUCAAGAUUGCCAUAACCGGCCACCGUCCCCGGAGGAUUAGACACAUUGAGCGGGGGGCACGAUUGCUGUGCUUGUUCGCCGAGCUGGGCAAUUUUUUUCCCCUUUGCUCGUUGUUCUUUUGACCUUUUAUCAUUGACAGUAGUUCCCGACCGCUUGGCUUGGAGAUAUGUCUGUUCAGUAAUGCGCUCAUAGUUGGUUCUCGGCGGAGACUUUGGUGGUUUCCUCAGGGCAUCGAGAGUGCGCUUUGCUUUCACCGGAUCUACCUUCUCCUCCGGAGGUGGAUGUCUCUUUGCUUUCACCCCUUCAAAGAACUCCUUCACGUGGGCCUGCACGAUCGUAUUGUUUUCCUCCUUGGUCCUCUCGUACGGUAACUUCUCUAGAGGCUUUAGAGGUGGACCGUAUCUGUAUUGCCUCUCUCUUCUUGUGCUGCUAGACGCCGGAGCAGACGGAGCGGCUGUGGCGUCUGUCUUCUUCCGUGCUUGCUUAUGAGGCGGAGGAGAAGGACUACGACGCGCCGGAGCAGCCGGGGCGGCGGCGGGUCUCUUCCGCCCUUGCUGGCGAGGCGGAGAGGAGGAGGCGGAGUGCCGCCACAUGCCGGAGAAGGAGGCGGAGUGCCGCCAUGCGUGCCCUGAUCGUCACUCGCCGGAGGAGGAGGCGGUGGAGGAGGCGGAGUGCCGCCACGCGUGCCCUGAUCGUCACUCGCCGGAGGAGGACGCGGUGGAGGAGGCGGAGUGCCCUGACUCGCUGAAAGAGGAGGAGGAGGCGGAGGCGUCCAGUUCAGAAGGUUGAUGAGCUCCUUCUGCCAUAGGCAUGGAGUCUUCAGAGCAGAACCCAGCCUAGUCUCCCCUUCACCGGUAGUGUGCUCAAGCACGAGGUCCUCAAAUCCCUCCGUUAUUUCAUCCACCAUCACCUUAGCAAAUCCUUCUGGAAUUGGCUGGCAGUGAUAAGUUGUGCCGGGUCCACUAGGAUAAACUUGGCCAACAGCCGCCUUGACCUUCAAAUUCAUCCAUCACACAAUAAUGUGGCAAUUUUGAGACUCCGUGAUACCAUCCACGGGAUAGCUGGCAGGAGCCGUCAAGACAUGCUCCGGCUGAAGCAGCUCAGUGGAAGCCACGCUGCUUCUCUGCUGAGAUGGCGGGGUAGCUUCGGGGGAAGCUUCGGCAGGUCGUUUGUUGUGAUCUGCUGCUUCUUGUUCCUCUAGCCCCAUUACCCUUUCGUGCAGCGCCUGCAUUUGGUCCUGCUCCAGUUUCUUCCUCCUCUCGUAGGCUUUGUAAACGCCUGCGUCCAGAAAACCAACCUUCCACGGAAUGGAGCCUGGCGUGCCUCGUGUCCGUCCAGGGUGCUCGGGAUUCCCAAGGGCCAUUGUGAGCUCGUCCUUCUCCCUGUUUGGAAGGAACGUCCCUCGUUGUGCUGCAUCGAUAUAGUGUCGAAGGUUCUUGACUGGUGUUUGCAGUUGCUCGUCCGUCCACUGACGCUUCCCUGUUACAGGGUCCAAGGUUCCGCCAGCCCCGAAGACCCAAGUCCGGCAACGGUCUGGCCAGCGCAUUGUCUCUGGUUCGAUUCCUUUUUCAAGCAGAUCAUGCUCAGCCUUGGACCACUUAGGCCGGGCUUUGAGGUAGCCACCUGACUCCGUGCGAUGGUGAAGCUUCUUCUUCGCAGCAUUUUUCUUGUUUGUCUCCGACAUCGUCUUACUCUUUUCCGAUGUCUUGUGGGCCACAAAUGCGGGCCAGUGAUCUUUGAUCUUCUCAUAUUUGCUGAUGAAUUCUGGUGUCUUUUUUUUCUCGAGAAACUGGUUCAGCUCUUUCCUCCACCUCCUCAUUAGGCUUGCCAUCUUCUUAAGAGCACAAGACUUGAUUAAUUGCUCUUUAACUGGCUUCUCCGGAUCCUCCUCUGGCGGUAGGGUGAAAUUUGCCUUCAGCUCAGUCCAAAGAUCUUCUUUCUGCAUAUCAUUGACAUAAGACACCUCAGGGUCUUCAUCCUUAGCAGGCUUAUACCAUUGCUGGAUGCUGAUCGGGAUCUUGUCCCUAACAAGAACCCCGCACUGAGCAGAAAAUGCCUUCCUUGUCCGGAUGGGUUCAAUCGGUUCGCCGUCGGGCGCGAUUUCUAUGAUCUCAAACUUUUCAUCCGAGAUCAACUUUUUCUUCGGGCCUCGUCUCCUUACCGAAGUUGUGCUCGAUCCGGAGGGCUAGAAAUUAUAAGGAAGAAAGACGACAGUAAUUAAUAUGUGUACAUAUACCAAAACAAUGGAUGCAUCAAUUAACUAGUCAGCACGGGCUUAACUAAUAUAUAUAUACCUGGCCGGACUCGGUUCGGUGACCGGAGCAGUCAGCACGGUCUCCUUGUACCUCCAUUGUGUCACCGGAGCCAUCAUGAACAUAGUCCUCCUCUUGUACCGGCAUUAAUGGGUCGAAGCCAUCAUAAACAUAGCCCUCUUCUUCAUCCAGUCCUUCCAGCUGACCAUCGGUGUCGAUGAGAAAUGACGCAACAUCAUCACUUCCAUUUGCGAUUAUGUCCCCCAACAUCGCUUCUGUUUCUUCGUCUCGGGAGUGCUCCAUAGUUUCUGCAAAUAUUUACAACAUGUCAAUUAUUAUUCAAACAUGGUACAAAUGGAUAUAUAUAUAUAUAUAUAUAUAUAUAUAUAUAUAUAUAUAUGAAAAUGGAUUGGUACUCCUAGGAGUACAUACUCUCACCUACACCCGUCAUCGUUGGAAACAUUCAUCCCGCUAACUACUAAAAAAAGAGCUAACUAACUACGGAUAAAGCCUUUGGAUUUAAAAAUUAGUUGAACCGCUUCCUUUUUUUUCAGCUCUCGUAGGCGUGCCUUCCAGGGAUUCCAUUUGAAACGGCGUUCUCAUCUCUUGCCAGCACCCAUGAACAUAAAAAAACAGAGCAUCGGCUCGCCUCCGCCCCGCCGACUGACCGGAAGACUUGGUCGACAUGGCCGACGAUGAUCCCCGUGCUUCUUCCCUCGCAAACUAGGCUUCAACCACCACGUCCAUCAAUCAGAGGAAGAUUGAUUCAUCAUCUGUAGUUUGCGAGGGUACGUGCAAUUGAUGUUUCCCGAUUUUUCUGUUCGGCUACCACAACCGUGUUCAUGUUCCCGCUGACCCCUUGAUCCAUUCCUGUCCAGUAUGUCAUCGUCCGAGAAGAAAAUAGGACGGAGAUGAUUGAUCGGCCAGAUUGAUCGGCCAAGUCUACUAGUACCACUGGUGGAAAAAAGGCCUUUGGUCGCGGUUCGCAACUGCCAUUAGUCGCGGUUGCGCAACCGCGACCAAAUAAGCGCGACUAAAGCCCCCCACCUUUAGUCGCGGCUGCUUAAGAACCGCGACUAAAGGCCCGUCCAUGUGGGCGCCAGGCGGCCGUCGGGACGGAGGACCUUUAGUCGCGGUUCUUCUGGCCAACCGCGACUAAAGGCCGCCACAGGUUUAGGGUUUUAGCCCCCCCCCUAAACCUGUUUUCUGUUUAAUUUGUAUUGUUUUAUUUCUUUUGUGCUUUAUUUUAAUUUUGAAGGAGUUUCAUAUAUUCUACGGUACUACAUACAUGCAUAUGAAUGUACAAUUUCAAAUAAAUUUGAAAUUAGAACCAAAAAGAAUUCAAGAGGAAUAUACAAUAUAUAUUCAAUAUCAUCGGAUGACCAUAUACAAUUUUGAACAAGUUUCCAUACAUGAUUUAAUGCAUAUAAAGUUCUACGUCCUCGUAAUAGUGUUCUCCUUUAGGAUGGAGGACUUCCCUGCUGAACCAUCCAGCUAGUUCCUCUUGAAGUGGUCGGAAGCGAGCUUCUGGACUAAGCAUCCACCGGAGGUUAUUCCUCUGAGCAUUGGUAUCACUCGGAACCCGCUCAGAGGUGUAUCUCCGGAUCAUCUCACAGACAUAGUAUCCACAUAGAUUGGUCUCCGGUGGCUGAAUAUCCCCAGCAUUCUUAGCCACUGACCUUUUGAAUUCUAGCUCUUUUUUGAAUUCACCGACCUUUGUAUCUACGAACCGUCUCCAAACCCUACGAGGCAAAGAAAAUUAAAUGAACAAGAGAGUUAUUAGUUACUUGAUAUUAGGAAAUGAACGAAAUAGGCCGAUUGAUAUAGAGCGCAAAUGAAUGAAAAUAAUUACUUCUGCAGCAUUCUUCUCAUGCCGCCCCAAAGCUUUGGAUCCAUAUUCACAGAGUCGUGGACGAGACAUUCUGAGGUGUUAACUUUAAUUACUAGCAGAAUCCAGUGGAACCUGCGGACACGAUACAUGCACAGUACGUCAUGCAUAACUCAUCGAUUAGCCGGCCACAUACCAUGCAUGGAGUAAACAAAAGAGAAUGUGCUCAAGACACAAACACUCACCCAAAAUGGUAAGGAAAUAGAAUAUCACUUUUGAGUUCCUGCUUUGUAAGAAACUGCCACAGGUCUACCUCCACGUCGGCGGGGUGACGCUCCAACACAUGUCCAUUAACGAUGUGUGGGUCAAUGAACCCAACAUCAUGGAUGUUCCUUACUCUGCAUUCCUUAAUCUUCAUUCUGCAUGUAUAAUAGCGGACACAACAAUAUAGUUAGGACAUAUAUAUAGUGCAGGCAAUAUGAACGAGAUGGGGUAGAAAUUAAUAAAUCACUUACAGAACGUAGCAACUGAUGAUAGAUUUAUCGAGCUCGCGCAGAUUGAAAAGCUGGAACAAUUCACUCAGUUCAAUUUGUACAUAGUAAUGUUUGAAGUGAUGCUCAUGUCUAACUUCCGCAUAAAUAUAUUCUUUGGCGUUUUUAUUUUUUAUGUAACCCUUGUACCAUUUCAGCAGACCUUUCAUUUGUGGAGGUAGAUCCUUUUCCUGCGCAGGCUCGACGAGAGGCCCAUUCUUGACAUAUGUAAUUACUACCUCCUUCACUGGCGCCUCAUCAAGGCCUAACAGUUCACGAAGAGUAAUACCUAAGUUGGCCGCUUGUUCUAUGGCACUCGUUACAGUCAAUCCCUGUGCUGCCGCAGCUUGUAUGAUCUCGGGGGCAUCCGGACAGAAGGCUUCCACUAUAAGCGGGGCAAUCGAUUGUUUACUUUGUUCCCCGAGCUGGGCAACUUGUUUCCCGCUUUUUUUACUUUCGGCCUUCUCCCGCUCUUUGUUCUCCUUGAACAUGAGUGCCUGCCUGCGAAGUUCACGUGCAUAGUCGUUAGGCAGAUUCUUCGCGGCUUGGGACGGUGUGCUCAAAAAUGACUUAGCCCACUUGUUUUGCUCAUCAGAAAAUACUGGCUUGGGCUCGAGCUCUCUUUUCUUCUUGCAGUCCGCCUUCCAUUUCUCCAAAUCAGCAGCCGCGGCCGCGUCGACUUCCUCGGCACUACGUUCCCAAGGCCUUGUGGGGAGAGGCUUCAGUGAUGGCUCCGGUACCUUUGUGGUCUUAGGUACAUAAGGGUCCGGGUUAAUAAUCCAGGACUGCUUCUGCUUCUUUGCCGGAGGUGGAUUGGGGGGCGGCGUCUGAUCACCCGCCGGACGAGGACUGGGGGGCGGCGGCUGAUCACCCGCCGGACGUUGUGGACUGGGGGGCGGCGUCGGCUGACGUGACGGAGGUGUAGGUGAACCGCCACCACCACCACCACCACCACCACCGCCACCGCCACCACCACCACCGUAGGGGGGUGGACUUGUUGUCCUUGGCGCCUCGCCUGGAAACUUGAUAAACUUCUUUUGCCAUAGAAUGAAAUGGCGCUUGACAUCUCCAAGUCUUUUCUCCCCUUCAGGUGUAGCAAUGUCAAUCUCCAGGUCCUCAAACCCUUGGACUAUGUCCUCCACCGUGACACGAGCAUAGCCAUCUUGAAUGGGGUUGUUGUGGUGGAGUGCUCCAGGUAAACAUGGUAAAGCACUGCCGAUGGCUACCUUCAUGGACAUGUUCCCGAUAGGAUAAUACAGAUGACAUUCUUCUCCGCUGCUGGCUUCCGAGAUCUGCUGGAUGAUCUUCAUGCUGCACCCGAGCUGCAUCUCUUUCGGCUACUAGUACACUCAUGGUUUUCUUCAUCACAUCCAUUUCCGAUGCCAACCGCGCCACAACAUCUGCUUCCCGAUCCACCUUUCUCUUACGGCUUCUGUAACCGUACGGGUCAUCGUUCUGGGGGAACCCUAUUUUCCACGGAAUGUGCCCCAUGCCUCGUACACGUCCUCCGUGUUCAGGAUUCCCGAGGGAUUUUGUCAGCGCGUCGUUCUCUCUGUUGAACUUGAUCUUCCCCUGUUGAGCAUCCCUCAUUGCGUUAAUAAGGGCUUGGGUGGGUUUAAUUAAUUUGCCCCGGUAAACACACUCCCCUGUCUCCGGGUUCAGCGUUCCCCCAUGCCCGUACCACCAACUUUUGGCCCUUGGGUCCCAUCCCUCCGUACCUGCACGGAUUCCUCGCGCCCUCAGCUCGUUCUCCAUCUUCUCCAACCUAGGCACCCAAAUGCGAUACCCUCCUGGCCCCAUAACAUGAUUGUACUCCUUCUUAGCCGCAUUUUCCUUAUUUUUUCGAUAUUUGAAUGAACUGCUCCGAUUUCUUUUGCUUCACAAAUUCUGGCCAAUCAUGUUUCAGUUUCUCAUAUUGUCCUUUGAAAUCCGGAGUCUUGUUCUGCUUGACAAAGUCAUGGGCUAGAUUUUGCUUGAAUUUCCGGAAUGCGUCGGCCAUCUUAUGAAGAGCGAACUGUUUGACUAGCCUCCUCCUCUCCUUGUUUUCUUCAAUCUUGUUACCCUCCUCAUCGAAUUUGUUGUAUUCCGGAGGUAGAACGAAAUGUUCCAUAAGCUUCUUGAAGCAAUCUUUUUUUGUUCUCUUAUCGACAAAAGUGAAACCAUCAAUUCGUGCCUUCUUUGGCUCAUUCCACUCCUGGACGGUGAUCGAGACGUUGUCUCUAACAAUGGCUCCGCAUUGGCUGACAAACUUGGUGGCGUUCUUGCGGGGCUCCAGCGGCCUGCCGGUUGCACUGUCGACAACCUCGAUGGUGCAUGUUUCUCCUUGUUUCAUCGUCUUGGUUGCGCCACGCUUUGACGACGUACUCGAUUGUUUCGACGAUCCGGCCGAGGGCUAAAAUAAGAAAGAGUCGCGCGCGUUAGUACACACAUAUUUAUUCAAAUCAGUUAGUUUGUAUCACCAGAGGCUCAAUGUAUAUAUAUACCUCGGCGCCGGAGGUGGUUGCUACAUCCAUUUGAAGAUCGUCGUUUAUCGACGUUUGUUCGGCAUCAUCUUGCUGACGGCGCCCUUCAUCUUCACCGUCAAGGUUCAGAUAAGAAGAGAUAUCAUCUUCUUCUUCUCCGGUCGGCACAUAUAGAAUAUCGCCGUUUAUGAUGCCGAACAUAUGUGCUUCACCGUCCGGAUCAUAGUUGUCCAUAAUCGGGUCAGCUCUAUCGUCCGCCAUUAUGUCAGUCCUGAAAACAUGUAGUAAAAACAAAUUAAUUAAGUGAAGAAGGGGGGCGGUGGCGGUGGCGGUGGCGAAAGGGUGGUGGCAAAAGGAGGGGGCGAGGAAGGGGUGGGAGAGGGUGUCGCGGUAGAGCGCGAGACGGGGCGGCACGAACGUCAUUUUGUGAAGAAACUUUGCAAGCAAUUAAACAUUUGUCAAUGUUUGGUAAAAAAAAUACAGGUAGCGUCUGUUGCUCCUAAUGAUUGGAAACGGUUUCCAAUUGCCAACGAGGAUUUAGAUCGACUACUACUACUAGUUGCAUUGCUCCCCAUCGGGACGAUGUUGCUCCUAAUCCCCUCCUUUGGAAUCUAUAGUACUAGUGCAUACUAGCUGGCCGUUGACCGUUGUUGCUCAUCGCGUUUUCUCAAAGUCCACUGAUUUUGCUCAGGGCCAGUUCGGAGAUUUUGCUGGUCCACUGAUUUUGGAUCAACGCCGGGAUGGCAUGGGCGCUCGGCGAUGAUGCGAAGUAGACUUGCACAGGCAACGUGAUGUACAUGGAUGUGUCAGUACGGUACGCUCGGCGAUGCCACGGUAUGGAUGACUUCUCGAGUGGAGAUUGGAGAACCAAGUUCGCCGGUGAAACGUCGGCUCCUGAUCAGAUCUGGGGGUCGCGAACUAGCGAUUGGAUCUCGGAAGGGAGUUAGGAAAGCGAACAGACGUGCGUUCAAGGCUACAACUUUUUUUUUCAGGAUCUUGAAAACAGCUACGCGUUCAAGGCCCGGUCCUGAUUUUGCUCAUCUACCCGGGGCGGCGUUCGCACUGCGCGAGGGCCGACUCCGCGGGGUGCUGCCGCGUCGCCUCGUCGACGCUGAGCGAGUUGGCGAGGACCGUGUACAUGGUCGGCACGUCGCCGGCGGAGAGGGUCAUGCUGUCCCCGACCAGCGGCGGCCACGGACGGGGAGGGCGGCGGCGGUGACUGGGAAGGAAUGAUAGGAGAGGAAGGAAGGUCGCGUGGGGUUGAGGGCGGNNNNNNNNNNGGCGAGGAGGGACUCCUUGGCGGAGAGGCGCUCCGUCUCGCGGGCGUAGCUGGCAGCGGGCUCCCACGCCUGCGCGUACACGUCGUCCCGCCGUGCGUUCAAGGCUACAACUUUUUUUUUUAGGAUCUUGAAAACAACUACGCGUUCAAGGCCGGCCCGGUCCUGAUUUUGCUCAUCUACCCGGGGCGGCGUUCGCACUGCGCGAGGGCCGACUCCGCGGGGUGCUGCCGCGUCGCCUCGUCGACGCUGAGCGAGUUGGCGAGCACCGUGUACAUGGUCGGCACGUCGCCGGCGGAGAGGGUCAUGCUGUCCCCGACCAGCGGCGGCCACGGACGGGGAGGGCGGCGGCGGUGACUGGGAAGGAAUGAUCGGAGAGGAAGGAAGGUCGCGUGGGGUUGAGGGCGGGCGAGCGAGGCGGCAGUACCGAGGCUGGCCGGCGGCGCGCGCGCGGUGGGCGAGGGCGACGGCGGGCGGCGUCGAGGGCGAGGGCGACGGCGGGCGGCGUCGAGGGCGCGGCAGAGACGAACAGGCGAGAAACGGCGGGCGGCGUCGAGGGAGCCUUGUAUUUAUAGCCCCCCCNNNNNNNNNNNNNNNNNNNNNNNNNNNNNNNNNNNNNNNNNNNNNNNNNNNNNNNNNNNNNNNNNNNNNNNNNNNNNNNNNNNNNNNNNNNNNNNNNNNNNNNNNNNNNNNNNNNNNNNNNNNNNNNNNNNNNNNNNNNNNNNNNNNNNNNNNNNNNNNNNNNNNNNNNNNNNNNNNNNNNNNNNNNNNNNNNNNNNNNNNNNNNNNNNNNNNNNNNNNNNNNNNNNNNNNNNNNNNNNNNNNNNNNNNNNNNNNNNNNNNNNNNNNNNNNNNNNNNNNNNNNNNNNNNNNNNNNNNNNNNNNNNNNNNNNNNNNNNNNNNNNNNNNNNNNNNNNNNNNNNNNNNNNNNNNNNNNNNNNNNNNNNNNNNNNNNNNNNNNNNNNNNNNNNNNNNNNNNNNNNNNNNNNNNNNNNNNNNNNNNNNNNNNNNNNNNNNNNNNNNNNNNNNNNNNNNNNNNNNNNNNNNNNNNNNNNNNNNNNNNNNNNNNNNNNNNNNNNNNNNNNNNNNNNNNNNNNNNNNNNNNNNNNNNNNNNNNNNNNNNNNNNNNNNNNNNNNNNNNNNNNNNNNNNNNNNNNNNNNNNNNNNNNNNNNNNNNNNNNNNNNNNNNNNNNNNNNNNNNNNNNNNNNNNNNNNNNNNNNNNNNNNNNNNNNNNNNNNNNNNNNNNNNNNNNNNNNNNNNNNNNNNNNNNNNNNNNNNNNNNNNNNNNNNNNNNNNNNNNNNNNNNNNNNNNNNNNNNNNNNNNNNNNNNNNNNNNNNNNNNNNNNNNNNNNNNNNNNNNNNNNNNNNNNNNNNNNNNNNNNNNNNNNNNNNNNNNNNNNNNNNNNNNNNNNNNNNNNNNNNNNNNNNNNNNNNNNNNNNNNNNNNNNNNNNNNNNNNNNNNNNNNNNNNNNNNNNNNNNNNNNNNNNNNNNNNNNNNNNNNNNNNNNNNNNNNNNNNNNNNNNNNNNNNNNNNNNNNNNNNNNNNNNNNNNNNNNNNNNNNNNNNNNNNNNNNNNNNNNNNNNNNNNNNNNNNNNNNNNNNNNNNNNNNNNNNNNNNNNNNNNNNNNNNCGAGGAAGACCAAUCGGCUUAAGGUCAGGAACAAAGUCAACACAAAACUCAAUUACCUCCUCAUUUCCAUAGCCCUUGGCGAUGCUUCCUUCUGGCCUAGCACGGUUACGAACAUAUUUCUUUAAUACUCCCAUGAACCUCUCGAAGGGGAACAUAUUGUGUAGAAAUACAGGACCGAGAACGAAAAUCUCUUCGACUAGGUGAACCAGGAGGUGCGUCAUAAUAUUGAAGAAGGAUGGCGGGAACACCAACUCGAAACUGACAAGACAUUGGAUCACAUCGUUCUGUAACCAUGGUAGAACUUCUGGAUUGAUUACCUUCUGAGAGAUUGCAUUGAGGAAUGCACAUAGCUUCACAAUGGCUACUCGAACAUUUUCCGGCAGGAGCCCCCUCAAAGCAAUCGGAAGCAAUUGCGUCAUAAUCACGUGGCAGUCGUGAGACUUCAGGUUUUGGAACUUUUUCUCCGCCAUGUUUAUUAUUCCUUUUAUAUUGGACGAGAAUCCAGACGGGACCUUCAUACUGCUCAGGCAUUCAAAAAAGAUGACCUUCUCUUCUUUGGUCAGAGCGUAGCUGGCACGACCUUGAAACCAUUCCGGAUGCCGGUCAUCAGGGUCUUUCAAACGUUGCUGGUCCUGCCGUGCUUCCUUUGUAUCAUUUGUCUUCCCAUACACGCCCAAGAAGCUUAGGAGGUUCACGCAAAUAUUCUUCGUAACGUGCAUCACGUCGAUUGCAGAGCGGACAUCUAGGACUUUCCAAUAUUCUAGCUCCCAGAAUAUAGAUUUCUUCUUCCACAUGGCUGCGUUCCCGUCUGCUCCCUUCGGAACUGAUUGUCCGCCAGGACCCUUUCCAAAGAUGACUUUCAAAUCCUUGACCAUAUCAAAUACCUCAGCACCAGUGCAUUCCGCAGGCUUCGGCCGGUGAUCUGCCUUGCCGUUGUAAUGCUUGCCUUUCUUUCUUACUGGAUGAAUUUUCGGAAGAAAUCGAUGAUGCCCAAGGUACACGUUCUUCUUACAAUUUGGCAAAUGUACACUUUCAGUCUCAUGUAAGCAGUGCGUGCAUGCAUUGUAUCCCUUAUUUGACAGUCCCGAAAGGUUACUAAGAGCAGGCCAAUCGUUGAUGGUUACGAAAAGCAACGCUCGUAGGUCAAAUUCCUCUUGUUUGUGCUCAUCCCACACACGGACACCACCCCACAGCUGUAAAAGUUCAUCAACUAAUGGCCUUAGGUACACAUCGAUGUCGUUGCCGGGUUGCUUCGGACCUUGGAUGAGCACUGGCAUCAUAAUGAACUUCCGCUUCAUGCACAACCAAGAAGGAAGGUUGUAGAUGCAUAGAGUCACGGGCCAGGUGCUAUGGCUGGAGCUCUGCUCGCCAAAAGGAUUCAUGCCAUCCGUACUUAGAGCAAAUCUUAUGUUCCUUGCGUCAGCUGCAAAAUCUUUGAACCAUCUGUCGAUCUUUCUCCAUUGCGUUCCAUCUGCGGUGUGUCUCAACUCCCCGUCCGACUUACGGUCCUCUUUGUGCCAUCGCAACAACUUGGCAUGCUCUUUGUUCCUGAACAGACGUUUCAACCGUGGUAUUAUAGGAGCAUACCACAUCACCUUGGCGGGAACCCUCUUCCUGGGUUUCUGGCCCUCAACAUCGUCACCAGGGUCAUCGCCUCUGAUCUUAUAACGCAAUGCAGUGCAUAUCGGGCAUUCAUUCAAAUUCUCGUAUUCACCGCGGUAGAGGAUGCAGUCGUUGAUGCAUGCAUGUAUCUUCAGAACCUCUAAACCUAGAGGGCAGACAACCUUCUUUGCUUCGUACGUACUGGCGGGCAACUCGUUAUCCUUUGGAAACAUACUCUUCAACAUUUUCAGCAAGUUUUCAAAUGCCGAGUCAGCUACACCUGCCUCUGCCUUCCAUUUCAGCAAAUCCAGUGUGCAGCCCAGCUUUUUCAGACCAUCAUCGCAUCCGGGGUACAGCGCCUUUCUGUGAUCCUCUAACAUGCGAUCCAAAUUCUCCCUCUCCUUUUCAGUUUCGCAGCGUCUCCGUGCAUCAGCAAUGGUCCGACCAAGAUCAUCAACGGGAUCAUCACGUGCCUCUUCUUCACCUUCCCCUUCACCUUCAGCAUCCUCCAUGAAAGUAUCACCGAGAUGAGCAAGAUAGCUUUCAUCGAUGAAAUCAUCCCCUUCUUCAUCUUCUUCCAUUAUAACCCCUCUUUCUCCAUGCUUGGUCCAACAAUUAUAGCUUGGCAUGAAACCGUGCCGAAGCAGAUGCAUGUGAACAUCUCUUGAGGAAGAGUAACCCUUCUGAUUCUUACAGAUAACACAUGGACAGAUAACAAAAAACCCCUGCUUGUUCGCAUUAGCCACUACGAGGAAAUCUUUCAAACCCGUAGUGAACUCGCCGGAGAGUCGGUUACCGUACAUCCAUUGCCGAUUCAUCUGCAUUAUUAUAAUAUAAAAUAUAUAAUUAACCAUCAUGCAUUUGUUAAACUAACUAGCUACAAACAAUAUAAAUUAAACAAUGAACUGCACACAUGCAUAUUUUAUCAAUGACACAUCAAAGGUUCAUCAAGUUGCUAACCGCGAUCGAGGAGUGUGGCUCCAACACUUCAUGUCAUGUUUGUUUCAUGCUCUUGGGGCAUUUCAUCAAACACCUUAUGUGCAUAAGAGGAACCAAAAGCAAACCUACACCCACUUGUGAAGAGAAUGGCUCCAAAUGGCUAAGUGUUGGCUGCUGGAUGGGUAUAUAUAGGGGAGGGGCUUUAGUUGCGGUUGGCUUGGCAAACCGUGACUAAAGGUGCCCGAAGGCCUUUAGUCGCGGUUGUCCUGGCCAACCGCGACUAAAGACCCUCACGUGCGCCAGCUGGCCACCGAGCGCCCUGAGCCCAGGCCUUUGGUCGCGGUUCACCUCCAGAACCGCGACUAAAGGUCCCAUUAGUCGCGGUUCCUACAGCUUCGCGACUUAUGGGGCUGGACGGAAGCUUGUUUUUCCACCAGUGUACUAGGUAAGGUGUCGUUCCAGUCAAAUUGAUGAAUUCAUCUUUUGUUACCUUUGUUAUAGGAAUAUAGGCUGCAUUUAUUAGUCAUAUCGAGCUCUCAAGGAGUCAAGAUCUUGUUAACUUACUAAUAAUUUCUAUAUACCUGCAGCGUUAUGGCCUAUGGUGCAGGGCAAAGACAACAAGGACGACAUGCGGCGGCGACGUGGCCAUGGUGAAGCUACUUCGUCCGGCUACCCCAUGGUUGGCGUGUCUGCCGUCCUCUCAAUCUAUCACACGUACGUCCGGUGCAUGCAUGGUGUCGGGCCGAAGAGCACACAAAUCUACAUCCAGGCCCUGGGCACUAGCAACCGCUGAUGCACUUAGCCACUUACCAAUGUAUUCCUAUUGUACGUAUAUAAUAAAGUGGUUAGUACGUCGACGUAGAAAUAGUUAGUAGCUUGCUUUGCACUCACACAAUCGAGUCAUGAUUGUUACUGAUGAUCAAAAUUUUAUGUAUUUUUUAUGCCGGAUGGGUUUACUACUUCUUCUUCGGUUGUAUAUAAAGCUUCCAAAAAAUUAGUAUAUAAUCCUCCAGAAUAAAUCAGUAUAUAGUCCUCCAAAAAAAUGAGUAUAUACACUUUGUAACGCAGCAUAUACCCCAUAAAAAAUGUAGUAUAACGCUGCAGAAAUAAGACAUACUCCUUUUCUAGUUGCAUAUACCCAAUCACAAAACUACACUGAAAUAAUUAGUAGUACAUACUCCUUUUCUAUUUUGGAAAGGAACGUCCAUUUCCCUCUUCAACAAGUGCUUUAUUUUUCUAGGGGUAGCCUUGUGUUUUUACUGCCAUGCGACGACAUUACAAAAUGUAUUACACCCAUUAUUCAUCUAAUUUUUUAUAUACCCUUUUAUGCAUACUUUGAAUUUAUCACUCAUUUGGGCGACCAGCCCGCUCUCUCAUUGCAGCGACUCGACUCUCACAUAAAGCCAGUAUAUACUCACGUAAAAAAAAGCAGUAUAGACUCCCUUACUGAAAAAGAACUAUAUACUCCCCUACCAAAAAAAGUAGUAUAUGCUCCAUUACCAAAAAGGCAGUAUAUACUCAUAUACAAAAGGUGGUAUAUACUGUCUUCCCAAAGUAGUAUAUAUCUUUUUCCUUGCGUUAGAGAAGUAGUAUAACCAGAACAGAUAGUUCAUACUUGUGUGCUGAAAAAAGUAGUAUAUAAAUAUAUAUGUAAGAGUGAGUAUGGUAGAUAUGUAUCGGUCCUUACAAAAAAAAUCAACCACUGUUAUUGUUUAUUUGCACCGAACUAACCUUAUCUGUAUGCUAGGAUCCUUGAAUCUCUCAAUCUGUUGAUGCACAUGCAUGCGUCGGCCGGUGGAGCAAUUAGCAACUAGAUCUAAUAACUGCCAACCUGUUCAGUCCAUGGGAGUACAUACUCCUGGGAGUAUAAAAGAGGAGUCUAUAUAUAUAUAUAUAUAUAUAUAUAUAUACGGUGGCGCUAUUGUGUGCGUGAGCGCAGAUUUACUUAUCGUGCGCGCCGGUCAUUGCGUGCGCCACUCGUAUUCCUAAUGAUGGUAAAAUUCCUGGCAGAAAUAGUAAUAUAAUUUAAUUGGUUACUGCCUGCCACCACCACGGUAGCGAUUUAAUUGGUUAGGUCUACUAGUAAAAAUGCAUAGCAGAAAAAGUAAAAGAGCUAAAAGUAUUACUGUUGGAUGCAUCGGUCCCCGCUUCGACUGCCUACUAGUAAAACACCUCAUAAAAGUAGUAAUAGGAUUACCCUACACGCAUCAGCCCCUUGCCAUACUUGUGAACAGGUAAACUUCAUGUGAAGAAUAGUACUGGAUGGUAACUGUGUUACCAUAGAACGGACACUUGCUAUUAGCUAGCUACAUGGUAAUUUUAUUACCGCUAACUUUCAUCGGUUUAAUACCUAAUCAUGUUACCACUUAUUUUCUUAGUAGUAUUGGAUGGUAACUAUGUUACCACAUGACGAAAAAAUUGCUAUUAGCUAAUAGCUACACGGUAAUUGCAUUACCACUCAUGUGUAGAAGCAUGAUACACGGUCUUUUUUCCAAUUACGUUUGGUCGAAGACGCAAGGGUUUGCUAAUCGCUAAAGUGGGGUCGAAGCAGUAAUAAGUUUCCAACCGUUACCAUGUUUCUUAAGGUAUGUUACGUAUGGGCGCAAGACAUGUUCUUUAAUAGGAGCGGGACAACGGUUGCUUAGACGGAGAAUGGCGCGCAGUCUGGCCGGAGCGUAGAAUUAGACUUCUGCGCUCAGGCUUAGUUUAGCACGUCUAUAUAUAUAUAUAUAUAUAUAUAUAUAUAUAUACAUACAUGUUAGUGGCCUCGACGCUGCUUCUCUAGGGUUUGGGGUCGCCUCGACACAACGCUUCAAGGGUUUGGGGUGGCCUCGACGACAACGUUUUUUUAACUUGAUAAAUUUGGGUGGCCUCGAGAGAGUUAAUUUGUCGGGUAGGGGCGCGGCGGGAGGGGGUAGGAGACCAACAUCGUUUUCUCUCUAGGGUUUGGGUGUCCUCGAGAGUUAUCGGGGAGGGGGUAUCGGUACCACCCCCUAGCUCGUGUUGAAGUUUCUUCUUUCUCCUCUAUUCCUUUCUUUCUUCUUCUCCUCUUCUUUUUCUUCUUCUCCCUCGAGAAAGGAAAAUANNNNNNNNNNNNNNNNNNNNNNNNNNNNNNNNNNNNNNNNNNNNNNNNNNNNNNNNNNNNNNNNNNNNNNNNNNNNNNNNNNNNNNNNNNNNNNNNNNNNNNNNNNNNNNNNNNNNNNNNNNNNNNNNNNNNNNNNNNNNNNNNNNNNNNNNNNNNNNNNNNNNNNNNNNNNNNNNNNNNNNNNNNNNNNNNNNNNNNNNNNNNNNNNNNNNNNNNNNNNNNNNNNNNNNNNNNNNNNNNNNNNNNNNNNNNNNNNNNNNNNNNNNNNNNNNNNNNNNNNNNNNNNNNNNNNNNNNNNNNNNNNNNNNNNNNNNNNNNNNNNNNNNNNNNNNNNNNNNNNNNNNNNNNNNNNNNNNNNNNNNNNNNNNNNNNNNNNNNNNNNNNNNNNNNNNNNNNNNNNNNNNNNNNNNNNNNNNNNNNNNNNNNNNNNNNNNNNNNNNNNNNNNNNNNNNNNNNNNNNNNNNNNNNNNNNNNNNNNNNNNNNNNNNNNNNNNNNNNNNNNNNNNNNNNNNNNNNNNNNNNNNNNNNNNNNNNNNNNNNNNNNNNNNNNNNNNNNNNNNNNNNNNNNNNNNNNNNNNNNNNNNNNNNNNNNNNNNNNNNNNNNNNNNNNNNNNNNNNNNNNNNNNNNNNNNNNNNNNNNNNNNNNNNNNNNNNNNNNNNNNNNNNNNNNNNNNNNNNNNNNNNNNNNNNNNNNNNNNNNNNNNNNNNNNNNNNNNNNNNNNNNNNNNNNNNNNNNNNNNNNNNNNNNNNNNNNNNNNNNNNNNNNNNNNNNNNNNNNNNNNNNNNNNNNNNNNNNNNNNNNNNNNNNNNNNNNNNNNNNNNNNNNNNNNNNNNNNNNNNNNNNNNNNNNNNNNNNNNNNNNNNNNNNNNNNNNNNNNNNNNNNNNNNNNNNNNNNNNNNNNNNNNNNNNNNNNNNNNNNNNNNNNNNNNNNNNNNNNNNNNNNNNNNNNNNNNNNNNNNNNNNNNNNNNNNNNNNNNNNNNNNNNNNNNNNNNNNNNNNNNNNNNNNNNNNNNNNNNNNNNNNNNNNNNNNNNNNNNNNNNNNNNNNNNNNNNNNNNNNNNNNNNNNNNNNNNNUGAAAACACUUUUUUUUGUUUUCUUUCUUGCUUUAUUUAUUUUAUUUUGUUUCUACUUGCAAUAAAAUACUUAUUGUUGUUUUUUUGUUUUGUUUUCUGCAUUAUUUAUUUUCUUUUGUUUUUUGCUUUAUUUUUUAAUUCUUUUUGCUUUUAGUUUUAGGAAAAUUAUAAACUUUCUAUUAGUGCCAUUACUUUUCAAAUUUGAAAACACUUUUUUGUUUUUUAGUUUUCUUUCUUGCUUUAUUUAUUUUAUUUUGUUUCUACUUACAACAAAAUACUUAUUGUUGCUAUUUUUAAUUAUUACGAAGGCCAAACCAUAAGACAUUAAAGCAUUUCAAAUGAACUCUGAAAAAGUUGAAAGUUGGCAUGGUAUCAUAAAUUGACCCACACAUAGCAUGUGCAUGUACAAAACGGACAAUGUUAUCAUACUCGUCAGUUACAAAGUUGGCAUGGUAUCAUCAUAAUAGUUGCGGGAGAAAGUCUUCACUUUUUCUUCGCUUGUGUCAUUUGCUUAUUGCGCCGUAACCAUGGAUAAUCUUCAUCGUUUAUCAGGAUGCUGGGGUCAGCCUUGACUUUAAAGGGAGGAAUUUCAUGAAACUUUUCAUAAUCUUCAGACAUGUCUGUCUUGUCCUCCUCUCCCACGAUGUCCCUUUUUCCUGAAAGAACUAUGUGGCGCUUUGGCUCAUCGUAUGAUGUAUUCGCUUCCUUAUCUUUUCUCUUUCUUGGUCUGGUAGACAUGUCCAUCACAUAGAUAACCUGUGCCACAUCAUUGGCUAGGACGAACGGUUCGUCAGUGUACCCAAGAUUUUUCGGAUCCACUGUUGUCGUUCCGUACUGUGGGUCUACAUGUACCCCGCCUCCUGACAGAUUGACCCAUUUGCACUUAAACAAAGGGACCUUAAAAUCAUGUCCUUAGUCAAGUUCCCAUAUGUCCACUAUGUAACCAUAAUAUGUGUCCUUUCCCCUCUCGGUUGUUGCAUCAAAGCGGACACCGCUGUUUUGGUUGGUGCUCUUUUGAUCUUGGUUAAUCGUGUAAAAUGUCUUCCCAUUUAUCUCAUAUCCUUUCCAAAUCGUAACAGUCGAAGAUGGUCCCCUGGAUAACAAGUACAUCUCAUCACAAACAGCGUUGUCACCUCUGAUACGUGCUUCCAACCAACUGCUGAAAGUCCUGAUGUGUUCACAUGUAAUUCAGUCGUCGCACUGCUCCGGGUGUUUGGAGCGCAGACUGUUCUUGUGUUCAUCCACAUACGGGGUCACCAAGGUAGAGUUCUGUAGAACUGUGUAGUGUGCUUGAGACCAAGAAUAUCUGUCCCUGCAUAUUAUUGAGUCCCUUCCAAGCAUGCCUUUUCCAGUCAGUCUCCCCUCAUACCGCGAUUUAGGGAGACCUAUCUUCUUAUGGCCAGGAAUGAAGUCAACACAAAACCCGAUGACAUCCUCUGUUUGAUGGCCCAUGGAGAUGCUUCCUUCUGGCCUAGCGCGAUGAGGGACAUAUUUCUUUAGGACUCCCAUGAACCUCUCAAAGGGGUACAUAUUGUGUAGAAAUACGGGGCCCAAAAUGACAAUCUCGUCAACUAGAUGAACUAGGACGUGCGUCAUGAUAUUGAAGAAGGAUGGUGGGAACACCAGCUCGAAACUGACAAGACAUUGCACCACAUCACUCCUUAGCCUUGGUAUGAUUUCUGGAUCGAUCACCUUCUGAGAGAUUGCAUUGAGGAAUGCACAUAGCUUCACAAUGGCUAAUCGGACGUUUUCCGGUAGAAGCCCCCUCAAUGCAACCGGAAGCAGUUGUGUCAUAAUCACGUGGCAGUCAUGAGACUUUAGGUUCUGAAACUUUUUCUUUGCCAUAUUUAUUAUUCCUUUUAUAUUCGACGAGAAGCCAGUCGGGACCUUCAUACUAAGCAGGCAUUCAAAGAAGAUUUCCUUCUCUUCUUUGGUAAGAGCAUAGCUGGCAGGACCUUCAUACUGCUUUGGAGGCAUGCCGUCUUUUUCGUGCAAAUGUUGCAGGUCCUCCCGUGCCUCAGCUGUAUCUUUUGUCUUCCCAUACACGCCCAAGAAGCCUAGCAGGUUCACGCAAAGGUUCUUCGUCACGUGCAUCACGUCGAUCGAAGAGCGGACCUCUAGGUCUUUCUAGUAGGGUAGGUCCCAAAAUAUAGAUUUCUUCUUCCACAUGGGUGCGUGUCCCCCAACGUCACUCGGAACAGCUAGUCUGCCGGGACCCUUUCCAAAGAUUACGUGUAAAUCAUUGACCAUAGCAAGUACGUGACCACCGGUACGCAUGGCGGGCUUCUUCCGGUGAUCUGCCUCGCCUUUGAAAUGCUUGCCUUUCUUUCGACAUUGAUGGUUGGUCGGAAGAAAUCGACGAUGGCCCAGGUACACAUUCUUCCUACAGCUUGCCAGGUAUAUACUAACGGUGUCAAGUAAACAGUGCGUGCAUGCGUGGUAUCCCUUGUUUGUCUGUCCUAAAAGGUUACUGAGAGCAGGCCAAUCGUUGAUGGUCACGAACAGCAACGCCUUUAGGUUAAAUUUCUCCUGUUUGUGCUCAUCCCACGUACGUACACCGUUUCCAUUCCACAGCUGUAAAAGUUCUUCAACUAAUGGCCUUAGGUACACAUCAAUGUCAUUGCCGGGUUGCUUAGGGCCUUGGAUGAGAACUGGCAUCAUAAUGAACUUCCGCUUCAUGCACAUCCAAGGAGGAAGGUUAUACAUACAUAGAGUCACGGGCCAGGUGCUGUGAUUGCUGCUCUGCUCCCCGAAAGGAUUAAUGCCAUCCGCACUUAAAGCAAACCAUACGUUCCUUGGCUCACUUGCAAACUCAUCCCAGUACUUUCUCUCAUUUUUCUCCAUUGCGACCCGUCAGCGGGUGCUCUCAACUUCCCGUCUUUCUUACGGUCCUCACUAUGCCAUCGCAUCAACUUGGCAUGCUCUCCGUUUCUGAACAGACGUUUCAACCGUGGUAUUAUAGGAGCAUACCACAUCACCACUACUAGGGAAAAGCCUAUACAUAGAAUCUUACCAGCAGCGCUCUUCAAAAUACAACGCUACUGCUACUUAGCAGCAGCGCGUGUCUGCCAAACACGCUGCUGACUUGGAAGUAGCAGUAGCGGGUGCAUCGCAUACAGCGCUACUGCUAUAGUUGCCAUGACCUUGCCCCCCCCCCCCCNNNNNNNNNNNNNNNNNNNNNNNNNNNNNNNNNNNNNNNNNNNNNNNNNNNNNNNNNNNNNNNNNNNNNNNNNNNNNNNNNNNNNNNNNNNNNNNNNNNNNNNNNNNNNNNNNNNNNNNNNNNNNNNNNNNNNNNNNNNNNNNNNNNNNNNNNNNNNNNNNNNNNNNNNNNNNNNNNNNNNNNNNNNNNNNNNNNNNNNNNNNNNNNNNNNNNNNNNNNNNNNNNNNNNNNNNNNNGCAAACGCGCUACAACUAUCCCUACCUUAUCCCCAUGCGCACGACCGGCCCUCUCACUCACACUCUCACUCUCGCCCACGUCAACCGUCGUCGUCCGUCGCCGCCGCCGCCGCCUUCGUCCGUCCGCCGCCGAGGUACUCCCCUCCUUCCGUCCCUCCUCCAUCCUCCUUGCACAUCCUCCCUCCGCCUGUGGCCGCCCCUCCUUCCUCCGCCGCUGCCCUCCUCCCUCCGCCUGCGGCCGCCCCUCCUCCCUCCUCCGACGGCAGCCCUCCUCCCACCGCCCUCGACCUCGCUGCCCCUAGCUACCUCUCCGUCGCCCCCCACCCCUGCCACUAGUUAGUACUAGAUUUAGUAGUAGUAGAUGUUAAUUUAGGGUUAGCUAGUACUAGAUGUUGCUUAGUUAGUACUAGAUUUUUAGUAGUAGUAGUGGUAGUUGAACUACUUUAGUUGUAGUUGAACUAGUUUAGUAAGUAAAUUAAUAAACGAGUUGAACUAGUUGAAUUAAUAGAACUAAUCUAUUUUUAGUAAGAUAAUUAAUAUAACUAGUUGAACUACUUUAUUUUUAGAAAGAACUAAUUUUUUUCUAUUUAUAUUAAGUUUAUAUUUAGUAAGAACUAGUUGAAUUAAUAAAACUAGUUGAACAUGUCAUGUUUGUUGUUAGUGAUAACUUAUAUGGUUUCAGGUGACCUCCGUCGUCCCCGUCACCGACCCCCUCCGACAUCCCCGUCGUCGUCCCAGUCACCGACCCCCUCCGACAUCGAGGUGAGACCAGCCAAAUAUCCUUGUAUAUCUUGUGUUGUUGCUCAAAUUGGAUAUGUGGUUGCCCAAGUGGCCGUUCAUGUAGUUUACAUCUCCGAGUGGCCUAUGUUUUGCCGGAGUGUUGAUUAAUUUCCGUUCCGACAAAUUUCAGGCGCUCGAUAUGUCCUUUUUUAGCAAAGGUCAUGCCGGAUUUUGUCGUGAAUUCUGGUAUGACUUGUGCUAGAAUAUGUACAAGUUUAAUCUUUGAAUUAUGAUUGUAGGAAAUGUCGUACUCGGACGACGAAGGUCUCCCGGGGGAGUGUAGCUGGUGCCACGACGAUCGAGGUAUGUGCGAUAGGUUCGUUCGGCUGGACGAAGAUCGGCGCUUCAACAUUAAGCUCGAGGAGACCUUCGAUUGUGAAAUGGUACGCAACAACGACAAGUGUUUUUUCUCCAUUAAGCAUGACUUCAACUAUUUCAACGUCUAAUUUUCAUAUUUUACAAUUCGACUAGCUUAUCCCAUGCCAUGCAAGACGCUAUGUCUUGGAGAGGAUGGGUUUUGAAGACCAUGAAAAUUUCAAAACAAAGAAAAUACACCUAAGGACCCAUCAUGAUAUGGAUUUUGAAGUAAACCUGUGCAAUGCUCAGAGCGCAACCCAUUUUGGUUGCCAAAAUUGGGAAGCACUUUGCAAAAUGUAUGGUUUUUAUGAGGGUAUGAUUGUCACCAUGGAUCUUGGUGAUCCUGACAGUGAGGAAGACAAUAUGGACAUUUGGGUCCUUGUUGAUACGCUUCCGAUUGUACCGCUAUGUGACUUUCUCAAACAUAGUUAUUAACUAAUUUAUAUUGUUUAUUUCAAAAUAGUUGAUAGCUUAUUUCCAUUGACAGCUUAUUUUGAUUCUUCAAAGACUGUGCGGAAGAUGGUAGAUAAAACCCACUACACCGAAGGCACCCAAUUAACGUAUAAGGAGAAAAAUCAUCUGAUCGCAUUUUGUACUCUUCUUGAGAAUUACAAUGACUAUAAUCGAACUCCUCCAGAUUAUGGUGAAUAUGUGCCACUAGUGCAUGUGUUGAACAACGAUAACUUAUCUGGAGAUACCCUGGUAAGAUUUUUUACUAUUACGACAUCCGUGUAUUUUUUGCAUACUUCUAAAACUAGUACAUCAUUGCUAACUACGAAGUUAUUAUUAUGUUUUUCAACAGAAACUCCCGAUGGAUUGUGUGCCUCAUCUGAUGUCUCUGCAUGGUCGCCUCUCAGUUCUGAACAUACUGCCAGGUAAAUCUACAGAGCUCACCUAUGCAUAUCAGAUUUCUAAAACCCGUGAACACAUGAUCAUCAGAGAAUGGAAGAAAUGUAUGGACAUUCGCAAGGAGGUUCUUGGAAGUAACAUUCAGCGAAACGUAAGAAUGGGAGACAGGCUAAUCUCCAUUCUCCAUAAUGGAGAGUCAGGGGCUAUCUUGUUUUUUGUUAUUUUACCUUAGAAAAUGUAGUAGGUCUUAAUCGAAUGUAAUAGGUCCUAUGAGGUACAAUAUGUUUAUUAUGUGGUAAUGUGUUAGAGUUGAUAAUGAUGAUCUUGAGGAGGUGUUAUGUGAUGUCAAUGAUGAAAACGAUGAUAUUGAGGAGGUGUUAUAUGACAAUGAUGUAUUAUGAUGCUAAGUUGUUAAUGAUAUGAUGAUGAUGAUGAUAUUAUUAUAUCAUUGGGUGAAAGAACCGUGGAUUAGUUUCAAGUGGAUGGACAUCCACUUGAAACUAGUCCACGGUUCUUUCACCCCAUGAUGUAAUAACUCAUUAUGAUGUAAAAACAAUCUCUAAAUUCCUGUUGUAUGAAAACUUGUGUAAGGGUGUAUGAAUACAACAUGAAAAAGAAAAGAAAUAAAAUACUAAAUAAUAGUAGUAGCGCGGGUAAGGAGAAGCGCUACUACUAAUUACCAGUAGCGAUGUUCUAAAGAACCGCUGCUACUAAGUCAAUUUAGCAGUAGCGCGUGUCAAGACGCGCUAUUGCUAAGCAUUAGCUGUAGCGCCUUAUCAGUAGCGCUCCUGCCCGCGCUACUGAUAGGCCCAAAACCCGCGCUGCUGCUAGGCUUUUCCCUAGUAGUGCACCUUCGCAGGAACCCUCUUCCUGGGGGGCUCGCCGUCAACAUCACCAGGGUCAUCUCGUCUGAUCUUAUACCAUAAUGCACCGCAUACCAGGCAUGCGUUCAGAUCCUUAUAUGCACCGCGGUAGAGGAUGCAGUCAUUAGGGCAUGCAGGUAUCUUCUGCACCUCCAAUCCUAGAGGGCAUACGACCUUCUUUGCUGCGUAUGUACUGUCGGGCAAUUCGUUAUCCUUUGGAAGCUUCUUCUUCAAUAUUUUCAGUAGCUUCUCAAAUCCUUUGUCAGGCACAGCAUUCUCUUAAAGGAAAUAUGCCCUAGAGGCAAUAAUAAAGUUAUUAUUUAUUUCCUCAUAUCAUGAUAAAUGUUUAUUAUUCAUGCUAGAAUUGUAUUAACCGGAAACAUGAUACAUGUGUGAAUACAUAGACAAAACUAUAGUCACUAGUAUGCCUCUACUUGACUAGCUCAUUAAUCAAAGAUGGUUAUGUUUCCUGACCAUAGACAUGUGUUGUCAUUUGAUUAGUGGGAUCACAUCAUUAAGAGAAUGAUGUGAUUGACAUGACCCAUUCUGUUAGCCCAGCACUUGAUCGUUUAGUAUACUGCUAUUGCUUUCUUCAUGACUUAUACAAAGUUCCUGCAACUAUGAGAUUGUGCAACUCCCGUUUACCGGAAGAACACUUUGUGUGCUACCAAACAUCACAACGUAACUGGGUGAUUAUAAAGGUGCUCUACAGGUGUUUCCGAAGGUACAUGUUGGGUUGGCAUAAUUCGAGAUUAGGAUUUGUCACUCCGAUUGUCGGAGAGGUAUCUCUGGGCCCUCUCGGAAAUACUCAUCACAUAAGCCUUGCAAGCAUGUAACUAAUGAGUUAGUUAUGAGAUGACGUAUUACGAAACGAGUAAAGAGACUUGCCGGUAACGAGAUUGAACUAGGUAUUGGAUACCGACGAUCAAAUCUCGGGCAAGUAACAUACCGAUGACAAAGGGAACAAAGUAUGUUGUUAUGCGGUUUGACCGAUAAAGAUCUUCGUAGAAUAUGUAGGAACCAAUAUGGGCAUCCAGGUCCCGCUAUUGGUUAUUGACCGAGAAUGGUUUUAGGUCAUGACUACAUAGUUCUCAAACCCGUAGGGUCCGCACGCUUAACUUUUUGAUGAUAGUUUUAUUAUGAGUUUAUAAGUUUUGAUGUACCAAAGUUUGUUCGGAGUUCCGGAUGUGAUCACGGAUAUGAUGAGGAGUCUCGGAAUGCUUGAGCCAUAAAGAUUGAUAUAUUGGACGACUAUAUUCGGACACCGGAAAGGUUCCGGGAGUUUUCGGAGAAAACCGGAGUGCCCGGGGGGUUACCGAAACCCCCCGGGAGAGUUAAUGGGCCACAUGGGCCUAGGUGGGAAGAGAAAGGGGCGGCCAGGGUGAGCCGCGCGCCCCCUCUCCCUCUAGUCCGAAUUGGACUAGGAGGGGGGGCGGCGCCCCCUUUCCUUCCCCCCCUCUCUUCCUUCCUUCCCCCUCCUAGUAGGAGUAGGAAAGGAGGAAUCCUACUCCUACUAGGAGGAGGAUUCCUCCUCCCUUGCGCGCCCCAAGGGGCCGGCCGGCCUCCCCCUCCCUCCUUUAUAUACGGGGGCAGGGGGCACCCCAUAGACACACAAGUUGAUCUACGGAUCGUUCCUUAGCCGUGUGCGGUGCCCCCUUCCACCAUAUUCCACCUCGGUCAUAUCGUCGCGAAGCUUAGGCGAAGUCCUGCGCCGGUAGAACAUCAAGAUCGUCACCACGCCGUCGUGCUGACGGAACUCUCCCUCGACACUCGGCUGGAUCGGAGUUCGAGGGACGUCAUCGAGCUGAAUGUGUGCUGAACUCGGAGGCUCCGUACGUUCGGUUCUUGGAUCGGUCGGAUCGUGAAGACGUAUGACUACAUCAACCGCGUUGUCAUAACGCUUCCGCUUACGGUCUACGAGGGUACAUGGACAUACACUCUCCCCUCUCGUUGCUAUGUCAUCACCAUGAUCUUGCGUGUGCGUAGGAAAAUUUUGAAAUUACUACGUUCCCCGACAGUGGUAUCAGAGCCUAGGUUUUAUGCGUUGAUGUUAUAUGCACGAGUAGAACACAAGUGAGUUGUGGACGAUAUAAGUCAUACUGCCUACCAGUGUGUCAUACUUUGGUUCAGCGGUAUUGUGAGAUGAAGCGGCCCGGACCGACAUUACGGGUACGCUUACGCGAGACUAGUUUCACCGUUAUGAGCACUCGUGCUUAAAGGUGGCUGGCGGGUGUCUGUCUCUCUCACUUUAGUUGAACCGAGUGUGGCUACGCCCGGCCCUUGUGAAGGUUAAAACGGAGUCUAUUUGACAAACUAUCGUUGUGGUUUUGAUGCGUAGGUAAGAACGGUUCUUGCUAAGCCCGUAGCAUCCACGUAAAAUUUGCAACAACAAAGUAGAGGACGUCUAACUUGUUUUUGCAGGGCAUGUUGUGAUAUGAUAUGGUCAAGACGUGAUGCUAUAUUUUAUUGUAUGAGAUGAUCAUGUUUUGUAACCGAAGUUAUCGGCAACUGGCUGGAGCCAUAUGGUUGUCGCUUUAUUGUAUGAAAUGCAAACGCCCUGUAAUUGCUUUACUUUAUCUCUAAGCGGUAGCGAUAGUCGUAGAAGCAAUAGAUGGCGUAAACGACAACGAUGCUACGAUGGAGAUCAAGGUGUCGCGCCGGUGACGAUGGUGAUCAUGACGGUGCUUCGAAGAUGGAGAUCACAAGCACAAGAUGAUGAUGGCCAUAUCAUAUCACUUAUAUUGAUUGCAUGUGAUGUUUAUCCUUUAUGCAUCUUAUCUUGCUUUGAUUGACGGUAGCAUUUUAAGAUGAUCUCUCACUAAAAUUAUCAAGUAGUGUUCUCCCUGAGUAUGCACCGUUGCCAAAGUUCAUCGUGCCGAGACACCACGUGAUGAUCGGGUGUGAUAAGCUCUACGUCCAUCUACAACGGGUGCAAGCCAGUUUUGCACACGCAGAAUACUCAGGUUAAACUUGACGAGCCUAGCAUAUGCAGAUAUGGCCUCGGAACACAGAGACCGAAAGGUCGAGCGUGAAUCAUAUAGUAGAUAUGAUCAACAUAAUGAUGUUCACCAUUGAAAACUACUCCAUCUCACGUGAUGAUCGGUUAUGGUUUAGUUGAUUUGGAUCACGUGAUCACUUAGAUGACUAGAGAGAUGUCUGUCUAUGUGGGAGUUCUUAAGUAAUAUGAUUAAUUGAACUUAAAUUUAUCAUGAACUUAGUACCUGAUAGUAUCUUGCUUGUCUAUGUUUGUUUGUAGAUAGAUGGCUCGUGCUGUUGUUCCGUUGAAUUUUAAUGCGUUCCUUGAGAAAGCAAAGUUGAAAGAUGAUGGUAGCAAUUACACGGACUGGGUCCGUAACCUGAGGAUUAUCCUCAUUGUUGCACAGAAGAGUUACGUCCUGGAAGCACCGCUGGGUGCCAGGCCUGCUGCUGAUGCAACUGACGACGUUAAGAACGUCUGGCAGAGCAAAGCUGAUGACUACUCUAUAGUUCAGUGUGCCAUGCUUUACGGCUUAGAACCGGGUCUUCAACGACGUUUUGAACGUCAUGGAGCAUAUGAGAUGUUCCAGGAGUUGAAGUUAAUAUUUCAAGCAAAUGCCCGGAUUGAGAGAUAUGAAGUCUCCAAUAAGUUCUAUAGCUGCAAGAUGGAGGAGAAUAGUUCUGUCAGUGAACAUAUACUCAGAAUGUCUGGGUAUAACAAUCACUUGAUUCAACUGGGAGUUAAUCUUCCUGAUGAUAGUGUCAUUGACAGAAUUCUUCAAUCACUGCCACCAAGCUACAAGAGCUUUGUGAUGAACUAUAAUAUGCAAGGGAUGAACAAGACUAUUCCCGAGCUCUUCGCGAUGCUGAAAGCCGCAGAGGUAGAAAUCAAGAAGGAGCAUCAAGUGUUGAUGGUCAACAAGACCACUAGUUUCAAGAAGAAGGGCAAAGGAAAGAAGAAGGGGAACUUCAAAAAGAACGGCAAGCAAGUUGCUGCUCAAGAGAAGAAACCCAAGUCUGGACCUAAGCCUGAAACUGAGUGCUUCUACUGCAAGCAGACUGGUCACUGGAAGCGGAACUGCCCCAAGUAUUUGGCGGAUAAGAAGGAUGGCAAAGUAAACAAAGGUAUAUGUGAUAUACAUGUUAUUGAUGUGUACCUAACUAGAGCUCGUAGUAGCACCUGGGUAUUUGAUACUGGUUCUGUUGCUAAUAUUUGCAACUCGAAACAGGGACUACGGAAUAAGCGAGCACUGGCCAAGGACGAGGUGACGAUGCGCGUGGAAAACGGUUCCAAAGUCGAUGUGAUCGCGGUCGGCACGCUACCUCUACAUCUACCAUCGGGAUUAGUUUUAGACCUAAAUAAUUGUUAUUUGGUGCCAGCGUUGAGCAUGAACAUUAUAUCUGGAUCUUGUUUGAUGCAAGACGGUUAUUCAUUUAAAUCAGAGAAUAAUGGUUGUUCUAUUUAUAUGAGUAAUAUCUUUUAUGGUCAUGCACCCUUGAAGAGUGGUCUAUUUUUAUUGAAUCUCGAUAGUAGUGAUACACAUAUUCAUAUUGUAGAAGCCAAAAGAUGCAGAGUUGAUAAUGAUAGUGCAACUUAUUUGUGGCACUGCCGUUUGGGUCAUAUCGGUGUACAACGCAUGAAGAAACUCCAUACUGAUGGACUUCUGGAAUCACUUGAUUAUGAAUCACUUGGUACUUGCGAACCGUGCCUUAUGGGCAAGAUGACUAAAACACCGUUCUCCGGAACUAUGGAGAGAGCAACAGAUUUGUUGGAAAUCAUACAUACAGAUGUAUGUGGUCCGAUGAAUGUUGAGGCUCGUGGCGGAUAUCAUUAUUUUCUCACCUUCACUGAUGAUUUAAGCAGAUAUGGGUAUAUCUACUUAAUGAAGUACAAGUCUGAAACAUUUGAAAAGUUCAAAGAAUUUCAGAGUGAAGUAGAAAAUCAUCGUAACAAGAAAAUAAAGUUUCUACGAUCUGACCGUGGAGGAGAAUAUUUGAGUUACGAGUUUGGUUUACAUUUGAAACAAUGCGGAAUAGUUUCGCAACUCACGCCACCUGGAACACCACAACGAAAUGGUGUGUCCAAACGUCGUACUCGUACUUUACUUGAUAUGGUGCGAUCUAUGAUGUCUCUUACCGAUUUACCGCUAUCGUUUUGGGGUUAUGCUUUAGAGACGGCCGCAUUCACGUUAAAUAGGGCACCAUCAAAAUCCGUUGAGAUGACGCCUUAUGAACUGUGGUUUGGCAAGAAACCAAAGUUGUCGUUUCUUAAAGUUUGGGGCUGCGGUACUUAUGUGAAGAAACUUCAACCAGAUAAGCUCGAACCCAAAUCGGAGAAAUGUGUCUUCGUAGGAUACCCAAAGGAGACUAUUGGGUACACCUUCUAUCACAGAUCUGAAGGCAAGAUUUUCGUUGCUAAAUUCGGAUCCUUUCUAGAGAAGGAAUUUCUCUCGAAAGAAGUGAGUGGGAGGAAAGUAGAACUUGAUGAGAUAACUGUAUCUACUCCCUUAUUGGAAGGUAGUUCAUCACGAGAACUGGUUCCCAUGACAACUACACCAAUUAUUGAGGAAGCUAAUAAUAUUGAUCAUGAAACUUCAGAUCAAGUUUCUGCUGAACCUCGUAGGUCUACCAGAGUAAGAUCCGCACCAGAGUGGUACGGUAAUCCUAUUCUGGAAGUCAUGUUACUUGACCAUGAUGAACCUACGAACUAUGAGGAACCGAUGAUGAGCCCAGAUUCCGCAAAAUGGCUAGAGGCCAUGAAAUCUGAGAUGGGAUCCAUGGAUGAAAACAAAGUAUGGACUUUGGUUGACUUGCCCGAUGAUCGGCAAGCCAUUGAGAAUAAAUGGAUCUUUAAGAAGAAGACUGACGCUGAUGGUAAUGUUACUGUCUAUAAAGCUCGACUUGUUGCGAAAGGUUUUCGACAAGUUCAAGGGGUUGACUAUGAUGAGACUUUCUCACCCGUAGCGAUGCUUAAGUCUGUCCGAAUCAUGUUGGCUAUUGCUGCAUUUCAUGAUUAUGAAAUUUGGCAAAUGGAUGUCAAAACUGCAUUCUUGAAUGGAUUUCUAGAAGAAGAGUUGUAUAUGAUGCAGCCGGAAGGUUUUGUUGAUCCAAAAGGUGCUGACAAAGUGUGUAAGCUCCAAUGUUCCAUUUAUGGACUGGUGCAAGCAUCUCGGAGUUGGAAUAAACGUUUUGACAGUGUGAUCAAGGCAUAUGGUUUUAUACAGACUUUUGGAGAAGCCUGUAUUUACAAGAAAGUGAGUGGGAGCUCUGUAGCAUUUCUAGUUUUAUAUGUUGAUGACAUAUUAUUAAUUGGAAAUGAUAUAGAAUUUCUGGAGAGCAUAAAGGGAUACUUGAAUAAAAGUUUUUCAAUGAAAGACCUCGGUGAAGCUGCUUACAUAUUGGGCAUCAAGAUCUAUAGAGAUAGAUCAAGACGCUUAAUAGGACUUUCACAAAGCACAUACCUUGACAAAAUUUUGAAAAAGUUCAAAAUGGAUCAGGCAAAGAAAGGAUUCUUGCCUGUGCUACAAGGUGUGAAGUUGAGUCAAACUCAAUGCCCGACCACAUCAGAAGAUAGAGAGAAAAUGAAAAAUGUUCCCUAUGCUUCAGCCAUAGGCUCUAUCAUGUAUGCAAUGCUGUGUACCAGACUUGACGUAUGCUUAGCAAUAAGCUUGGCAGGAAGGUACCAAAGUAAUCCAGGAGUGGAUCACUGGACAGCGGUCAAGAACAUCCUUAAAUACCUGAAAAGGACUAAGGAUAUAUUUCUCGUAUAUGUAGGUGACAAAGAGCUCGUCGUAAAUGGUUACGUCGAUGCAAGCUUUGACACUGAUCCAGACGAUUCUAAAUCGCAAACCGGAUACGUGUUUAUAUUAAACGGUGGAGCUGUAAGUUGGUGCAGUUCUAAACAAAGCGUCGUGGCGGGAUCUACAUGUGAAGCGGAGUACAUAGCUGCUUCUGAAGCAGCAAAUGAAGGAGUCUGGAUGAAGGAGUUCAUUUCCGAUCUAGGUGUCAUACCUAGUGCAUCGGGACCAAUGAAGAUCUUCUGUGACAAUACAGGUGCAAUUGCUUUGGCAAAGGAAUCCAGAUUUCACAAGAGGACCAAGCACAUCACGAGACGCUUAAAUUCCAUUCGGGACCAAGUCCAAGUGGGAGACAUACAGAUUUGCAAGAUACAUACGGAUCUGAAUAUUGCAGACCCGUUGACUAAGCAUCUCUCACGAGCAAAACAUGAUCAGCACCAAGACUCCAUGGGUGUUAGAAUCAUUAUUGUGUAAUCUAGAUUAUUGACUCUAGUGCAAGUGGGAGACUAAAGGAAAUAUGCCCUAGAGGCAAUAAUAAAGUUAUUAUUUAUUUCCUCAUAUCAUGAUAAAUGUUUAUUAUUCAUGCUAGAAUUGUAUUAACCGGAAACAUGAUACAUGUGUGAAUACAUAGACAAAACUAUAGUCACUAGUAUGCCUCUACUUGACUAGCUCAUUAAUCAAAGAUGGUUAUGUUUCCUGACCAUAGACAUGUGUUGUCAUUUGAUUAGUGGGAUCACAUCAUUAAGAGAAUGAUGUGAUUGACAUGACCCAUUCUGUUAGCCUAGCACUUGAUCGUUUAGUAUACUGCUAUUGCUUUCUUCAUGACUUAUACAAAGUUCCUGCAACUAUGAGAUUGUGCAACUCCCGUUUACCAAAAGAACACUUUGUGUGCUACCAAACGUCACAACGUAACUGGGUGAUUAUAAAGGUUCUCUACAGGUGUUUCCGAAGGUACAUGUUGGGUUGGCAUAAUUCGAGAUUAGGAUUUGUCACUCCGAUUGUCGGAGAGGUAUCUUUGGGCCCUCUCGGUAAUACUCAUCACAUAAGCCUUGCAAGCAUGUAACUAAUGAGUUAGUUAUGAGAUGACGUAUUACGGAACGAGUAAAGAGACUUGCCGGUAACGAGAUUGAACUAGGUAUUGGAUACCAACGAUCAAAUCUCGGGCAAGUAACAUACCGAUGACAAAGGGAACAAAGUAUGUUGUUAUGCGGUUUGACCGAUAAAGAUCUUCAUAGAAUAUGUAGGAACCAAUAUGGGCAUCCAGGUCCCGCUAUUGGUUAUUGACCGAGAAUGGUUUUAGGUCAUGACUACAUAGUUCUCGAACCCGUAGGGUCCGCACGCUUAACGUUUCGAUGAUAGUUUUAUUAUGAGUUUAUAAGUUUUGAUGUACCGAAGUUUGUUCGGAGUCCCAGAUGUGAUCACAGACAUGACGAGGAGUCUUGGAAUGGUCGAGACAUAAAGAUUGAUAUAUUGGACGACUAUAUUCGGACACCGGAAAGGUUCCGGGAGUUUUCGGAGAAAACCGGAGUGCCGGGGGGGUUACCGGAACCCCCCGGGAGAGUUAAUGGGCCACAUGGGCCUAGGUGGGAAGAGAGAGGUGCGGCCAGGGUGGGCCGCGCGCCCCCUCUCCCUCUAGUUCGAAUUGGACUAGGAGGGGGGGCGGCGCCCCCCUUUCCUUCCCCCCCUCUCUUCCUUCCUUCCCCCUCCUAGUAGGAGUAGGAAAGGAGGAAUCCUACUCCUACUAGGAGGAGGAUUCCUCCUCCCUUGGAGCGCCCCAAGGGGCUGGCCGGCCUCCCCCUCCCUCCUUUAUAUACGAGGGCAGGGGGCACCCCAUAGACACACAAGUUGAACUACGGAUCGUUCCUUAGCCGUGUGCGGUGCCCCCUUCCACCAUAUUCCACCUCGGUCAUAUUGUCGCGAAGCUUAGGCGAAGCCCUGCGCCGGUAGAACAUCAAGAUCGUCACCACGCCGUCGUGCUGACGGAACUCUCCCUCGACACUCGGCUGGAUCGGAGUUCGAGGGACGUCAUCGAGCUGAACAUCUGCUGAACUCGGAGGCUCCGUACGUUAGGUGCUUGGAUCGGUCGGAUCGUGAAGACGUACGACUACAUCAACCGCGUUGUCAUAACGCUUCCGCUUACGGUCUACGAGGGUACGUGGACAUACACUCUCCCCUCUCGUUGCUAUUUCAUCACCAUGAUCUUGCUUGUGCGUAGGAAAAUUUUGAAAUUACUACGUUCCCCAACAUCUCUGCCUUCCACUGCAGCAAUUCCAGUACGGUACCGAGCUUUGUGUUGCCAUCUUCGCAAUUGGGGUACAACCCUUUUUUUUGGUCCUCUAGCAUGCGAUCGAACUUCAGCUUCUCCUUUUGACUUUUGCAUUGCGUCCUUGCAUCGACAAUGACCCGGCGGAGAUCAUCAUCAUCGGGCACAUCGUCUGGUUCCUCUUGAUCUUCAGCAGCUUCGCCUGUUGCAGCAUCAUCGUGCACAUCGUCUGGUUCCUCUUGAUCUUCAGGAGCAUCACCGUAUUCAGGGGCACAUAGUUGUCAUCGUACUCUUCUUCACCGUCUUCCAUCAUAACCCCUAUUUCUCCGUGCCUCAUCCAAACAUUAUAGUGUGGCAUGAAACCCUUGUAAAGCAGGUGGGUGUGGAGGAUUUUCCGGUCAGAGUAAGACUUCGUAUUCCCACAUAUAGGACAUGGACAACACAUAAAACCAUUCUGCUUGUUUGCCUCAGCCACUUCGAGAAAAUCAUGCACGCGCUUAAUGUACUCGGAGGUGUGUCUUGAACCGUACAUCCAUUGCCGGUUCAUCUGCGUGCAUUAUAUAAUGAAGUGACCAAAUUAAUAGAAGUUCAUCAUCACAUUAAAACCAAAGUACAUACAUAGUUCUCAUCUAACAACAUAAAGCUCUGCAGAGCAUCUAAAUUAAUUAAACCAUACACUGAAACUAUGUAAAACAUUUCAAUGCGAAAACAAAUGCAACCAUAAUCGCAACCAAUGUAACAACUGAUCCAACGGCAUAAUGAUACCAAGCCUCAGUAUGAAUGGCAUAUUUUCUAAUCUUUCUAAUCUUCAAGCGCAUUGCAUCCAUCUUGAUCUUGUGAUCAUCGACGACAUCCCCAACAUGCAACUCCAAUAUCAUCUUCUCCUCCUCAAUUUUUCUAAUUUUUUCCUUCAAGAAAUUGUUUUCUUCUUCAACUGAAUUUAACCUCUCGACAAUAGGGUCGGUUGGAAUUUCCGGUUCAACAACCUCCUAGAUAAAUAAAAUCUAUGUCACGUUGGUCGGCAUAAUUGUCAUAAACAAUAAAUGAACCAAUAGUUAUGAAAAGAUAAUAUAUACCACAUCCGAAUCAUAGACAGGACGAGGGCCGACGGGGGCGGAUACCAAAACCAUCGCACUAUAUAAGAUGCAAUAAUAAAAGUAAGAAAAUAAUACAAGUAUCUAUCUAAACAUACAAGUAAGAAUAUUUUUCCUUUCAGAAAGAAGAUAAGAACAAGAGGCUCACCACGGUGGUGCCGGCGAUGAGAUCGGCGCGGGUGAUCGACGACGAUGAAGACAAGGACGGGGCGUGACGGACCGCUAAACCUAGACAAAUAUUGAGGAAAAUGGAGCUUGGCGGUCGAGCUUGGAGGGGAGAAAGCUUAAGUAGUGUGGCUCGGGCAUUCCAUCGAACACCUCGUGUGCAUAGGAGGUGAGCUAGAGCACCACAAAGCUCUCCCCUCGCCGGCCACGAAAAACAGAGCACUGGGAGUGCUCUGCUCGCGAGCGGGGGGUAUAUAUAGGCACCACCAUUGGUCCCGGUUGGUCGCACGAACCGGGACUAAAGGUUGGCCUUUGGUCCCGGUUCGUGCCACCAACUGGGACCAAUGGUGGUGGGCCAGGAGCGAGGCCCAUUGGUCCCGGUUCGUCCCUCCAACCGGGACCAAAAGGUCCAGACAAACCGGGACCAAUGGCCCACGUGUUGGGUUUCGUAGUAAUUUCAAAAAAUUUCCUACGCACACGCAAGAUCAUGUGAUGCAUAGCAACGAGGGGAGAGUGUUGUCUACGUACCCAACGCAGACCGACUGCGGAAGCGAUGACACGACGUAGAGGAAGUAGUCGUACGUCUUCACGAUCCAACCGAUCAAGCACCGAAACUACGGCACCUCCGAGUUCGAGCACACGUUCAGCUCGAUGACGAUCCCCGGACUCCGAUCCAGCAAAGUGUCGGGGAAGAGUUCCGUCAGCACGACGGCGUGGUGACGAUCUUGAUGAACUACAGCAGCAGGGCUUCGCCUAAACUCCGCUACAGUAUUAUCGAGGUAUAUGGUGGCAGGGGCACCGCACACGGCUAAGGAAUAGAUCACGUGGAUCAACUUGUGUGUAUAGAGGUGCCCCCUGCCUCCGUAUAUAAAGGAGGAGAGGAGGGGAGGCUGGCCGGCCAAGGAGGGGAGGCGCAGGAGAGUCCUACUCCCUCUGGGAGUAGGAUUCCCCCCAAUCCUAGUCCAACUAGGAUUCCUCGGAGGGGAAGGGAGAGAGGGGGGCCGGCCACCUUCUCCUAGUCCUAAUAGGACUAGGGGAGGGGGAAGUGGCGCAGCCACCUUGGGCUGCCCCUUUCUCCUUUCCACUAAGGCCCAUGAAGGCCCAUAUGGCUCCCGGGGGGUUCCGGUAAUCCUCCCGGUACUCCGGUAAAAUCCCGAUUUCACCCGGAACACUUCCGAUGUCCAAACAUAGGCUUCCAAUAUAUCAAUCUUUAUGUCUCGACCGUUUCGAGACUCCUCGUCAUGUCCAUGAUCACAUCCGGGACUCCAAACAACCUUCGGUACAUCAAAAUGCAUAAACUCAUAAUGUAACUGUCAUCGUAACCUUAAGCGUGCGGACCCUACGGGUUCGAGAACAAUGUAGACAUGACCGAGACACGUCUCCGGUCAAUAACCAAUAGCGGGACCUGGAUGCCCAUAUUGGCUCCUACAUAUUCUACGAAGAUCUUUAUCGGUCAGACCGCAUAACAACAUACGUUGUUCCCUUUGUCAUCGGUACGUUACUUGCCCGAGAUUCGAUCGUCGGUAUCCAAUACCUAGUUCAAUCUCGUCACCGGCAAGUCUCUUUACUCGUUCUAUAAUGCAUCAUCCCGUAACCAACUCAUUGGUCACAUUGCUUGCAAGGCUUAUAAUGAUGUGCAUUACCGAGAGGGCCCAGAGAUACCUCUCCGACAAUCGGAGUGACAAAACCUAAUCUCGAAAUACGCCAACUCAACAUGUACCUUCGGAGACACCUGUAGUACUCCUUUAUAAUCACCCAGUUAAGUUGUGACGUUUGGUAGUACCCAAAGUGUUCCUCCGGUAAACGGGAGUUGCAUAAUCUCAUAGUUACAGGAACAUGUAUAAGUCAUGAAGAAAGCAAUAGCAACAUACUAAACGAUCAAGUGCUAAGCUAACGGAAUGGGUGAAGUCAAUCACAUCAUUCUCCUAAUGAUGUGACCCCGUUAAUCAAAUGACAACUCUUUUGUCCAUGGCUAGGAAACAUAACCAUCUUUGAUAAACGAGCUAGUCAAGUAGAGGCAUACUAGUGACACUAUGUUUGUCUAUGUAUUCACACAUGUAUUAUGUUUCUGGUUAAUACAAUUCUAGCAUGAAUAAUAAACAUUUAUCAUGAAAUAAGGAAAUAAAUAAUAACUUUAUUAUUGCCUCUAGGGCAUAUUUCCUUCAGUCUCCCACUUGCACUAGAGUCAAUAAUCUAGUUCACAUCGUCAUGUGAUUUAACAACAAUAUUCAUAUCUGUAUAUGAUUAACACCCAUAGUUCACAUUAUCAUGUGACCAACACCCAAAGGGUUUACUAGAGUAAAUAAUCUAGUUCACAUCUCUAUGUGAUUAACACCCAAAGAGUACUAAGGUGUGAUCAUGUUUUGCUCGUGAAAGAAGCUUAGUCAAUGGGUCUGUCACAUUCAGAGCCGUAUGCAUUUUGCAAAUAUUUUAUGUCUACAAUGCUCUGCACGGUGCUACUCUAGCAAUUGCUCCCACUUUCAAUAUGUAUCCAGAUUGAGACUUAGAGUCAUCUGGAUCGGUGUGAAAACUUGCACCGAGGUAACUUUUACGACGGGCUCUUUUAUCACCUCCAUAAUCGAGAAAUAUUUCCUUAGUCCUCACUAAGGAUAUUCUUGACCAAUGUCGAGUGAUCUACUCCUAGAUCACUAUUGUACUCCCUUGUCAAAUACUGAGCAAGGUAUACAAUAGUUCUGGUACAUAGCAUAGCAUACUUUAUAGAACCUAUGACUGAGGCAUAGGGAAUGACUUUUCAUUUUUUCUAUUUUCUGUUGUGGUCGGGAUUUGAGUCUUACUCAAUUUCAUACCUUUGCAACACAGGCAAGAACUCUUUCUUUGACUGUUCCAUUUUGAACUAUUUCAAAAUCUUGCCAAGGUAUGUACUCAUUGAAAAUCUUAUCAAGCGUCUUGAUCUAUCUCAAUAUAUCUUGAUGCUCAAUAUGUAAGUAGCUUUUACUGAGGUCUUUUCCUUUUAAAGAACUCCUUUAAAACACUCCUUUAUGCUUUGCAGAAAAAUUCUACAUCAUUUCUGAUCAACAAUAUGUCACUCGUAUAUACUAAUCAGAAAGGCUAUAGUGCUCCCACUCACUUUAUUGUAAAUACAGGCUUCUCAAAAAGUCUGUAUAAAACCAUAUGCUUUGAUCAACUCAUCAAAGCGUAUAUUCCAACUCCGAGAGGCUUGCACCAGUCCAUAGAUGGAUCGCUGGAGCUUGCACAUUUUUUUAGCACCUUUAGGAUUGACAAAACCUUCUGGUUGCAUCAUAUACAACUCUUCUUUAAUAAAUCCAUUAAGGAAUGCAGUUUUGAUAUCCAUUUGCCAGAUUUCAUAAAAUGUGGCAAUUGCUAACAUGAUUCAGACAGACUUAAGAAUCGAUACGAGUGAGAAAAUCUCAUCGUAUUCAACACCUUGAACUUGUUGAAAACCUUUCGCAACAAGUCGAGCUUGGUAGAUAGUAACACUACUAUCAGUGUCCGUCUUCCUCUUGAAGAUCCAUUCAUUUAACAUGGCUUGCUGAUCAUCGAGCAAGUCAAUCAAAGUCCAUACUUUGUUCUCAUACAUGGAUCAUAUCUCAGAUUUUAUGGCCUCGAGCCAUUUCGCGGAAUCUGGGCUCAUCAUCGCUUCUUCAUAGUUCGUAGGUUCAUCAUGAUCUAGUAUCAUGACUUCCAGAAUAGGAUUACCGUACCAUUCUGGUGCGGAUCUUACUCUGGUUGAUCUACGAGGUUCAUCAGUAUCUUGAUCUGAAGUUUCAUGAUCAUUAUCAUUGGCUUCCUCACUAACUGGUGUAGGUGUCACUGAAACAGUUUUCUGUGAUGAACUACUUUCCAGUAAGGGAGCAGGUACAGUUACCUCGUCAAGUUCUACUUUCCUCCCACUCACUUCUUUCGAGAGAAACUCCUUCUCUAGAAAGGAUCCAUUCUUAGCAACGAAUGUCUUGCCUUCGGAUCUGUGAUAGAAGGUGUACCCAAUAGUCUCCUUUGGGUAUCCUAUGAAGACACAUUUCUCCGAUUUGGGUUCGAGCUUAUCAGGUUGAAGCUUUUUCACAUAAGCAUCGCAGCCCCAAACUUUAAGAAACGACAACUUUGGUUUCUUGCCAAACCACAGUUCAUAAGGCGUCGUCUCAACGGAUUUUGAUGGUGCCCUAUUUAACGUGAAUGCGGCCGUCUCUAAAGCAUAUCCCCAAAAUGAUAGCGGUAAAUCAGUAAGAGACAUCAUAGAUCGCACCAUAUCUAGUAAAGUACGAUUACGAUGUUCGGACACACCAUUACGCUGUGGUGUUCCGGGUGGCGUGAGUUGCGAAACUAUUCCACAGUUUUUCAAAUGUACACCAAACUCGUAACUCAAAUAUUCUCCUCCACGAUCAGAUCGUAGAAACUUUAUUUUCUUGUUACGAUGAUUUUCAACUUCACUCUGAAAUUCUUUGAAAUUUUCAAAUGUUUCAGACUUAUGUUUCAUUAAGUAGAUAUACCCAUAUCUGCUUAAAUCAUCUGUGAAGGUGAGAAAAUAACGAUAUCCGCCACGAGCCUCAGUAUUCAUCGGGCCACAUACAUCGGUAUGUAUGAUUUCCAACAAAUCUGUUGCUCUCUCCAUAGUACCGGAGAACGGUGUUUUAGUCAUCUUGCCCAUGAGGCACGGUUCGCAAGUACCAAGUGAUUCAUAAUCAAGUGGUUCCAAAAGUCCAUCAGUAUGGAGUUUCUUCAUGCGCUUUAUACCGAUAUGACCUAAACGACAGUGCCACAAAUAAGUUGCACUUUCAUUAUCAACUCUGCAUCUUUUGGCUUCAACAUUAUGAAUAUGUGUAUUACUACUAUCGAGAUCCAACAAACCAUUUUCAUUGGGUGUAUGACCAUAGAAGGUUUUAUUCAUGUAAACAGAACAACAAUUAUUCUCUAACUUACAUGAAUAACCGUAUUGCAAUAAACAUGAUCAAAUCAUAUUCAUGCUCAACGCAAACACCAAAUAACACUUAUUUAGGUUUAACACUAAUCCCAAAAGUAUAGGGAGUGUGCGAUGAUGAUCAUAUCAAUCUUGGAACUAUUUCCAACACACAUCGUCACUUCACCCUUUAACUAGUCUCUGUUUAUUCUGCAACUCCCGUUUCGAGUUACUAAUCUUAGCAACUGAACUAAUAUCAAAUACUGAGGGGUUGCUAUAAACACUAGUAACGUACACAUCAAUAACAUGUAUAUCAAAUAUACUUAUGUUCACUUUGCCAUCCUUCUUAUCCGCCAAUCACUUGGGGUAGUACCUCUUCCAGUGACCAGUCUCUUUGAAGUAGAAGCACUUAGUCUCAGGCUUAGGACCAGACUUGGGUUUCUUCACUUGAGCAGCAACUUGCUUGCCGUUCUUCUUGAAGUUCCCUUUCUUUCCCUUUGCCCUUUUCUUGAAACUAGUGAUCUUGUUAACCAUCAACACUUGAUGCUCUUUCUUGAUUUCUACCUUCGUUGAUUUCAGCAUCAUGAAGAGCUUGGGAAUCGUUUUCGUCAUCCCUUGCAUACUAUAGUUCAUCACGAAGUUCUAGUAACUUAGUGAUGGUGACUAGAGAAUUCUGUCAAUCACUAUCUUACCUGGAAGAUUAACUCCCACUUGAUUCAAGCGAUUGAAAUACCCAGACAAUCUGAGCACAUGCUCACUAGUUGAGCGAUUCUCCUCCAUCUUUUAGCUAUAGAACUUGUUGGAGACUUCAUAUCUCUCAACUCGGGUAUUUGCUUGAAAUAUUAACUUCAAUUCCUGGAACAUCUCAUAUGGUCCAUGACGUUCAAAACGUCUUUGAAGUCCCGAUUCUAAGCCGUUAAGCAUGGUGCACUAAACUAUCAAGUAGUCAUCAUCUUGAGCUAGCCAGACGUUCAUAACUUCUGCAUCUGCUCCUGCAAUAGGUCUGUCACCUAGCGGUGCAUUAAGGACAUAAUUCUUCUGUGCAGCACUGAGGAUAAACCUCAGAUCACGGAUCGAAUCCGCAUCAUUGCUACUAACAUUUUUCAACACAAUAUUCUCUAGGAACAUAUCAAAAUAAACAUAUGAAAGCAACAACGCGAGCUAUUGAUCUACAACAUAAUUUGCAAAAUACUACUAGGACUAAGUUCAUGAUAAAUUAAAGUUCAAUUAAUCAUAUUACUUAAGAACUCCCACUUAGAUAGACAUCCCUCUAAUCCUCUAAGUGAUCACGUGAUCCAAAUCAACUAAACCAUGUCCGAUCAUCACGUGAGAUGGAGUAGUUUCAAUGGUGAACAUCACUAUGUUGAUCAUAUCUACUAUAUGAUUCACGCUCGACCUUUCGGUCUCUGUGUUCCGAGGCCAUAUCUGUAUAUGCUAGGCUCGUCAAGUAUAACCUGAGUAUUCCGCGCGUGCAACUGUUUUGCACCCGUUGUAUUUGAACGUAGAGCCUAUCACACCCGAUCAUCACGUGGUGUCUCAGCACGACGAACUUUGGCAACGGUGCAUACUCAGGGAGAACACUUCUUGAUAAUUUAGUGAGAGAUCAUCUUAUAAUGCUACCAUCAAUAAAAGCAAGAUAAGAUGCAUAAAAAGAUAAACAUCACAUGCAAUCAAUAUAAGUGAUAUGAUAUGGCCAUCAUCAUCGUGUGCUUGUGAUCUCCAUCUCCGAAGCACCGUCAUGAUCACCAUCGUCACCGGCGCGACACCUUGAUCUCCAUCGUAGCAUCGUUGUCGUCUCGCCAAUCUUAUGCUUCCACGACUAUCACUACUGUUUAGUAAUAAAGUAAAGCAUUACAUCGCGAUUGCAUUGCAUACAAUAAAGCGACAACCAUAUGGCUCCUGCCAGUUGCCGAUAACUCGGUUACAAAACAUGAUCAUCUCAUACAAUAAAAUUCAGCAUCAUGCCUUGACCAUAUCACAUCACAACAUGCCCUGCAAAAACAAGUUAGACGUCCUCUACUUUGUUGUUGCAUGUUUUACGUGGCUGCUACGGGCUUAAGUAAGAACCAAUCUCACCUACGCAUCAAAACCACAACGAUAGUUUGUCAAAUAGACUCCGUUUUAACCUUCUCAAGGACCGGGCGUAGCCAUACUCGGUUCAACUAAAGUUGGAGAGACAGUCGCCCGCAAGCCAUCCAUGUGCAAAGCACGUCGAGGGAACCGGUCUCGCGUAAGCGUACGCGUAAGGUUGGUCCAGGUCGUCUCGUCCAACAAUACCGCCGAACCAAAGUAUGACAUGCUGGUAGGCAGUAUGACUUGUAUCGUCCACAACUCACUUGUGUUCUACUCGUGCAUAUAACAUCAACAUAAAUAACCUAGGCUCGGAUGCCACUGUUGGGUUUCGUAGUAAUUUCAAAAAAUUUCCUACGCACACGCAAGAUCAUGUGAAGCAUAGCAACGAGGGGAGAGUGUUGUCUACGUACCCAACGCAGACCAACUGCGGAAGCGAUGACACGACGUAGAGGAAGUAGUCGUACGUCUUCACGAUCCAACCGAUCAAGCACCGAAACUACGGCACCUCCGAGUUCGAGCACACGUUCAGCUCGAUGACGAUCCCCGGACUCCGAUCCAGCAAAGUGUCGGGGAAGAGUUCCGUCAGCACGACGGCGUGGUGACGAUCUUGAUGAACUACAGCAGCAGGGCUUCGCCUAAACUCCACUACAGUAUUAUCGAGGUAUAUGGUGGCAGGGGGCACCGCACACGACUAAGGAAUAGAUCACGUGGAUCAACUUGUGUGUAUAGAGGUGCCCCCUGCCUCCGUAUAUAAAGGAGGAGAGGAGGGGAGGCUGGCCGGCCAAGGAGGGGAGGCGCAGGAGAGUCCUACUCCCUCUAGGAGUAGGAUUCCCCCCAAUCCUAGUCCAACUAGGAUUCCUCGGAGGGGAAGGGAGAGAGGGGGGCCCGCAGCCACCUUGGGCUGCCCCUUUCUCCUUUCCACUAAGGCCCAUGAAGGCCCAUAUGGCUCCCGGGGGGUUCCGGUAACCCUCCCGGUACUCCGGUAAAAUCCCGAUUUCACCCGGAACACUUCCGAUGUCCAAACAUAGGCUUCCAAUAUAUCAAUCUUUACGUCUUGACCAUUUUGAGACUCCUCGUCAUGUCCGUGAUCACAUCCGGGACUCCGAACAACCUUCGGUACAUCAAAAUGCAUAAACUCAUAAUGUAACUGUCAUCGUAACCUUAAGCGUGCGGACCCUACGGGUUCGAGAACAAUGUAGACAUGACCGAGACACGUCUCCGGUCAAUAACCAAUAGCGGGACCUGGAUGCCCAUAUUGGCUCCUACAUAUUCUACGAAGAUCUUUAUCGGUCAGACCGCAUAACAACAUACGUUGUUCCCUUUGUCAUCGGUAUGUUACUUGCCCGAGAUUCGAUCGUCGGUAUCCAAUACCUAGUUCAAUCUCGUCACCGGCAAGUCUCUUUACUCGUUCUAUAAUGCAUCAUCCCGUAACCAACUCAUUGGUCACAUUGCUUGCAAGGCUUAUAAUGAUGUGCAUUACCGAGAGGGCCCAGAGAUACCUCUCCGACAAUCGGAGUGACAAAACCUAAUCUCGAAAUACGCCAACUCAACAUGUACCUUCGGAGACACCUGUAGUACUCCUUUAUAAUCACCCAGUUACGUUGUGACGUUUGGUAGUACCCAAAGUGUUCCUCCGGUAAACGGGAGUUGCAUAAUCUCAUAGUUACAGAAACAUGUAUAAGUCAUGAAGAAAGCAAUAGCAACAUACUAAACGAUCAAGUGCUAAGCUAACGGAAUGGGUGAAGUCAAUCACAUCAUUCUCCUAAUGAUGCGACCCCGUUAAUCAAAUGACAACUCUUUUGUCCAUGGCUAGGAAACAUAACCAUCUUUGAUAAACGAGCUAGUCAAGUAGAGGCAUACUAGUGACACUAUGUUUGUCUAUGUAUUCACACAUGUAUUAUGUUUCCGGUUAAUACAAUUCUAGCAUGAAUAAUAAACAUUUAUCAUGAAAUAAGGAAAUAAAUAAUAACUUUAUUGUUGCCUCUAGGGCAUAUUUCCUUCACCACGUGGCCCGGCCGGCCCCCGGGGCUCAAGAACCAGGUCCAAUGCCCCCAUUGGUCCCGGUUUUGGAUUGAACCGGGACUAAUGGGCUGGACCGGCCUGGACCAUCGCCCCCUUUUCUACUAGUGUUAGUGCAUGGUGGUUAGUGAAGUUAGUGGAGCAUGGUGUGAGUGCGUGGGUCAUGGUUGAGUGCCAGACUUUGUAUAAAUUGUCAUUUGAGUCAAUGAGAAAAUGUAAGGCCGAGAGGGCCAGUGCAAAGAUGUAGCAUUUGUGGUAGCCAAGGGAGAUUAACUGGGCAAAGCUAUGUGUUCUUCCUUGGUCUAUGCGUGUGUGUGUUCUGUGUGUGUUCUCUCUCUGCGUCCUUGUGUUCAUGGGAGUGUUUUUGAGAGAAGCCAGAAGAGAGAGUUGUGAGAGGCAGCUCGAGGUAGAAGAAGGAGCGGUGCUGCUCCGAGAGGAGGCGGCGCCAACAAUUAUUGACGAAAGGGAUAUUAUAUUGCGCAAGGUAUAAUCAGACGCGUCGGGGAUGGAGCGACUACACACAUAUGGGAUCACAACUGGAUUAUGAGGGAAAGCUAUAAGAGGCCAAUAAAUAAGUUAGUGCAGAUCCCCCCUCAGAAACAUUUUAUGUAUACACGUUAACAUUUCCCAGAUAUAUGAUUAAUAUUUUUAGAAAACUUCUAUUUUUUAUGUGUACUUUUUAUACAUUUUGUAAUAUCAGAAAUAGUUUUUAUAGAAGGUUUAACAUUUUUCAAAUACAUGAUUACCUUUUUGUAAACUUAUAUUGUUUGACGUUUACUUUUUUCCAUAGACAUAGUGAGGGGUUAUAUCUAAGGAAUAGGCCCAAGUACAUGUAGGCACAACCAAAGGCCCAUGUUAAUCAAGGAUGUUCCACAAGACAAAUGGGAAAACACACCGGGGCUAAUGGAGCUACAAGGCCAAGGCAUCGGAUACAAGGGGAGAGUCAACUGUGUACAGUCAGAUUACACAACCCUUAACAGACAAGACUCAUCAGUUGGUCCACUAUAGGAAUCAGGUCAUUUGCCGUCAGCCGAGAACAGAUGCGAAGGCUUUGCCGUGAGCAAGUUGACGACAAACACAAUCAGCAAAGACUAUAUCAGCAAAGAGCUAAUUUGACGUCAACUUUUCAUCGCGCUGAUGACAAAGACUUUGCCGUCAAUUAAACUAUGUGUUUGUCGUCUGUAGAAAAAACACAAAUGGCAAAGAAAUUAAACAAAUGGUCAUUUUAUAAUAAUUUUUCGAAAUGUAUAUAGUGUAUUUUAAAAUGUUAAAUAUGUAUCAAGAAUUAUUUCAUAAAUAUACAGAAGAUGUACAACGUGUAUGAAAAUUAUGUAGACAUCAGAACAUAUUAUAGAAAUGUUAAUCUUGUAUUUAAAAAUGUUAAAUACACAUAAAUAAAAAUGUUUUUGAUGUACAUAAAAAAAUUGUACAUCGUGUGUGAACAAAGUAUGCAUUGAAAAAAAAAUCUUGUUGGAAAGAAAAUCUCGUGCUAUAUACGAAAAUGUAAAAGGUGUAUGAAAAUAAUUAGAUAUAUGCUUAACGAAAAAAAGGAAAGAAGGCGCAAAAAAAUCCGAUCAACACCAAGAUAGGAACAAGAAAACCUGAAGAAGACCAUUGAAAAAAAAGAAAAGAAUACAAGAAAGAGGAAAAAAAACAAAAAAAUGAAGAAGCUGAUGCAGAACAGGGAACUUGGUGAAAACGAAUAAAAAUUGAUGAAAACCGAGAAGAAAAACAAGAAAACUGAAGCAAAAAAAUAAUAAAAAUAUGUAAAAAAAUGAUGAAACAUUGCAAAACACUGAAAUACUAUGAAAACCAAAGGAAGAAAAGACUCAAAAAGAAGAACAUACAGCGAGCGAAUGAACAACAACUGAGUGAACGAGCGACCAUGCGAGAACACGUUAAUUGUCCGGCCCAUACUUGUGGACUCCAGAGGCGAGCCAGAAUAGGCGAGAUAUAGCUAUGACGAUUUGAUACCCUUCACAGCUUCACGAAUGCUAUAUCUCGCUCACAGCGAAAGUAUAUUUUGUCUGGCCUGAAGGUGCAAGAAUAGCAUCAGGUCGCUGUAAGGUUUGUGAUCCUACAAUGAGAGCUCCGAUAAGAUUAAAGUUCAUUUUUCUGACAACCUUUGGUCGUUCGUUCGCGCUCAGGUCGUCCGCUCACUCGAUUCCACGUACUAGUUUGGUUAUGUUGUUUUUUUCAUUUUGUUCUUUUUUUGUUUCUUCACUGGCUUUCUUUGGUUUUUAUAUCGGUUUUCUUUGUUUCCUUCACGUUUUAUUCCUGUUUUCCUUUUUACUGGUUUAUUUAUUCCUUUUUUUCUUUGUUUCUUUCUUGGUUUUCUUUGUUUUUCUUUCUUUUGAUGUCAAUCUUUUUACAUACGCAUUCAACAAUUUCCGUAUACAUCAGAAACAUUUUAUGUAUACACAUUAACAUUUCCCAGAUAUAUGAUUAAUAUUUUUGGAAAACCUCUAUUUUUUAUGUGUACUUUUUGAUACAUUUUGUAUAUAUCAGAAAUAUUUUUUUAGAAGGUUUAACAUUUUUUUAAAUACAUGAUUACCUUUUUGUAAACUUAUAUUGUUUGACGUUUAUUUUUUUCCAUAGACAUAGUGAGGGGUUAUAUCUAAGGAAUAGGCCCAAGUACAUAUAUGGCACAACCAAAGACCCAUGUUAAUCAAGGAUGUGGUCCACAAAACAAAUGGGGAAACACACGGGGGCCAAUGGAGCUACAAGGCCAAAGCAUCGGAUAUAAGGGGAGAAUAAGUGUGUACAGUCGGAUUACACAACACUUGACAGACAAGACUCAUUAGUUGGUCCACUAUAGGAAUCGAGUAAUUUGCCGUCAGCCGAGAACAGACUCGAAGUCUUUGCCGUCAGCAAGUUGAUGACAAACACAGUGAGCAAAGACUAUAUCGGCAAAGAGCUAAUUUGACGUUAACUUUUCAUCCGCUGAUGACAAAGACUUUGCCGUCAAUUAAACUAUGUGUUUGUCGUCUGUAGAAAAAACACAAAUGGCAAAGAAAAGCAUCUUUGCCAUCAGCAACUGAUUCACAUGUGUCGUCAGCCAGACUCGUCUUGUCACUAGCCUCAAACAUCACAGAUGGCAAAGAUUUUUUUUUAUUUUUAAAAUUCCGCGUCGACCACCCUAUCGCUCGUGCAGCCACCGCCUGGCCGCGCUCGCCUCCCUGCUCACAUGCCCUGCCAGCUUGCGCCGUUGCCAUCCGGCAGCGCUCGCCCGACCCUGCUCAUCGCCCGGCCGAGCUCGCCCGCCCUGCUCGGUCGCGUCGUCGGCAGCUGCCCUGCUUGCACACGUACCUGCCCAGCCUUGCUCAUACCGCCGGCCACCCUGCUCGCUAGAGAAAGGAAGGCGAGAGAGGAGGCUCGGGGGAGAAAGAAAAAACAAAGGAGAGAGAGAGGAUGCUACCACUGCCACAUCACCAAUACGCAUGAUCGAUCUGCAAGAUGUGCUCUCUCUUUUGCCGCCUCUGAUGGCAAAGUAUGUCUUUAUCGUCUAUAAUAAGAUUACAAACAGCAAAGUGAGCUCUUUGCCGUCUGUAAAAAAACGGACGACAAACAAACUUUGUUGUCAGCUGCCGACGGCAAAAAGUGCUCUUUACCGCAGCCUCGAUGAGAAGCUGAAGGCAAAGUGCCCCACAGACGGCAAAUUAGUUGAUUCCUGGGUGGUUAUGAGCAAGACAGGAGCAAUAACCCUAUCUACACUCGGUCAUCUGGAAGACAGGAGUAGUCGAACCAUCUAUAGUCGGCUACAUCUGAGGUUACCGUGACCCUUACGAUGCAUUCAUUAUCGCCGUUACUCAAUGGAGUAGUUAAAUACGUCAGUUAGCAAUAAUAAUAGCCACGAACAGUCAAUCAUGCAUGUGACCAUCAAUAGCAUUUAUACCAACCCAUUACGGCACUUCCUCCUAGCACACUCUAUAUAAGCCAGGAGUAGGACAUGAGAGUGAGGGAUGAACUCUCUCACAGUAUAACCUACGCCAAGAGCAGGAACACCACAUGAAUAGAGAUUACCUCCACCAACGUACUCCCAUCCGUUUUAUGUACCGAUCAAUGUAUAUAAUGGCUUCUACAUUCACAUCCCGUAGUAUUGUCAGGAUUAUAUCCACGACAGAAACUAUAUUUUGUUAUACAUCAAGAACAUUUUAUAUAUAAAUAUUUACAAUUUUUUAAAUACAUGAUUAAUAUUUUUUCAAACAUAUAUUUUGUAUGUCUCCUUUUCAUAAUCUUUGAUCCCUGGAAGUUUCAGAUUUUUUCCGAUUUGUUCUCAUUUUUUUAUGAAUUUACUGUUCAUGAGGGUGUAGGGGCACCCAGGAGCUGUUAGGCAUAAUAUUUCUGCUGUUGUUGUCAUCAUCAAGGGGAAUGAGAAGGGUUGAAGUUUUCGUUUUCUUUGAGGGGGAAAUCAGAGUUGGGGGCUGGAAGUGAGUGAUUAGGCCCAACAUAAGCGCUGUGUGUGUGUGUCUCGUCACGGGCACCAAAUUCGAACUGGGCUAUUGUUUUCUGAGAACCCAACGUCACAAGCCCAACCAACAGUCUGCCGAUCUGCAUCUUCCUCUCCUUGUCCAUCCUCCUCGUUGGCCGGACCGCCUCGAGCCACGGCCGCUCCCUGGCGCAGCGUCCUCCCCUUCCUCUCCACCCCCAAAUUCUCUUGUAUCCUCUUCUGAUCUCCUUCCUUACUUCCUCUCGCUGAUGGUCUCCACAAGAAGGUCUCCGAGCUCCUCGGAGGGUUCCGGCUGUACGUCGACGCAGCCUCUCCGACCUCCCCAUGAACAUGAGCUAUCGACCCUGAAAGCCUGUCUCUUCCAUGAUUCGAUUCACAUGAAUUCACGAGCCGCAUGAAUCAUGAAGGUCAUGGAGCAGAAUUCAGUCGUGUAGCCUGACAGUGAUGUACAUUUGUGGCUUUUCUGGCUAAAUAGCUCUGUACCCUAUGUGGAUGCCACUUCAAAUAAUCGUCAAAAUAAUUCUCCUGCACGCGUUAUACAAAUGGCGAAGAAGAAGUUCGCGUGGAACAUUUCGUUUCUUAUUGAUGUCCGAGAGAAAAGCUCCUAGGAAGUUCAUCCGCUCGGUGGAUUAUAAGUUUAAGUUUGUUACAACAUCCAAUCAUCCAUAUAAUCUCUGUGUUUCUUCUGUUUUCUACCAGUCAUAUAUCAUAUGUGCAUCAGAGGAAAAAUGCUUUCAGCAGUCAUGUUGGAGCGCGCAUACCAAGUUCCCACAUUGCAAAUAUGAUCCUAGCCAUUAAUAUGUUUCAUUCCACAUUUUCUUGAUCUAAUUUCUAAAUGAUUGGACAACCUGUUAUAGUCUUAUAGAAUUAUGAGCCGCCAAAUCCACAUUUCUCUUGGUCUAAUUUCUAAAUGAUAAUGUGCAGCAUCUAUCUCCUGGUGAACCUUUUUUUCUUGCGACUGUAUCUCCUGAUGAACCUAGUUUUCUCUAGGUAGCACAAUAAUUGUACUGGUUUGAUGUAAAGGACAUAAAUACAAGGGAAUAAAUUGGAAGCUUAUUUCAAAUUAACUAGCUAGUGGUGUUUGUGAAGUUCAAGAAAAAGCUGGUCUUUUUCUCGACAAAUAAUUUAACAUGCAAAGAAUCAAUAAAUGUAUUUGCAAGAAAGCAAACAUAAUUAACGAUAAAACUGGUUUAUUGUCACUGUAGACAACGGUAGUAGUUGGAACUAGAUACAAACCAAUAAAAAACAAGAUCUCAAAUCUCCAACCAAUAAAGAGUUCAACCCAAAUUUUACAGUAACACCAUUAUAUUCAAAUAGUGAUUAUUCCAACACAUGGAUAAUUAAUUAAGGCACCAGGUUGCCCUUGUGACUAGGAAAGACAAACUUAUGAACUUGCAAGCAUGGCAAUCAGAUCGACAUCCACACAAUGCCAAUAUGAACAUUGUCUUGAUACAACUUUAUUUUUAUUUUAUUUCAGAAUUUAAACAACUAGUAUGGGCGGGUCACACACGACAUUGUGUGACACUUUAUUUGUCACCGCUGCAUCGACAUAUCCAUCGACUAAACAACGGUGAUCCAACUAUAUAUUACUAGAGACCUUUCCUUAUUAGUAGGAACCAACUCCGGUGCCAACACCGAAUGGCACACUAGUGGUGGUUCUAUACAACGGCACAUUGACACGGCACAUCGUUGGCAGGGUACGGAGCGCAAUGGAAGUCAUCACCUCAAGCUGAGCUAUCUGGUGUGGCUGCAAAAAGGUACCUUGUGCCAAUUGUUGUUGUUGAGGUUGUUGCCCGAGUUGUUGUUGUGACUGCUGUUGGGGUUGGGAAACACAUUGGCCCAACUGUUGGGGUUGCUGCUGAGGAGUUUGGAUGGAACCCUGAACCUGUUGUUGUUCUUGCAGGAUGAUGGAGUAGAUGAUAGCACGGAUUGCCUCAUAGCGGGAUUGCUGGGGGAUUUGCGGCAACUGCUGGCAACAUUGUUGUUGCAUCACAUGGCAACUGCUCUGCUGCAACAUUUGCGACCUAGCAAGACUUUGUGGCAUUGCCACAGGGCUGCAUUGCUGCUGGAGGAAUACCUUGCAUGGGUUUAGCUGCUGCAAGAUAGAUGGAUGAACAAAUGGUAUUUGUUGUUGCGGUAGAACUAGUUGUUGUUGUUGCUGCGAAAAUGGUGGUUGUUGCGGUAGACUUGGUUGUUGUUGUUGCAAAAAUGGUGGUUGUUGCUGUAGUACUAUUUGUUGUUGUUGCGAAAACGGUGAUUGUUGCUGUGAAAAUGGUGGUAGUUGUUGCUGUGAAAAUGAUGGUUGUUGCGGUAGAACUGGUUGUUGUUGCUGCGAAAAUGGUGGUUGUUGUUGUGAAAAUGGUGGUUGUUGUUGCUGCGAAAAUGGUGGUUGUUGUUGUGAAAANNNNNNNNNNNNNNNNNNNNNNNNNNNNNNNNNNNNNNNNNNNNNNNNNNNNNNNNNNNNNNNNNNNNNNNNNNNNNNNNNNNNNNNNNNNNNNNNNNNNNNNNNNNNNNNNNNNNNNNNNNNNNNNNNNNNNNNNNNNNNNNNNNNNNNNNNNNNNNNNNNNNNNNNNNNNNNNNNNNNNNNNNNNNNNNNNNNNNNNNNNNNUGGUUGUUGUUGCUGCGAUAAUGGUUGUUGUUGUUGCUGCGAAAAUGGUGGUUGUUGUUGUGAAAAUGGUGGUUGUUGUUGCUGCGAUAAUGGUUGUUGUUGUUGUUGCUGUGAACAUGGUUGCUGUUGUGAAAAUGGUUGUGGUUGUUGUUGGAUGGGUUGUUGUUGUUGGUGGUGCGAUAAUGUUUGUUGUGGUGGUAAUGGUUGUUGCUGCGAUGGUCUCUCCAAACCAGGGAUGUGGCUAUUCUCCAUUUGUGCAAUGGCACUUGUCGCCACAAUGGCGAGGAGAGCAAAGAUGAGGAAGGUCUUCAUGGUGGAUUGGUGUUAACCAGUGUUGCUUGGUUUUGAUGCUUGUGCUUGUGAUGAUCUUUAUACUUCAUGCCUAUUUAUAGUAGCCCGGGCACCACCUCUUUUCUUCUUUGCAUUAGCUUUAAUAAUUCUGUUUGGAUGCAUCUAAAAUGAUUUUUGGUACAAUGUGUUAGGUUGCACUAGCUACACGCGUACUUUUGGAUUGAUCAUCAAAGUUGCUUUUUAGUUGUGCAUAUGAUCACACACAAAGUACAGAAACCUUGAUGUUUGGUACAUAUGACUCACCUUAUUCACUUUACAUGUCACACACUUAUCUGGAUAGUAUCACUUUUGCAACCGAGUUUGGAACCUUGUAUAGGCUGUCAUCCAUAAACAAGAAAGGCAAAACUUGUGUAGGACUAAGUUUGCAAUCGGAGGGUUCUUCUAGACUCGAUUUCUUUUCGUAAAACUAACUUUGUAUUUUUCCUCUAAGAUGAUAAGAUGAACCGACGCCUAUAGAGCAUGACAUGACUCAUCGAAUUCCCUUUACAUGUAAAGGAUGGUAAUUGCUUACAAGCUACUCCUACUAGCAUAUAUCCGGUUCCAAGCCUAGACACGUCAUCAUCAGUUUCGUCUAUUUUUUUAGAUAAAUCAUCAGUUCUAUCUAUUUGUGAAGGGUUUUUUUGGGGGGAAAUGAUAGUUUUUUUAUGCUAGGGGGGUUUUUUNNNNNNNNNNNNNNNNNNNNNNNNNNNNNNNNNNNNNNNNNNNNNNNNNNNNNNNNNNNNNNNNNNNNNNNNNNNNNNNNNNNNNNNNNNNNNNNNNNNNNNNNNNNNNNNNNNNNNNNNNNNNNNNNNNNNNNNNNNNNNNNNNNNNNNNNNNNNNNNNNNNNNNNNNNNNNNNNNNNNNNNNNNNNNNNNNNNNNNNNNNNNNNNNNNNNNNNNNNNNNNNNNNNNNNNNNNNNNNNNNNNNNNNNNNNNNNNNNNNNNNNNNNNNNNNNNNNNNNNNNNNNNNNNNNNNNNNNNNNNNNNNNNNNNNNNNNNNNNNNNNNNNNNNNNNNNNNNNNNNNNNNNNNNNNNNNNNNNNNNNNNNNNNNNNNNNNNNNNNNNNNNNNNNNNNNNNNNNNNNNNNNNNNNNNNNNNNNNNNNNNNNNNNNNNNNNNNNNNNNNNNNNNNNNNNNNNNNNNNNNNNNNNNNNNNNNNNNNNNNNNNNNNNNNNNNNNNNNNNNNNNNNNNNNNNNNNNNNNNNNNNNNNNNNNNNNNNNNNNNNNNNNNNNNNNNNNNNNNNNNNNNNNNNNNNNNNNNNNNNNNNNNNNNNNNNNNNNNNNNNNNNNNNNNNNNNNNGCCGCCACCGCUCGACAAAAAAGGUCACUUUUGUAGCUCCCCCGUCGAUUGCGGGCCGUACGUCGACGGCAGCCACUCCGACCUCCCCGUCAACACAAGGUAUCGAUCUGUUUCGUCUGUCUCUUCCAGCGAUUCAAUGCACAUAAAUCCGAGAGGCAGACCCAUCUCCAUGCUAGCUGCACGGAUCAGGAGGGUCAGGCAUCAGAAUUCAGCUGGGAAGCCUGACACUAAUGUACAUUUGUGGCUUUAGUAGCUGAAUAUAACUAUGUGUUUUCUGAGAAUUUCACUUCAAAAGUUCCAAUAAUCAUCAAAUUUCCGCCUAUGCGCGCUAAGCAGGUGGACCAUAUAUUUCUCAUGUCGACGAACGAAAAAACAAAACUCCACAACUAGAAGUCUAUGAUAUUGACACGGAACCGUGCUGUAGGGUCGCAAGUAAAAAUAUGAAAAGCAUGCCUAACACUACUAGGAAAAGGGCUAUAGAUGGAAUUGACACUAAUGACGCACCAGACAUGUGGUGCGCCAUUAGUAUAUACUAAUGGCGCACCAUCUUCUGAUGCGCCAUUAGUGUUGAAAUUACUAAUGGCGCACCCUGCCCACGGUGCGCCAUUAGUACCAAUUUUUUUUUGAACUAGUGCGCCUGUCCAAACAUACUAAUGGCGCAUCCGCUGGUGGUGCGCCAUUACUAGUUGUAACUAGUAAUGGUGCACCAGCCAGAGGGUGCGCCACUAAAGUUAUUUUUUUUAUUAUUGUUUUUAUUCCUUUUUUUGCAAAAGUACUAAUGGCGCACUCACACGCGGUGCGCCAUUACUAGUUCAAACUAGUAAUGGCGCACCGUGGCAGAGUGCGCCAUUAGUAUGUUUUUUUUUCAAAACUACUAAUGGCGCACCACCUGGUGGUGCGCCAUUAGUAACCUGGAUUACUAAUGGCGCAUUUGUUGCUGGUGCGCCAUUAGUAAGUGGGCAGCAACAAGAUAUUUUGGACAGCCUCUCCUCCCACACUCACUUUCUCCCCAUUUCAUUCUCUCCACCGCCUCCUCAUGUCUCGGGUGCCUCCUCUUUUUCACCUCAUUUCCACCAUAGAUUCAUUCAAAUUAAGUGGUUAAGUUACCUUGUUUUGCUAGGUAAGUAAGGGGGGAAGCUAUAUUUAUGUUGUUCUCCCUACAACAGUGUGCACAUGCACUUUUUAUGGCCUAGCUAGAUCUAUGUAUGUUCGUGGUGUUGCAUAUGUUUGUGGUGUUGCAUAUGUGUUUGUGUUUGAAGGUGUACCGGUAUUUGAAAUGCGAUAGUUGCCAAUAUUUUGCCGGAAUGUUGAUUCAUUUCCGUUUCGGCGAGAAUUUUGGCAUUAAGCAUUCUUUUUGGUCCUAUUUUUAGGGAAAGUCAUGCCAAAUUUUUUCUUGGUUCUAAAAUAUCGUUUUGCUCUACCCCGCAGGCGACCAUGGUCCGCACGAUGACCGAAGGCAUCGUGAAUAGGUUUUUGAGGUCCACGAAGGCCGAGAUGCUUCAAAAGAACGAGACGGAGAUAAGAUGUCCGUGUCGAAGAUGCAAGCUGAAUAGCCUUAUUGCGGACCCGGAUUCCGGGCAGGUGCGGGACCACCUGCUCUUGCGUGGUUUCAUGGAUGGCUGUCGGUGGCAAGGUGAUGAAGAUGACUACGAAGUCGUCCAUGGGGGCCGGGCAAGAAAUGAGGAAGGGCAGCAAGACAACCACCGCGGCUCGGGGGGGCGAGAAGAAGAAGAAUCCCCAGGAGAUGAUCACGACGGUGAUGUUGUACACAGUCAUCAUGUAGAAGAUGCAGGACAUGAUGAUGAUGCCGGCGGAGCAGACGACGCUGGACCAUCGAUGGGCUGGGUGCAGGACCCUCAUAUUCAAGAGCUGCUUCUCAAGCAGACGGAUAACGCAAGAGCUGCCGCCCGAGAGAAAGCCAAGAUGGAUCAACUUGAGUUAGACGCGGUUACUCCAUUGUAUGAAGGAUGCAGGCCCGAGGAUACCCGCCUGAAAGUAACACUCAUGGCUCUGGAGAUGAAGGUAAAACACAAAAUGACCGACGCAUGCUUCGACGAGAACAUGUCAUUCUGGCACGAACGUCUUCCCAAAGGGAACAAGUGCCCGACCAGUUUGGAGGAGGCGAAGAAAAUCGUGUGUCCUCUGGAUUUACCGCACGUGAAAUACCAUGUGUGCAUGAACAAUUGCAUCAUUUAUCGGGACGAGCACGCGGAGUCUACCAUAUGUCCGGUGUGCGGUGUCACUCGAUACAAGAAGGGGAAGAAAGCUCCUCGAAAAGUGGUGUGGUACUUUCCGAUCACUCCUCGUCUGCAGCGGUAUUUCGCGGACCCUAAGGUAGCAAAGCUCCUGCGUUGGCACGCGGAUAGGGAGGAGAAGAAGCGAGAAGAUGACGCAAAUGAUACGGAGAUAGAUAAAAAAGACAAGAUGCUGAGUCACCCUAAGGAUGCGAGCCAGUGGCAAGCGUUGAACUUCGAAUAACCAGAAUUUGGGAACGAUCCAAGGAACAUCGUGCUGGGCGCGAGCACCGGUGGAGUCAAUCCGUUUGGCAGCCAGAGAAGCACACAUAGCACCUGGCCUGUGUUUGUGUGGAUGUACAACCUUCCCCCCUGGUUGUGCAUGAAGAGGAAGUACAUUCACAUGAGUAUGCUAAUUGAAGGGCCGAAACAACCAGGGAACGACAUCAAUCUGUAUCUGGGGCUGCUGAAAGAGGAGCUUGACACGCUGUGGAAAACGCCCACCAAUACGUGGGACGCCGCAGAGAAAGAAUAUUUCCCUAUGAGAGCCGCACUGCUCACGACGGUGCACGACUAUCUCGGUUACGGAUAUCUUGCGGGGCAGGUAGUCCACGGAUUUUCUGGAUGCGUAAGGUGCAUGGAUGACACAACGUAUCGCCAGCUAGAUAGAGACGAUGACCCGUGGAGGAAACGCAAGGAUCUGUUCGAUGGUGAAACCAAACCCCGAAAACGCCCGUGUACGAGGAGCGGCGAGGAAAUAGACAAGCUGUUGAAAAAUCGGAAAGACUGCCCACUGCCGGGAAAGAAGCAAAAGGUGCCAGAGCCGGGAAAGAAGCGAAAGGCGCCAGAGCCGCUGCUGAAGCUAUGGAAAACGAGGUCUGUUUUCUGGGACUUGCCGUACUGGAAGAUCCACCGUGUGCCUCACAGCCUUGAUGUCAUGCAUAUCACGAAGAACGUGUGCGAGAGUCUGCUUGGUACCCUGCUCAACAUGCCAGAGAGGACCAAAGAUGGGCCGAAAGCGAGGGCAGACUUGAAAUCAAUGGGCAUCAGGCAGGAGCUUCACGCUAUAUAUGAUGAUGAUGAUGAUGAUGAUGAUGAUGAUGAGGCGAAGCAGGACACAGAAAGUCGUCGCAAAGGCAAAAAGGCCAAGAAGACCGGAAAUGACUACCCUCCCGCGUGCUUCACUCUAAGUCAGGAGGAGAUCGAGCAGUUUUUCACCUGCCUCCUAGGAGUAAAACUUCCUUACGGUUACGCGGGGAAGAUAAGCAGAUACCUAGACCCAGCGAAGCAGAAGUUCAGCGGGAUGAAGUCUCACGAUUGUCACAUGCUGAUGACGCAGAUACUUCCAGUUGCAAUCCGUGGGAUCAUGGACGCGCACGUCCGUGAAACGCUAUUUGGCCUAUGCAACUUCUUCGACGUCAUCUCUCAGAAGUCGAUUGGCAUGAGGCAACUCAGAAGGCUACAGGAAGAGAUCGUGGUGAUACUAUGCGAGCUUGAGAUGUACUUCCCGCCCGCAUUCUUCGAUGUUAUGGUGCAUCUGCUGGUCCAUAUAGUGGGGGAUAUCAUCCAACUCGGGCCGAUGUUCCUGCACAGCAUGAUGCCGUUCGAAAGGAUGAAUGGUGUCAUCAAAGGAUACGUUCGCAACAUGUCACGUCCAGAAGGAAGCAUAGCCAGGGGCUUUCUGACCGAAGAGUGCAUCUACUAGUGCGCGAAUUAUCUAGGCAUCGAGAACCCCGUUGGUCUGCCCGUCAACAGGCACCUCGGCAGGCUCGCUGGAUGGGGUCACCGUGAGGGUCGCCGCGAAAUGCAUGUCGACUUCGAGGGUCGACUCGCCGACUUUGAAAGAGCAAACCUAGUCGCGCUACAACACAUAGACGUGGUCGAUGCUUGGGUGGUAGAGCACAAAACCUUUAUUAAGAAGACGUACAAUGACCGAGGCCAACAGAGGACGGACGGAGAUAUACUCAAAGAGCACAACUCAUGUUUCACGCGUUGGUUCAAGCAGAAGCUUCUGUCGUACCCUUUACAUGAGGAUUCUUCCGCGGAAGAACAACUCAUAUUCGCCUUGUCACAGGGCGCCGAGCACAACCUGAUGACCUAUGAGGCGUACGAUAUCAACGGCUACACAUUCUACACCGAGGCCAAGGACAUGAAGAGCGAUGGUUAUCAGAACUCCGGGGUAACGAUGGAAUCCUACACCGGUAACGACAAGGACAGAUACUACGGAAGGAUCGAGGAGAUCUGGGAGCUGAGCUAUGCUGGAGAGAAGGUCCCGAUGUUCCGUGUCAGAUGGGCCAAGAACGUCAUAAAAGAAGACCGGUAUUUCACCACCAUGGUUAUACCCGGAGCCAAAUCCAAGACCGCGAGCGCAAACGUCACCGCGAAAAAUGAGCCAUGGGUACUGGCUUCCCAAGUGGACCAAUGCUUCUUCAUUACCGACCCGCCAAAGCCCAGUCGUGUUGUCGUGAGGAGAGGCAAAAGGAAGAUCAUCGGAAUGGAUGGAGUAGCCAAUGAGCAAGACUUCGACAAGUACGGCGACCCGAGGAUCGAACAUGACGACGAUGAUGAAGUAGCAGCAUACACCACAAGAAGAAGCAGGACCACCCUACCUAAAGGACGUCCGUUCCACAGAAGAACUCCAUUUGCGAAAAAGAAGGGCAAGAAGAUUGUGAACAGAUAGCUAGCUAAGAUCGAUUGUAUUUAAAUCGUAGCCUUCAUUUCUCGAUUGUAUUUCAUGGGUACUUUUUGAACUAUCAUGAAUAUUUUUAAAUUUAAUGGACACUCGAUCUCGAUCCCCCUCCAUCUCGAUCGCUAUCCCACCUCGCCAGAUCCGGUCCCCCUCGCCGCCAAGCACCCCCCCAGCCCACCGGCCGCCGCCGCCGACCCCCCGCACCCUCGAUUCCCCUACCCAACCGCCGCCGCCGACCCACCGCACCCCGCGCACCCUCCCCUGCUCCACCAGCAUUACUGUUUGAUGAUAUUUUUAAAAAAAUUAUUAUUGUCUUAUAAAAAAAUAUUACUGUUAUGAUUUAAACAAGUUUGAACAUAUUUAAACACAAAUAAGUAUCAAACAGGUUUUUAAAUGCUAAAAAAAAUUUGUGGAGCCUGGGAGUCGAACCCAGGACCUCCUGGUGUGAGAACUGGCUGCUGACCAGUCGAGCUAGUAGAGGGGACUUGAUGUGGAUCAAUUCUGGUGGUACAUAACCUGUUGGCUCGAGUUGAAAUAAAAAAAAUACUAAUGGCGCACCACGGUGAGGUGCGCCAUUAGUAUGGAUGUACUUAUGGCGCACCGAGGGGUGGUGCGCCAUUAGUAUUGUGCCCGAUCCCUUCCCUCUCCCCCUUCGCCCGAUCCCCCCUUCCCUCUCCCCCUUGCCAGUUCCCUCUCCCUCGAUCCACCGCCGCCGCCGCCGCUGCCCUGACCCACUGCGCCGCAGCCGCCCACGCGCCCCCGCCGCCUCCCUCUCCCCUUCCUCCCCCUCGAGCCCGCGCCGUCCGCCCAAACCUAACCCGACGCCGUCCGCCGCGCCCGCUCCACCGCCGCCGCCCUGCCUCUCCGCCCUCUCCCUCCCUCNNNNNNNNNNNNNNNNNNNNNNNNNNNNNNNNNNNNNNNNNNNNNNNNNNNNNNNNNNNNNNNNNNNNNNNNNNNNNNNNNNNNNNNNNNNNNNNNNNNNNNNNNNNNNNNNNNNNNNNNNNNNNNNNNNNNNNNNNNNNNNNNNNNNNNCGUCGCCCCGCCGCCCCGACACCACCGUCCGUCGCCCCGCCGCCCCGCCGCCCCUCUCGCAGCAAGGUAUGCGGCUGGUUCGUCCCCUGUCAUGGUUCUCUCUUCGUUUAUUUUCCUGAAAUCUCUGCUGUUCAUUGGCCGAUGAUGUCUUACAAGUAAAAUAUCUGGCAAACUUGUGCUGUAAACUGUACAUUGCUGAGGCUGUGGGCAACCUGUUCUUCUCUUUGCCAUACUAGUGCUUUUGUUCAUUGGCCGAUGAUGUCUCUGUUGGUUUACGUCCCCGGCAAAUUAGGUACCCGUGAACCAUUUAUAGGCCCAACUUUCUUACUCUCAAUGACCACAAUGUGCUUAUUUUGUUAGGAUUGUGCAUUUGCGCGAUUUGUGCAGUGCUUAUUUGUUGGCACCUCACCAGCUUUCAAAUUCAGCAUUUGUAACACAGUUCAAUUUGAUCUAAGGGCCUAUCUUGUCUCAUUUCCAACAUGUAAUAAACUUCCCCCGAGGCCAUAGAUGAGAAUACUUCUUUCAGUACAUUUUGCUGAUUUCUCACUGUUGAAUACUUCAUUUCUGUUUGCCUUUGGCCAAAGAUGCAUUCAGUUCUUUCUGCCCUUAGCGGUUUGAUUCAAGUUUGUCAGGUUCUGUUAACUAAAAAGGUUCAGAUUCAGAAACAUUGUUGGACUACUAGGAAGUUGGACUACUAGGAACAUGUUUAGAUUCAGGUUCUGUUAACUAAAAAAGUUCAGGUUCUGUUAACUAAAAAAGUUCAGAUUCAGAAACCUGUAAUUUCUACUUUUAUGCCUCUGUUACUCCAGUCAAAAUUUUAUGUUUGAUGCCCAUGGUAGUUGAGCUCUCACCUCACCUCACGCAACAUGCAUGAUGCCACAAUGUCUAGUAUGUACUGCCAAGCAACUGGCAAAUAAUUAUAACUUAGAAUAAAUAAAUCUGAUGUAAGAUAAGCAUGGCAUGAGCUUUAAUUAAAUAGCAUAAUACACGUUGGUAGUCCAUCUCUCUCAAAAAAAAUACAUGUUGGUAGCAGAAAAAAAUACAUGUUGGUAGCAGAAAUUUUUUUGAGCCCUUAUUAGCUACUCACACUAUUUGCCCCGCAGUUUCUCUGUCAUGGCUACCAAGUGAUUGACGGUGGGCUAGAAAAAUAAAACCACCAAACUAUCAGUAAAAGAUGUGAACCAACAUCUUUCAUUGUUAUGCAUAUCAAACACCAAGGGUUAUUUUCACUUAAAGUUUUAGAAUGGGUGCAUUACAAUUCAGUCUGAUAUCUAAUAAGACACUCUGGGCUGAUAUAAUUAUGGAACAGAACCAACCAUGAUAAAUAAAAGGUGAUGUUGUCUAUGCAUUACCAAAAAUGUAUCUUUGUGAACAAAUAAAUUGGUACCAACAGCAAUGCCAUCUUACUGUAGAAUUAGAAUACAUGGACAUGAUCAGCUCAGCUCCCAAACUGCCAUUCAUCACAUCAAUUUCCCCUUAUGUAACUCCAGUCAAAAUUUUAUGUUGGUCUACCUAGUAGAUGCCCAUGGUUUGAUUUUAUGUUUGUUCCUAUCAAUACAAAUGCUGAGCUAUGUUCCAUUUUUACUGUUCUUUGUGAUAGUUUUUGCAACUUUACUUCCCAUCUUAAGGCAAGCCCCAUUUUUACUGUUCUUUGUUAGCAGAGCUGCUUGUUUCUAAGAACUUUGAUACUAUUUGGAUCAAAGUUAAAUGAGCACAUAGAUGACAAAAAAAAGUUCAGAUUGUAAAAUGUUCAUUUUGCUGCUAGUGCCCAUUUUGAGUAAUUGCUUAGAGGGAUGAUCCUGUGUGAGCUGGUGGAGUGAUUUGUUUUCUACAUAAAGCUCUUUAGUCAGGCUGGUUUUCGUGAAAUACACAUGAAGCUUCACCAGCUCCUGUGGGUGUGGGAUCCAUGUGACAUGUGACAUUGCAUCCAUGUCCACCUGGGAUAAUGAUUUUGCAUGUACCCCGAGAGGCCCUUAAGUUUGCCGGAAUGUCGAUUAACUUCCGUUCCGGCAAAUUCGGGUACUCCAUAUGUCCUAUUUUCAGCAAAGGUCAUGCUGAAAUUUUCCGUGAAUUUUAGCAUGACUUUGCAAAAAAUAGGACAUAUGGGGUACUUGUGACUAAUGCAUGGGCCGGGGUAUCAUAGUAGUUAAUUAAGUAGGAUCAAGUGCCCCGGCGUACUUGUGACUGAUGCAUGGCUUUUAGGGUGCCUCGGUGUUGAUAAAAACCGAAAUGAUGAAAGCUUAGGCUUUUAGGGUGCCUCGGCGUCGAAAAACCCUCAAUGAUAAAAGCUUAGGUCUUAGGAUGCCUCGGUGUCGACAAACCCUAAAUGAUGAGACCAUGUCUUGUUCCUUGACAAUAACCAACUUUUUGACCAAACUUUGUUUCUAUUUAGAGAGAAACAUGGCCCACAACGAUGAGGCCGGGGGUUCGGGCGGCAAGGCAUUCUGGGAGCUGUCCCAGGAGAUGGAGGAACAACCUCACUUGUAUGAGGCCGCCGCCUUCCCCACCGAUCCUGAGACCACUGAUGGUGCCGCCGAGGAUGACCACACUGAUGCCACCACUGAUGGUGCCGCCGAGGAUGCCACCACUGAUGAUGGCAGCGCCCGCACAGAUGGCAGCCAACCGAAGAGGCAACGGAAGGACCGACGCCCGAUCGUGCUCCUCACCCUCAAGGAGGAAGUUACUGAAGUGGACUCCAACGGGUAUCCAACGGCGCCCGAACGAAUAGUCAAGGGGUACUCGCUUCAGCUCGGGUGCAUUGUCCGGAGCACCGUCUCGAUCAACACCGAGAACCUGAGGCAUCCUGACCGAGGGAAUUUGUGCCACCUCCUCUUCACGAAGCUGCACGAAUGAUACAAGUUCCCCGCUGAAUUUGCAAACAGAAGCCUCAAAGGGAAUAAAGUGAACAAUGCUGCCCUCACGAAGAUGAGCAAGGCCCUGUCUACUUGGAAAAGCAAUGUGAAGAAAAUGAUCGAUAAAGGUGAGAGUUAUCAGAAGAUCAAGGAGAAAAAUCCUUCGAUCACCAAAGAUGACUACAAUGACUUCAAGAUCAAUUGCUCGAGCACCGCAAGCUCCCAAUCAAGUGAGUGGGGGAAACAAAUGCGGGAGCUGAACAUAGGGGAACACACACUCGGUCCCGACGGUUACAGAGUGGCGGAGCCUAUAUGGGACAAGGAGGAGGCGGACCGUGCCGAGCAAGGCCUACCGCCCCUCUUCGAGAAAUACAGCGGUAACAAGCAGACCAGGAACUUUGUCAGGGCCCGGUACAAGAAGGACCCGAAAACAAAGGAGCUUACCACGGAUCCGAAGACCAGGCAGCUUGAGCUUGUUCUGGUAAGGAAUACACCCCCGCGUAAUUAGCUCCAUAUGGUUGCAUUCUAAUUAAUGAAGCCAAAUUUCUAAAUGGUUCACAUUCCUUCCGCAGGCGACUGAAAGCAGUAGCGCGGGGUCGACUAAGAGCAACCCUUGGGACACCACUCUAAAUAGGGCGAUGAAUGUAAUGAAGAAGAAGGAUAAGCUCAGUAAGCCGACGUCAGCUGGUCGUGUGGCCGGCAAAGGCUUGUCGACAAAAUGGGGGUCAUACUAUACCGCUGGUGUGCGGAAGGAGAAAAAGACCAGCUCGGAAAGCCAGGCGCGAGAGGAUCAAGAACUCAAGGAACAGGUGACGCGGAUUCCGGAGAUUGUCCAAGAGCAAGUGGAACAAUGACUCGGAGCGACGAUCACCGCCAUUGUGCCUACCUUGAUCUCGGGGUUGAGUGCGUGGAUUGCGGGCGGCCAACAGGGGCCGCCCCCGAUUCCUAGCUUCACGGCCAGCAACUCGCAUAAUGCGAUGGCGGGGCCAUUGGUGCCUCCGGCGGAGGCGGCAUUGGUGUCUCCGACGCCGGCACGGGAGCUUAAUGCACCCGGGUGUACGCCGGCCGGCACCUCUGCAGCAAGCGGCCCCUCCGUCAACUGCACGCCCGCCGUUGGCGGUGCGUCGACAUUAGCCGAGCUCGACGCCAUCAACACGGUAACUAAUUAAGCCUCUCUCGGCCGAGGACUUCAUCUCCUUGCCUUUGACUAGGCAUCCCUGACGCCCUACAUGUUUUCGCAGGGCGCCGCCGACGUUCCGUGCACUCUCCUCCACUUCGUGAACAACGAGUUGGUCGAUGUCGCCAAGGGCAAAAUCGUUCAACCGGCAACCCCUUGUUCCACGGUACCCAGAUGCCACCCAACUUGUUUAGGGUUCAACUGGUUCGGGUGUUGCCAGGCUGCGACGACUUGUUACCUCUGAUUCGACCCGUUGGGGCCGACGAUGAAGACGUGAUGACCCUCAGCGCCUGCCUGAGCUGGCCCCUAGUUUGGCCGAAGAGCCAGAUUCGUUUGGGGGCGGGGGACACCACCCCAAAGACAACACCGCCAGUCGUGCUGGUGCCAAGUCGGCCCCAUGGCAAGACCGCCGUAACGGUGCCGGACAUCCCUAUGCCACUGGAUCCAAACAUGCAUAUGGCACAGGAUCAGAAUGACGACGACAACGACGAUGAUACAUUUGGCAACGUCGAUCAGUACUUUGCCGAUCAUGGGUACGAUGGCGACUUCAUGGGGCCUCCUUCUCAAGAACCAAACCCAACAAAAGACGUGUGCGAUCUAGCUGGUACCGCAGAGAAGCCAAGUUGCAACAGGCGCCGUCUGGCGUUCAGCUCUCAGGAGACGCCUCCAGCUGCCGACUUCACCGAUCCUCAGAUAGGCGAGGUGCGAAAUAUUAUCAGCCCCAACACACUCAAGAAGGCGGUCUGUGAGCAGAACUCGGUCCCAUUACAGGAGAAGAAGAAGGCACGCAAAAGAAAGACUAAGAAGGGUGCGAGCCAGCCGGCACCGAGUACGAUCCGUGCUCAGGACGGGCCACCUUCACCGCAGGAUAUCUCGAGGAGGGUGCAUGUGGCGGGUAGGGCGAUGCUACCGACAAAUAUGCUCAAUGCUGCAACCGGUGCUAUGCGGAGUCUGCAUGACAGUGUUCUUGCUUUGGAGAAGCGGCGUCUCAGAGAGAAGGAUGUGGCAUACCCGGUUUUCGCGGCCAAGGUGCCAAAGGGCAAGGGCUUUGUGGAUAACUCCAUCGGGCGUACGAUCGUCCUGCGUUUUGAUGACAUCCACGCUAUGUUGAACCUUCAUCCGCUGCACUACACCUUCGUUCGGCUAUUUUCGCUGAGUAUGGAGAUGCGGAUCAUUCGCGACAAGACCCCGGACAUCGUGAUAGUCGACCCCUUCUACAUGCGUGCCAAGAUCUUGGGCAGCGCUGGGGACCGGCAAGUCGCGAGUUCUUACCUCGAAGGCAUCAUUCUGGCAAACCAAGAUAAGGAUAACUUCCUCGUGCCUUACUUUCCCGAGUAAGUCCUCCCCUCAACCGGCCCGUAACAUAUGAAUUCUUACAUUUCGAUCGUUUUUCUUUUAACAUUCCGUGUUUUUUGCAGUGACACACGUUGCACGCUCAUCCUCCUAAGCCCCAAAUAUUCCAUGGCCACAUAUUUCGACCCGGACUGUUAGUCGAACGUAGACUACACAAAUGUCAAGAAGGUUCUUGAUGAUGUUCUCCCCGGCUAUGCCAAAUCUGGAGGCACCUUCACCAGGCCUAAUCGUAAGUACGGCAAGCAUGUUUUCUCCCACAAUACGAUGUUCUACUGCGUCAAGCAGCCGCCUGGUGGUCAGAAGGGUGCCUACUACGCCAUCCAUCACAUGCGGGCGAUCGUACGGGACCAUCAUCAACUUCUGCUACCGAGUAAACUCAAAGAUUGGGCAAAGAGCGUGUCGGCAAUCGAGGACGCGGACCUCCGACAAGAAUUCUUUCGCAUCCAGUCGGAGUUUGCGGAAAUCAUCCAUCAAGAUGUCCUUCGUACCUCGGGGCAGUUCUACCUCAACAAUCAACCGUCCAAUAGUGACAUCGACAUAAUGCUACAAAUGCAGGCUGACAACGACCGUUAUUUCAUGACUCCCACGAUAGACGGCGGCUUCAUCCACGCUCCGGUCCCUUGAGUCGAGUCGAAAGCAGUGAUGCUGUGUCUAGUUCUGAAACAUCGAUUGGCUCAUGUUGUAAUUAAACUUUAAUGAACUUGUAGUAUGUCUCUUUGGUUUCGAGAGUCGUUCAACUUAGAUGUAAUCGAUGCUAUUAAUGUCUUGCUUUUCUCUUCCGAUUGUUCUGUUGCAUACUUAUAUAUUGCUUAUGUAUUGUCUGUGAAUUGGUACUAACGUUUCGUUUGGCUAGUGCAUAGCGAUGCCGACGUAUGUCGUGUACAAGGGUAAGGUUCCCGUAGUCUACGAUGACUGGGAGGAGUGUCGGAGACAGGUUCACCGAUUCAGCGGUAACAGUUACAAAGGGUACACCACUAGGGCCGAGGCCGAAUCUAGAUACGCCCGCUAUCUAGCGGGAGAGGGGAGGGAGCGUUGGAGGAACCGGAUGAAGACGAGUUUCAUCGUGAUGAUGCUCAUCGUGAUGACCGCAGCUCUCUUCUAUGUGAUGGUAGUUUAGAUGAUCGAUAUCGACUUGUAAUGUGAAGACAAACUCGCUACUCGCGGUCUCGAGACUUGUAAUAUAAUGUUCUAUCUUUGUUCGGUCUUUUUAAUUCGGAGACUAAUAUGAUGAAUUGUAUUCGGAGACUAAUAUGAUGAAUUGUAUUCAAAGACUAAUCUUCUAUUGUAUUCGAUGAAUCUGUUGUUGAUGUGUGCUGUCUAUAUUUUGUCAAAUUAUACAUUUUGUAACCUGUGCAAAAAACAGAAAAUAAAAAAUAAAAAAAACCUAAUAUUCAUACUAAUGACGCAUCACAUGAUAGUGCGCCAUUAGUAUGACAGUGCAUACUAAUGGCGCAUCACUGGGCAGUGCGCCAUUAGUAUGCCGCGGUUACUAAUGGCGCAUCCAGCGGUGGUGCGCCAUUAGUAUGCCAAAGCACCUGGGUAUACAUGGCCCCUGGGAGGCAUACUAAUGGCGCACCCUUGCCUAUACUAAUGGCGCACGCGCGGUGCGCCAUUAGUAUACCAGAUACUAAUGGCGCACCAGGUGGUGCGCCAUUAGUAAAAAUUACUAAUGGCGUGCUAUUAAUGGCGCACCACAGAUGCGCCAUUAAUGGCCAUUUUAGGUGCGCCAUUAGUAGGGGUUUUUCUAGUAGUGUAAUAAGCGAGAUGACGCAGUUCCUGACCGCCCCGCUACCACUACUGGUUCCAGCGUGGCGUUUGAAUUAUGCCGCGCUAGAUGCCUUUUGUCCAGCGAGGAACAAGUGGGGUCAAGCGUGCUUUGGCAAUUCCCGCCGUCAGAAGACUUCCUUGUAGUCCGGUGUAGAGGUGAGGUUGUAGGGAGAUGCAUCGACUAGGAAGGAGUGGCCACAUGAACGAGCAUAUGUAUGAUGUGAUUAAGUCUCUCGAUCGGGUAUCUGGUGCCUUACGUACGGUGUCUUAUUUUUGUCAAGCUAUGACAUCUUUCAGUUUGAGUGUCUGAUAUUAGGGUUGCAUACGUUUUGUUAUUCAGUUGCCUGUUGUCAACUCUAUGGUUAUAUCACCUCGAUGUGUGAGUCAAUGUGUUUGAACCAAUGUAGAGUUUCAUGUGAAUGUUACAAGUGUGAUUGAUAUCUUCAUGUUAUAACCGCAGUUGCCUUGGUAAGAAAUUGAAAGAGCAAACCGUUAUCGUGUUAGGAAAAAAGUCAUCGCUCAAUAUAAGUUGCUUCUCUAGAACAACCACACCUUUCCCUCAAAAAAAAGAACAACCACACCUUGUGAAAGAAGAUGGCAAACACCCAAUUAUGUCUGGUUAGAUAUGGGCAUGGCUAUGGGUAGCUUAUAGCGACACGGAAGCUAGCAUCGCCUGAAGAAACACCCGGAUGGGCCGGCCUAGAGACAAAUUUCUUCAUUUCUACCCUUAGUUUUGUUUUUCUGCCCUUUUUUCUUUAUAUUUUAUAUUUUUCCCGACAUGUUCACUACUUGAUGCUCAACUGGGAUCUCAUCUGAUGCGGAGCAUCCUAUGGACAUCACCAUGUCAAGAGUCCGUUCGGCAAGUGACACGUGUGACAUCUACUUCUCAUACAUAAAGGUGAAUCUUCUCCUUUACACGUGUUUACUUGACCCCUUCGAGGAUGGUAUACUACUUGACACUUCUCCCGUGUGCAUGCAUAGGUAUUGUCGGAGCUUCAUGGAUGUCGAGGAGGAGUGCAAGCGCCAAGGAAUGACUACACCGUCCGCGAGGGAAGCAUGGAAGAGAAGGAGGAAGAGAACCUGGCUACUCCAGAACGAGCGGUACUACUGCCCACUCCAAGCGGUACUACCGCCGAGGCCACCCAAGCGGCACUACCGCCCAGCAUCCGCCCUUCUACUGCUCAACCCGACAAACUCCAGUGAUCGAGCGGUGUAAGUCCGGUACUACUGCCCCUCCAAGCGGUACUACCGCUCAAGCGGUACUACCACCCAUGAGUCCGGUACUACCGCCCUGCCUCUGCCCAGCCGUGGGCCUUUGGCCUUGUAUCCCUCUCCCACUUACCCCUUCGUGGCUUAGACUAUAAAUAGGCCACCUCCACCUCCUUUCUAGGGUUAGCACAGAUUUAGCUCAUUUUGAGAUAGAGCUUUGCUCAUCCAUACGGAUCUACUCCUCGUGAGAGACCGCGACCUCUUCGGAGAAGAUCCAUCUUGGAUUCAAGACCCCCUCGUGGGAAGAUCCGUCUAGGAUACCAACAAGACCUCCUCUUGGAGAUGAACCUUACCUUGUAUCUUUCCCUUUGUUGUUCAUGUACCCUUGUGGAUCUUGUGUGUUUGAUUGUCUAGUGGAUGUGUGAUUGGACUUGUACUUGAGUGUUUCCCCUUGUGAUUUCUCUCCGUUCUUCCACGUGUUCUUCAUAGGGAUCCGCUCCAAACGUGAAAGAUCGGCCUCUAGGGUUCUAGCCUACAUCAUCUUGGAUCAGAGCAAGGUUGAUCACGGAUUUGGAGCCCCUACCCCUCUUUUUCUAGCCUUCUUUUGCUUGCUUUCGUCCUAAAAUCCCCACAAAAAAUAGCCCCAAUUUUUUUGUGAUUUGUUCGUUUGAUGAUUUUUUGUUGAUUUUGAUCCAUGGAUUUGCUUGGUUUUGAGUGGAUCUAGCAUCUCUCCAAGUUUCCCCACCUUCCAUCCACGAAAUCCAUCCAAUUUUGCCCCUGAAAUCAUCCUUUUCCGCCCCAAAUUCGCCCCGAUUUCGAUCUGUGAAUUUUCCCGACACGAGCGGUACUACCGCCCUCGAAGCGGUACUACCGCCCUCGAAGCGGUACUACCGCUGAGCACCACAAGCGGUACUACCACCCUCCCAAGCUAUGACGCCCGGAUAAUUAAGCUACAGUAAUCCCCUUCUAAUGGUGCCAUGUCAUCACAUUACUGUUGCUAAUCCUCGCUUGAUCCAAAUCUUAGUUCAAACUCAAAUUCAAAUUAAAGACCAAAAUUCAAAUUUCUCAAGCAUGCAAAAUAAAAUGUUCAAAGUGUGGCAAAUAAUCGCUGGAUAUUUGUCAUGUUGCAAACAACCUCUUUUGAAUUCUCAAAAUGCCCCUGGGAAUUAAUUUUUGGUCCAGUAGUAAAUUAAAUGGCAUUUGCAAAAUAAAGAAUUGUUUAUUUAACUCCAAUUGCCUCCAAACUUUAUGUGCCACUCCAAAAUAUUUGUGGCUCUGUCUAAGAUCGCCAAGGAAUUAAAAGGGCACUUCCCAUAUUUUCCCUAAGUAAAUAGUGUGCCCAAAAUAUUCUCUUAACCAUCUCUAUUUUUUUAAAUAAAAAAAGGCGAAGAAGAACUCCCCCGGGCCUCGGGCCACUCCCACUUACCAGCCCACCUAAGCCGGCCCACUCCCCCGCUCCCCUAGCCUAUAGGCCACGGCCGACCGAACCCUAACCCCGCAUGAUCCCCCCACUCCCCACUCCUCUCCCCUCUCGAUCCGAUCUGGAUCGGACCGAAACCGGCGCAAUUGGUCGAUCCAUGUAUAAAGUAAAAAUAACUAGGCCCAAUUGGUCGAUCCAUGACAGUUUUCGUGACGGUACUUCCACGUCUGUCAUGAGGGGGCUACCCUACUUGGCCCCAAAUGGAUCUUGCUAAUUGGUGACGGUUUCCGUGAUAGAUUUCUGGAACGUCACCAGAAAUCCGUCAUUGAUUAACAGAUUUCCGCACAAUCCCCCCACUCCCCACUCCUCUUCCCUCCUGAUCCGAUCUGGAUCGGACCGAAAUCGGCGCCGCGACGCCAACCGCCGUCGCUGGAGGCGUCCCCGACUCCACGCCGGGCCGCCCCGUCACUGGACCUCCUCCCCGUCGCCACUCGUCACUCGCUGGACCGCCUCGUCCCCACCAAUGCCGCCCCCACCCCAACGUCCCCGACGCCUUCGCCGUCGGCACCGCCCCAAUGUCGCCGCCACCCGACGCCGGCGCCCUCGACAUCGCCACCCCGAGCCCACUGCCACCCCUACGCUCCGCUAUGAGCCCCUCGCUGAUUCCCCCUCCUUCCCGUCGUCGUAGGUGGCUGCGCGCGUCGUUGGCCAUCGUGGCCGCGCUCCGGCCGUUCCCCAUCCGUGCGCUGGCCUCGCCUUCCUCGGAUUGCAAACAUUGAACUUUUCCCCUCGGGUUCAUCUAUCUGACAGACGUUCGGGACCAGAAAAACUUUCCCGGAUGUUUCCCCCUUCGCCAGUAUCACCUAGCACCGCGUUAGAACACUUCUAGCCCCGCUUAUUGUCUUGUUAUGCAUAUGUUUGCGUGUAUUUACUGUUUCUUCCCCCUCUUCUUCUCCGGUAGACCUCGAGACCGUUGCUGAUGCCCCUGUGGUCGACUACGUCGACGGCGACCCUCCUUGUCUGAGCAACGAGGCAAGCCCCCCCUUUGAUCAUCCCGAUAUCGCCCAUUCCAUUCUCUAAUGCUUGCACUAGAUUUUCUACUGUAUUUGAUUGCUCCUAUUCUGAUGCAUAGCAUGCUUUUCUACCUGCUGUUGUACCUUACCUGCUUAUCCUAAACUGCUUAGUAUAGGUUGGCUAGUGAUCCAUCAGUGACCCCCACCUUGUCUUUGUUGCCCCUGCUUCAUCAUUGACGACUCGAUCAACGUGAUCGACGACCGGAGCCUGACACCUCACAUCACAUCACGCCCCUUUUUGUUGCUCGACUCUGCAGAGUUACCAUCGAGUGCCGAGGGUGGAACCUCAUACAUCACUCCUUAUGAGAUCUCUGUAGUGUAGCUAUUCGGUCGUGGUCAUCGAGGGUGGUUCCUCCUUCACCAUUCCUAAUACGGCUCUGUCGUGCAACACCUCAAGUGUGAACCUCGAGGGUGGUUCCUCUUACGUUCACCUUGAUGAUUACAUCGAGUGGAAUCCACCGGGGGUGAUUCCUCGGAUUUUCCCCUUUAUGUCUGGACACACAGUUACCUUGACUUCACUUGAGACCGUUUUGAAAGCCGGGCAGGCCCGGAGAGCACCCGUGCGGUGUGACGGUGGCGGCUGGCUGUUUAGCGGUAUCACCCGGGAGGGGGUGAUAGCUCCGGACUUGUCCCGACAGCCGUCACUUCUUUUAAUAAUGCACUAACAGGUUUGGGUAUUUUUUCUAAGUUCACUAACCACGACGCUAGAAUAGUUAUGGGUCUCGAUGUUGCAGUAUCAGCCGAAGCUUUCUCAGACGUCCAGUUCAGCAUUGUGGCCGGGCCGAAUCAUGCCAUCCACUUCACGGGUGGUGCUGGUAUCCCCUUGCGCACAACGACCCAGAGUGCAACGGGCGAUGGGCCCAGACCCCGGAGUGCUUAGGAUGUAGACCGGCAGGGACCUCUCUGCUGAGCCUAGGUAGGGCAGCUACGUGUUGAUCUUCCGAGGCCGGGCAUUGACCCCAGAAAGGUGUGUCCUUCCAGAGUGAUCGAGCGUGUUGGGUAACGUGGUGCCCCCCUGCAGGGAAGAUUAUCUAUUAAUAGCCGUGUCCACGGUAACGGACGUUCAAACUUAUAUCUUGAUCUUAUACAACUACAAAUGGAUACUUGAGAUAUGUGGCUCCGGGAUUGCUUUCUCGCAGGGAGUCGAGGAAGGAUCUCUGGGCGUUGUUGUCACAACAUGCUUGUUAAUUAAACUGCUAUUCUUUACUCUUCUACAUGCUGCAAGAUGCUUGGAGCUACUUGAAGAUGCUAGUCUUCAUGAGGCUAGGCCUUCCCCUCUAUUCUGGCAUUCUGCAGUUCAGUCCACAGAUACAACCCUUCCAUUUGAUACCAAUGCAUACUUAGUAUAGAUCUGAUGCUUGCGAGUACUUUGGAUGAGUACUCACGGUUGCUUUGCUACCCCAUUUCCCCCUUCUUUCUUCUUUCCGGUUGACGCAACCAAAUGGUGGAUCCCUGGAGCCAGAUGCCAGCGCUGAUAGAUGCUACUAUGUGAAGAUCGCCGACGACCAGGAGUAGUUAGGAGGUCCCAAGCAGGAGGCCUUGCCUCUUCGAUCAUUGUUGCUUUUGUGCUAGCCUUCUUAAGGCAUCUUUGUUUAACUUAUGUCUGUACUCAGAUAUUGUUGCUUCCGCUGACUCUUGUGUAUCGAGCUAUGUAUUCAAGCCCUCGAGGCCCCUGGCUUGUAAUAUAAAGCUUGUAUUAUUUUGAUUUGUGUCUAUAGUUGUGUUGUGAUAUCUUCCCGUGAGUCCCUGAUCUUGAUCAUACACAUUUGCGUGCAUGAUUAGUGUACGAUUGAAUCGGGGACGUCACAAGUUGGUAUCAGAGCCGACUGUUUGUAGGAUCCCCCUUUCCAACUCCUUGGCUGAAGUUGAGUCUAGUCUUUGAAAAAAAUUGUUUUACUAACAUGGUUGUGUGGCUUACGGGCCCAUGUCGCCAUUGGGUGGUAUUAGGAUCUUUUACUCCUCGACCUUUACUCUGGGACUCUAAUCGCUCUUCUAUUCGGGUUAAAUGGUCUCGCAAACUAUAACUCUAGGUUCUCGUAAAUACUUUCUCCCGGAGAGCCCCUUCAUUCCAGAUGAUGGCCUGCUUCACCAGAUGAUUUCGAAGAUACCCUUCUGUAAUUUCCUGAGACUUUUGUACUCAUUGCUUUUGCAGUUCCCUACCUCUGAUAUAUCCUUACGGAUAACUUCAUACACUUGUCAUUCAUACAAUCAUUCCUAGUUGCUCUUGUUUUUACAAGAUACAUUGAAUUAUUCUCCGACUUUUAAGAAUCCCUUGCUUACUGCCCUGCAGUUCCUUGCCGCAUGAAUACCCCUACGGAUAAUUACUCGCACUUGCCGAGUAUCCGUUCGUCCAUAGUUGUUCAUGUGUUUCACAACAUUCUUUGGAAAGCUAUUUGAUCUUUUCAAAAAUCCUCAGUAGCCUAUUACUCUUGUUCCUCCUUACCUACUUACAGUAUGGUUACUUCCAUUUGUCUAGCAAUAUUCUUUAAAAUCCUUUGCGAUUGACAUCCUUACCCUAUUGUUUCAACAUGUGUGUGAAUGCACGCAAUCAUCAAUUGUUCCCUGGAAUUGUCCUUCUGGCUCAGACGUUACCCCGGACACGAGCUGGUGUUCGACAAAACAAACCUUGAUUGAUUUUGAAUCUAUGUCUAUACAACUUAAUUGUCUUUGAUCAGAGCCUCUGCUUUUGAUCCCCCAUUUUGAAAAUCAUAAUCCCCUUUGCAUUCGAGCAUAGAAUUAGUCAGUUGUUUCUAUAACCUGACCUCCUUGAAUUCUUUCUUCUUCUGGUUGAGUAUCGAUACUCACAUCAGAUCCAUUGUGGACCUCCAGGUCCUUUGUUGGUUUUUAUCCGACAGCAUCCUUCAUAUUCAGUAACCUUGUGAGCCUUUCCUCGAAUACACAAUGCCUUUGGUAAAUUGUAUCCCCCACUCUCGUCAACCAUACUCUGCUUCCGGGCUUGAGUUAUUUACUCGUGAAGUUUGUGGUAUAUGUUCCUAAUAUGUCCCUAUGGGUUGAAUCUAUGUCUUCCCUAAAUCUGUGUGAACCCUACGACUCAUACUCUACUGGUGUUAUGCCAGAUAAAAUCUCAACAGUACGGCUUCGUUGAAAAUGAGAAGUGAAUGAAAGGUUAUGCAUCGAAGAAGUGGGAGUCGACCUUGAGCCUUGUGUUCAUGCCCAUGGACACGAUGUGGAACUUAACAUGGAAGCUUCUUUUUAUAAUAAUAGCCCCCUAGCGAUAAGUACAUCUUGUAUCCAUGUGUGGUCCAUUGCAAUCGUGGUUCCGACCAUAUUGUUCUUGUUUGAUCCAUUUAUCGGACAAGUUAAAGUACUUGUCUUCUUCAAAUUGUUUCACAUGUUCAACCUCUACAUUGAUAUACCUUCGAGCAUUAUCCUCUGGUAUCUCGAGAAUAUCACGGAACUACAUAACUUCUUAUGAGUUCUUGAUCAACUAUUAUUUCUCACUGAUUCAAAUUUUUCACUAGUUGGGAGUUGUUAGACACUCGAGAAUACAGUUAACUGAUUCAAGUCUACGCUUUCCUUUCCAUUGUUCUGUUUAAUCUUUCUGGUAACCUAUCUUAUCUGAGAACUGAUAAUUCCCUGCUUAUGUAAACACCUCGGUGUACAAGCUCUGUCUGUAAGACCUUGUUACUAUUGUUGAGGACAUUCCGAUAGCUACCGAUGGACGAGAACUUUGCCUAUUGGUCCGCCUCAUCUUAACGAGCAGGAAAAUGGUUCUCUUUGUCCCUCUCCCUUGGUACCAACGUUGUUGCCAACAUAACUGACAAGUUGUCCUCUGACCUGCCUUGCUAUCAUGACCAUGCAAAAUGCUAGCGCCCUUCCUGCUUUUAACCCACAAGGUGGGCCUGAGGGAGUCCUGGACUAGGCGGUGUCCGGACAGCCGGACUAUCAUCGUCCGCCGGACUCCAAGACUACGAAGAUACAAGAUUGAAGACUCCGUCCCGUGUCUGGAUGGGACUUUCCUUGGCGUGGAAGGCAAGCUUGGAAAUACGGAUAUGUAGAUCUCCUACCAUUGUAACCGACUCUGUGUAACCCUAGCCUCCUCCGGUGUCUAUAUAAACCGGAGGGCUUUAGUCCGUAGGACACAACAUACAUUACAACAAUCAUACCAUAGGCUAGCUUUAGGGUUUAGCCUCCUUGAUCUCGUGGUAGAUCCACUCUUGUACUACCCAUAUCAUCAAUAUUAAUCAAGCAGGAUGUAGGGUUUUACCUCCAUCGAGAGGGCCCGAACCUGGGUAAAACAUCGUGUCCCUCGUCUCCGGUUACCAUCCGCCUAGACGCACAGUUCGGGACCCCCUACCUGAGAUCCGCCGAUUUUGACACCGACAUUGGUGCUUUUAUUGAGAGUUCCUCUGUGUCGUCACCAAUAGGCUCGAUGGCAUCUUCAACCAACAACGCUGUCCAGGGUGAGACUUUUCUCCCCGGACAGAUCUUUGUAUUCGGCGGCUUCGCACUGCGGGCUAAUUCGUUUGGCCAUCGGAGCAGAUCGAAAGCUACGCCCCUGGCCGUCAGGUCAGAUUCGGAAGUCUCAACUUCACGGCCGACGUCCGCGGAGACUUGAUCUUCGACGGGCUCGAGCCACAGCCAAGCGCGCCGCACUGUUACGAUGGGCAUGAUCUAGCUCUGUCGCCGAACAGUGCCUUGGUGGCCGCCCACGAAUCCGCUUCGGCCUUUAGUCCGGGGCCGAUCGCCCAGACCGAGGAACGGUGGAUGGACACCGCCUCGGGGGCUUCAACUUCCACGGCGAUGGAGCCGAACACUAAUCUUGUCCCUCGCAAAACUCGUGAUUCCGAGGUGCCGGACUCCUUGCCGGACUCCGAAGCUCCCACGCCCCUACCAACCGAAUCGGAUUGGGCGCCGGUUAUGGAAUUCACCGCCGCGGACAUCUUCCAAUACUCGCCUUUUGGCGACAUCCUGAAUUCGCUAAAGCAUCUCUCGUUAUCAGGAGAGCCCUGGCCGGACUAUGGCCAGGAUGGUUGGGAUACGGACGACGAAGAAAUUCAGAGCCCACCCACCACCCACUUUGUAGCCACUGUCGACGAUCUAACCGACAUGCUAGACUACGACUCCGAAGACAUCAACGCUAUGGACGACAAUGCCAGAGACGAACAGGAACCAGCGCCUACAGGGCACUGGAAGACCACCUCGUCAUAUGACAUAUACAUGGUGGAUACCCCAAAAGACGGGGACGGCGAAGAAACAGCGGAGGCAUAUUCUUUAAAGAAACAGCCCAAGCGCCGGCAUCAGCGGCGCUGCUCUAAAUCCCGCCACGGCAAGAAUGGAGAUUCCAGCACAGGAGAUAAUAAUACCCCAGAAAGUGCCGAAGAUAACCCCCUCCAGCAAGACUCAGCGCAGGAGGAUGCAGAAGCAAGCCCUCACGAGAAGGCGGCAGACAAAGAGGUUGAGGAUUACAACUAUAUGCCUCCCUCCGAAGACGAGGCAAGCCUCAACGAUGACGAAUUCGUCGUGCCCGAGGAUCCCGUCGAACAAGAGCGUUUUAAACGCAGGCUUAUGACCACGGCAAAUAGCCUAAAGAAAAAGCAGCAGCAGCUUCAAGCUGAUCAGGACCUGCUGGCCGAUCGAUGGACCGAGGUCCUCGCGGCCGAAGAGUAUAAACUCGAAUGCCCCUCCAAAAGCUAUCCAGGACGCAAGCUGCUCCCCCGAUUAGAGGAGGAAGCAUACAUACCUCCAUCACCAGCGCACGAUACGGCUGACCGACCACCCCGUGGUCGUGACAGAGAGGCAUCCAGGCCCCCAACCAAGACCGUACCCCGGCAUCGCUCGAAAAGUAUGAAGCCAAGAGGGAACGCGCCGGACUUGCGAGAUAUAUUGGAGGACAAAGCAAGGCAAUCCAGAUCCAUCUACGGAUCACGGGGGUGCCCCACGACCCAUGACGAAUACCGUCGCGCCGGAUACAAUAACCCCGGCCGGGCCGAACACAGCAGACAACGCUCUCUCGAGUUGCAUCGUGAUAUUGCUCAAUAUAGAGGCGCCGCACACCCGCUAUGCUUCACAGACGAAGUAAUGGAUCAUCAAAUCCCUGAAGGGUUUAAACCCGUAAACAUCGAAUCCUACGAUGGCACAACAGACCCUGCGGUUUGGAUCGAAGAUUACCUUCUCCACAUCCAUAUGGCCCGCGGCGACGAUCUACAUACCAUCAAGUACCUCCCACUCAAGCUUAAAGGACCAGCUCGGCAUUGGCUCAACAGCUUGCUCGCAGAGUCAAUUGGGUGUUGGGAAGACCUAGAAGCCGCAUUCCUUGAUAACUUCCAGGGCACGUAUGUGCGACCACCAGACGCCGAUGACCUAAGUCACAUCAUUCAGCAGCCAGACGAAUCGGCCAGACAAUUCUGGACACGGUUCUUGACAAAGAAAAAUCAAAUCGUCGACUGUCCGGAUGCAGAGGCCCUUGCAGCCUUCAAACAUAACACCCGCGACGAAUGGCUAGCCCGGCACCUGGGGCGGGAAAAGCCGAAAUCCAUGGCAGCCCUCACAUCAUUAAUGACCCGCUUUUGCGUGGGAGAGGAUAGCUGGCUAGCUCGCAGCAACAAUCUCCGUAAAAAUUCUGGCAGUCCAGACACCAAGAACAAUAAUGGCAGGUCACGUCGAAACAAAAACAAACGCCGCAUCAACGGCAAUGAUAAGGAGGAUACGGCAGUCAACGCCGGAUUCCGAGGCUCUAAACCCGGUCAACGGAAGAAGCCAUUCAAAAGAACCACUCCGGGUCCGUCUAAUUUGGACCGAAUACUCGACCGCUUAUGCCAGAUACAUGGCACCCCUGAAAAGCCAGCUAAUCACACUAAUAGAGACUGCUGGGUGUUCAAGCAGGCAGGUAAGUUAAUUGCCGAAAACAAUGACAAGGGGCUAAACAGCGAGGACGAGGAGGAGACCCGACCGCCGAACAAUAGAGGACAAAAGGGUUUUCCCCCACAAGUGCGGACGGUGAACAUGAUCUACGCGACCCAUAUACCCAAUUGGGAGAGGAAGCGUGCACUAAGGGACGUCUAUGCGAUGGAGCCAGUCGCCCCGAAGUACAAUCCAUGGUCCUCUUGUCCGAUCACUUUCGAUCGAAGAGACCAUCCGACCAGCAUACGCCAUGGCGGAUUCGCCGCAUUGGUUCUAGACACAAUCGUCGAUGGAUUUCACCUCACGAGAGUCCUGAUGGACGGCGGUAGUAGCCUGAACCUGCUUUAUCAGGACACAGUGUGCAAAAUGGGCAUAGACCCCUCAAGGAUUAAACCUACAAAGACAACCUUUAACAGUGUCAUACCAGGUGUGGAAGCCAACUGUACAGGCUCAGUCACACUGGAAGUGGUCUUCGGAUCCCCGGACAAUUUCCGGAGCGAGGAGUUAAUCUUCGACAUAGUCCCGUUUCGCAGCGGCUAUCACGCUCUGCUCGGACGAAUCGCGUUCGCAAAAUUCAACGCGGUGCCGCAUUGUGCAUACCUCAAGCUCAAGAUGCCAGGCCCUCAUGGAGUCAUCACGGUCAAUGGGAAUACGGAACGCUCCCUCCGAACGGAGGAACAUACAGCGGCUCUCACGGCAGAAGUACAGAGCAGCCUUUUAAGGCAAUUCUCGAGUCCGGCCAUUAAACGGCCGGAUACAUCAAAGCGCGCCCGAAGCAAUACCAACCAAGACCACCUGGCGUGAUCAGAGCACGCGUAGCAAUGCGGCCCCAACCCCCGCCCGCGCGUGAUUGCAAGAAUAACCCUCCGCGUACAUCAUUACGCUUUGGAGAUACCAUGGGCGCAGGGGAAGGGGCACGAUCACAACGGACCCAGAGUGCAGUUCGACCGCACCAGGGGCUCGCAAGUGUGCCCCCUUUUUUUUAUUGUUAUUUUCCCUCUUUGUGUACACAGGACUCCGUUAGCCAGAGGCCCUAUCCGGCGGUGAACCUGCCGAACUCAUGAUGCAAUAACCAGGGAAGAAAGAACGCUGCGACGAACACUCAGGUGGUCUCAAUUACAAGCAUUAAAUUCGAUUAUAUACACCAAGUCCGCAGCUUACCCUUGGAGGGGGACAUGUUUAAUUAGUCCAAAUCCCUUGCUUACCACACUAUUUGUAUCAGUCCGCACUCAUAGCAGACUUUCUUUCAUAAAUAAUGCAGCACCUUUUUGACUGCAAUUACAUUACCUUUUAUAUAUAUAUGCUCAUUACAUGACAUCUUGCACCCGUAUAUUUUGGUACGGCCUAAUACACCAGGGGCUUAUGUUCCCCACAUUAUGGUGUGAUAAGUCCGAACACUUUCGUAAGUGCAGCACCCCGAACUUAUAGCACUAUAUGAAUCGGCUCCGAAUCAUGUCUUGGGUCAAUAGUUGGGUUUGCCCGGCUCCCACGUUUUGGUGCCUUACGUUCCGUUCUGUCGGCUAAGGUGGCACUGGGAGAACCACUGCGAUUGCGCCCCGGUUGAGCCGGGCGAGCACCUCAGUGGAGAAAGCUAAAACUGACCGGCAUGAUAAGGCGAGAGACUGGUCGCUGUUCGAGAGGUUUUUUCGGGUCCUUAAAGACUCACGCCACUUCGAGCGAAGUUCCGGACCAUGUCUGACGAAGGCGUGGAUAGCGCCCCGGAUUCGGCCUUUCGGAUACCAGGGGCUUCGCCGAAAUUUAAAAUUAUAGAAUUCUAUGGCUAAGUGAGAGUGUUCAAGCAUUAUAAGUCCGGUCGCCUUGUUCGUUGUGUUGAGCACCUCCCUAGAUGGACCCAAAAAUGGGAAUAAGAGUGCUCAAGUUUAUCCCGAACACCCCAGCACUCGUGGCUCGGGGGCUGAAGCCAAUGACUUUCCAUCUCUCAGAUUUUAUAAACGGCCGCACAGAAGGUAAUAUUUUAAAUUAAAACAAGCGUUGCUCAUGGCGCAUCUGAACGAAGUUUUCAGCGCACAGGAUAAUACAUAGCGAGUUCACUCAAAGAUUACAUUUCUAGGGCACUCAUCCGCAAUAUCGCGGGCUCCCUUCAGGACAGUUUUAUAAUACAUUUCAGGCGUGCGAUACUCCUUGCCCGGCGGCGGUGGGUCUGUGAGAAGCUUCUCCGCAUCCAACCUGCCCCAAUGCACCUUUGUGCGGGCAAGGGCCCGACGAGCACCUUCAAUACAGGCGGAGCGCUUGAUGACCUCCACCCAGGGGCAUGCAUCCACCAGCCGCCGCACGAGGCCGAAGUAGCUACCAAGCAUGACCUGUUCAGGCCACAGCCGGACUAUAAGGCCCUUCAUGGCCUCUUCAGCUACCUUGUGGAGUUCGACCAGCUGCUUCAGCUGGUCGCUUGGGGGCACCGGAUGGCCUGCCUCAGCGUACUAAGACCAGAAGACCUUCUCCGUUGAGCUCCCCUCCUCGCCACGAUAGAAUGCGGCGGCAUCGGAGGCACUACACGGCAGAUCUGCAAACACCCCUGGAGAGCUCCGAAUGCGGGUAAUUGUCAGGUAGUUUACAUUAACAUGCUUGCUUUGCAUGAAAAAUGCCUUACCCGCCGCUAUCUUCUUUACAUCUUCAACCUCCUGAAGGGCCUUACGGGCCUCGGCCUUGGCGGACUUGGCACUUUCGAGAGCCGAGGCAAGCUCGGACUCUCGAGUCUUGGAGCCUCCUGCUUUUCUCGCUCCGCCCGUUCCGCGACCGCACUGCGUUCAGCCGCGGACACAGCCUCCUUCAGGGCUGCCACCUCGUUCGUGGCCCCUGCAAUACCCAUAUUAUCCUUGUUAAUUUUAUUGCAACCAAAAUCCUUUUCCGUAAGGUGACUAUUCAAAGCGGUGUUACUCACCUUCUUUGUCCUCGAGCUGCUUCUUGGCAGUGCCGAGCUCUUGCUCGGACCGCUCGAGAUCCUGCUUCAACACAUCGACCUCCGCCGUCAGUGCGGCAGAGGUCAGUAGCGCAGCCUGCAAACCCAUAUUGACAUAUUUUAAGCAACCCUGCGUAUAUCUUGUUAGAUCCUCAGUCCGGCUUUUCUUUCCGAACACCGAACUGAGCAUCAAGGGCUACUGUCUAUGCGGUAUUACAUUACAUAAUUUUAACUUCUUACCUCAAAGCCUGUUAGAAGGCUGCUGCAGGCUUCGGUCAGCCCGCUCUUGGCGAGCUAAACCUUUUGAAUCACCGCACUCAUGUUAGUGCGAUGUUUUUCCUCGAUGGAAGCGCCUUCAAGCGCCUCCAACAAGUUAUCCGGCGCCUCCGGUUGGACGGAGGUCGCCGGUGUCAAGGUCUUGCCCUUCUUUCGAAGGGGCCGCCCGCCGGACUCUAGAACCACUGCGGGUUCCGAUGUAGAGUCCGGCACAAAGUCUGGGAGGCAGCCUGACGACGCCUCCGGAGCCUCCUCCUGAUGGGUCCCUCUCUGGGAUCCCACCUCGGCGUCCCCGUCGGCGCGGGGGGUAGAGGCGGUCGGAAGUGAAUCCACAUCUAACGGGGCCAACGACCCGCUCGAUGAAGCGGGGAGAUCAUCAUCGGCCGGACUACGGACAGAACGCGGCAUUAGAAGGACACUACGCGACACGAAAGAAAUUGCAUAUCAUGGAUCCGGAUACUUACGAUCUUGUCGGACGCCUGGCCCUUGGAGGCCACUCAUCCUCGCCAACGGUGGUGUUGGCGAAACUGUCCGGGGGGAUAGUCCUCCCCCUCUUGGACCCUUCGGCCUCCCCUAUUGGGAAAGCCUUCCACUUCUUCUCUCCCUCCUCCGAGAGAGAGUCCUCUUCCUCCUCCUCGUCUUUGGGGGAGGAGUCCGCCUCGUCGUCGGACGCCUAAUUGCGGGAACUCUUUCGAGUCCCCGCGGCCACCUUCUUGGCCUUCUUCUCCGGCACCACGUGCGGUGCCGGAACCAGCAGCCCUGCUAAACGGGCGUUCUCUGGGUCUUCAGGCAUGGGAGCCGGGCUGAUGAGCUGCUUGGCCUUCUCCAUCCAUUCCUAUCAAAGGAAAAGAGAGAUUGAAACCCUCUUAGAAUCAGUUUAAUUACCACAAGUGUCCCGUAACGUGGUUGAAUCACUUACCUCGUCAGCCGGAUGCUGCGAGCGAAAUCCGUGAUCUUCCGUCGCGGAUGCGGGGGCUUCGGCGCCCUUAAACAGCACCCUCCAGGCGCCUUCGUAUGUCGUAUCGAAGAGCCCGCUCAGCGCCUGGUGCUGUUCCGGAUUGAACUCCCACAGAUUGAAUACCCGUUCUUGGCAUGGGAGAAUCCGGCGGAUGAGCAUGACUUGGACCACGUCGACGAGCCUGAGCUUAUUGCUCACCAGCUUCUGGAUGCAGGCUCGGAGUCCCGUCACCUCCUUCGGAUUUCCCCACAGCAAGCCCUUCUCUUUCCAGGAGGUGAACUGCGUGGGGACGCCAGAUCUAAACUCGGGGGCCGCCGCCCAUGUGGGCUUGCGCAGCUCGGUGAUGUAGAACCAACCCGAUUGCCACCCCUUGACGGAGUCCACGAAGGCCCCUUCGAGCCAAAGGACGUUGGGCAACUUACCCAACAUGGCGCCUCCGCAUUCCGCUUGCGUGCCCUUCACAACCUUCGGCCUCCCCUAUUGGGGAAGCCUUCCUCUUCUUCUCUCCCUCCUCCGGGAGAGAGUCCUCUUCCUCCUCCUCGUCUUCGGGGGAGGAGUCCGCCUCGUCGUCAGACGCCUGAUUGCGGGAACUCUUUCGAGUCCCCGCGGCCACCUUCUUGGACUUCUUCUCCGGCACCACGUGCGGUGCCGGAACCAGCAGCCCUGCUAAACGGGCGUUCUCUGGGUCUUCAGGCAUGGGAGCCGGGCUGAUGAGCUGCUUGGCCUUCUCCAUCCAUUCCUGUCAAAGGAAAAGAGAGAUUGAAACCCUCUUAGAAUCAGUUUAAUUACCACAAGUGUCCCAUAACGGGGUUGAAUCACUUACCUCGUCAACCGGAUGCUGCGAGCGAAAUCCGUGAUCUUCCGUCGCGGAUGCGGGUGCUUCGGCGCCCUUAAACAGCACCCUCCAGGCGCCUUCGUAUGUCGUAUCGAAGAGCCCGCUCAGCGCCUGGUGCUGUUCCGGAUUGAACUCCCACAGAUUGAAUGCCCGUUCUUGGCAUGGGAGAAUCCGGCGGAUGAGCAUGACUUGGACCACGUCGACGAGCCUGAGCUUAUUGCUCACCAGCUUCUGGAUGCAGGCUCGGAGUCCCGUCACCUCCUUCGGAUUGCCCCACAGCAAGCCCUUCUCUUUCCAGGAGGUGAACUGCGUGGGGACGCCAGAUCUAAACUCGGGGGCCGCCGCCCAUGUGGGCUUGCGCAGCUCGGUGAUGUAGAACCAACCCGAUUGCCACCCCUUGACGGAGUCCACGAAGGCCCCUUCGAGCCAAAGGACGUUGGGCAACUUACCCAACAUGGCGCCUCCGCAUUCCGCUUGCGUGCCCUUCACAACCUUCGGCUUGACGUUGAAGGUCUUGAGCCACAGGCCGAAGUGGGGCCGGAUGCAGAGGAAGGCCUUGCACACGACGAUAAACGCCGAGAUGUUGAGGAUGAAGUUCGGCGCCAGAUCGUGGAAAUCCAGGCCGUAGUAAAACAUGAUCCCCCGGACGAAUGGGUGGAGUGGAAAGCCCAGUCCGCGGAGGAAGUGGGGAAGGAAGACGACCCUCUCAUGGGGCCCAGGGGUAGGGAUGAGCUGCCCCUCGUCGGGCAGCCGAUGCGCGAUAUCGCCGGAAAGGUAUCCGGCGCUGCGAAGCUUGGUGAUAUGCUCCUCCUUAACGGUGGAGUCCAACCAUUUGCCUCCCGCUCCGGACAUAUUCGGAGAAGGUCGGGGCGAGAUGCGCGAGCUUGGGCGUUGGAGCUUGAGUGCACGGAGAUGGAUAAGCAAAGGAGGAAGAAGGCGUAGGUGAGAAGGUAAAUCCUUAUCCCUUAUAUAUAGGCGGACGAAAACUAUGCGUCCCCACCGGCCUGAUAAAACUCGCUUAUCUCCCAAGCGCCACCAUCAAUGGCGCGGUUGGGUUACCCACGUCCGUAUUGAUGGGAAUCCCGGAAUAAGGGGAACACAAUCUCUGCUUCGACAAGACGUGCCAAGGAAACCGCUUCGCUAAACGUGCUGAGGUGGUAUAGUAAAAAACGAUUCAAACAAAGGCUUGGUAGCGGUGUGAUGUCACGCCGCAUAAUACGUCAGCAGAUUGGACUGGUGUACAUUUUAUUCUCUCUACGGUGGAAUGUGGAAUUUAUUUUGCAGAGCCGGACACUAUCCUGGUGUUCAUGAUCUUCUCUGGAUUAUUCAAGGGAGGAACCCGCCUUGCAAUGCCGAACAUUAUGCGCGCCGGACUUAUCGUCAUUGAAGCCUGGUUCAGGGGCUACUGAGGGAGUCCUGGACUAGGGGGUGUCCGGACAGCCGGACUAUCAUCGUCCGCCGGACUCCAAGACUACGAAGAUACAAGAUUGAAGACUCCGUCCCGUGUCCAGAUGAGAUUUUCCUUGGCGUGGAAGGCAAGCUUGGCAAUACGGAUAUGUAGAUCUCCUACCAUUGUAACCGACUCUGUGUAACCCUAGCCUCCUCCGGUGUCUAUAUAAACCGGAGGGCUUUAGUCCGUAGGACACAACAUACAUUACAACAAUCAUACCAUAGGCUAGCUUUAGGGUUUAGCCUCCUUGAUCUCGUGGUAGAUCCACUCUUGUACUACCCAUAUCAUCAAUAUUAAUCAAGCAGGACGUAGGGUUUUACCUCCAUCGAGAGGGCCCGAACCUAGGUAAAACAUCGUGUCCCUCGUCUCCUGUUACCAUCCGCCUAGAUGCACAGUUCGGGACCCCCUACCCGAGAUCCGCCGGUUUUGACACCGACAGGGCCCAUAACCCACAGUUCCACAGGAUCGAAACCUGACUCAUGUACAUCCCUGUUUUUCAAAGUUGUUCCUCGCGCUUGGAUUCGUAUGUAAUUCACGAGCCACCUUCCUUGUGAUCUGUUCUGGUAUCAGAUGCAAUACUUAUUCCCAUUGCUCUAAACCCCUUUCACCUUCUUACCUUGCUCUCGAUGACUAUCCUGAAUUCCAACUCAAGAGAUGCCUCUAUGCCAUGUUGAGGUACCUAUCUUGUGUUGAGCUCCAUCCCUCCCGAGUCUUUCCCCCUUACUCACCCCUUAAAUCUCGAGACGAUAUUUCUUGUAGUGGAGGAGAAUUGUGACGCCCAAAUAAUUAAGCUACAGUAAUCCCCUUUUAAUGGUUCCAUGUCAUCACAUUACUAUUGCUAAUCCUCGCUUGAUCCAAAUCUUAGUUCAAACUAAUAUUCAAAUUAAAGACCAAAAUUCAAAUUUCUCAAGCAUGCAUAAUAAAAUGUUCAAAGUGUGGCAAAUAAUCCCUGGAUAUUUGUCAUGUUGGAAACAACCUCCUUAGAAUUUUCAAAAUGCCCCUGGGAGUUAAUUUUUGGUCAAGUAGUAAAUUAAAUGGCAUUUGCAAAACAAAUAAUUAUUUAUUUAACUCCAAUUGCCUCCUGUCGUGGGAAACGAACACCUAUGGGGCAGGGCCCCUUUUCGGUCUGGCAAGGGAGCGGAGGGCACACGAAGAGCAGAUCGAGGCGAAGCACGCGGGGGAAUUUUACCCAGCUUCGGAGCUCUCCGGAGAGAUAAAACUCCUACUGCUGCUUUGUGUUUCUAUUCUGUUCUUGCUCAAGAGUGUGGGUGUGUUGUAGUUUCGAAUGAGUCGAACCCCUUCUACGUGCGCAUGGGCCUCCUUUUUAUAGUCUAAAGGGGUCACCGACAGGUGGCAGCAUAGAGAGAGGGGUAAAAAAGUAAAAACGCGGGUUGGUACAACCGCUAUCAACAGUGCCCCCUACCUAACUCUGACAGCAGGGGACAAGGGCAUUUAAUGCCCAUCCGGUCGCCCAAACAGUGCAGGAAGUGACCGUUAGGGGCGCCACCAAUCGCCACGAUGGCCUCCUAGUCAUCUUCACUUGCCACCUCGCACCGCUUGGCUGCACAGCUACCCGCCACGUGCACCGGGAGCGAUCCUGCGGCGACACGUCAUCGGAUGCGCUGGAGCAUGGGCGCAGAGUUGUGGCUUUGCCGCGGCAAGCGCCUUGCCGCGGUCACUAUCUUGUUGCACCCGCAAGCUUGCCGCUCGCCGGGUCUUGGUUGGCCUUCCCGGCAAGAUCCUCCUGCCGGGGUCUUGUCCUUCCCGGCAAGCUUCUCUUGCCGGGGCUUCGUCUUCACAGUUAACACUUUGUUCUUGAAUGGCAGUAAAUAGGAAUGACGAAGGAUCUUGGCGGACGCCCGGCAAGCCUUGCCGCAGGACGCUGCGCCUGCCCGUGCACAAGUUCGGGGUACUAAGGUACCCCUACUUUAGUACACCGACUGGAGCCCCCGGGCCUGGGCCAUACACGGUGCUGAGCGCUGUUGGGCCAGGCCCAAAACAGGACACGGGCACGCGCGGCCUGGGUCCUAACUAAAUCCACUCCGUAUCCACCGCGUCCUCCCGUAACGGCACGCGUCAAUCGCGGCGUCGUGGGAGAGAUCGUGGGUGGAAGACGUUCGCGCGUAUCCACAGCCUGAUGGAGGGGUUUACCCUCCAUUUUAAGUUAAUGGAGGGCGAUCUCCUCUCCGUCAAGGUCUUCGGGUGCUUCGACACUCGGGCGAAGUGCUGCGUGGACAGCUCCUCCGAUAGCAAAGGCUCCCCCUCGAGCGAGAGCGACAAGGAGGAGAGCAACAGCGAUGAUGAGGGUAGCGGGCGGCGGGAUGGCGGGCCCGACUAGGUGUCGGGCGCCGCUUCGUGCGUCACCGGUGACCCCAUCAUCCGUGUCGCCGGCUCCUUGAACUCCCCGGGGUCGUCUCCUUGGGCGGCUGGCGUAGGGAGGCUGCGGAAGGGGAAGAGGGCUGGCGACAAGGCCGUCAAAUCGGAGUACGAGGGCGUAGUGCCCUCGACAGCGUGCUGACGUCCUGCCGCCCCAUCUUCGAGCCCCGCUUCCAGCGCCGCCAUCACCGUCCGGCCUUCGGACGGCCCCCGGGAUGUUCUCUUGGUGUCUUCGCCUAGGCGCCUCUUUUGCCCUUUUCGCCUCCUUGACCUACAUCCUGAAGAGAGGGACAGGAAAGGGAUUACGGGCAUCUUAUCUUUUUAAUUUGUAAGCCUUCGGGCCCUAGUCGCAUCUAAAACUUGUAACCCUCUCUUUCAUGUUUUUCAUCCUCUAUGGACUGUACCUGAGUGUGAUGUUUUUUUAAUGAAAAAGGGAUGCUUGCCGGGUUAUUUGUCUCAUGGGUUGAACCCACGCCAAGGAGCAAAUCCUUGGUAUCCCUCGGACAGGCAUUUCAUCUCCCGCCAACAGGCCCUGCCGCCUUCCCACGUCGCUCGACCUUUCUCACGCCUUUGACGGAGGCGGGAACGAGGUGGGUGCGGCCUCCUCAUUUCAUCCCUUUGCUGCUGUGACUACGACCAAACUUGGCCCCGGGAACGAGCCCCAGGGCCUAGAGUUGAGGGAGCACGGCAGUUUUCGGGAAGAAACGCGGUUUCGCAUUCCCCAGUCCAUAAGAGGAUGCAUGAUGAGGGACGAAAGACUUAUCUGAUAUCGCAGCCCCCGGCAACUCUGGCUUGCCGUGGAUGAAUCUUGGUACUCGCAGCCCCCAGCAACACUGGCUUGCCGGGGCCCAGGUGCCGGCGCGCCCUUCUUCUCCUUUCCUUGUCGCUGUUAUUUCAGUUAUGAGAACAAUUUAGUCAGUGCCGCAAUAAGUUACUCUUGUAAUAUAACUUUAUUCUGGGCAAUGCUUGUUAUGUUACAUCCUUUAUUUGAUUCCAUUCCUUGUAUGUUUGUACCCUUACGCUUUUACGGAACUUGCCGGUGCAAACACGCUUGCCACGAGCGCUGAGUGCAAAACAUCAGCAGCCUUCUAGCGGUGUUGCCUCCGGCAAGAAACCUUGUCGGGGCUAGUCGCAGCACACUUUCAUUGUUGAGCGGACUCAAAACAAAGUAAGGGUGCAACUUAACCACGAGCCGGUUCCUCUGCGCACAGGUUUUCCAUACAAGGCAUGGUCGUUCAAGGAAUAUAACUUAAAAAUUUAAAACUGACUGUGCUUAAACUUCGGCAACUUAGCUUUUUUGUUGUUUGUGUCCNNNNNNNNNNNNNNNNNNNNNNNNNNNNNNNNNNNNNNNNNNNNNNNNNNNNNNNNNNNNNNNNNNNNNNNNNNNNNNNNNNNNNNNNNNNNNNNNNNNNNNNNNNNNNNNNNNNNNNNNNNNNNNNNNNNNNNNNNNNNNNNNNNNNNNNNNNNNNNNNNNNNNNNNNNNNNNNNNNNNNNNNNNNNNNNNNNNNNNNNNNNNNNNNNNNNNNNNNNNNNNNNNNNNNNNNNNNNNNNNNNNNNNNNNNNNNNNNNNNNNNNNNNNNNNNNNNNNNNNNNNNNNNNNNNNNNNNNNNNUGUGGGCGCAGGAAUCUUCUCUUUGAGAAAAAGGAAGAAGAGAAAAUAAAGUUAUGGAGCCUUAAGGCUUGUUAUUGCUUACCGGGGGCAAGUUCUGCACAAAGUGUCAGUGUAUACAUGCUAAAAAGAAAAAGGCAUGAAUUUUGACAAUAUGUACUAAACAUAUGAUCUUUAUUUAUGCACGGGAUCUGCGCCCGGCUUUGUACAAAGGGUUACAUGCAACAACGGCAAGGCUUGUACAAAAGGUGGUUGCCAGGACAGCAGGUUCCGGCAACCGCGCCUUAUGGGUAAAACUUACGAAGAUGAUCUAUGUUCUAGGAGUUGCUCACCGGAAUGCCAUCUUCGGUCUCAAGGCGGACAGCGCCAGGCCUAGUGACUCGCUUUACCCGAUAAGGGCCUUCCCACUUCGGCGUCAACUUGUUGGAAUUCUUGGCAGAUUGAACGCGCCGAAGAACAAGGUCACCUUCCUCGAAGCUUCUGGCAUUAACUUCGCGGCUAUGGUAGCGGCGCAAAGCUUGCUGGUAGCGAGCAGCUCGUACAGCAGCCUGAAGACGAUCCUCCUCGAGGAGCAGCGCGUCAUCUUGCCGCAGCUGCUCUUGCUCAAGCUCAUCAUAAGCGAGCACUCGAGGCGAUCCGUAUACGAGUUCUGUGGGGAGAACUGCCUCUGCUCCAUAGACAAGAGCAAAAGGUGUCUGGCCAGUGGCUCGAUUUGGCGUCGUCCUGAUCGACCAAAGAACCACCUGUAGCUCCUCGAUCCAAUUUCUUCCGCACUUGUGCAGCCUGUCGAAAGUUCUGGUCUUGAGCCCACGCAGCACUUCAGCGUUUGCCCUCUCCGCUUGACCGUUGCUUCUCGGGUGAGCAACAGAAGCGAAGCAGAUCUUGGCGCCAAGAUCUUGGACGUACUGCAUGAAGGUGCAGCUCGUGAAUUGUGUGUUGUUGUCGGUGAUGAUCCUAUUAGGGACUCCGGAACGGCAAACAAUUGACCUGAAGAACUUGACUGUUGACUGUGCUGUCACCUUCCUCACUGGCUCCACCUCCGGCCACUUCGUGAACUUGUCGAUGGCCACGUACAAGUACUCGAAGCCCCCGACAGCUCGGGGAAAAGGGCCAAGGAUAUCAAGCCCCCAGACUGAAAAUGGCCAGGAUAAAGGGAUUGUUUGGAGAGCUUGAGCUGGUUGAUGAAUCUGUUUGGAGUGGAACUGGCACGCUUCACACUUGGUUACUUGUGCAGUCGCAUCCUGGAGGGCUGUUGGCCAAAAGCAACCUUGCCGGAAGGCUUUACUGGCAAGUGCUCUUGCGCCAAUGUGGUGGCCACAUAUGCCUCCAUGUAUCUCCGCCAACAGCUCUUGUCCUUCUUCCCGGGAAAUGCACUUCAAUUUCACUCCGUUGAAUCUUCUUCUGUACAGUAUGUCAUCGACAAACUGAUACAUACUUGAUUGUCGGGCUACUUUCUCUGCUUCUUCUUGCUCUUCGGGAAGUUCUCCUGUUUGAAGGAAAUGGACGAUCUGCUGUGCCCAUGCCGGAGCUUGUGGCUCGACGACAAGGACUAAAGGCGCAAAUGCUGCUGCGGGAACAUCCGCUUCUACGGCAAGAAUAUGAGAUCCUGCCGGAGCGUGAUGCUCCCCGGCAAGCGUGCCGGGGCACAGCUUGUCGGGAGCGUCUGCUUCAACGAAACAAACCCUAGGGCUUGUCGGAGCAGACUGCUCCUCAGCACUUUCUAUGUUGAUCCUGGGGACCUUCUUGGCGGCGGCUUCGGGGAGCUCUGCCGGAAAGUAGUCGCCAGUAACCAACUUUCUCUUCUUGCUCUGUCCAGUUGAUGGUGUUACAGAUGGCUGAGUCAGCUUGAGCACAAAAAUACCUGGUUCCACAGGUAACUUGAGUGCGGUGCACUUUGACAGGCCGUCUGCAAUGUCAUUCUGAGCUCUUGGAACAUGUUCCAUCUGCAGGCCGUCAAAAUGCUCUUCCAGCUUCCUCACUUCAUCAAUGUAGGCCUCCAUCAGCGGACUCUGAUAAUCUGUGUUAACUUGGCGGACGACAAGCUGUGAGUCACCCCUGACAAUAAGCUUCUUGAUCCCAAGUUCUGUCGUGAUCCUGAGUCCGGCAAGCAGGCCCUCAUAUUCUGCAGUAUUGUUUGUUGCUUGCUCCUUGGGAAAGUGCAUUUGGAUCAUGUACUUGAGGUGCUCUCCGGUGGGUGCGACAAGUAACACACCCGCACCGGCGCCUUGCAGCGAGAAAGCACCAUCAAAGUACAUGAUCCAUUCCCUGUUUGCUUCCUUGACGGGGAUCCUCGUCUCCGGAGUUUCUUCAUCUGGUGUUGGCGUCCACUCCACUAUGAAUUCUGCCAAUGCUCGGCUCUGGAUAGUUGAAGUACUUUCAAACUUGAGGCCAAAGCUUGACAGUUCCAGUGCCCACUCGACAAUCCUGCCUGUUGCUUCUGGAUUUUGCAAUAUCCUCUUCAACGGAAAGCGAGUGACAACUGUGAUCUGAUGUGCUUGAAAAUAAUGGCGCAGCUUCCUCGAGGCCAUGAGAAGGCCGAAAAGCAACUUUUGCACUCCAGAGUAUCUUGAUCUAGCCACCUGCAGAAGGGAGCUGACAAAAUAAACUGGGUGCUGCACCAUCUUCUUUUGUUUCUCUGCCUGCGGCUGCACAGACUCAUCCUUGUCGGGACCAGAGCUUGACGGAGAAGCCCCCUGCUUGUCGCUGGACUCGCUUGCCGCGGCCGCUGGCUCAUCAUCUGCCUCCCUCUCUGCUACUAACGCAGCACUAACCACUUGAUUGGUUGCUGCUAGAUACAGCAGCAACUUCUCUUGCGGCUUAGGUGCGACAAGUACUGGAGUGGAGGAUAGGUAUCUCUUCAAGUCCUGUAGCGCAGCCUCCGCUUCUGGAGUCCAUUUCAUUGGACCUGCCUUUUUCAAAAUUUUGAAAAACGGCAGGGCGCGCUCAGCAGACUUAGAGAUGAACCUACUGAGAGCAGCAACGCAGCCGGCAAGCCUUCGCACAUCCUUGAGGCGCUUCGGGGCUUCAAUCUGCUCGAUGGCCUUGAUCUUGUCGGGGUUGGCUUCGAUCCCCCUCUGGGACACGAAGAACCCGAGAAGCUUGCCGGAAGGAACUCCAAACACGCACUUCUCAGGGUUCAACUUGAGAUUGAUCUUGCGCAGAUUUGCAAAAGUCUCAUCCAAAUCUUGGAUCAAAGUUUCUCUAUCUUUGCUCUUGACCACUAUAUCAUCCAUGUAUGCUUCUACAUUCCUGUGCAGCUGUGGCUCAAAAGCAUGACUGACUAGUCUUGCAAACGUUGAACCAGCAUUCUUUAGUCUGAAAGGCAUUCAUACAAAGCAGUACGUGCCACAUGGAGUAAUGAAUGCGGUGUUCUCUUCAUCCUCUUUUGCCAUGAAAAUCUGAUGGUAUCCUGAGUAUGCAUCAAGAAAUGAAAGCAGAUCACAUCCUGCCGUGGAGUCGACAAUCCGGUCAAUGCGCGGCAAGGGAAAUGGAUCUUUGGGACAAGCUUUAUUAACAUCCGUGAAGUCAAUACAAAGCCUCCACUUCCCAUUCACCUUGCGCACAAUUACUGGAUUGGCUAACCACGUUGGAUGGAGUACUCCUCGGACGAGGCCUGUUGCUUCCAACUUCUUGAUCUCUUCUGCUAUGAACUCUUGGCGUUCCGCCGCUUGCUUCUUGACUCUCUACUUGACGGGCCGCGCGUGAGGACAGACGGCAAGGUGGUGCUCAAUUACUUUCCUGGGAACACCGGGGAUGUCAGAUGGUUGCCAUGCAAACACAUUGACAUUCGCCCGCAGGAAAGCAACGAGCGCGCUUUCCUAUUUAGGGUCAAGCGUGGCACUGAUGGUGAAGGUACCACUAGUGCCGUCCUCCUUGGCGGCCACUUUCUUGGUAUCAGGUGUCGCUAUCUUUGCCCUCUUGCACUUGCCGGUGGAGCUCGAUGGUGCGUCCUCGACGGUAGCACAGCACUCCGAAGAGGUGCGCUUGCCGGAGUGGGCAUCAGAGCUACUCUUGCCGGACUUGGUCUUCUUCUUCUUCCCCCCGGGAGCUUCAGCGGCAAGUGGUUUGUGCUCUGCUGCGGCUGCUGCUUCCUGGUAGAUCUUGUCGGUGCAGAUAAGCGCAUCCUUCUUGUCGCCUUGGACAGAAAUGACGCUUAUCGGACCGGGCAUCUUGACCACGUUGUAAGCAUAAUGAGAGGCUGCCAUGAACUUGGAAAGCGCUGGACGGCCGAGUAUCCCAUUGUAGGGCAACGGGAAAUCAGCAACAUCAAAUGUGACUCUCUCUGUCCUGAAGUUCAGUUUGCUGCCAAAUGUCACUGGUAGUGUAAUCUUCCCCUUGGGCUUGCUCCUUCCCGGGUUGAUUCCUUGAAAGGUACCAGUUUCUUCGAGCUCGCUGUCGGGGAUCUGGAGCUUGUUGAGCACCGCGGAAGAGAUCAGAUUUAGGCCGGCCCCACCGUCAACCAACAUCUUCGUGACCUUGAGGUUGCGGAUGGUUGGCGAAACCAACAUCGGCAAGCACCCGACCGCAGUGAUGCGAUCAGGGUGAUCCUCAACAUCAAAGACGAUGGGCGUACUGGACCACUUCAGGGGCUUGCGCGAUUCGACUGAUGGUUCAGCUGCAUUUACCUCCCGCACCCACUGCUUGAGUUGGCGGUGCGAGGUGUGCAGAGAAGCACCGCCGUCAACGCACAAAACCUCUGUUGCCUUCUGAAACUCUUGCUCGUCGGUCUCAUCCUCGUCCAUCUCAUCAUCCUCAUCUUCAUCUUCGUCCUUGUCACGGCCACGGGGAGGUCUGUCUCCUUGCCGCUGCUUGGCCUUGCCGCGGCGCCCUCCCCGGGCGGGACGCUUCUUGCCGGAUCCUCCGCCACCUUCCUGGGCCUUCUCCUUGUCGCGACGCUCGUAUUCAGCUUUCUGUAGUUCUGCCAUUUGCUCAACCUUCUUGCAUGCUUGGAGGUCAUGGCCCUUGGUGCGAUGGAUCUUGCAGUACUGCUUGCCGGAACAAUCCUGCUUGUCGGCGGCCACCACAGCCUCGCCGGAGUCACCAGCUUUGGCCUUGUCGGCGCCGCCUCCGUUGCCGGACUGCUCAACAACUAGCACAUCCUUAGCCUUUCUCUUUCUAUUAUUCCGCCUCCGGUUCUUCUUUGCCGGAGGGACGUCCUCAUUGUCCGAUCCUUCUGCUCCUGCAUUCUCUCCGGGAAGUUUCCUCCCCUCUUCAGCUCGUGCACACUUGUCAGCCAGAGCAUAUAGCUCGCUGACAUCUCUAAUCUUGCACAUCGCCAUCUCCUCCCUCAUCCUGCGGUUACGCACGUUCUGAUGGAAUGCGCUGAUAACCGCGGCAGGGUGGACGUCUGGGAUGUUGCGCUGCACCUGGCUGAAUCUCUGUAUGUACUUGCGCAGGGGUUCUCCUUCUUUCUGGGCGAGCAGAUGAAGAUUGCUCUCCUGACCAUGGGGUUUGUGGCCGCCUGUGAAGGCGCCGACAAACUGAUGGCACAGGUCCGCCCACGAAGAGAUGGAGUUGUCCGGCAAGUGCAUGAGCCAAGAUCUGACGUUGGGCUUGAGCACCAGCGGGAAGUAGUUGGCGAGGAUCUUCUCGUCGCGCCCCCCGGCAGCCUGCACCGCGAUGGUGUAGACGCUGAGGAACUCUGAUGGAUGUAUCCUGCCAUCGUACUUCUCGGGUAUGUCCGGCUUGAAGUUCUUGGUACUGGGCCACUGGACUUGCCGCAGCUCACGGGUGAACGCAGGGUAACCUGCCGCGUACGGCAAGUCGCCUGGUUCCCCUGGCGCAUGCAUAUCGACAGUGGGCCCAGCGCACUGGUCAGAUUAAUGUCGCGCUUCUCUUCUGCGCUCGAUGCGAGUACGAGCGUCUCUGUGUCGUCGUUCUUGGAGAACUUGGCGUUGAUCGCGGCGAGCUCGCGGGUCCGACGACGCGGUGGAGUCGGUGUCGAGGUUGGAACGGCGAGUUGGCGAUCAUGGCCUUCGGGGCGGGGAGUGCACGGUGGUGGCACCCCCAGCGGUCUUGUCGGUGUCGGCUUGCGCCCGGGCGUCUUGCCGGGGCUUUCGAUGUGCUCGGUUGCCGGGGCUUGUCGCCGUUGGCGAAGCCGAUGAGGCUUUGGAUGGUGAUCCUCCAGUCGUCGAUCUUGUCUGGCGCUGGAGGGUAAUCUAGAAGCAGCUGGGCUCGGGCCAGCGCUUCCUCUGGAGUCUUGGGCGGCGGUGGCGAGCGACGCGAGGUGCGGGAUAUGCUCAAACUUCUAACAGUGUUAGAAGGAGCAACAUCUCGCCCAGGCGACCGUACUUCGCUCGUGCCAGCGUGUUGACGUGUAUGUUGGCCUUGAGCGUCCCGCGAUCCGCCGGCUUGGCCUUGUUCCAACACGAGCACGGUGCUAGGAGUACCGUGGCAUUGCCGAUCUUGCACCUCCUGGGAGGGGUACGGUGGAUGUACAGACGCUGAAGCUUGCGGGGCCUUGUCCUCGGACCUGGUGACGAUGUGAGUCCCCCCGUCGGCGCCCGCUCCUCCGCCGGCGUCCACCCCACCACCCGUUUGCUCCGGUGGCGGUAGGAUAGUCGCAAACGGAGUGGCCACCUCCGAAGCCUUCUUCUUCGGUGGCAUGUCGAUGAAGAUGUUGAUGUAGCGCGCAGAUGCCGGAUCAGGUACGCACAACCUCGACGCCCACCUACCUGGCGCGCCAAAGAUGUCGUGGGAAACGAACACCUAUGGGGCAGGGCCCCUUUUCGGUCCAGCAAGGGAGCGGAGGGCGCACGAAGAGCAGAUCGAGGCGGAGCACGCGGGGGAAUUUUACCCAGCUUCGGAGCUCUCCGGAGAGAUAAAACUCCUACUGCUGCUUUGUGUUUCUAUUCUGUUCUUGCUCAAGAGCGUGGGUGUGUUGUAGUUUUGAAUGUGUCGAACCCCUUCUACGUGUGCAUGGGCCUCCUUUUUAUAGUCUAAAGGGGUCAGCGACAGGUGGCAGCGUAGAGAGAGGGGUAAAAAAGUAAAAACGCGGGUUGGUACAACCGCUAUCAACAGUGGCCCCUACCUAACUCUGACGGCAGGGGACAAGGGCAUUUAAUGCCCGUCCGGUCGCCCAAACAGUGCAGGAAGCGACCGUUAGGGGCGCCACCGAUCGCCAUGAUGGCCUCCUAGUCAUCUUCACUUGCCACCUCGCACCGCUUGGCUGCACAGCUACCCGCCACGUGCACCGGGAGCGAUCCUGCGGCGACACGUCGUCGGAUGCGCUGGAGCGUGGGCGCAGAGUUGUGGCUUCGCUGUAGCAAGCGCCUUGCCGCGGUCACUAUCUUGUCGCACCCGCAAGCUUGCCGCUCGCCGGGUCUUGGUUGGCCUUCCCGGCAAGCUCCUCUUGCCGGGGUCUUGUCCUUCCCGGCAAGCUUCUCUUGUCGGGGCUUCGUCUUCACAGUUAACACUUUGUUCUUGAAUGGCAGUAAAUAGGAAUGACGAAGGAUCUUGGCGGACGCCCGGCAAGCCUUGCCGCAGGACGCUGCGACUGCCCGUGCACAAGUUCGGGGUACUAAGGUACCCCUACUUUAGUACACCGACACCUCCAAACUUUAUGUGGCACUGCAAAAUAUUUGUGGCUCUGUCUAAGAUUGCCAAGGAAUUAAAAGGGGAACUUAACAUAUUUUUCCUAAGUAAAUAGUGUGCCCAAAAUAUUCUCUUAACCAUCUCUGUUUUUUUUAAUAAAAAAAGGCGAAUAAGAACUCGCCCGGGCCUCGGCCUACUCCCACUUACCAGCCCACCUAAGCCGGCCCACUCCCCCGCUCCCAUGGCCUAUAGGCCAUGCUCAACCGAACCCUAACCCCGCACGAUCCCCCCACUCCCCACUUCUCUCCCCUCCCGAUCCAAUCUGGAUCGGACCGAAACUGGCGCCCCGACGCCAACCGCCGUCGCUGGAGGCAUCCCCGACUCCACGCUGGGCCACCCCAUCACCUGACCUCCUCCCCGUCGUCGCUCGUCACUCGCUGGACCGCCUCGUCCCCACCAACGCCGCCCCGAGCCCAACGUCCCUGUCGUCGUCGCCGUCGGCAUCGCCCCGAUGUCGCCACCACCCGACGCCGGCGCCCUCGACAUCGCCACCCCGAGCCCACUGCCACCCCUACGCUCCACUGUGAGCCCCUCGCCGAUUCCCCCUCCUUCCUGUCAUCGUAGGUGGCCGCAUGCGCUGUUGGCCACCGUGGCCGCGCUCCGGCCGUUCCCCAUCCGUGUGCUAGCCUCGCCUUCCCCGGCUGCGGCCACCAGCCUCCUCGUCGCGCUCCCGCCUUCGCCCACACCUGCCCCUGUACGCCCAGCCGCUGCUGCUCGCCGGAUCCGCAUGUUCGCCCCCUAGCUUCGUCUCCGGCCGUCGAGUCCGCACCCGAUGCCGGCGCCCCAGCGCGUCCAUGCGCCCGUACGGGCGGGCGCCCACGCCCAUGCCCCUCCGCCCGUUAGCCCGCCCCGCUAAGGCCUGGGCACCUAACCAAGGGGCCCCACGCCCCUGUGUAAUAAAAAAGAUUUAAAAAAAAUAAAUAUAAAUAUAAUUAGUUAAUUAGUUAAUUAAUUGUAUAGUUAAUUAACUAACUUAAUUAACCUUGCUUAGUUAGCCUAAUGAACUAGUUUAGUUAAUUUAAAUCUGUUAGAUAGGUCUAUGAGAGAACGACCCCACAUGUCAGUUUAACCAGUCAACACUCUUUUGACUGCUGACAUCAUGAUGACGUCAGGCUGACAUCAUAAUUCCAAUUUUGAAUUAAUAAUAAUUUCAGAAUAUUAUUAAAACUUUGAAAAAUCAUAGAAAAUAAACCGUAUCUCGGAUGGAAGUUGCUUGGAACGACGAGACAAAUCCGAAUGCGCAGUUCGUUCAUCUGUCACGCGUCCCUAGCAUAGCAAACGUUGAACUUUUCCCCUCCGGUUCAUCUGUCUGAUAGACGUCCGGAACCGGGAAAACUUUCCCGGAUGUUUCCCCCUUCGCCAGUAUCACCUAGCACCUCGUUAGAACACUUCUAGCCCCGCUUAUUGUCUUGUUAUGCAUAUGUUUGCGUGUAUUUACUGUUUCUUCCCCCUCUUCUUCUCCGGUAGACCUCGAGACCGCUGAUGAUGCCCCUGUGAUCGACUACGUCGACGACGACCCUCCUUGUUUGAGCAACCAGGCAAGCCCACCCUUUGAUCAUCCCGAUAUCGCCCAUUCCAUUCUCUCAUGCUUGCACUAGAUUUUGCUACUGUAUUUGACUGCUCCUAUUCUGAUGCAUAGCCUGCUUUUGUACCUGCUAUUGUAACUUACCUGCUUAUCCUAAAUUUCUUAGUACAGGUUGGCUAGUGAUCCAUCAGUGACCCCCACCUUGUCUUUGUUGCCCCUGCUUCAUCAUCGACGACUCGAUCAACGUGAUCGACGACCGGAGCCUGACACCUCACAUCACAUCACGCCCCUUUUUCUUGCUCGACUCUGCAGAGUUACCAUCGAGUGCCGAGGGUGGAACCUCAUACAUCGCUCCUGAUGAGAUCUCUGUAGUGUAGCUAUUCGGUCGUGGUCAUCGAGGGUGGUUCCUCCUUCACCAUUCCUAAUACGGCUCUGUCGUGCAACACCUCAAGUGUGAACCUCGAGGGUGGUUCCUCUUACGUUCACCUUGAUGAUUACAUCAACUGGAAUCCACCGGGGGUGAUUCCUCGGAUUUUCCCCUUGAUGUCUGGACACAUAGUUACCUUGAUACUUGAGACCGUUGUGAAAGCCGGGCGAGCCCGGAGAGCACCCGUGCGAUGUGACGGUGGCGGCUGGCUGUUUAGCGGUAUCACCCGGGAGGGGUGAUAGCUCCGGACUUGUCCCGACAUCCGUCACUUCUUUUAAUAAUGCACUAACACGUUUGUGUAUUUGUUCUGAGUUGGCCUCUGGCCUUUACGCACUAACCACCACGCGAGAAUAGUUAUGGGCCUCGACGUUGCAGUAUCUUUCGAAGCUUUGUCAGACGUCCAGUUCAGCAUUGUGGCCGGGCCGGAUCGUGCCAUCCACUUCACCGGUGGUGCUGGUAUCCCCUUGUGCACAACGACCCGGAGUGCAAUGGGCGAUGGGCCCAGACCCCGGAGUGCUUAGGAUGUAGACCGGCGGGGACCUCUCUACUGAGCCUAGGUAGGGCUGCGACGUGUUGAUCUUCCGAGGCUGGGCAUUGACCCCAGAAAGGUGUGUCCGGCCAGAGUGAUCGAGCGUGUUGGGUAACGUGGUGCGCCCCUGCAGGGAAGAUUAUCUAUUAAUAGCCGUGUCCAUGGUAACGUACCUUCAGACUUAUAUCUUGAUCUUAUACAACUACAAAUGGAUACUUGAGAUAUGUGGCUCCGGGAUUGCUUUCUCGCAGGGAGUCGAGGAAGGAUCUCUGGGCGUUGUUGUUAAAACAUGCUUGUUAAUUAAACUGCUAUUCUUUACUCUUCUACAUGCUGCAAGAUGCUUGGAGCUGCUUGAAGAUGCUAGUCUUUGUUUGGCUAGGCCUUCCCCUCUAUUCUGGCAUUCUGCAAUUCAGUCCACAGAUACAACCCUUCCAUUUGAUACCAAUGCAUACUUAGUAUAGAUCUGAUGCUUGCGAGUACUUUGGAUGUGUACUCGCGGUUGCUUUGCUACCCCUUUUCCCCCUUCUUUCUUCUUUCCGGUUGACGCAACCAUAUGGUGGAUCCUUGGAGCCAGAUGCCACCGCCGAUGGAUGCUAGUACGUGAAGAUCGCCGACGACCAGGAGUAGUUAGGAGGUCCUAGGCAGGAGGCCUUGCCUCUUCGAUCGUUGUUGCUUUUGUGCUAGCCUUCUUAAGGCAUCCUUAUUUAACUUAUGUCUGUACUCAGCUAUUGUUGCUUCCGCUAACUCUUGUGUAUCGAGCUAUGUAUUCGAGCUCUCGAGGCCCCUGGCUUGUAAUAUAAAGCUUGUAUUAUUUUGAUUUGUGUCUAGAGUUGUGUUGUGAUAUCUUCCCGUGAGUCCCUGAUCUUGAUCGUACAUAUUGGCGUGCAUGAUUAGUGUACGAUUGAAUCAGGGGCGUCACACAAGCGGUACUACUGCCCCACCCAGUUUCAGCAUUUCGAGUUUCACCGUUUUGCCCAUAACUUCCACAUCCGGAGUCCGAUUUUUGCAUUUUUUAGCUCGUUGAGUAGCUAUUGACAUCCCCCAUCCAUCUAUAUAGGUUCCAACACCAUUUGACUCCAUCAAAUUUUCCAAAAUUUGGAAAGUUUGCCUAGGCCGUCCACCAUAUCAUCUGCAUAGCCACCACCGACCACCGCAACCUAACCCAUUUUGUUCCCCUUAGCAUUUGAGGUUGUUUGAGUUGUGGCUUGUGUCUCCUAAGGUGUUUCGGCUACUUAGGGAUGGUAACUUCAACUCCAACACGUGUAUAGCCCAUCAUUCCACUUCCGCAUUGCCGAGUGCAAACCACCACCUCUUUCCACUACCACCAUUUGACAUUUACCUUUGUAGAUUUUGAGUUUGCGAUUUUUCCGUUUCCUAGGGUGUUUUGGCUAACUAGGAAUGGGUCGACAUCAGCAACAUCGCCUCUCAUCAUCGCCAAGGACGGUAACCUCGAUGACACCAUUGUAUAUUCCCUUGCCAUUGCAUUGAUAACCCCUAGCCCAUUUUGCGUCACUUGCCUAUCGAGACUAGCCGUUUGAGUAUUGCCGGCAACGUGACUUGUGCACAUUAGUGAUCAUACUUCCCAUAGCAUCAUACCAUAUCAUCGUGGUGCAUAUAUUGGUAGCAUAUCUUGCGUCACAAGUUUGUUGCCGCAUAUACACAAUUGCUAUCUUGGUUUGUGCAUUAUGCAGAAGUGGCCAUACAAAAAAGAGAAAUAAAGCUUUUAAGCAAAAGAAAGAGAGAAAAGAAGCUUGUAAGCAAGUGCCAUAGCAUCAUACCAUAUUGCACAUAAGAUUGUCAUAUCCGAUCAUCUUGGAUCAUCUUGAGAGAACAUCGGGAACCAUACAUACAUAGCAUACUUGGGAUAGAAAGUAUAUCCAUUUGGCAUCUUGUAGGUUGUGCACAAGUGUCCUAUCCGCCUAUUGAGCAAUCGUGCUAGCGUCUCUCUUGAGUUGUGCAACACGAGCGUUUUCUGUGGAUUCCACAUUUUGUGCUCAUUGCUUGGUUGCACGACCCCAUUUAUCUAUCCGUGUGUGUGUUUCCGUGUGUCAUUCUUUGCUAUUGGUCUACUUGUUUCACUUGCAAAUUUGUGAAUCUCUUUCAACAUUAUUGACUCUUGCUAACAUUUUGCAUCAAAUUUUUGUGCCACUAUCCUCACCGAGCUCCACCAUAAGCUUUACUUGAUAGGUGUGAGUGAACAAGUCCGGUACCAAUUCCACUAUUCUUUCAUUUCACAUUGAGUUAAACGGGAUACAUCCUCAACUUUGGGAAAGGUAACUUCCUAUUGUUUAUCUCAUUUCCUACUGGCAUUUCACCUUCGGUCUACAACAACAACGACGAGUUCGAUGCCACGAACAACUCCAACGACGCCAAGAUGCAAGCUCAAAUGGAGGAGAUCAAAGCCCUCAUCAAGUCCUACAAGCAAUCUUCCUCAUCUUCGAGAAGACACUCACGUGCACAUGUUUCCGAGCUACCAUCUCCGGUAAGAUCACAUCAGCAUCGACACCAUCACCAACAAGAACGUGAAGGUCAAGAGCUCAACACCAACUACCGCUCAACGACUUCACCAUCUCCCUUGGCAUCUUCGCCAAGCGACUUCAAGGCAUCUUUGAGUACGGAUAUACGGCAUCUUCGCCAACAAGAACCUCAAGGCUACGCUCAAGAGAAGCUCCCCAAGCUCAAGUCCACGACUUCCAUGAGCUACUACGACCUCGACACCGACCACAAGAUUCCUUUCUAUGGAACUCAAGAACCCGAGGAGUACCUCGAGUGGGAGCGUUUGAUGGACGACUACCUCAAGCUACAUCAAGUCCCUUCCGAAGAUCAAGUGAAGUGCGCCACAAGAAACUUCCACGACUACGCCUCGACAUGGUGGCUUCACACACCUUCGGAGAGCUACGAGAUGAGUUAGCCCAAGACGAAGAGAGCUUUGCAGCGAGAGCUCGUGCCUCCAACCUACAUGGAACAACUUCGACGCCAAUUGGAGAACACCAUCCAAGGAUCCAAGUCCAUCGACGCGUACUUCAAGGAGAUGAAGAAUGCCUUGCGACGAGACGGCGUGGAUGACCCCAUUUCGAUGAAGUUCCACUUCAUGAUGCGAUUGAACAACGACAUCUCCAAGACUAUCUUCCUCGAGAACUACAAGUCCCUGGACAACUACUACAUUGGUGCUCUCAAGGCGGAACAAGAACUCAUGAAAGCCAAGGCUUCUCCACCCCAAGCACACUUCGCGGCGACCAAGCUGUACGACAAGCAUGAGGCUAGUACCACCAUGAUGUCCAAGCCCGACGAGCUCCAAGACAAUGCUCCCAAGUUCGACUUCACCGCCAUCCCUCUUUGUGGCAUUGAUGACGCCGAGUCUACCUUGACUCUUUUUCAAGACGGUGCGGCGACGAGUACGACUACGGAGACCUUCAAGGACCAAGCUUUGGAGGCGAGCGACAAGGUGGCGAGCAAGGAUGGUGUUUCCAUCUUUGGAGGCGAGAGUGAUGAUGUGCCAUCUUCGUCCUUCAUCCACGGCGACGAUGACGAGAUGAUCGAGCAUGGGAUUUUCCCUUCGGUCAUGGAGGAGAGUGAUGAUGUGCCAUCUUCGGCCUUCAUCCACGGAGACGACGACGAGAUGGUUGAGCAUGGGAUUCUCCCUUCGACCACGGUGACGUAUGAUGACUUGAGUGACUUUUGCCACCAUAUUGAGAGUGAGAGUGACUUCACCACUAGCCCCAUAUAUGACGAGUUGCCCCAAUUCCUAUGUGAGGAGAGCCACAACCCCCACCACUUGAGUGAGAUGAGUGACUCCACCAUAUGCGACUUUGAGUGCACCUAUUUUGAGGGAGUGAGUGAACCACCACAUAGAGAGAGUGUGAUAGUUGAUAGGUCUCGUGAGGCCAUUUGCAUUUCUAACAACUUGACCUCUACCUCUAUUGUGUCUUCUCAUUUGGUGCUAGGUCCCAUUUAUGAUGACGCGCCGAUCCUCGACGACUUCGUCCUCCCUUUGGACAAGACGAUGGCCAUGGUGGAAUAUGAUGCACCCCCCACAUGGUUCCAUCAAGAUGAAGAUGACCACCAUUUGGUCUUUCCCACCUCACCUACACCACUUGAGUGGAAUGAAAAAGGUAACAUAGGUGAAGGUGAUGCUCUAGUCCCACUAGUGGACAUUCUUGACAUUGAUUGCUUGCAUGAUGUUGAUCCACCUAGUACCAUGCUUCAUGCUAGUAUGAUUUCCCCAUGUGAUGAUUUGGCCAUUUAUGAUGAGUAUGAUGAUUCUCAUGUGGAGUCUCUUAGUUGUGAUGUCAUGUUACAUAGGAUUUCUUGUGACAAUUCUUUAGGUCACAUCAUGUUUGAUAAUCCGCUUGACUUGUCGUAUGCUAUGCAUGACAUUCACCAUAUGUCAUAUUUGCAAUCUCAUUGUAGUGACUAUGCAUAUGCCAUUCAAAUUAACCCAAUUUGCACUUAUGGCAUAGAUGACAAGCCCAUGGUUAUUGGGAUUUGUUUUUCUUGUGAUGAUAUUGAUAUGGUCCCUUUGCAUCAUUUAUCUCAUAUGCCAUGUCAUGCCCACCUAGCUUCGGAUAUGCAUUGUUUUGGAUGUUGUCCAUUUUCUCCAUAUGAUGUUUCCAAUCUUGCUCAUGAGGAGACCCCCAUAGUUCCCUCAUACAUGUUAGGAGAUUUUGAUCCAUCCCAUCCAUUGCAUGAUCCCAACAAUUGUGUGCACCAUAUGCUCCCCAUGAAUAAACAUGCUAUUGAUGUGCCAUAUACUUGCAUUCUCAAUUUGUGUCCCCAUCGUGUCAUACAUAAUAACUAUUCUUUCAUGAUGGAUGACAUGUUCUUAUACCAUGCAUCAAAUUUCGUUGAGCGAUGCUUAUCUUGUGCUAACUCACACGUGCACAUACACAUCAUGAUGGAUGAUGUGUACAUUUACCACACACACAAUUUAUUUGGUUUGUGUCUCUUUUGUGUAGGUACCCAGGAAUACUUGUCAACCUCGCAAUCCCACGAGUUGACAAAACGAGCUCUAGAGAGCAACGAUGAUUUGGGAUCCCAUGGAUUGUCUUUCCCACCGCUCUCUUCGCGCAAAGACUUAGCGCAUUUCUUCUACAUGGCCCUCACUUGGCUAUGGGUUGUUUUCCAUUACAUAUUAUAUGCCCAUCUUGCCAUGUUCACUUUGCAUGAUAUGCCCAUUCCCAUGCAUUUGUGACCCAUACUUUGCUUUACACAUGAUGAUUGACUCUCAUACUUUUAUGUGUAUUUGCAAGCUUGGUGGAGAUAUUGCUUGUUGUUUCCCUAUUCCAUUUUUGACCCACCCCUAUGAUGAUACUAUGAUCUUGCUUUGUGUUCGUGCUUGUGAUAUGUCAUGUGCAUUGUCUAUCCCUAUUAUUUGCUCACAUGACAUGAUUGCCAUGAUUUACUCUGGUGUGUUGCAUCUUCGCUCCACUAGUUUGCACCACAUGAUUGAUAUGCUUGCUUGUAUUGCAUCCCCCAUGAUUCAUACUUGCUCAUUUCAUGCGAUUGAUGACAACCAUUUCCAUACUUUGCACGUGAUUGCUAUAGCUUCUUGUCACAUAUCUACAUAUGUUGCCUCUCUCAUGCUAGAUCACUUGCCAUGUAUUUAGUGCAACAAUGCUCUUAUUCUUGCUCAUGAGAUUGCCCCCAUAGCAUUCUCACAUAUGAUUGGAGUUGACAUAAUUCUUGUGAAGCAUGCUUGCCUUCCUUCUUUGCACCAUAUGCCUAGUGCCAUGAAUAUUGCCAUUGUUGCAUCAUAUUGUUCAUGCACUUGUGCUACUAAAGGUUAUGUGCAAGAGAUGAGAACCAUCAUGAUGGAUGAUGUGUUUCUCUACCAUGCGCAUAUACUCUUUGUUUUGUUGUGUGCAUGUGUAGGAUACUUGGACUUCGUCUCGACUUCCACUUCAUGUGAGUUGACCAUUCAAGCUCUUAAGAGCGAGCCUCACACAUUCUACCACUACUCGCUUCUACACCGCAUUUGCUUGCGCUUCGGCAUUGUGAAGAAUGCACAAGGACAUGCCUUCAAGGUGACAUCUUUCUUGAGCAUGGAUAUUGCGGAUCAUACUACUUGUGUAGCUUGCACUGUGAGACUUAUUGGUCAUCUUGGACCACUUGAUUGCGCACUUGCUAGAGAUCUUGCUUUGACUUGCCAUUUUCACAUUCCCAUGCAUCAUGAUAUAUAUGCCUUGUGUGUUGCAUCCAAUUCUUGGAUUACUAUCACAACCUAGCUAGUCCAUGCAUUAGAGUGUUGCAUCAUGUCUACCUUUUAUCAGAAACUUGAAUUGGGGAAGACAGAACCCCCCAGAACCCCUCUGAAUUCAACUAGUGCUUACUAAAAAUAUUUUCAAUGAACCUGAAAUGCCCUUCUAAAAAGUUCACCCUCUUUGUCUUGGGUUAGAACCUCUGGCAAAAUUGGUGCACAAUUUUCUAGGUCAACAAAAGGCCAUUGAAUUAAAUCAUAUCUACUUUGAGUUUGGGCAUUUAAACUAUAUAAAAUAUUUCAAAUGCUCAAAUAACUCCAAACUAAAAUGUUCCAUACUGGAUAUAUUCCAACUAGGGACCAUGUGCAGUUUGGUGAUUUUUGGAGUUGCCUAAGUAUUUUUAGAAAUGCAACAAACUUACAGAAACAAUUAAAAACAGAAACAAAUGGGAAAAACCCUUACCUGGCCGAACCAAGCCCCAGCCCAGCUGGCCGGCCCAGCACUGUGCUGGCCCAUGCCAGCCAGCUGCUUCGCCGUCGCCACGCAGGCACAGAGCUGACGCCGGCAAGCGUGAGCUCGCAACGGCGCCAGCUGCUUGCCGCCCGCGCCCCCGAGCACCUGGGUGAGCUCCACGUCGCCGCCCCGACCCCGUGGACACCUCAUUCGCCCCCUGCCUCUCUCCCUCGCUCUCCCGCACCAUGGCCGACGCACCCGCCGCCGCACCCCCGACGUAGUCGCGCCCUCCGUCGUCCUCGUGCUGCACCACCGUGUCCCUUCGCUCCGCCGUCAUCGACUACAUCGAGUAGGCCGAGCCCCGAGCGCUCGCUGGCCCUGUUUCAUCUUCUUCGAGCUCGUCUUCACCGAGCACCGCCACAGAUCCCCUUCGCCGUCGCCGCCGUACCAGCUCGUCCCCGACCUUGCCGACCACUCCGUUGUGACCGCCGUGAGCUCAGCCACCUCCCCAUCCUCCCCGUUUGCCUUCUCGUGCACCGUAGCAACCGCAUGGAGCUUCAUCGCACGCACCACCGACGAGCUCGUCGCCGACGUGCCUCCGGCCAUCCACCGUCCACACCACGGUGUCUAACAUGCUCACCGCAUCGUGUAGAGUCUAACGCCCCACUCCACGCGCCUCGCCGUGCCCCGUAGCCAUGGGUCCAUUUUCAUCCGACUCCGGCGACCGCCGUGGUCGUCGCCGGCGACGUUCCUGGCCACCUCGACCUCAACCACCACCACCAAACGCCGCGACUUGUUCCCGGCUACACGUAGAUGGUCUCCGUCGUCCAUUUGGUCGCCAGAACAUGCUAACCCACUUCCUCCGCCGCGUCUGGCCUCGCCGGCGGCUAGACACCGGCAUGUUUGACCCGUUGACAUUCACUGGGUGGGCCAGGUUGACUCCCCUGAGUCUAUGACAAGUGCCCCCCCCUCUGCUAAUUAACCUAGUUUAGCUCUUACUAAAAUCAGUUAGUUUAAAUAAGUGCUGACAUGCGGGACCCACUGGUCAGUUUGACCUGAACGACCCCUUUGACCACUGACGUCACCCUGAUGCACUGCUGACGCAAUAACCAAUUUCUGGAUUUAUUGUUAUAUAGGAAAUUCCAGAAAUUGUUGCAAACUUCAAAAAUUCAUAGAAAUUAAUCUGUAACUCCAAAUGCAAAGAUUUAUAUAUGAAUUUUGAUCAGAAAAAUUCAAUCUAUCCAUUGGUAAUGGUUUCAUGCAUGUCAGAACAAGUUAACCUUGCUGUUUAAUCAAAACAAGUUAAUGCACUAAUAUGACUAUGUUAAAUGAACUACCAUUUGCAUCUUUGAUUCAAAUGAGUUCAUACCUUUCUGUUCUAGCUUGCAUUAGGCCAGGACACAUUCAUGUUGCCAUGUCAUAGCAUGCAUCAUAUUGUUGUAUAUCGUCAUGUGUUGUUCAUGUUCGGUGUGUUUUCGUGAUAGGUUCUGCCUCCGAGGAUAACCCCGAAUAUCCGUCUGAAGGGCUGUAUCCUACUACCACUACAUCAGGCAAGCAACCCAUUGAUCAUUCCGAUACAAACCCAUGUUCUUGCCUCUGCUCUUGUUUACUGCAUUAAGACAAUGCGAUUCAAACUUUUGUGUGUUGUGGUAGUUGAACCCACUUCCUUUGCAUGACCUGUCAUUGCCACAGUAACUAGAUGAAACUCAGUAGCAUGUGUAGGAGUUGAUUGAGCCAUAUCUGUGUUACCUACCAUGCUAUGCUUGCUAUGCUUAGAGUUGUGUCAGGUCUGGCUCAUUGGGAUGAUGAACUAGAGUGAAAGGUUGUGUCGGUAAUGAAGUGUUGAACACGAUUUGGUAAAGGUAUCGAUGAGAGGCCAUGUAGGAGUACAUGGUGGGUUGUUUCAUUGAGGCCGUCCUUAAGCACUGAGAUCUGUGUGUGUGAUUUAAGAUUCAGCUACUACCACGCAUUGGGCCCGAAACCAAUGGACCCUCUCGACUUAUUAACCACUCUUGUCCUCUGUCCGGGAGUUGCAAGUAGUUUUUGGUGUUUGUAGCAUGAUGGGGGCCGCACGCAGUGCUGACCUUAGGGGUGGGUUGGGUUGCGGUAGGCAUGUGGCACGGUGUAUCGAUUCGCCCGUUUGGUGUCUCGGGAACCAUGUUCACAUCAUUCGGGGCCGUUAGUGGAAACCUCGGCCGGACUCCCUGCGGAUGGAACCCGAAUAGGCGAUAAACCUGGACUAGGGACUCGUGUGUUUAGUCAGGCCGUGGCCGACACCCUCGCUGGGCUUCCGCUUGAGGCUUGCCGAGUACACGUCAUGUAGCGGUGAUAAGUGGUGAGAGCGUGUGUGAAGAAGUACACCCCUGCAGGGUAUAAAACUAUUCGAAUAGCCGCGUCCGCGGUAAAGGACUACUUGGUCACCUAUGCAGUUCAUAGACAAGUAAAUGGAUACUUCUAAAAGCCUCAAGUUAAGUGUGAGUACCGAGGAUGGCCCUCUCGUAGGUUGACAAGAGAGGAUCCUCGGUGGAGUAUUGUGUUGGUGAGUAGUGGACUCGUGUGCGACAAAUGUUUUGCAAGUUGUGUCUAUCGUAGAAUAGCUUAGCCAAGAGUCAAAGCUGGCUUGCUGCAAUAACUCCACUACCUUCUUGAGAAUGUGCAUGUAUGAUAGGAUUCUGUUGUAAGACUUGCUGAGUACCUCUGUACUCAUGUUUGCUUAAAUGUUUUCAGACGACAACACCAACCCCUCCGAUGGGUUCUACGUAGACCUCGACGUUGACGAGUGACUAACCACCCAAGUGGUGAUCCGAGACUUGUGAAGGGCCGAUGUAGAUAGAAAGGCUUCGUCAAGCCCUCUUUCUUUCUAGUGUCUGUACUCAGACUAGUUGCUUCCGCAUGUGCUUGUAUGCUUGUAUGACUUGAGUCUCAGGUCAUGUGACCCCUAUCUGUAUGAACAUGUUAUGUAUGGCUCCUUGGAGCCACUUAAAUAAAGUACUUUGAGUUGUAGAGUUUUGUUGUGAUGCCAUGUUGUAUGUACUCAUAUCGGGCAUAUUGUGUGUAUGUUUGAAAUGCUUGGUAUGAGUGGGAUCCGACAAUCUAGUUGUUUAUCCUUGGCAGCCUCUCAUAUGGGGAAAUGUAGUCUAGUGCUUCCUGAGCGAUAGUAGUCCGCUACAGCCCGGUUCACCGGAGUCCUGCUAGCCCAGUACUACAGCUCUGGACACUUGACUGGACAGCAUGUGUUUCACUUCGUUCCUGUGUCUGUCCCUUUGCGGAAAUGUCACGCGGUGGCAUUCGGAGUCCUGCCUAGCCUGCUACAGCCCGGGUUACUGUUGGGAAACGUAGUAAUUUCAAAAUUUUCCUACGCACACACAAGAUCAUGGUGAUGGCAUAGCAACGAGAGGGGAGAGUGUUCGUCCACGUACCCUCGUAGACCGUAAGCGGAAGCGUUAGCACAACGCGGUUGAUGUAGUCGUACGUCUUCACGAUCCGACUAAUCCAAGCACUGAACGUACGUGGCCUCCGAGUUCAGCACACGUUCAGCUCGAUGAUGAUCUCCGGCCUCCAAUCCAGCGAAGCUCCGGAGAUGAGUUCCGUCAGCACGACAGCAUGGUGACGAUGAUGAUGUUCUACCUGCGCAGGGCUUCGCCUAAAAUCCGCGACGAUAUGACUGAGGUGGAAUAUGGUGGAGGGGGGCACCGCACACGGCUAAGGAACGAUCCAUAGAUCAACUUGUGUGUCUAUGGGGUGCCCCCCCCCCCCCGCCCCUGUAUAUAAAGGAGAAAGGGGGAGGCCGGCCGGCCCCUUGGGCGCGCCAAGGGAGGAGGAAUNNNNNNNNNNNNNNNNNNNNNNNNNNNNNNNNNNNNNNNNNNNNNNNNNNNNNNNNNNNNNNNNNNNNNNNNNNNNNNNNNNNNNNNNNNNNNNNNNNNNNNNNNNNNNNNNNNNNNNNNNNNNNNNNNNNNNNNNNNNNNNNNNNNNNNNNNNNNNNNNNNNNNNNNNNNNNNNNNNNNNNNNNNNNNNNNNNNNNNNNNNNNNNNNNNNNNNNNNNNNNNNNNNNNNNNNNNNNNNNNNNNNNNNNNNNNNNNNNNNNNNNNNNNNNNNNNNNNNNNNNNNNNNNNNNNNNNNNNNNNNNNNNNNNNNNNNNNNNNNNNNNNNNNNNNNNNNNNNNNNNNNNNNNNNNNNNNNNNNUCCGGUUUUCUCCGAAAUCACCCGGAACAAUUUCGGUGUCCGAAUAUAGUCGUCCAAUAUAUCAAUCUUUAUGACUCGACCAUUUCGAGAUUCCUCGUCAUGUCCGUGAUGACAUCCGGGACUCCGAACAAACUUCGGUACAUCAAAACUUAUAAACUCAUAAUAAAACUGUCAUCGUAACGUUAAGCGUGCGGACCCUACGGGUUCGAGAACUAUGUAGACAUGACCUAGAACCAUUCUUGGUCAAUAACCAAUAGCGGGACCUAGAUGCCCAUAUUGGUUCCUACAUAUUCUACGAAGAUCUUUAUCGGUCAAACCGCAUAACAACAUACGUUGUUCCCUUUGUCAUCGAUAUGUUACUUGCCCGAGAUUUGAUCGUCGGUAUCCAAUACCUAGUGCAAUCUCGUUACUGGCAAGUCUCUUUACUCGUUCCGUAAUACAUCAUCUCAUAACUAACUUAUUAGUUACAAUGCUUGCAAGGCUUAGGUGAUGAGUAUUACCAAGAGGACCCAGAGAUACCUCUCCGACAAUCGGAGUGACAAAACCUAAUCCCGAAUUAUGCCAACUCAACAUGUACCUUCGGAAACACCUAUAGAGCACCUUUAUAAUCACCCAGUUACGUUGUGACGUUUGGUAGCACACAAAGUGUUCUUCCGGUAAACGGGAGUUGCACAAUCUCAUAGUUGCAGGAACUUGUAUAAGUCAUGAAGAAAGCAAUAGCAGUAUACUAAACGAUCAAGUGCUAGGCUAACGGAAUGGGUCAUGUCAAUCACAUCAUUCUCCUAAUGAUGUGAUCCCGUCAAUCAAAUGACAACUCUUUUGUCCAUGGUUAGGAAACAUAACCAUCUUUGAUAAACGAGCUAGUCAAGUAGAGGCAUACUAGUGACACUAUGUUUGUCUAUGUAUUCACACAUGUAUCAUGUUUCCGGUUAAUAUAAUUCUAGCAUGAAUAAUAAACAUUUAUCAUGAUAUGAGGAAAUAAAUAAUAACUUUAUUAUUGCCUCUAUGGCAUAUUUCCUUCAGUCUCCCACUUGCACUAGAGUCAAUAAUCUAGAUUACAUGGUAAUGAUUUUGACACCCAUGGAGUCUUGGUGCUGAUCAUGUUUUGCUCGUGAGAGAGGCUUAGUCAACGGGUCUGCAACAUUCAGAUCCGUAUGUAUCUUGCAAAUCUCUAUGUCUCCCACUUGGACUUGGUCCCGAAUGGAAUUGAAGCGUCUCUUGAUGUGUUUGGUCCUCUUGUGAAAUUUGGAUUCCUUUGCCAAGGCAAUUGCACCAGUAUUGUCACAGAAGAUGUUCAUUGGUCCCGAUGCACUAGGUAUGACACCUAGAUCGGAAAUGAGAUCCUUCAUCCAGACUCCUUCAUUUGCUGCUUCUGAAGCAGCUAUGUACUCCGCUUCACAUGUAGAUCCCGCCACGAUGCUUUGUUUAGAACUGCACCAACUUACAGCUCCACCGUUUAAUAAAAACACGUAUCUGGUUUGCGAUUUAGAAUCGUCCGGAUCAGUGUCAAAGCUUGCAUCGACGUAACCGUUUACGACUAGCUCUUUGUCACCUCCAUAUAUGAGAAACAUAUCCUUAGUCCUUUUCAGGUAUUUCAGGAUGUUCUUGACCGCUGUCCAGUGAUCCACUCCUGGAUUACUUUGGUACCUUCCUGCCAAGCUUAUUGCUAAGCAUACGUCAGGCCUGGUACACAGCAUUGCAUACAUGAUAGAGCCUAUGGCUGAAGCAUAGGGAACAUUUUUCAUUUUCUCUCUAUCUUCUGCUGUGGUCGGGCAUUGAGUUUGACUCAACUUCACACCUUGUAGCACAGGUAAGAAUCCUUUCUUUGCCUGAUCCAUUUUGAACUUUUUCAAAAAAAAUUCAAGGUAUGUGCUUUGUGAAAGUCCUAUUAAGCGUCUUGAUCUAUCUCUAUAGAUCUUGAUGAGUAAUAUGUAAGCAGCUUCACCGAGGUCUUUCAUUGAAAAACUUUUAUUCAAGUAUCCCUUUAUGCUAUGCAGAAAUUCUAUAUCAUUUCCAAUUAAUAAUAUGGCAUCUACAUAUAAAAUUAGAAAUGCUACAGAGCUCCCACUCACUUUCUUGUAAAUACAGGCUUCUCCAAAUGUCUGUAUAAAACCAUAUGCUUUGAUCACACUAUCAAAGCGUUUAUUCCAACUCCGAAAUGCUUGCACCAGUCCAUAAAUGGAACGCUGGAGCUUGCAUACUUUGUCAGCACCUUUUGGAUCAACAAAACCUUCCGGCUGCAUCAUAUACAACUCUUCUUCUAGAAAUCCAUUCAAGAAUGCAGUCUUGACAUCCAUAUGCCAAAUUUCAUAAUCAUGAAAUGCAGCAAUAGCUAACAUGAUUCGGACAGACUUAAGCAUCGCUACGGGUGAGAAAGUCUCAUCGUAGUCAACCCCUUGAACUUGUCGAAAACCUUUUGCAACAAGUCGAGCUUUAUAGACAGUUACAUUACCAUCAGCGUCAGUCUUCUUCUUAAAGAUCCAUUUAUUCUCAAUGGCUUGCCAAUCAUCGGGCAAGUCAACCAAAGUCCAUACUUUGUUUUCAUACAUGGAUCCCAUCUCAGAUUUCAUGGCUUCUAGCCAUUUUGCGGAAUCUGGGCUCAUCAUCGCUUCCUCAUAGUUCGUAGGUUCACCAUGGUCAAGUAACAUGACUUCCAGAAUAGGAUUACCAUACAACUCUAGUGCGGAUCUUACUCUGGUAGACCUACGAGGUUCAGUAGAAACUUGAACUCCUCACUAAUUGGUGUAGUUGUCACAGGAACCGGUUCUCGUGAUGAACUACUUUCCAAUAAGGGAGUAGAUACAGUUAUCUCAUCAAGUUCUACUUUCCUCCCACUCACUUCUUUCGAGAGAAACUCCUUCUCUAGAAAGGAUCCAUUCUUAGCAACGAAUGUCUUGCCUUCAGAUCUGUGAUAGAAGGUGUACCCAACAGUCUCUUUUGGGUAUCCUAUGAAAACACAUUUCUCCGAUUUGGGUUCGAGCUUAUCUGGUUGAAGUUUCUUCACAUAAGCAUCGCAGCCCCAAACUUUAAGAAACGACAACUUUGGUUUCUUGCCAAACCACAGUUCAUAAGGCGUCGUCUCAACGGAUUUUGAUGGUGCCCUAUUUAACGUGAAUGCGGCCGUCUCUAAAGCAUAACCCCAAAACGAUAGCAGUAAAUCAGUAAGAGACAUCAUAGAUCGCACCAUAUCAAGUAAAGUACGAUUAUGACGUUCGGACACACCAUUUCGUUGUGGUGUUCCGGGUGGCGUGAGUUGCGAAACUAUUCCACAUUGUUUCAAGUGUAGGCCAAACUCGUAACUCAAAUAUUCUCCUCCACGAUCAGAUCGUAGAAACUUUAUUUUCUUGUUACGAUGAUUUUCCACUUCACUCUGAAAUUCUUUGAACUUUUCAAAUGUUUCAGACUUGUGUUUCAUCAAGUAGAUAUACCCAUAUCUGCUCAAAUCAUCUGUGAAGGUGAGAAAAUAACGAUACCCGCCGCGAGCCUCAACAUUCAUUGGGCCACAAACAUCAGUAUGUAUGAUUUCCAACAAAUUAGUUGCUCGCUCCAUAGUUCCGGAGAAUGGCGUUUUAGUCAUCUUGCCCAUAAGGCACAGUUCGCAAGUACCAAGUGAUUCAUAAUCAAGUGAUUCCAAAAGUCCAUCAGUAUGGAGUUUCUUCAUGCGUUUUACACCGAUAUGACCCAAAAGGCAGUGCCACAAGUAAGUUGCACUAUCGUUAUCAACUCUGCAUCUUUUGGUUUCAACACUAUGAACAUGUGUAUCACUACUAUCGAGAUUUAAUAAAAAUAAACCACUCUUCAAGGGUGCAUGACCAUAAAAGAUAUUACUCAUAUAAAUAGAACAACCAUUAUUCUUUGAUUUAAAUGAAUAACCGUCUCGCAUCAAACAAGAUCCAGAUAUAAUGUUCAUGCUUAACGCUGGCACCAAAUAACAAUUAUUCAGGUCUAAAACUAAUCCCGAAGGUAGAUGUAGAGGUAGCGUGCCGACCGCGAUCACAUCGACUUUGGAACCGUUUCCCACGCGCAUCGUCACCUCGUCCUUGGCCAGUGCUCGCUUAUUCCGUAGUCCCUAUUUCGAGUUGCAAAUAUUAGCAACAGAACCAGUAUCAAAUUCCCAGGUGCUACUACGAGCUCUAGUUAGGUACACAUCAAUAACAUGUAUAUCACAUGUAGCUUUGUUUACUUUGCCAUCCUUCUUAUCCGCCAAAUACUUGGGGCAGUUCCGCUUCCAGUGACCAGUCUGCUUGCAGUAGAAGCACUCAGUUUCAGGCUUAGGUCCAGACUUGGGUUUCUUCUCUUGAGCAGCAACUUGCUUGCUGUUCUUCUUGAAGUUCCCCUUCUUCUUCCCUUUGCCCUUUUUCUUGAAACUAGUGGUCUUGUUGACCAUCAACACUUGAUGCUCCUUCUUGAUUUCUACCUCCGCAGCUUUUAGCAUUGCGAAGAGCUCGGGAAUAGUCUUGUUCAUCCCUUGCAUAUUAUAGUUCAUCACAAAGCUCUUGUAUCUUGGUGGCAGUGAUUGGAGAACUCUGUCAAUGACGCUAUCAUCCGGAAGAUUAACUCCCAGUUGAAUCAAGUGAUUAUUAUACCCAGACAUUUUGAGUAUAUGCUCACUGACAGAACUAUUCUCCUCCAUCUUGCAGCUGUAGAACUUAUUGGAGACUUCAUAUCUCUCAAUCCGGGCAUUUGCUUGAAAUAUUAACUUCAACUCCUGGAACAUCUCAUAUGCUCCAUGACGUUCAAAACGUCGUUGAAGGCCCGGUUCUAAGCCGUAAAGCAUGGCACACUGAACUAUAGAGUAGUCAUCAGCUUUGCUCUGCCAGACGUUCUUAACGUCGUCAGUUGCAUCAGCAGCAAGCCUGGCACCCAGCGGUGCUUCCAGGACGUAACUUUUCUGUGCAGCAAUGAGGAUAAUCCUCAGGUUACGGACCCAGUCCGUGUAAUUGCUACCAUCAUCUUUCAACUUUUCUUUCUCAAGGAACGCAUUAAAAUUCAACGGAACAACAGCACGAGCCAUCUAUCUACAAACAAACAUAGACAAGCAAAAUACUAUCAGGUACUAAGUUCAUGAUAAAUUUUAAGUUCAAUUAAUCAUAUUACUUAAGAACUCCCACUUAGACAGACAUCUCUCUAGUCAUCUAAGUGAUUACGUGAUCCAAAUCAACUAAACCAUAACCGAUCAUCAUGUGAGAUGGAGUAGUUUUCACUGGUGAACAUCACUAUGUUGAUCAUAUCUACUAUAUGAUUCAUGCUCGACCUUUCGGUCUCCGUGUUCCGAGGCCAUAUCUGCAUAUGCUAGGCUCGUCAAGUUUAACCUGAGUAUUCUGCGUGUGCAAAACUGGCUUGUACCCGUUGUAGAUGGACGUAGAGCUUAUCACACCCUAUCAUCACGUGGUGUCUGGGCACGACAAACUUUGGCAAUGGUGCAUACUCAGGGAGAACACUUCUUGAUAAUUUUUGUGAGAGAUCAUCUUAAAAUGCUACCGUCAAUCAAAGCAAGAUAAGAUGCAUAAAGGAUAAACAUCACAUGCAAUCAAUAUAAGUGAUAUGAUAUGGCCCUCAUCAUCUUGUGCUUGUGAUCUCCAUCUUUGAAGCACCAUCGUGAUCACCAUCGUCACCGGCGCGACACCUUGAUCUCCAUCGUAGCAUCGUUGUCGUUACGCCAUCUAUUGCUUCUACGACUAUCUAUACCGCUUAGUGAUAAAGUAAAGCAAUUACAGGGUGUUUGCAUUUCAUACAAUAAAGCGACAACCAUAUGGCUCCUGCCAGUUGCCGAUAACUUCGGUUACAAAACAUGAUCAUCUCAUACAAUAAAAUAUAUCAUCACGUCUUGACCAUAUCACAUCACAACAUGCCCUGAAAAACAAGUUAGACGUCCUCUACUUUGUUGUUGCAAGUUUUACGUGGCUGCUAUGGGCUUAGCAAGAACUGUUCUUACCUACGCAUCAAAACCACAACGAUAGUUCGUCAAGUUGGUGCUGUUUUAACCUUCGCAAGGACCGGGCGUAGCCACACUCGAUUCAGCUAAAGUGAGAGAGACAGACACCCGCCAGCCACCUUUAAGCACGAGUGCUCGUAACGGUGAAACCAGUCUCACGUAAGCGUACGCGUAAUGUCGGUCCGGGCCGCUUCAUCUCACAAUACCGCCGAACCAAAGUAUGAAAUGCUGGUAAGCAGUAUGACUUGUAUCGCCCACAACUCACUUGUGUUCUACUCGUGCAUAUAACAUCAACGCAUAAAACCUAGGCUCGGAUGCCACUGUUGGGAAACGUAGUAAUUUCAAAAUUUUCCUACGCACACGCAAGAUCAUGGUGAUGGCAUAGCAACGAGAGAGGAGAGUGUUCGUCCAUGUACCCUCGUAGACCGUAAGCGGAAGCGUUAGCACAACGCGGUUGAUGUAGUUGUACGUCUUCACGAUCCGACCGAUCCAAGCACCGAACGUACGGGGCCUCCGAGUUCAGCACACGUUCAGCUCGAUGACGAUCUCCGGCCUCCGAUCCAGUGAAGCUCCGGAGAUGAGUUCCGUCAGCACGACGGCGUGGUGACGAUGAUGAUGUUCUACCGGCACAGGGCUUCGCCUAAACUCCGCGACAAUAUGACCGAGGUGGAAUAUGGUGGAGGGGGGGCACCGCACACGGCUAAGGAACGAUCCGUAGAUCAACUUGUGUGUCUAUGGGGUGCCCCCCGCCCCUGUAUAUAAAGGAGCAAGGGGGAGAGGCCGGCCGGCCCCUUGGGCGCGCCAAGGGAGGAGGAAUCCUCCUCCUAGUAGGAGUAGGACUCCUCCUUUCCUACUCCUACUAGGAGGGGGAAGGAAGGAGGAGAGGGGGAAGGAAAGGGGGGGCGCCGCCCCCCUCGUAGUCCAAUUCGGACCAGAGGGGGGGAGGGGGCGUGCGGCCCAUGCUGGCCGCCCCUCUCUCCUUUCCCCUAAGGCCCAUAAGGCCCAAUACUCUCCCGGGGGGUUCCGGUAACCCCCGGCACUCCGGUUUUCUCCGAAAUCACCCGGAACAAUUCCGGUGUCCGAAUAUAGUCGUCCAAUAUAUCAAUCUUUAUGUCUCGACCAUUUCGAGAUUCCUCGUCAUGUCCGUGAUGACAUCCGGGACUCCGAACAAACUUCGGUACAUCAAAAGAUAUAAACUCAUAAUAAAACUGUCAUCGUAACGUUAAGCGUGCGGACCCUACAGGUUCGAGAACUAUGUAGACAUGACCUAGAACCAUUCUCGGUCAAUAACCAAUAGCGGGACCUGGAUGCCCAUAUUGGUUCCUACAUAUUCUACGAAGAUCUUUAUCGGUCAAACCGCAUAACAACAUACGUUGUUCCCUUUGUCAUGGGUACGUUACUUGCCCGAGAUUUGAUCGUCGGUAUCCAAUACCUAGUUCAAUCUCGUUACUGGCAAGUCUCUUUACUCGUUCCGUAAUAUAUCAUCUCAUAACUAACUUAUUAGUUACAAUGCUUGCAAGGCUUAGGUGAUGAGUAUUACCGAGAGGGCCCAGAGAUACCUCUCCGACAAUCGGAGUGACAAAACCUAAUCUCGAAUUAUGCCAACUCAACAUGUACCUUCGGAAACACCUGUAGAGCACCUUUAUAAUCACCCAGUUACGUUGUGACGUUUGGUAGCACACAAAGUGUUCUUCCGGUAAACGGGAGUUGCACAAUCUCAUAGUUGCAGGAACUUGUAUAAGUCAUGAAGAAAGCAAUAGCAGUAUACUAAACGAUCAAGUGCUAGGCUAACGGAAUGGGUCAUGUCAAUCACAUCAUUCUCCUAAUGAUGUGAUCCCGUCAAUCAAAUGACAACUCUUUUGUCCAUGGUUAGGAAACAUAACCAUCUUUGAUAAACGAGCUAGUCAAGUAGAGGCAUACUACUGACACUAUGUUUGUCUAUGUAUUCACACAUGUAUCAUGUUUCCGGUUAAUAUAAUUCUAGCAUGAAUAAUAAACAUUUAUCAUGAUAUGAGGAAAUAAAUAAUAACUUUAUUAUUGCCUCUAGGGCAUAUUUCCUUCAGUUACCGGAGUCCUGUUAGCCCAGUGUUACAGCCCGGAUGUAUACGUUGAUGACCGACAUGCUCGAUGUGACUCAUGUAUGCCUGUCCCCAUAGGUUAGCGCCGCUUUGGGUUCAUGACUAGCCAUGUCAGCCCGGGUUCUCUGUCAUAUGGAUGCUAGCGACACUAUCAUAUACGUGAGCCAAAAGGCGCAAACAGUCCCGGCCAUGGUAAGGCGACACCCGUGGGAUUACCGUGCGUGAGGCCGCAAAGUGAUAUGAGGUGUUACCGGCUAGAUCAAUGUGACUUGGAAUCAUGGUCCAGACAGCAUUGGCAUCAGAGCCGGACUGCCUGUAGGUUCCUAAGCCAAACUGGUCGAUGUCGAGUCUAGAAAUGCUUUAGUUAUAUGUAGGGGAAUUUAUUGUGGGAGGAAACGUAAGGCUCUUUUUACCCCUUUACCUUAUGCCCUCUGAUCUGUGUCAUCCUCUUCUCAUUCUACGUGGGUUAAGGACUAGGCUCUCUUCUCUCUAUCAGGUUCACGUGUUACUAAUCCGUAGUAACUUAUAGGAUUGUUGGUUACCAGUCUCAGUACAGUUCCUACUACUUUAGUAUGUUAUCAGUUGAACCUGAACCUUGAUAUGAUGUUGUUGAGUGGUUUUGCAAUCCGUUGUGAAUGUCUCAAAUCUGCUCCUGAGCAUUUACAGCUGUUAUGUUGUCCAAUUUUCCCUAGGAAUUCUAAUGUCUUUGCAUUGUGGUUGUGCUUUCAGAUGGCCACUCGCGCUCAGAACCAAGUGGUUCGCCUGACGCGGUGCCUCAAUGUGCCCGGUCAUACUGCUAUGUUAGUCCGGGUCAUGAUCGAGACAGGUUACCGUUGGUAUCCCGAAUACAUUGCCGAAGAGCAAUUCCAAGACUUUAAUCAAAGCCAAUACUUCUGCACUGUCAGGAUAUUUCCUUCAUAUCCUGGAUCCACCGAGCCCCUUCACUGCUCCUAUGGACUCGGGGUCACCAUUGAGAUGGCUGUACAGGAUGCGGCCUAUUCUAUGAUGACCAUCAUGCGAGUCAGGACUGGUCUGCUUCGGAACACCGACUUCCGUUAUAUGCCAGCAUCGCUCCCAGGAGCGCAAGGGUAUCUCCAGGCUAUCUAUGCUGAUUCCACCCAUGAGGACUCACUAACUCGCACCAUUGCGGAGAUGCUCGAGGAUAAGGACCGAGAGAAUCAGGCCUUGAGGUUGGAGCUUUUCAACACCUGCGCCGAUCAUUGGGCCACUUUGACUCGGUUUGCACCGGCUGUGCAAGCUGGAUGUAUGGAUAUGAGGGAUCUGUUUCCUGUGAGAUCUGCUCUGCCAGACAUGGUGGAUUGGCGUGAUGUGGGAGGCAUCAUCCCACCCCGUGGUCCCCGUAGGCCAUCGUUUGUUGGUCCAAGACCUCAUCCUAGCCCCUAUGGUCCACAGGCUCCUCAGGACCGUCUGUUCCCGGAUGAUCACGUUGAGCUUCCAAGCUAUGGAGGGGACUUCUAUGAGGACUACUACGGAGCUGUCUGAGUUAGUAGUAGUAUCUUUAGUAUUGUAAUAGUUGUAAUUCCAUCGUCCUGCGUGACCUGUGGAAUAUGACUUAGUGUGUAUCAGUUCCGGAGGUGUAGAAAAAUAAUGUAUCGGAGCUUGGAAUGCCUCCGAUGAGAUGUAACUUCUUCCACCGUAGUUGUACUAUAGUCGGGCUUGUACUAAACUAUGUAUGGUGUGUAUGACUGUUGGUGCAUAUAUGGCAGUUUCUGUAUUACCAUGUCAUACAGAUGAACAUCUCUGCAUUCCUUGUUAUCCAUUACAUUCUGCACUUCCUUGUCCAGAUUUGCCAUCCUUGUCUAAAGCGAUGUCUUGUUUUCCUAGGAUGGUCAACACCCGUAACAACCCUGCUACUCCGGAGCAGGGUGAAGCCAGUGCAGCUAGGAAUGAAAAUCUGCCUCAACCACCUUCUCUGGUCGAAGUUAUGCUGGAGGCAGAGCGAAAUAAGCGUGAGACCAAUCGCUUGCUGGAGCGGAUUGAGCAGAAUACCGCACGCCAGCCGAGGAACGACCUGGUGUCACUUAAUGACUUUGUCAAGCUGUAUCCACCGAAGUUUAAACAUUCCGUCGAGCCCCUUGAUGCGGAUGAAUGGCUUCGCAGCAUUACCCACAAGCUACGUUCUGUCAAUGUGGCCGAAGCUGAUAAGGUUAACUUUGCUACCUAUCACCUCGAAGGCCCUGCUAGCCUUUGGUGGGAAAACUUUGAGGCUAUGCGCCCGGUCGGCCAAAUUACUACUUGGGCUGAAUUCAGUAUGGAGCAUCACAUUCCGGAAGGUCUUAUGGAUCGCAAGCGUGAAGAGUUCUGCAACUUCACCCAGGGUAGACUGACUGUGGAUGCAUACAGUCGCGAGUUUGGAUAUCUAGCACGAUAUGCUCCUAAAGAGGUAUCCACCGACGCCAAGAAGCAGGCAAGGUUCCGCAAGGGACUUAGCCCCGAGCUUCGUCGUGAUCUUCGUCUGCACGAGUGCACCUCCUUCCAGAAGUUAGUCAACAAGGCCAUCAGUGCUGAGACAGGGCAGUCGGACUUUGAAGCUUCACGCAAGCACUCCCGUGACUUUGGACUUCAUCCGGCUGUGCAUCUCAGAAGCGCCGGGUCUGGAUUCCAAGCACUGCUCUGCCACCCAGGUUCACCCCGAGGCCAUCCUUUGACGCGCCUCGCCCCAACCAAUAGUAUACACCGCCCAAGGCCUAUGGUGGCCCCACUGCUAAUGCUACUCCAUGCCCCAAUGUGAUAACUUGUUUCAAGUGUGGGGAGACGGGUCACUACAUUCGUGAGUGUCCCCAAAACAACCCCAACCAGAUUGGAAAGUCUGUUGGCCGUGGCAAGCCAGCAGGAAAGGUGCUCUACGCCAAGCCAGCCACCACUGCCCGUGGCCAUGUCAACUAUGUCUCAGCAGAGGAGACUCAUGAGGAUCCCAACGUCGUUCUCGGUACGCUUCUUGUUAAUUGCCACCCGGCAACCAUUCUCUUUGAUACUGGAGCAUCUCAUUCAUUUAUAUCUGAAAGCUAUGCUCGAUUGCACAACACCACAUUUUGUGACAUGCCCACCUCCAUGGUAAUUCAAACCCCUGGUUCUAAGUGGCAAACCUCUAAAAUCAGCCAUGGAAAUGAAAUCCUUGUCGACAGAUUAGUCUUCCUUGCAUCACUAAUAGCUCUCAAGUCCUCGGACAUAAACAUCAUCUUGGGUAUGGACUGGAUGUCAGCCCAUUACGCUAAGAUCGAUUGCUCCACUAGAACUGUUCAACUCACCCACCCUUCGGGCAAGACAGCCAAUGUUUUGACCCGAGUGUCUAAGCGUCAGCUUUACUCUUUAAAUGCCAACCCCCUUCCAGACCUUGAAGAUAUUCCGGUAGUCCGUGACUUCCCGGAUGUCUUUCCAGAGGAACUGUCAGGUGUUCCACCUAACAGAGAUGUCAAGUUCGUGAUAGACCUUGUUCCAGGAACCAUGCCAACAUCUAGGAGACCUUAUAAGAUGGCACCCCUAGAACUAGCUGAGCUUAAGAAACAACUCGAUGAGUCCUUGCAAAAGGGUUUCAUCCAUCCUAGCUCUUCUCCAUGGGCUUGCCCCGUCCUUUUCGUCAAGAAGAAGGAUGGAACGGAUCGGAUGGUUGUAGAUUACCGGCCAGUCAACUUGGUCACUAUCAAGAACAAGUAUCCGCUCCCCAAGAUCAACGACCUGUAUGAUCAGCUCGCUGGAUCCUCAGUCUUUUCUAAAAUGGAUUUGAGGUUGGGCUACCAUCAAAUCAAAAUUAAGAACGGGGACAUUCCUAAAACGGCCUUUGUUACUCGAUAUGGCCAAUACGAGUACACCGUCAUGUCCUUCGGUCUAACCAAUGCCCCAGCCACCUUCUCUCGGUUAUUGAACUCGAUCUUCAUGGAGUAUUUUGAUAAAUUCGUCGUGGUUUACCUUGAUGAUAUACUCAUCUACUCCAAGAAUGAAGAAGAACAUGCCGAACAUCUAAGGCUAGUGUUGAUGAAACUUUGAGAGCAUUGUCUUUAUGCCAAAUUCUCUAGGUGUGAGUUUUGGUUGCCAGAAGUAACCUAUCUAGGACAUGUAAUCUCUGGUAAGGGCAUUGCUGUCAAUCCCAAGCGAGUUCAAGCCAUCCUUGACUGGACUCCACCUGAAACGGUCAAGCAAGUUCAGAGUUUUGUUGGUUUAGCGAGCUAUUGCCGCUGCUUCAUCGAGAAUUUCUCCAAGGUUGCUAAGCCUCUAACCGAACUCCUCAAGAAAGAUAAAAAGUUCGAAUGGACGCCAUAGUGCGAGUUCAGUUUUCAGGAACUGAAAAGACGCCUGACAUCUGCUCCUGUACUUGUUCCACCAGAUUUCUCUAAGGACUUCGUUAUCUACUGCGACGCCUCGCGACAAGGACUAGGUUGCAUACUCAUGCAAGAUCGUCAUGUGAUUGCCUACGCUUCUCGACAGCUGCGUCCACAUGAGGAUAACUAUCCCACACAUGAUCUACAGCUUGCAGCAGUGGUCCAUGCACUCAAAACCUGGCGACAUUACCUUCUCGGUAAUCGUUGCGAGAUUUACACCGAUCACCAAAGUCUGAAAUACAUCUUCACCAAACCGGAUUUGAAUCUCAGACAAAGACGUUGGGUCGAGUUGAUUACGGAUUACGAUCUAGGAAUAACCUACACCCCAGGAAAAGCCAAUGUCAUGGCUGAUGCAUUAAGCCGUAAAUCUUAUUGUAACAACCUGAUGUUACAACAAAGCCAACCAUUUCUCCACGAGGAAUUUCGUAAGCUUAACCUUCACAUCGUUCCUCGAGGUUUUCUUUCCACCCUGGUGGCGAAACCUACCCUUACGGAUCAGAUCAUCAAGGCACAGAAGGUAGAUCCGGGAAUAUCCCGUAUCAAGAGAAACAUCAAAAGGGAGUUGGACUGUUUCUCCAUAGAUGAUCAAGGUGUUGUGUUCUUUGGAGGCCAUCUAGUGGUUCCCAAGGUAUGCAACCUGAGGCGAUUGAUCCUUAAGGAAGCUCAUGAAUCCCCUCUCACUAUUCAUCCCAGUAGUACUAAAAUGUAUCAAGACCUACGCCAGAGGUUUUGGUGGACUAGGAUGAAGAGAGAAAUCGCUCAAUACAUUACCAAUUGCGACGUCUGUCGUCGAGUUAAAGAAGAGCAUCAACGACCUGCUGGCACCCUGCAACCUUUGGAAAUUCCCGAAUGGAAAUGGGAUAAAAUCGGUAUGGAUUUCAUUACCGGGUUUCCCAGGACCAAGAGGGGGAAUAAUGCUAUCUUCGUUGUUGUCGAUCGUCUUUCCAAAGUAGCCCACUUCCUACACGUUCGUGAGAGUUUAACCGCUAGCCAGCUAGCUGACUUAUACAUCUCCCGAAUAGUGUCUCUUCAUGGUGUUCCAUUGGAGACUAACUCAGACCGUGGAAGUCUCUUCACCUCUCGAUUUCGGGAAAGUUUCCAAAAUGCGAUGGGAACUCGUCUUUCUUUUAGCACCGCUUUCCAUCCUCAAUCAAGUGGUCAAGUAGAACGAGUCAAUCAAAUUCUAGAGGAUAUGCUUCGAGCUUCUGUCAUCUCUUUUGGUAUGAAUUGGGAGAAGUGCCUUCCAUUCGCUGAGUUCGCUUAUAACAAUAGUUAUCAAGCUAGCUUGGACAAAGCUCCUUUCAAAGUUCUCUAUGGAUGAAAAUGUCGAACACCUCUUAACUGGUCAGAAACCGGGUAAAGACAACUCUUUGGCCCGGAUAUGAUCCAGGAAGCAGAGGAGCAGGUUCACGUUAUUCGUGAGAAAUUGAAAACAGCCCAAUCUCAUCAAAAGAGCCAAUAUGACCGCAAACAUACACUAGUAGAAAAGGGGCCAAUGGUCCAGGCCGGUCCAGCCCAUUAGUCCCGGUUCAAUCCAGAACCGGGACCAAUGGGGGCAUUGGACCCGGUUCGUGAGCCCUGGGGGCCGGCCGGGCCACGUGGGCCAUUGGUCCCGGUUCGUCCUGACCUUUCGGUCCCGGUUGGUGGGACGAACCGGGACCAAUGGGCCUCGCUCCUGGCCCACCAACAUUGGUCCCGGUUGGUGGCUUGAACCGGGACCAAAGGCGUCCCUUUAGUCCCGGUUCAAGUCACCAACCGGGACCAAUUAGUUGCCUAUAUAUACCCCUCGCCUGCGAGCAGAGCACUCCCAGUGCUCUGUUUUUCGUGGCUGGCGAGGGGAGAGCUUUGUGGUGCUCUAGCUCACGUCCUAUGCACACAAGGUGUUCGAUGGAAUGCCCGAGCCACACUACUUAAGCUUUCUCCUCUCCAAGCUCGACCUCCAAGCUCCAUUUUCCUUCAUAUUUGUCUAGGUUUAGCGGUUCGUCACGUCCCGUCCCCAUCUUCACCACCGUUGAUCGCCCGCGCCGAUCUCGUCGCCGGCACCACCGUGGUGAGCCUCUUGUUCUUAUCUUCUUUCUGAAAGGAAAAAAAAUUCUUACUUGUAUGUUUAUAUAGAUACUUGUAUAAUUUUCUUACUUUUAUUAUUGCAUCUUAUAUAGUGCGAUGGUUUUGGUAUCCGCCCCCGUCGGCCCUCGUCCUGUCUAUGAUUCAGAUGUGGUAUAUAUAUAUUAUCUUUUCAUAACUAGUGGUUCAUUUAUUGUUUAUGACAAUUAUGCCGACCAACGUGACAUAGAUUUUAUUUAUCUAGGAGGUUGUUGAACCGGAAAUUCCAACCGACCCUAUUGUCGAGAGGUUAAAUUUAGUUGAAGAAAACAAUUUGUUGAAGGGAAAAAUUAGAAAAAUUGAGGAGGAGAAGAUGAUAUUGGAGUUGCAUGUUGCGGAUGUCAUCGAUGAUCACAAGAUCAAGAUGGAUGCAAUGCGCUUGAAGAUUAGAAAGAUUAGAAAAUAUGCCAUUCAUACCGAGGCUUGGUAUCAUUAUGUCGUUGGAUCAGUUGUUACAUUGGUUGCGAUUAUGAUCGUAUUUGUUUUCGCAUUGAAAUGUUUUACAUAGUUUCAGUGUAUGGUUUAAUUAAUUUAGAUGCCCUGCAGAGCUUUAUGUUGUUAGAUGAGAACUAUGUAUGUACUUUGGUUUUAAUGUGAUGAUGAACUUCUAUUAAUUUCGUCACUUAAUUAUCUAUUCAUGAUGUUCUGUAAUGAUUUUUGACACACUUAAUUAUAUAUAAUGCACGCAGAUGAACCGGCAAUGGAUGUACGGUUCAAGACACACCUCCGAGUACAUUAAGGGCGUGCAUGAUUUUCUCGAAGUGCCUGAGGCAACAAGAAGAAUGGUUUUAUGUGUUGUCCAUGCCCUAUAUGUGGGAAUACGAAGUCUUACUCUGACUGGAAAAUCCUCCACACCCACCUUCUUUACAAGGGUUUCAUGCCACACUAUAAUGUUUGGACGAGGCACGGAGAAAUAGGGGUUAUGAUGGAAGACGGCGAAGAAGAAGAGUACGAUGACAACUAUGUGCCCCCUGAAUACGGUGAUGCUACUGAAGAUCAAGAGGAACCAGACGAUGUGCCCGAUGAUGAUGAUCUCCGCCGGGUCAUUGUCGAUGCAAGGACGCAAUGCGAAAGUCAAAAGGAGAAGCUGAAGUUCGAUCGCAUGUUAGAGGACCACAAAAAAGGGUUGUACCCCAAUUGUGAAGAUGGCAACACAAAGCUCGGUACCGUACUGGAAUUGCUGCAGUGGAAGGCAGAGAAUGUUGUGCCUGACAAAGGAUUUGAGAAGCUACUGAAAAUAUUGAAGAAGAAGCUUCCAAAGGAUAACGAAUUGCCCGACAGUACAUACACAGCAAAGAAGUUCGUAUGCCCUCUAGGAUUGGAGGUGCAGAAGAUACAUGCAUGCCCUAAUGACUGCAUCCUCUACCGCGGUGCGUACAAGGAUCUGAACGCAUGCCCGGUAUGCGGUGCAUUACGGUAUAAGAUCAGACGAGAUGACCCUGGUGAUGUUGACGGCGAGCCCCCCAGGAAGAGGGUUCCUGCGAAGGUGAUGUGGUAUGCUCCCAUAAUACCACGGUUGAAACGUCUGUUCAGAAACGGAGAGCAUGCCAAGUUGAUGCGAUGGCACAGUGAGGACCGUAAGAAAGACGGGAAGUUGAGAGCACCCGCUGACGGGUCGCAGUGGAGAAAAAUCGAGGGAAAGUACUGGGAUGAGUUUGCAAGUGAGCCAAGGAACGUAUGGUUUGCUUUAAGCGCGGAUGGCAUUAAUCCUUUCGGGGAGCAGAGCAGCAAUCACAGCACCUGGCCCGUGACUCUAUGUAUGUAUAACCUUCCUCCUUUGAUGUGCAUGAAGCAGAAGUUCAUUAUGAUGCCAGUUCUCAUCCAAGGCCCUAAGCAACCCGGCGACGACAUUGAUGUGUACCUAAGGCCAUUAGUUGAAGAACUUUUAUAGCUGUGGAAUGGAAAUAGUGUACGUACGUGGGAUGAGCACAAACAGGAGGAAUUUAACCUAAAGGCGUUGCUGUUCGUGACCAUCAACAAUUGGCCCGCUCUCAGUAACCUUUCAGGACAGACAAACAAGGGAUACCACGCAUGCACGCACUGUUUACUUGACACCGAUAGUAUAUACCUAGCAAGUUGUAGGAAGAAUGUGUACCUGGGCCAUCAUCGAUUUCUUUCGACCAACCAUCAAUGUUGAAAGAAAGGCAAGCAUUUCAAAGGCGAGGCAGAUCACCGGAAGAAGCCCUCCAUGCGUACUGGUAUCACGUACUUGCUAUGGUAGUGAUUUACACGUAAUCUUUGGAAAGUGUCCCGGCGGACUAGCUGUUCCGAAUGACGCUGAGAAUCACGCACCCAUGUGGAAGAAGAAAUCUAUAUUUUGGGACCUACCCUACUAGAAAGACCUAGAGGUCCGCUCUUCGAUCGACGUGAUGCACGUGACGAAGAACCUUUGCGUGAACCUGCUAGGCUUCUUGGGCAUGUAUGGGAAGACAAAAGAUACAACUGAGGCACGGGAGGACCUGCAACGCUUGCACGAAAAAGUGGGCAUGCCUCCGAAGCAGUAUGAAGGUCCUGCCAGCUACGCUCUUACGAAAGAAGAGAAAUAAAUCUUCUUUGAAUGCCUGCUCAGUAUGAAGGUCCCGACUGGCUUCUCUUCGAAUAUAAAGGGAAUAAUAAAUAUGCCAGACAAAAAGUUCUAGAACCUAAAGUCUCAUGACUGCCACGUGAUUAUGACGCAACUGCUUCCGGUUGCAUUGAGGGGGCUUCUACCGGAAAACGUCCGAUUAGCCAUUGUGAACCUAUGUGCAUUCCUCAAUGCAAUCUCUCAGAAGGUGAUCGAUCCAGAAAUCAUACCAAGGCUAAGGACUGAUGUGGUGCAAUGUCUUGUCAGUUUCGAGCUGGUGUUCCCACCAUCCUUCUUCAAUAUCAUGACGCACGUCCUAGUUCAUCUAGUUGACGAGAUUGUCAUUCUGGGCCCCGUAUUUCUACACAAUAUGUACUUCUUUGAGAGGUUCAUGGGAGUCCUAAAGAAAUAUGUCUGUAACCGCGCUAGGCCAAAAGGAAGCAUCUCCAUGGGCUAUCAAACAGAGGAUGUCAUCGGGUUUUGUGUUGACUUCAUUCCUGGCCUUAAGAAUAUAGGUCUCCCUAAAUCGCGGUAUGAGGGGAGACUGACUGGAAAAGGCACGCUUGGAAGGGACUCAAUUAUAUGCAGGGACGGAUAUUCUUGGUCUCAAGCACACUACACAGUUCUACAGAACUCUACCUUGGUGACCCCGUAUGUCGAUGAACACAAGAACAGUCUGCGCUCCAAACACCCGGAGCAGUGCGACGACUAGAUUACAUGUGAACACAUCAGGACUUUCAGUAGUUGGUUGGAAGCACAUAUCAGAGGUGACAACACUGUUUGUGAUGAGUUGUACUUGUUGUCCAGGGGACCAUCUUUGACUGUAUUGAUUUGGAAAGGAUACGAGAUAAAUGGGAAUACAUUUUACACGAUUGACCAAGAUCAAAAGAGCACCAACCAAAACAGCGGUGUCCGCUUUGAUGAAACAACCGAGAGGGGAAAGGACACAUAUUGUGGUUACAUAGUGGACAUAUGGGAACUUGACUACGGACACGAUUUUAAGGUCCCUUUGUUUAAGUGCAAAUGGGUCAAUCUGUCAGGUGGCAGGGUACAGGUAGACCCACAGUACGGAAUGACAAUAGUGGAUCUGGAAAAUCUUGGAUACACUGACGAACUGUUCGUCCUAGCCAAUGAUGUGGCACAGGUUAUCUAUGUGAAGGACAUGUCUACCAGACCAAGAAAGAGAAAAGAUAAGGAAGCGAAUACAUCAUACGAUGAGCCAAAGUGCCACAUAGUUCUUUCAGGAAAAAGGGACAUCGUGGGAGUGGAGGACAAGACAGACAUGUCUGAAGAUUAUGAAAAGUUUCAUGAAAUUCCUCCCUUUAAUGUCAAGGCUGACCCCAGCAUCCUGAUAGACGAUGAAGAUUAUCCAUGGUUACGGCGCAAUAAGCAAAUGACACAAGCGAAGAAAAAGUGAAGACUUUCUCCCGCAACUAUUAUGAUGAUACCAUGCCAAAUUUGUAACUGACGAGUAUGAUACCAUUGUCCGUUUUGUACAUGCACAUGCUAUGUGGGUCAAUUUAUGAUACCAUGCCAACUUUCAACUUUUUCAGAGUUCAUUUGAAAUGCUUUAAUGUCUUAUGGUUCGGCCCUCGUAAUGAUUAAAAAUAGCAACAAUAAGUAUUUUGUUGUAAGUAGAAACAAAAUAAAAUAAAUAAAGCAAGAAAGAAAACAAAAAAAACAAAAAAAGUGUUUUCAAAUUUGAAAACUAAUGGUACUAACAGAAAGUUUAUAAUUUUCCUAAAACUAAAAGCAAAAAGAAUUGAAAAAUAAAGCAAAAAACAAAAGACAAUAAAUAAUGCAGAAAUCAAAACAAAAAACAACAAUAAGUAUUUUGUUGUAUGUAGAAACAAAACAAAAUAAAUAAAGCAAGAAAGAAAACAAAAAAACAAAAAAAGUGUUUUCAAAUUUGAAAACUAGGGCACUAACAGAAAGUUUAUAAUUUUCCUAAAACUAAAAGCAAAAAGAAUUAAAAAAUAAAGCAAAAAACAAAAGAAAAUAAAUAAUGCGGAAAACAAAACAAAAAAACUGGAAAAAAAAUAAAAUAGCAAAAAUAAGUAAAGAAAACAAAAAAAUGCCUCCUACUGGGCCCCCACGGCCUGAAUACGACUAGAAACCCUACUAUGGGCCAGGAUUCAGGCCCGCAGUAGGCCCAGAAGGCCCAUCAGGCAAAGCAAUAGCAAGUAGGCCCGAAAGCCUGCGGUGGAGAGGAGCUCGAGAGGGGUGCGGCAGUGGGGCUUAUAAACCACUGCACGCCCCUCUCAACUAGCGAGGUGGGACUAAACUUUGGCCCCGACGCGGGAAGCACAGGGGCCUUUGGUCCCGGUUGGUGGCACCAACCGGGACUAAAGGGGGGGGCAUUGGUACCGGUUCGUGGCACCAACCGGUACCAAAGGCCGCCGCUUCCCGCCCUUUGGGCUGCCGAAAAGGAGGCCUUUGGUCCUAGUUGGUGGCACUAACCGGGACUAAAGGGUGCAUUAGUCCCGGUUGAUUUCACGAACCGGGACCAAUGCCUUUGCUAUAUAAGCAAACACUUUGCAAAAUUUCAGAAUCCCAUCGCCAGUUGCCCCCGACGACGCCGACCCUCCUCGACGCUGCCAGGCUGCUCCACCUCGCCGUCGUCGCCGCCACCGCCAAGCCGUCGCCUCCCCGAGCCCGCGCCAUCCUCGUCGCCGGCCUCCCUGAGCCCGCGCCGUCCUCGUCGCCGGUCUCCUCGAGCCCGCUCCCCGUCCCGCCCCCGCGCGCCGCCGCCCCGAGCCCCUGCCCCGUCCUGCCCCCAUGCGCNNNNNNNNNNNNNNNNNNNNNNNNNNNNNNNNNNNNNNNNNNNNNNNNNNNNNNNNNNNNNNNNNNNNNNNNNNNNNNNNNNNNNNNNNNNNNNNNNNNNNNNNNNNNNNNNNNNNNNNNNNNNNNNNNNNNNNNNNNNNNNNNNNNNNNNNNNNNNNNNNNNNNNNNNNNNNNNNNNNNNNNNNNNNNNNNNNNNNNNNNNNNNNNNNNNNNNNNNNNNNNNNNNNNNNNNNNNNNNNNNNNNNNNNNNNNNNNNNNNNNNNNNNNNNNNNNNNNNNNNNNNNNNNNNNNNNNNNNNNNNNNNNNNNNNNNNNNNNNNNNNNNNNNNNNNNNNNNNNNNNNNNNNNNNNNNNNNNNNNNNNNNNNNNNNNNNNNNNNNNNNNNNNNNNNNNNNNNNNNNNNNNNNNNNNNNNNNNNNNNNNNNNNNNNNNNNNNNNNNNNNNNNNNNNNNNNNNNNNNNNNNNNNNNNNNNNNNNNNNNNNNNNNNNNNNNNNNNNNNNNNNNNNNNNNNNNNNNNNNNNNNNNNNNNNNNNNNNNNNNNNNNNNNNNNNNNNNNNNNNNNNNNNNNNNNNNNNNNNNNNNNNNNNNNNNNNNNNNNNNNNNNNNNNNNNNNNNNNNNNNNNNNNNNNNNNNNNNNNNNNNNNNNNNNNNNNNNNNNNNNNNNNNNNNNNNNNNNNNNNNNNNNNNNNNNNNNNNNNNNNNNNNNNNNNCGCUGCAUUGGCUCUGUUUUUUUUUCAUUUUUAUUAGUUUAAUUAUUUUUUUGUUCAUAUAUAUAUAUAUAUAUAUAAUGUAUAUGUGUAUGUAUGUGGCUAUAUAUGUGUAUGUAGAUGUUCAAAAAUUAUUCAGAGCACGUUUUUAUUCAUAUAUGUAUUUUUUGUUCAUAUGUGUAUUAAUGUUUUCAUAUAUGCAAAAGAUAGAUUUUUAGAAAAGUUAGGGUUUUUUUUUCUAUUCAUAGAUUUUUUUGGUGAUAUUAAUUAUUGUAGAAUAUGCAAAUGUUUGUAUAUUCAUAUGAACAAUGCAUUAGGCAAAACCUUUGUUUUUUUUGAAAUUUUUUAUUUGAACAUUUUUUAAAAACAAGCAAUACUAAAAGAAUGAGAGGAAAAAGGAAAAUAAGAAGAGGAAGAAAGGAGAAGAAGAGGAGAGGAAGAAGAGGAGAAAUAAAUAAGAAGAGGAAAAAAGAAGAGGGGAAGAAGAAAGGAAUAGAGGAGAAGAAGAAAAAUAGAAAUUUUCUAUUUUUCUUCUUCUCCUCUAUUCCUUUCUUCUUCUCCUCUUUAUUUUCUUCUUUUUUUUCUUCUUCCUUCUUCCUCUUUUCUUCCUUUUCCUUAUUUUCCUUUCUCGAGGGAGAAGAAGAAAAAGAAGAGUAAAAGAAGAAGAAAGGAAUAGAGGAGAAAGAAGAAACUUCAACACAAGGGGGGGUUACCGAUACCCCCUCCCCGAUAACAUUAUUUUCCCAUGUAUAUGUAUGUCGCGUCAUUGUCGAUAUAACCCCCUCGAGAUAACUUCGACAUGAGGGGCGGUCGAUAUAUAUACCCCCUCUCGACCGUGAUAACUUAUACAACGGCAGCACCCCCCUCGGCCCUCUCGCUCGACCAAAACUCUUGAGGACACCCAAACCCUAGAGAGAAAACGAUGUUGGUCUCCUACCCCCUCCCGCCGCGCCCCUACCCGACAUAUUAACUCUCUCGAGGCCACCCAAAUUUACCAAGUUAAAAGAGCGUUGUCGUCGAGGCCACCCCAAACCCUUGAAGCGUUGUGUCGAGGAGACCCCAAACCCUAGAGAAGCAGCGUCGAGGCCACUAACAUGGAUCGAUCCAUCUGUAAUAAUAAUUGACAUGGUGUAAAUAUUUGCAGAAACUAUGGAGCACUCCCGAGACGAAGAAACAGAAGCGAUGUUGGGGGACAUUAUCGCACAAGGAAGUGAUGAAGUUGCGUCAUUUCUCAACGACACCGAUGGUCAGGAACGACUGGGUGAAGAAGAGGGCUAUGUUCAUGAUGGCUUCGACCCAUUAAUGCCGGUACAAGAAGAGGACUAUGUUCAUGAUGGCUCUGGUGACACAAUGGAGGUACAAGAAGGAGACCGUGCUGACUGCUCCGGUGACCGAACCGAGUCCGGCCAGGUAUAUAUAUAUAUAUUAGUUAAGCCCGUGCUGACUAGUUAAUUGAUGCAUCCAUUGUUUUGGUAUAUGUACACAUAUUAAUUACUCUCGUCUUUCUUCCUUAUAAUUUCUAGCCCUCCGGAUCGAGCACAACUUCGGUAAGAAGACGAAGCCCGAAGAAAAAGUUGAGCUCGGAUGAAAAGUUUGAGAUCAUAGAAAUCGCGCCCGACGGCGAACCGAUUGAACCCAUCCGGACAAGGAAGGCAUUUUCUGCUCAGUGCGGGGUUCUUGUUAGGGACAAGAUCCCGAUCAGCAUCCAUCAAUGGUAUAAGCCUAAGGAGGAAGACCCCGAGGUGUCUUAUGUCAAUGAUAUGCAGAAAGAAGAUCUUUGGACUGAGCUAAAGGCAAAUUUCACCCUACCGCUAGAGGAGGAUCCGGAGAAGCCAGUUAUAGAGCAAUUAAUCAAUUCUUGUGCUCUUAAGAAGAUGGCAACCCUAAUGAGGAGGUGGAGGAAAGAGGUGAACCAGUUUGUCGAGAAAGAUAAGACACCAGAAUUCAUCGGCAAAUAUGAGAAGAUCAAAGAUCACUGGCCCGCAUUUGUGGCCCACAAGACAUCGGAAAAGAGUAAGAAGAUGUCGGCAACAAACAAGAAAAAUUCUGCAAAGAAGAAGCUUCACCAUCGCACGGGGUCAGGUGGCUACCUCAAAGCCCGGCCUAAGUGGUCCAAGGCUGAGCAUGAUCUGCUUGAAAAAGGGAUCGAACCAGAGACAAUGUACUGGCCAGACCGUUGUCGGACUUGGUUCUUCGGGGCUGGCGGAACCUUGGACCCUGUAACAGGGAAGUGCCAGUGGACGGAUGAGCAACUACAAAUACCAGUCAAGAAACUUCGACACUAUAUCGAUGCAGCGUAGCGAGGGACGCUCCUUCCAAACAGGGAGAAGGACGAGCUCACAAUGGCCCUUGGGAAUCCUGAGCACCCUGGAUGGACACGAGGCACGCCAGGCUCCAUUCCAUGGAAGGUUGGUCUUCCGCACACAGGGGGUUACAAAACCCACGAGAGGAGGAAGAAACUGGAGCAGGACCAAAUGCAGGCGCUGCACGAAAGGGUAAUGGGGCUAGAGGAACGAGAAGCAGCAGAUCGCAGCAAACGACAUGCCGAAGCUUCCCCCGAAGCUACCUCGCCAUCUCAGCGGAGAAGCAGCGUGGCUUCCACCGAGCUGCUUCAGCCGGAGCAUGUCUUGACGUCUCCUGCCAGCUAUCCCGUGGAUGGUAUCACGGAGUCUCAAAGUUGCCACAUUAUGACGCAAUGUAUGAAUUUGAAGGUCAAGGCGGCUGUUGGCCAAGUUUAUCCUAGUGGACCCGGCACAACUUAUCACUGCCAGCCGAUUCCAGAAGGAUUUGCUAAGGUGAUGGUGGAUGAAAUAACGGAGGGAUUUGAGGACCUCCUGCUUGAGCACCCUACCGGUGAAGGGGAGACUAGGCUGGGUUCUGCUCUGAAGACUCCAUGCCUAUGGCGGAAGGAGCUCAUCAACCUUCCGAACUGGACGCCUCCGCCUCCUCCUCCUCCUCCGGCGAGUCAGGGCACUCCGCCUCCUCCACCGCCUCCUCCUCCGGCGAGUGAUGAUCAGGGCACACGUGGCAGCACUCCGCCUCCUUCUCCGCCUGCGCCGGCGCGCCCGAGCAGCCAGCCUCCUCCUUCUCCGCCUCGUCAGCAAGGGCGAAAGAGACCCGCCGCUGCUCCGGCUGCUCCGGCGCGUCGUAAUCCUUCUCCUCCGCCUCACAAAAAGCAAGCAAAGAAGACAUCCACUCCGUCUGCUCUGUCGGUGUCUAGCAGUACAGCCAAAGGCGGGAAGAAAUACAGAUUUGGUCCUUCUCCGAAGACUCCAGAGAAGUUACCGUACGAGAGGACCGAGGAGGAAAACGCGGAGAUCACGCAGAACGAACUGGAUGGCUGGUUUGCAGGGUUGAAAGCAAAGAGACAUCCACCUCCGGAGGAGAAGGUAGAUCCGGUGAAAGUGAAGCGCACUCUGGCUGCCCUGAGGAAACCGGCAAAGUCUCCGCCGAGAACCAACUAUGAGCGCAUUACUGAACAGACAUAUCUCCAAGCGGAGCAGUCGGGAAGUACUGUCAGACAUCAAAGAGCAAAAGAACGAGCAGCUGCGAAAAAAGUUGACCAGCUCGGCGAACAACCAAACCAAUCGUGCCCCCCGCUCAAUGUGUCUAGCGGCAACAUCGUCGCUAAUGUUCCGGGGAUCAUGGACGGUUAUGGCAAUCCACAAUAUUACCUGCCUGACGAUGCACUUCCUGAAUUCAUGAUGGUGGAAGAACGCAGAUACGAGUACGGGAAGCCUCUCAUCAAAGAUGUAAAAUCUCUAACAACGAUGAUGCGAAGAUUCCAUACUUGGUACAUGAAAACCUGCAGAGAGUCUGGGGGGACGAAUAGUUUGUAUCUACACAUUAAAGAGGAGCACGACCUCGUUGGAACUGAUCUGUUGUGUGUUCCAUUUGAGGAGUUCUUCGCGUUCUUCAAUCAAAUAGCCCUCGAUAAAUUAACGGUCUUUUGCUACUGCCUGUAAGUACUAUUUCUGUCAUUAAGUCUCUAUAUAUAGCUUGGCUUUCAUUACAUGUAUUUAUAAUUAAUUAUCCUCAAUAUAUUAUGCAGAUUGAAGAUCGUCGAGUGCAAAAAAAUGAAAUCUAUGAUAUUGGGUUCAUUAACACAAAUAUCAUAGAUGUAUUUCUGGUUGAAAAGCACAUCGAAGAGGCCGAGGACAACUUGCUACGAUCAUUGAUCAAAAAUCAAAACAAAGAUACCAUACUCUUUCCUUACAACACCAAGUGAGUGUUACUGAUCAUUUGCAUAUUCGGUUUCCCUUAUUACUCGAGCGAGGUUAUAGUAAUGUAAUUGAUGAGUUAUGCAUGUGUGCGCAGGUACCACUAUAUUCUUCUGGAGAUUAAGCUUGAGCGUGGACUAGUAACCGUCUUAGACUCGAGACGGAAAGAUCCCAGCACCUAUGCGGACAUGACUGAAAUGCUCAGCAAGUAAGUUCAAUCGAUCAUUAUCGCACCAUAGCGGCAACUUUUUGUUCAUUUCCUGAUAUCUCAAGUAAUAAUAAUUAUUUUCUUUGUCUUGCAGGGUUUGGAAACAGUUCACCACAGUAGCUCGGGGACUGCCGAAGGAGCUGCGAUAUAUAUACCCGAAAGUAAGUACUACUGGCUAGCUAGUUGUGUGCAUCUCCUGUUGAUUCUAUAGCUAUACUUUCAUCACAUUUAUAAUGCUUCAUUAUCAGUUUGAUAGACCUCUAUUUCUCGUAAAGUGCUUGUGGUAGGAACAAGGGAAUGAUUUCUAUAGAUACUACGUGUGCGAGUUCAUCUACAACGCGACUUUGAAAAAUAAGCGGGGCUACUCUCAAAGACAAUAUGAAGUGCGUAAGCAAUUAAUAAUAUUCACAAUUUCUGUUGAGUUUCAUUCAUAUAUAUAUAUAUAUAUAUAUAUAUAUAUAUAUAUGUAUUAAUUAACCCCCUUCUUCAAAUUAGACGUGGCAGAUGCGGAAUGAACUCCUAGAACCAGAUCGCAUGAAAGGAAUUCAAGAGGAAUUGGCGGGAUUCUUUCUUGACCACGUCAUCAAUAAAGCCGGAGAAUACCAUGUGGAACUUGAUUUCAAAUGCUAGGGGACUGUAAUUGAGAGAUCUUAUAUAUUGUACAUGUUGUAUGUAGCCAGUAGCGUCGGACAUACAUGAUACAAAAACUUGUUGUUUGACCAAUCUCUCGGAGAAGGAGACGUCGAUCGAUCACUUCUCUCGGUAUGCAUGACGAACUUCUGUACUUAAUGGUUUCCUUCAUUUUCUUACUAGCUAGCGUGUCGAGAGCCUCUCUAUGUAUAGUACGUAGCGUCGACCAAGCACGGACAUAAGAGAGGACACUUCUCUCUAUUAAUUAGCUAGCUAACACAAUAUAUGAAACACCUAAAUUAACCCCCAAAACCNNNNNNNNNNNNNNNNNNNNNNNNNNNNNNNNNNNNNNNNNNNNNNNNNNNNNNNNNNNNNNNNNNNNNNNNNNNNNNNNNNNNNNNNNNNNNNNNNNNNNNNNNNNNNNNNNNNNNNNNNNNNNNNNNNNNNNNNNNNNNNNNNNNNNNNNNNNNNNNNNNNNNNNNNNNNNNNNNNNNNNNNNNNNNNNNNNNNNNNNNNNNNNNNNNNNNNNNNNNNNNNNNNNNNNNNNNNNNNNNNNNNNNNNNNNNNNNNNNNNNNNNNNNNNNNNNNNNNNNNNNNNNNNNNNNNNNNNNNNNNNNNNNNNNNNNNNNNNNNNNNNNNNNNNNNNNNNNNNNNNNNNNNNNNNNNNNNNNNNNNNNNNNNNNNNNNNNNNNNNNNNNNNNNNNNNNNNNNNNNNNNNCCCCCUGCCUGGGCUCGGCGCGUGGAUGCCUUUUGGUCCCGGUUGGUGCCACCAACCGGGACCAAAGGCCCCCCUGCCUGGGCUCGGCGCACAGGCCACGUGGAGGACCAUCUAUCCCGGUUCGUGUUACAACCGGGACUAAAGGGGGGAGGUAUUAGUAACGACCCAUUAGUCCCGGUUCAUGAACCGGGAGUAAAGGCCCUCACGAACCGGGACUAAUAGGUGUUUGUCUACUAGUGAUAAGCCUAUGACUUAUGAAGUUGGUGAGAAGGCUUACCUUCGGGUUACACCUUUAAAGGGAACCCAUCGAUUCGGUAUCAAGGGCAAGUUGGCCCCUUGUUACAUUGGACCCUUUUGCAUUCUUGCCAAACGAGGGGAAGUUGCCUACCAGUUGGAACUACCUCCACAUCUUUCUAGAGUUCAUGAUGUCUUCCACGUCUCUCAACUCAGGCAUUGCUUCUCGAAUCAUAUCCGCGAAGUAGACCAUGAAACGCGUGAUCUCCAAGAAAAUCUCACUUAUCGAGAAUAUCCAAUUCGCAUCCUUGAUCAAGCCGAGCGUACCACUCGACGCCAGAAUAUCAAGUUUCUCAAGGUUCAAUGGUCACACCACUCCGAUCAAGAAGCAACUUGGGAAAGGGAGGAUCAUCUACGACUUGAGUAUCCCACCUUCUUCCCGAUAGACCCUAAAUCUCGGGAUGAGAUUCUUUUGAGUGGGGGUGAGUUGUCACAACCUAGCUAGUCCAUGCAUUAGAGUGUUGCAUCAUGUCUACCUUUUAUCAGAAACUUGAAUUGGGGAAGACAGAACCCCCCCAGAACCCCUCUAAAUUCAACUAGUGCUUACUAAAAAUAUUUUCAAUGAACCUGAAAUGCCCUUCUAAAAAGUUCACCCUCUUUGUCUUGGGUUAGAACCUCUGGCAAAAUUGGUGCACAAUUUUCUAGGUCAACAGAAGGCCAUUGAAUUAAAUCAUAUCUACUUUGAGUUUGGGCAUUUAAACUAUAUAAAAUAUUUCAAAUGCUCAAAUAACUCCAAACUAAAAUGUUCCAUACUGGAUAUAUUCCAACUAGCGACCAUGUGCAGUUUGGUGAUUUUUGGAGUUGCCUAAGUAUUUUUAGAAAUGCAACAAACUUACAGAAACAAUUAAAAACAGAAACAAAUGGGGAAAAAACCCUUACCUGGCCGAACCAAGCCCCAGCCCAGCUGGCCGGCCCAGCACUGUGCUGGCCCAUGCCAGCCAGCUGCUUUGCCAUCGCCACGCAGGCACAGAGCUGACGCCAGCGAGUGUGAGCUCGCCACGGCGCCAACUGCUUGCCGCCCGCGCCACCGAGCACCUGGGUGAGCUCCACGUCGCCACCCCGACCCCGUGGACACCUCAUUCGCCCCCCUGCCUCUUCCCUCGCUCUCCCGCACCAUGGCCGACGCACCCGUCGCCGCACCGCCGACGUAGUCGCGCCCUCCAUCGUCCCCGUGCUGCACCACCGUGUCCCUUCGCUCCGUCGUCAUCAACUACAUCGAGCAGGCCGAGCCCCGAGCGCUCGUGGGCCUUGCUUCGUCUUCUUUGACCUCAUCUUCACCGAGCACCACCGCAGAUCCCCUUCGCCGUCGCCGCUGCACCAGCUCGUCCCCGACCUCGCCGACCACUCCGUUGUGACCGCCGUGAGCUCAGCCACCUCCCCAUCCUCCCCGUUUGCCUUCUCGUGCACCGUAGCAGCCGCAUGGAGCUUCAUCGCACGCACCACCGCCGAGCUCGUCGCCGACGUGCCUCCGGCCAUCCACCGUCCACACCACGGUAUCUAACAUGCUCAUUGCAUCGCGUAGAGUCUAACGCCCCACUCCACGCGCCUCGCCGUGCCCCGUAGCCACGGGUCAAUUUUCACCCGACUCCGGCGACCGUCGCGGUCGUCGCUGCCGACGUUCCUGGCCACCUCGACCUCAACCACCACCACCAAACGCCGCGGCUUGUUCCUGGCUACACGUAGAUGGUCUUCGCCGUCCAUUUGGUCGCCGGAACGUGCUAACCCACUUCCUCUGCCGCAUCUGGCCUCGCCAGCGGCUAGACGCCGGCGUGUUUGACCCGUUGACGUUGACUGGGUGGGCCAGGUUGACUCCCCUGAGUCUAUGACAAGUGGGCCCCCCCCUCUGCUAAUUAACCUAGUUUAGUUCUUACUAAAAUCAGUUAGUUUAAAUAAGUGCUGACAUGCGGGACCCACUGGUCAGUUUGACCUGAACGACCCCUUUGACCAUUGACGUCACCCUGAUGCACUGCUGACGCAAUAACCAAUUUCUGGAUUUAUUGUUAUAUAGGAAAUUCCAGAAAUUGUUGCAAACUUCAAAAAUUCAUAGAAAUUAAUCUGUAACUCCAAAUGCAAAGAUUUAUAUAUGAAUUUCGAUCAAAAAAAUUCAAUAUAUCCAUUGGUAAUGGUUUCAUGCAUGUCAGAACAAGUUAACCUUGUUGUUUAAUCAAAACAAGUUAAUGCACUAAUAUGACUAUGUUAAAUGAACUACCAUUUGCAUCUUUGAUUCAAAUGAGUUCAUACCUUUCUGUUCUAGCUUGCAUUAGGCCAGGACACAUUCAUGUUGCCAUGUCAUAGCAUGCAUCAUAUUGUUGCAUAUCGUCAUGUGUGGUUCAUGUUCGGUGUGUUUUCGUGAUAGGUUCUGCCUCCGAGGAUAACCCCGAAUAUCCGUCUGAAGGGCAGUAUCCUACUACCACUACAUCAGGCAAGCAACCCAUUGAUCAUUCUGAUACAAACCCAUGUUCUCGCCUCUGCUCUUGUUUACUGCAUUAAGAUAACGCGAUUCAAACUGUUGUGUGUUGUGGUAGUUGAACCCACUUCCUUUGCAUGACCUGUCAUUGCCACGGUAACUAGAUGAAACCCACUAGCAUGUGUAGGAGUUGAUUGAGCCAUAUCUGUGUUACCUACCAUGCUAUGCUUGCUAUGCUUAGAGUUGUGUCAGGUCUGGCUCAUCAGGAUGAUGAACUAGAGUGAAAGGUUGUGUCGGUAACGAGAGUGAAGUGUUGAACACGAUUUGGUAAAGGUAUCGAUGAGAGGCCAUGUAGGAGUACAUGGUGGGUUGUUUCAUUGAGGCCGUCCUUAAGCACUGAGAUCUGUGUGUGUGAUUUAAGAUUCAGCUACUACCACGCAUUGGGCCCAAAACCAAUGGACCCUCUCGACUUAUUAACCACUCUUGUCCUCAGUCCGGGAGUUGCAAGUAGUUUCUGGUGUUUGUAGCAUGCUGGGGGCCGCACGCAGCGCUGACCUUAGGGGUGGGUUGUGUUGCGGUAGGCACGUGGCACGGUGUAUCGAUUCGCCCGUUUGGUGUCUCGGGAACCCUGUUCACAUCGUUCGGGGCCGUUAGUGGAAACCUCGGCCGGACUCCCUGCGGAUGGAACCCAAAUAGGCGAUAAACCUGGACUAGGGACUCGUGUGUUUAGUCAGGCCAUGGCCGACACCCUUGCUGGGCUUCCGCUUGAAGGUUGCCGAGUACACGUCAUGUAGUGGCGAUAAGUGGUGAGAGCGUGUGUGAAGAAGUACACCCCUGCAGGGUACAAAACUAUUCGAAUAGCCGCGUCCACGGUAAAGGACUACUUGGUCACCUAUACAGUUCAUAGACAAGUAAAUGGAUACUUCUAAAAGCCUCAAGAUAAGUGUGAGUGCCGCGGAUGGCCCUGUCGUAGGUUGACGAGAGAGGAUCCACGGUGGAGUAUUGUGUUGGUGAGUAGUGGACUCGUGUGCGACAAAUGUUUUGCAAGUUGUGUCUAUCGUUGGAUAGCUUAGCCAAGAGUCAAAGCUGGCUUGCUGCAAUAACUCCACUACCUUCUUGAGAAUGUGCAUGUAUGAUAGGAUUCUGUUGUAAGACUUGCUGAGUACCUCUGUACUCAUGUUUGCUUAAUUAAUGUUUUCAGACGACAACACCAACCCCUCCGAUGGGUUCUACGUAGACCUCGACGUUGACGAGUGACUAGCCACCCAAGUGGUGAUCCAAGACUUGUGAAGGGCCGAUGUAGAUAGAAAGGCUUCAUCAAGCCCUCUUUCUUUCUAGUGUCUGUACUCAGACUAGUUGCUUCCGCAUGUGCUUGUAUGCUUGUAUGACUUGAGUGUCAGGUCAUGUGACCCCUAUCUGUAUGAACAUGUUAUGUAUGGCUCCUCGGAGCCACUUAAAUAAAGUACUUUGAGUUGUAGAGUUUUGUUGUGAUGCCAUGUUGUAUGUACUCAUAUCGGGCAUAUUGUGUGUAUGUUUGAAAUGCUUGGUAUGAGUGGGAUCCGACAAUCUAGUUGUUUAUCCUUGGCAGCCUCUCAUAUGGGGAAAUGUAGUCUAGUGCUUCUUGAGCGAUAGUAGUCCGCUACAGCCCGGUUCACCGGAGUCCUGCUAGCCCAGUACUACUGCUCUGGACACUUGACUGGCCGGCAUGUGUUUCACUUUGUUCCUGUGUCUGUCCCUUCGGGGAAAUGUCAAGCGGUGGCAUCCGGAGUCCUGCCUAGCCUGCUACAGCCCGGGUUACCGGAGUCCUGUUAGCCCAGCGUUACAUCCCGGAUGUAUACGUUGAUGACCAACAUGCUCGAUGUGAUUCAUGUAUGCAUGUCCCCAUAGGUUAGCGCCGCUUGGGUUCACGACUAGCCAUGUCGGCCCGGGUUCUCAGUCAUGUGGAUGCUAGCGACACUAUCAUAUACGUGAGCCAAAAGGCGCAAACGGUCUCGGGCCAUGGUAAGGCGCCACCCGUGGGAUUACCGUGCGUGAGGCCGCAAAGUGAUAUGAGGUGUUACCGGCUGGAUCAAUGUGACUUGGAAUCGGGGUCCUGACAAUUACUUGCUCCUAUCAUAUGUUUGGUUGCAACAAUGUCACUUCUUCACAUAUGCCAUGUCCCAUUGCUUGUCUCAUGCUUGACUUCAUUGCCUCACACAUGAUGAACAAUUGCUCUUUAUAUUGUGUUGAGUGUUACACUAUAUUCACUACAUCCUAUGCACGUUAUGUUUGGAUUGUCUUGCACUUGACCCAUGUGUUUAGACACUUCAUUUUAUUUGGUGUUGUGAAUCCUUCCUAUGCCUACCAUAGACCUUUCAUUGAGCAAUUUGUGAAUGCUUGCUAUGACCUCGAGGUAGAUGCUUAUGCUCUUGUCACACAUAUUUGCAUCUCUACCUCACAUUUACAUGCUUGUUCCCAUGAUAUUUUUGCUUGUGCUCGAUUGAUAUGCUUACAUGCCAUGUCACAAUCCUUUGUCACACCCUAUGCUAUGCUUGAUGACAACACUUGUUUGGUGAAUCACCUCUUGAAUGCUUGGUUUUGCACGAACGCAAACCACAUUUGUUUUUCCACGGGUUUGUUCUAUUUGCUCCUUUUGAAGGAAUCACAAGAUGGUGCGACACUGGAGAGUGCCCACUUCGAGCUACUAGACGAUGAGUGCUUGGUGAUCGACCACUUCGAUAUGGCACCGCCAUCUCUUUCCUAUGGUGAUUUGGUUUUCGAUCCGAGGUCGAAUCCUUCUCAAGGGGGAGGGGAUGAUGCGGAGCAUCCUAUGGACAUCACCAUGUCAAGAGUCCAUUCGGCAAGUGACACGUGCGACAUCUACUUCUCAUACAUAAAGGUGAAUCUUCUCCUUUACACGUGUUCACUUGACCCCUUCGAGGAUGGUAUACUACUUGACACUUCUCCCGUGUGCAUGCAUAGGUAUUGUCAGAGCUUUACGGAUGUCGAGGAGUGCAAGCGCCAAGGAACGACUACACCGUCCGCGAGGGAAGCAUGGAAGAGAAGGAGGAAGAGAACCUGGUGUUGGGGAACGUAGUAAUUUCAAAAUUUUCCUACGCACAUGCAAGAUCAUGGUGAUGAUAUAGCAACGAGGGGAGAGUGUUGUCUACGUACCCUCGUAGACCGAAGCGGAAGCGUUGACGCAGCGUAGAGGAAGUAGUCCUACGUCCUCCCGGUCCGACCGAUCCAAGCACCGUUACUCCGGCACCUCUGAGUUCUUGACACACGUACAGCUCGAUGACGCACCCUCGAUCUCCAAUCCAGUAGAGGCUCCAAGGGGGAGUUCCGUCAGCACGACGGCGUGGUGACUAUCUUGAUGUUCUCCUGUCGCAGGGCUUCGCCUAAGCACCGCUACAAUAUGACCGAGGUGUAAUAUCGUGGAGGGGGGCACCGCACACGGCUAAGGAACGAUCAAUGAUCAACUUGUGUGUUCUAGGGUGCCCCCUACCCCCGUAUAUAAAGGAGGGAGGGAGGAGGUGGCCGACCCAAGGAGGGGGCGCGCCAUGGGAGGAGGAAACCUACUCCAAGUAGGUUUCCCCUCUUUUUCCUUAUCUUAUUUGGAGGGGGAAGGAAGGAGUACUAGUAGUAGGAAGGAGUACUAGUAGUAGGAAAGGAAGAGGGGGAAGGAGAAAGGAAAGGGGGGGCCGGCCCCCCUCCCCAAUUCGGAUUGGGCUUGGGGGGGCGCGCCCCCCUCCCUUGCUCCUUCUCCCUUCCUCCUACAUGGGCCCAAUAAGGCCCAUAUACCUCCCGGGGGGGUUUCGGUAACCUCCCGGAGCUCCAAACUCUUCCGGAACCUUUCCGGUGUCCAAAUAUAUCCGUCCAAUAUAUCGAUCUUUAUGUAUCGACCAUUUCGAGACUCCUCGUCAUGUCCGUGAUCAUAUCCGGGACUCCGAACAAACUUCGGUACAUCAAAAUACAUAAACUCAUAAUAUAACUGUCAUCGAAACCUUAAGCGUGCGGACCCUACGGUUCGAGAACGAUGUAGACAUGACCGAGACAUGUCUCUGGUCAAUAACCAAUAGCGGGACCUGGAUGCCCAUAUUGGUUCCUACAUAUUCUACGAAGAUCUUUAUCGGUCAAACCGCAUAACAGCAUACGUUGUUCCCUUUGUCAUUGGUAUGUUACUUGUCCGAGAUUUGAUCGUCGGUAUCCAAUACCUAGUUCAAUCUCGUUACCGACAAGUCUCUUUACUCGUUCUGUAAUACUUCAUCUCAUAACUAACUCAUUAGUUAUAUGCUUGCAAGGCUUAUGUGAUGAGCAUUACCGAGAGGGCCCAGAGAUACCUCUCCGACAAUCGGAGUGACAAAACCUAAUCUCGAAUUAUGCUAACUCAACAUGUACCUUCGGAGACACCUGUAGUACUCCUUUAUAAUCACCCAGUUACGUUGUGACGUUUGGUAGUACCCAAAGUGUUCCUCCGAUAAACGGGAGUUACACAAUUCUCAUAGUUACAGGAACAUGUAUAAGUCAUGAAGGAAGCAAUAGCAGAAUACUAAACGAUCAAGUGCUAAGCUAACGGGAUGGGUCAUGUCAAUCACAUCAUUCUCCUAAUGAUGUGAUCCCAUUAAUCAAAUGACAACACAUGUCUAUGGUUAGGAAACAUAACCAUCUUUGACUAAUGAGCUAGUCAAGUAGAGGCAUACUAGUGACUAUAUGUUUGUCUAUGUAUUCACACAUGUAUCAUGUUUCCGGUUAAUACAAUUCUAGCAUGAAUAAUAAACAUUUAUCAUGAUAUGAGGAAAUAAAUAAUAACUUUAUUAUUGCCUCUAGGGCAUAUUUCCUUCAGUCUCCCACUUGCACUAGAGUCAAUAAUCUAGUUCACAUCGCCAUGUGAUUUAACACCAAUAUUCAUAUCUGUAUAUGAUUAACACCCAUAGUUCACAUCAUCAUGUGACCAACAUCCAAAGUGUUUACUAGAGUCAAUAAUCUAGUUCACAUCGCUAUGUGAUUAACACCCAAAGAGUACUAAGGUGUGAUCAUGUUUUGCUCGUGAGAGAAGCUCAGUCAACGGGUCUGUCACAUUCAGAGCCAUAUGUAUUUUGCAAAUAUUCUAUGUCUACAAUGCUCUGCACGGAGCUACUCUAGCUAAUCGCUCCCACUUUCAAUAUGUAUCCAGAUUGAGACUUAGAGUCAUCUGGAUCGGUGUGAAAACUUGCACCGAGAUAACUUUUACGACGGGCUCUUUUAUCACCUCCAUAAUCGAGAAAUAUUUCCUUAGUCCUCACUAAGGAUAUUCUUGACCAAUGUCCAGUGAUCUACUCCUAGAUCACUAUUGUACUCCCUUGUCAAAUACAGAGCAAGGUAUACAAUAGGUCUGGUACAUAGCAUGGCAUACUUUAUAGAACCUAUGACUGAGGCAUAGGGAAUGACUUUUCAUUCUCUUUCUAUUUUCUGCUGUGGUCGGGAUUUGAGUCUUACUCAAUUUCAUACCUUUGCAACACAGGCAAGAACUCUUUCUUUGACUGUUCCAUUUUGAACUACUUCAAAAUCUUGUCAAGGUAUGUACUCAUUGAAAAUCUUAUCAAGCGUCUUGAUCUAUCUCAAUAGAUCUUGAUGCUCAAUAUGUAUGUAGUUUUACUGAGGUCUUUCUUUGAAAAAACUCUUAUUCAAGUAUCCUUUAAUGCUUUGCAGAAUAAUUCUACAUUAUUUCCGAUCAGCAAUAUGUCAUUCACAUAUACUUAUCAGAAAUGCUGUAGUGCUCCCACUCACUUUCUUGUAAAUACAGGCUUCACCGCAAGUCUGUAUAAUACUAUAUGCUUUGAUCAACUUAUCAAAGCGUAUAUUCCAACUCUGAGAUGCUUGCACCAGUCCAUAGAUGGAUUGCUGGAGCUUGCACAUUUUGUUAGCACCUUUAGGAUUGACAAAACCUUCUGGUUGUAUCAUAUACAACUCUUCUUUAAUAAAUUCAUUAAGGAAUGUAGUUUUGACAUCCAUUUGCCAAAUUUCAUAAAAUGUGGCAAUUGCUAACAUGAUUCGGACAAACUUUUAAGCAUCGAUACGAGUAAGAAAAUCUCAUCGUAUUCAACACCUUGAACUUUGUCAAAAACCUUUUUUCGACAAGUCUAGCUUUGUAGAUAGUAACACUACUAUCAACGUCCGUCUUCCUCUUGAAGAUCCAUUUAUUCUUAAUGACUCACUGAUCAUCGGGCAAGUCAAUCAAAGUCUACACUUUGUUCUCAUACAUGGAUCAUAUCUCAGAUUUCAUGGCCCCAAGCCAUUUCGUGGAAUCUGGGCUCAUCAUCGCUUCCUCAUAGUUCGUAGGUUCAUCAUGGUCUAGUAACAUGACUUCCAGAACAUGAUUACCGUACCACUCUGGUGCGGAUCUUACUCUGGAAGACCUACGAGGUUUGGUAGCAACUUGAUCUGAAGUUUGAUGAUCAUCAUCAUUAACUUCCUCACUAAUUGGUGUAGGAAUCACUGGAACUGAUUUCUGUGAUGAACUACUUUCCAAUAAGGGAGAAGGUACAAUUACCUCAUCAAGUUUUACUCUCCUCCCACUCACUUCUUUCGAGAGAAACUCCUUCUCUGGAAAGGAUCCAUUUUAGCAACGAAUGUCUUGCCUUCGGAUCUGUGAUAGAAGGUGUACCCAACAAUUUCCUUUGGGUAUUCUAUGAAGACGCACUUCUCCGAUUUGGGUUCGAGCUUAUCAGGAUGAAACUUUUUCACAUAAGCAUCGCAGCCCCAAACUUUAAGAAACAACAGCUUAGGUUUACUGCUAAACCAUAGUUCAUACGGUGUCGUCUCAACGGAUUUAAAUGGUGCCCUAUUUUAAAACGUGAAUGCAGCUGUCUCUAAUGCAUAACCCCAAAACGAUAGUGGUAAAGAGACAUCAUAGAUCGCACCAUAUCAAAUAAAGUGCGGUUACGACGUUCGGACACACCAUAACGAUGUGGUGUUCCAGGUGGUGUGAGCUGUGAAACUAUUCCACAUUGUUUUAAUUGAAGACCAAACUCGUAACUCAAAUAUUUGUCUCCGCUAUCAGAUCGCAGAAACUUUAUUUUCUUGUUACGAUGAUUUUUCCACUUCACUCUGAAAUUCUUUGAACCUUUCAACUAUUUCAGACUUAUGUUUCAUCAAGUAGAUAUACCCAUAUCUGCUCAAAUCAUCUUGUGAAGGUCAGAAAAUAACGAUACUUGCCACGAGCCUCAACACUCAUUGGAUCGCAUACAUCGGUAUGUAUUAUUUCCAAUAAGUCAGUAGCUUGUUCCAUUAUUCCGGAGAACGGAGUUUUAGUCAUCUUGCCCAAAAGGCACGGUCCGCAAGCAUCAAAUGAUUCAUAACCAAGUGAUUCCGAAAAUCCAUCUUUAUGGAGUUUCUUCAUGCGCUUUACACCGAUAUGACCCAAACGGCAGUGCCACAAAUAAGUUGCACUAUCAUUAUUAACUUUGCAUCUUUUGGCUUCAAUAUUAUGAAUGUGUGUAUCACACGAUCGAGAUCCAACAAACCAUUUUCAUUGGGUGUAUAACCAUAGAAAGUUUUAUUCAUGAAAACAGAACAACAAUUAUUCUCUAACUUACAUGAAUAACCGUAUUGCAAUAAACAUGAUCAAAUCAUAUUCAUUCUCAACGCAAACACCAAAUAACACUUAUUUAGGUUUAACACUAAUCCCGGAAGUAUAGGGAGUGUGCGAUGAUGAUCAUAUCAAUCUUGGAACUAUUUCCAACACACAUCGUCACUACACUCUUAACUAGUCUCUGUUUAUUCUGCAACUCCCGUUUCGAGUUACUAAUCUUAGCAACCGAACAAGUAUCAAAUACUUAGGGGCUACUAUAAACACUAGUAUGGAACACAUCAAUAAUCUGUAUAUCAAAUAUACCCUUGUUCACUUUGCCAUCCUUCUUAUCAACCAAAUAUUCAGGGCAUUUCCGCUUCCAGUGACCAUUUCCUUUGCAGUGUAAACACUCAGUUUCAGGCUAUGGUCCAGCUUUGGGCUUGUCUUUCCACUUGAAGUUCCCUUUCUUUCCCUUUGCCCUUCUCUUGAAACUAGUGGUCUUGUCAAUCAUCAACACUUGAUGCUCUUUCUUGAUUUCUACCUUCGUCGAUUUCAACAUCACGAAGAGCUCGGGAAUCAUUUUUUCGUCAUCCCUUGCAUACUAUAGUUCAUCACGAAGUUCUAGUAACUUAGUGAUGGUGACUAGAGAAUUCUGUCAAUCACUAUCUUAUCUGGAAGAUUAACUCCCACUUGAUUCAAGCGAUUGAAGUACCCAGACAAUCUGAGCACAUGCUCACUAGUUGAGCGAUUCUCCUCCAUCUUUUAGCUAUAGAACUUGUUGGAGACUUCAUAUCUCUCAACUCGGGUAUUUGCUUGAAAUAUUAACUUCAAUUCCUGGAACAUCUCAUAUGGUCCAUGAUGUUCAAAACAUCUUUGAAGUCCCGAUUCUAAGCCGUUAAGCAUGGUGCACAAAACUAUCAAGUAGUCAUCAUAUUGAGCUAGCCAAACGUUCAUAACGUCUACAUUUGCUCCUGCAUUAGGUCUUUCACCUAGCGGUGCAUUAAGGACAUAAUUCUUCUGUGCAGCAAUGAGGAUAAACCUCAGAUCACGGAUCCAAUCCGCAUCAUUGCUACUAACAUCUUUCAACACAGUUUUCUCUAGGAACAUAUCAAAAUAAACAUAUGAAAGCAACAACGCGAGCUAUUGAUCUAUAACACAAUUUGCAAAAUACUACCAGGACUAAGUUCAUGAUAAAUUAAAGUUCAAUUAAUCAUAUUACUAAAGAACUCCCACUUAGACAGACAUCUCUCUAGUCAUCUAAGUGAUCACGUGAUCCAAAUCAACUAAACCAUGUCCGAUCAUCACGUGAGAUGGAGUAGUUUCAAUGGUGAACAUCGCUAUGUUGAUCAUAUCUACUAUAUGAUUCACGCUCGACCUUUCGGUCUCCGUGUUCCGAGGCCAUAUCUGUAUAUGCUAGGCUCGUCAAGUAUAACCUGAGUAUUCCGCAUGUGCAACUGUUUUGCACCCGUUGUAUUUGAACGUAGAGCCUAUCACACCCGAUCAUCACGUGGUGUCUCAGCACGAAGAACUUUCGCAACGGUGCAUACUCAGGGAGAACACUUCUUGAUAAUUAGUGAUAGAUCAUCUUAAAAUGCUACCGUCAAUCAAAGCAAGAUAAGAUGCAUAAAGGAUAAACAUCACAUGCAAUCAAUAUAAGUGAUAUGAUAUGGCCAUCAUCAUCUUGUGCUUGUGAUCUCCAUCUCCGAAGCACCGUCGUGAUCACCAUCGUCACCGGCGCGACACCUUGAUCUCCAUCGUAGCAUCGUUGUCGAUUACGCCAUCUAUUGCUUCUACGACUAUCGCUACCGCUUAGUGAUAAAGUAAAGCAAUUACAGGGCGUUUCCAUUUCAUACAAUAAAGUGACAACCAUAUGGCUCCUGCCAGUUGCCGAUAACUUCGGUUACAAAACAUGAUCAUCUCAUACAAUAAAAUAUAGCAUCACGUCUUGGCCAUAUCACAUCACAACAUGCCCUGCAAAAACAAGUUAGACGUCCUCUACUUUGUUGUUGCAAAUUUUACGUGGCUGCUACGGGCUUAGCAAGAACCGUUCUUACCUACGCAUCAAAACCACAACGAUAGUUUGUCAAAUAGACUCCGUUUUAACCUUCACAAGGACCGGGCGUAGCCACACUCGGUUCAACUAAAGUUGGAGAAACAGACACCCGCCAGUCACCUGUGUGCAAAGCAUGGCGGUAAAACCAGUCUCGCGUAAGCGUACGCGUAAUGUCGGUCCGGGCCGCUUCAUCCAACAAUACCGCUGAACCAAAGUAUAACAUGCUGGUAGGCAGUAUGACUUAUAUCGUCCACAACUCACUUGUGGUCUACUCGUGCAUAUAACAUCAACGAAUAAAACCUAGGCUCUGAUGCCACUGUUGGGGAACGUAGUAAUUUCAAAAUUUUCCUACGCACAUGCAAGAUCAUGGUGAUGAUAUAGCAACGAGGGGAGAGUGUUGUCUACGUACCCUCGUAGACCGAAGCGGAAGCGUUGACGCAACGUAGAGGAAGUAGUCGUACGUCCUCCCGGUUCGACCGAUCCAAGCACCGUUACUCCGGCACCUCCGAGUUCUUGACACACGUACAGCUCGAUGACGCACCCUCGAUCUCCAAUCCAGUAGAGGCUCCGAGGGGGAGUUCCGUCAGCACAACAGCGUGGUGACUAUAUUGAUGUUCUCCUGUCGCAGGGCUUCGCCUAAGCACCGCUACAAUAUGACCGAGGUGUAAUAUCGUGGAGGGGGGCACCGCACACGGCUAAGGAACGAUCAAUGAUCAACUUGUGUGUUCUAGGGUGCCCCCCUACCCCCGUAUAUAAAGGAGGGAGGGAGGAGGUGGCCGGCCCAAGGAGGGGGCGCGCCAUGGGAGGAGGAAACCUACUCCAAGUAGGUUUCCCCUCUUUUUCCUUAUCUUAUUUGGAGGGGGAAGGAAGGAGUACUAGUAGUAGGAAGGAGUACUAGUAGUAGGAAAGGAAGAGGGGGAAGGAGAAAGGAAAGGGGGGGCCGGCCCCCUCCCCAAUUCGGAUUGGGCUUGGGGGGGCGCGCCCCCCUCCCUUGCUCCUUCUCCCUUCCUCCUACAUGGGCCCAAUAAGGCCCAUAUACCUCCCGGGGGGUUCCGGUAACCUCCCGAAGCUCCAAACUCUUCCGGAACCUUUCCGGUGUCCAAAUAUAUCCGUCCAAUAUAUCAAUCUUUAUGUCUCGACCAUUUCGAGACUCCUCGUCAUGUCCGUGAUCACAUCCGGGACUCCGAACAAACUUUGGUACAUCAAAAUACAUAAACUCAUAAUAUAACUAUCAUCGAAAACUUAAGCGUGCGGACCCUACGGUUCGAGAACGAUGUAGACAUGACCGAGACAUGUCUCUGGUCAAUAACCAAUAGUGGGACCUGGAUGCCCAUAUUGGUUCCUACAUAUUCUACGAAGAUCUUUAUCGGUCAAACCGCAUAACAGCAUACGUUGUUCCCUUUGUCAUCGGUAUGUUACUUGUCCGAGAUUUGAUCGUCGGUAUCCAAUACCUAGUUCAAUCUCGUUACCGACAAGUCUCUUUACUCAUUCUGUAAUACUUCAUCUCAUAACUAACUCAUUAGUUAUAUGCUUGCAAGGCUUAUGUGAUGAGCAUUACCGAGAGGGCCCAGAGAUACCCCUCCGACAAUCGGAGUGACAAAACCUAAUCUCGAAUUAUGCUAACUCAACAUGUACCUUCGGAGACACCUGUAGUACUCCUUGAUAAUCACCCAGUUACGUUGUGACGUUUGGUAGUACCCAAAGUGUUCCUCCGGUAAACGGGAGUUACACAAUUCUCAUAGUUACAGGAACAUGUAUAAGUCAUGAAGGAAGCAAUAGCAGAAUACUAAACGAUCAAGUGCUAAGCUAACGGGAUGGGUCAUGUCAAUCACAUCAUUCUCCUAAUGAUGUGAUCCCAUUAAUCAAAUGACAACACAUGUCUAUGGUUAGGAAACAUAAUCAUCUUUGACUAAUGAGCUAGUCAAGUAGAGGCAUACUAGUGACUAUAUGUUUGUCUAUGUAUUCACACAUGUAUCAUGUUUCCGGUUAAUACAAUUCUAGCAUGAAUAAUAAACAUUUAUCAUGAUAUGAGGAAAUAAAUAAUAACUUUAUUAUUGCCUCUAGGGCAUAUUUCCUUCACCUGGCCGCUCCAGAACGAGCGGUACUACCGCCCACUCCAAGCGGUACUACCGCUGAGGCCACCCAAGAGGCACUACCGCCCAGCAUCCGCCCUACUACCGCUCAACCCGACAAACUCCAGUGAUCGAGCGGUAUAAGCCCGGUACUACCGCCCCUCCAAGCGGUACUACCGCUCAAGCGGUACUACCACCCAUGAGUCCGGUACUACCGCCCUGCUUGUGAGCAGCCGCGGGCCUUUGGCCUUGUAUCCCUCUCCCACUUACCCCUUCGUGGCUUAGACUAUAAAUAGACCACCUCCACCUCCUUUCUAGGGUUAGAACAGAUUGAGCUUAUUUUGAGAUAGAGCUUUACUCAUCCAUACGGAUCUACUCCUCGUGAGAGACUGCGGCCUCUUCGGAGAAGAUCGAUCUUGGAUUCAAGACCCCUCGUGGGAAGAUCCGUCUAGGAUCAUCAAGACCUCCUCUUGGAGAUGAACCUUACCUUGUAUCUUUCCCUUUGUUGUUCAUGUACCCUUGUGGAUCUUGUGUGUUUGAUUGUCUAGUGGAUGUGUGAUUGGACUUGUUCUUGAGUGUUUCCCCUUGUGAUUUCUCUCCGUUCUUCCCUGUGUUCUUCGUGUUCUUCGUGGGGAUCCACUCCAAACGUGAAAAAUCGGCCUCUAGGGUUCUACCCUACAUCAUCAUCCUUCAAAAAUAUGGAGGGCCAUUAUUGACGGAAGGGAUAUUAUAUGGCGCAAGGUAUAAUCAGACGCAUCGGGGAUGGAGCGACUACACACAUAUGGGAUCACAACUGGAUUAUGAUGGAAAGCUAUAAGAGGCCAAUAACUAAGUUAGUGCAGAACCCCCCUCAGAAACAUUUUAUGUAUACACGUUAACAUUUCCCAGAUAUAUGAUUAAUAUUUUUGGAAAACUUCUAUUUUUUAUGUGUACUUUUUUAUACAUUUUGUAAUAUCAGAAAUAGUUUUUAUAGAAGGUUUAACAUUUUUCAAAUACAUGAUUACCUUUUUGUAAACUUAUAUUGUUUGACGUUUACUUUUUUUCAUAGACAUAGUGAGGGGUUAUAUCUAAGGAAUAGGCCCAAGUACAUGUAUGGCACAACCAAAUGCCCAUGUUAAUCAAGGAUGUUCCACAAGACAAAUGGGGAAACACACCAAGGCCAAUGGAGCUACAAGGCCAAGGCAUCGGAUACAAGGGGAGAGUCAACUAUGUACAGUCGGAUUACACAGCCCUUAACAGACAAGACUCAUCAGUUGGUCCACUAUUGGAAUCAGGUCAUUUGCCGUCAGCCCAGAAUAGACGCGAAGACUUUGCCGUGAGCAAGUUGACGACAAACACAAUCAGCAAAGACUAUAUCGGCAGAGAGCUAAUUUGACGUCAACUUUUCAUCGCGCUGAUGACAAAGACUUUGCCGUCAAUUAAACUAUGUGUUUGUAGUCUGUAGAGAAAACACAAACGGCAAAGAAAUUAAAAAAAUGGUCAUUUUAAAAUAAUUUUUAGAAAUCUAUAUACUGUUUUUUAAAAUGUUUAAUAUGUACCAAGAAUUAUUUCGUAAGUAUACAAAAGAUGUAUAACGUGUAUGAAAAUUACGUAGACAUCAGAACAUAUUAUAGAAAUGUUAAUCUUGUAUUUAAAAAUUUUAAAUACACAUGCAUAAAAAUGUUUUUGAUGUACAUAAAAAAAUUGUACAUAGUGUGUGAACAAAGUAUGCAUUGAAAAAACAAAAAUCUUGUUGGAAAAAAAUCUCGUGUUGUAUACGAAAAUGUAAAAGGUGUAUGAAAAUAAUUAGAUAUAUGUUUAAUGAAAAAAGGAAAGAAGGCGCAAAAAAUCCGAUUAACACCAAGAUAGGAACAAGAAAACCUGAAGAAGACCAUUGAAAAAAAGAAAUGAAUACAAGAAAGAGGAAGAAAAACAAAAAAAAUGAAGAAGCUGAUGCAGAACAGGGAACUUAGUGAAAACGAAUAAAAAUUGAUGAAAACCGAGAAGAAAAACAAGAAAACUGAAGCAAAAAUUAAGAAAAAUAUGUAAAAAAAAUGAUGAAACAUUGCGAAACAGUGAAAUACUAUGAAAACCAAAGGAAAAAAAGACUCAAAAAUAAGAACGUACAGCAAGCGAAUGAACAACAACUGAGUGAACGAGCGAACAUGCGAGAAUACGUUAAUUGUCUGGCCCAUACUUGUGGAUUCCAGAGGCGAGCCAGAAUAGGCGAGAUAUAGCUAUGACGAUUUGAUACCCUUCAUAGCUUCACGAAUGCUAUAUCUCGCUCACAGCGAAAGUAUUUUUUGUCUGGCCUGAAGGUGAAAGAAUAGCAUCAGGUCGCUGUAAGUUUUGUGAUCCUACAAUCAGAGCUCGAUAAGAUUAAAAUUCAUGUUUCUGACAACCAGUCAUUCGCUCACUCAAUUCCACGUACUAGUUUGGUUAGGUUUUUUUUUCAUUUUUUUCUGUUUUUUAUUUCUUCACUGGCUUUCUUUGGUUUUUUUAUCGGUUUUCUUUGUUUCCUUCACGUUUUACUCUUUCUUUUCCUUUUUACUGGUUUAUCUAUUCCUUUUUUCUUUGUUUCUUUCUUGGUUUUCUUUGUUUUUUCUUUCUUUUGAUGUCAACCUUUUUACAUACACAUUCAACAAUUUUCGUAUACAUCAGAAACAUUUUAUGUAUACACGUUAACAAUUCCCAGGUACAUGAUUAAUAUUUUUGGAAAACUUCUAUUUUUUAUGUGUACUUUUUGAUACAUUUUGUAUAUAUCAGAAAUAUUUUUUAUAGAAGGUUUAACAUUUUUUAAAUACAUGAUUACCUUUUUGUAAACUUAUAUUGUUUGACGUUUACUUUUUUUCAUAGACAUAGUGAGGGGUUAUAUCUAAGGAAUAGGCCCAAGUACAUAUAUGGCCCAAGUACAUUUAAUCAAGGAUGUAGUCCACAAGACAAAUGGGGAAACAGACGGGGGCCAAUGGAGCUACAAGGCCAAAGCAUCGGAUACAAGGGGAGAAUCUACAGUCGGAUUACACAACCCUUGACAGACAAGACUCAUUAGUUGGUCCGCUAUAGGAAUCGGGUAAUUUGCCGUCAGCCGAGAACAUACUCAAAGACUUUGCCGUCAGCAAGUUGAUGACAACUUUUCAUCACGUUGAUGACAAAGACUUUGCCGUCAAUUAAACUAUGUGUUUAUCGUCUAUAGAAAAAACACAAACGGCAAAGGAAAGCACCUUUGCCAUCAGCGGCUAAUCUGCAUGUGUCUUCAACAAGACUCGUCUUGUCACUAGCCUCAAACAUCACAGAUGGAAAAGAAAUUUUUUAUUUUAAAAAAUCUGCGUCGACCACCCUACUUCGCACAUGUAGCCACCGCCUGGCCGCGCUCGCUGAUCACCCACAAGUGUAGGGGAUCUAUCGUAGUCCUUUCGAUAAGUAAGAGUGUCGAACCGAACGAGGAGUAGAAGGAAAUGACAAGCGGUUUUUAGUAAGGUAUUCUCUGCAAGCACUGAAAUUAUCGGUAACAGAUAGUUUUGUGAUAAGGUAAUUCGUAACGGGUAACAAGUAACAACAGUAAAUAAAGUGCAGCAAGGUGGCACAAUCCUUUUUGUAGCAAACGACAAGCCUGGACAAAUUCUUAUAUGAAGGAAAACGCUCCCGAGGACACAUGGGAAUUAUCGUCAAGCUAGUUUUCAUCACGCUCAUAUGAUUCACGUUCAUUACUUUGAUAAUUUAAUAUGUGGAUGGACCGGUGCUUGGAUACUGCUCUUUCUUGGAUAAGCAUCCCACUUAUGAUUAACCCCUAUUGCAAGCAUCCGCAACUCAAAAGAAAUAUUAAGGUAAACCUAAUCAUAGCAUGAAACAUUGACACGGCACAUUAUAAAGAGUUCAACCCAAAUUUUGUAGUAACACUAUUAUAUUUAAAUAGUGAUUAUUCCAACACAUGGAUAAUUAAUUAAGGCACCAGGUUGCGCUUGUGACCAGGAAAGACAAACUUAUGAACUUGCAAGCAUGACAAUCAGAUCGACAUCCACACAAUGUCAAUAUGAACAUUGUCUUGAUACAACUUUAUUUGUAUUUUAUUUCAGAAUUUAAACAACUAGUUUGGGCGGGUCACACACGACGUUGUGUGACACUUUAUUUGUCACCGCUGCAUCGACAUAUCCAUCGACUAAACAACGGUGAUCCAACUAUAUAUUACUAGAGACCUUUCCUUAUCAGUAGGCACCAACUCCAGUGCCAACGCCAAAUGGCACACUAGUGGUGGUCCUAUACAACGGCACAUUGACACGGCACAUCAUUGGCAGGGUACGGAGCGCAAUGGAAGUCAUCACCUCAAGCUGAGCUAUCUGGUGUGGCUGCAAAAAGGUACCCUGUGCCAAUUGUUGUUGUUGAGGUUGUUGCCCGAGUUGCUGCUGUGACUGCUGUUGGGGUUGGGAAACGCAUUGGCCCAACUGUUGCGGUUGCUGCUGCUGAGUUUGGAUGGAACCCCGAACCUGUUGUUGUUCUUGCAGGACGAUGGAGUAGAUGAUAGCACGGAUUGCCUCAUAGCGGGAUUGCUGGGGGAUUUGCGGCAACUGCUGGCAACAUUGUUGUUGCAUCACAUGGCAACUACUCUGCUGCAACAUUUGCGACCUAGCAAGACUUUGUGGCAUUGCCACAGGGCUGCAUUGCUGCUGGAGGAAUACCUUGCAUGGGUUCAGCUGCUGCAAGAUAGAUGGAUGAACAAAUGGUAUUUGUUGUUGCGGUAGAACUAGUUGUUGUUGUUGUUGCGAAAAUGAUGGUUGUUGUGGUAGAAUUGGUUGUUGUUGUUGUUGUUGCGAAAAUGGUGGUUGUUGCGGUAGUACUGGUUGUUGUUGUUGUGAAAACGGUGGUUGUUGUUGUGAAAAUGGUGGUAGUUGUUGCUGCGAAAAUGAUGGCUGUUGCGGUAGAACUGGUUGUUGUUGCUGCGAAAAUGGUGGUUGUUGCUGUGAAAAUGGUGGUUGUUGUUGCUGUGAAAAUGGUGGUUGUUGUUGCUGCGAUAAUGGUUGUUGUUGUUGUUGUUGUUGUUGUUGUUGUUGUUGUUGUUGUUGUUGUUGUUGUUGUUGUUGUUGUUGUUGUGAACAUGGUUGCUGUUGUGGAAAUUGUUGUGGUUGUUGUUGGAUGGGUUGUUGUGGUUGUUGGUGCGAUAAUGUUUGUUGUGGUGGUAAUGGUUGUUGCUGCGAUGGUCUCUCCAAACCAGGGAUGUGGCUAUUCUCCAUUUGUGCAAUGGCACUUGUCGCCGCAACGGCGAGGAGGGCAAAGAUGAGGAAGGUCUUCAUGGUGGACUAGUGUUAACUAGUAUUUCCUGGUUUUGAUGCUUGUGUUUGUGAUGAUCUUUAUACUUCAUGCCUAUUUAUAGUAGCCAGGGCACCACCUCUUUUCUUCUUUGCAUUAGCUUUAAUAAUUCUGUUUGGAUGCAUCUAAAAUGAUUUUUGAUACAGUGUGUUAGGUUGCACUAGCUACACGCAUACUUUUGGAUUGAUCAUCAAAGUUUCUUUUUAGUUGUGCAUAUGAUCAUACACAAAGUAUAGAAAUCCUGAUGCUUGCUAAAGAUGACUUGCCUUAUUCACUUUACAUGUCACACACUUAUCUGUAUAGUAUCACUUUUGCAACCGAGUUUGGAACCUUGUAUAGGUUGUCAGCCAUAAACAAGAAAGGCAAAACUUGUGUAGGACUAAGUUGCAAUCGUGUGUGGGCUGUUAAGAUAUGCUCGAUUGUUAAAGCCUUGCGUCUGGAGGGUUCUUCUAGACUCGGUUGCUUUUCAUAAAACUAACUUUGUAUUUUCCUCUAAGAUGAUAAGAUGAAAUGACGCCUGUAGAGCAUGACAUGACUCAUUGAAUUCCCUUUACACGUAAAGGAUGGUAAUUGCUUACAAGCUACUCCUACUAGCAUAUAUCCGGUCCUAACUCUAGACACGUCAUCACCAGUUCCAUCUUUUUUUUUUAGAUAAAUCAUCAGUUCCGUGUUUUUUUUUUUUGAGACAAUCAGUUCCAUCUAUGUUUUUUUUUGAGAGAAAUAGUUCCAUCUAUGGGUGAAGGAUUUUUUUGGGGGCAAAUGAUAGAUGGGGCUGGAACAGAGGCCCCAGCCUGGAACGAGAGAUUAGGCCCAACGUAAGCGAUGUGUGUGUUAGGGCACCAAAUUCGAACUGGGCUAUAGUUUUCGGAGGCCCCAACGUCAGAAGCCCAGCCCACACUCCGCCGAUCUGCGUCGUCUUCGUCUCCCCUUCCCCGUCCUCCUCGCCGGCCGGAUCGCUCGCCGGCGCACGACGUCUCCCGGACCCCACCGCCCGCGGCCGCUCCACGUACGCGCGCGGCGGCGGAGGCGUCGGCCUCCCUCCCACCCUCCGCAUCCGGCCCCCCACCACCACCGCCACCGCCACCGCUCGAGGUACCCACUCGUUCCCCUUCCCAUUCCUCCCUACCCUCAACCUCUCUCGUAUCCUCUUCUAACAGCUCUUUUUACUUCCGUUGCAGAUGGUCUCUGAGCUCCCCCGUCGGCUGCGCGCCGUAGGCCUCCCCUCCCGGUCGACACAAGGUAUCGAUCCUGUCCGUCCGUCUCUUCCAGCGAUUCGAUUCACAUGAAUUCGAGAGGCGUGCCCAUCUCCAUGCUAGCUGCGUGGAUCAGGAGGGUCAGGAAGCAGAAUUCAGAUGCCUGACAGUGACAUACUACUACAUUUGUGGCUUUGGAAGCUGAGCAACUCCGUGCUUUAUGUGGAUGUCACUUCAAGUAAUCAUCAAAUUUCCGCCUACGCGCGCUACCCAGGUGGAGUGGAGGAGAAGCAGUUGGCAUGGGCAUUCCGUUUCUCUCCCAUGUCUGAGAAGAAAGUUCGUCUCCGGUGCAGCGAUAUCCAAGUUAGUUACAGCAUCCAGUCAUCUAUAUAAUCUCAGUGUUUAUUCUGUUUUGUACUGUCGUAUUUCAUAUGUGCAUCAGAGCAAAUGUGCUUUCUAGAGGCAUGUUGCAGCUGGCCGAGUCCCAGAUCUCGUUUCAUGUAUAUGGCCAUAGGCAGCGAUCAAUAAAAGGGUACUGGAAUUGAUCUUCUAACGUCACUGUUGUUUCUAGCUCCCUGUCUUUGUUUUUGUUGCUUCCGUCGUAUGGUUGCAAAGUUAGGCUUCAUCUGAUUUUAGUUAGUUAAUCUGAUCUCGUUAACCUGAUAAAGAGAAUUCCACCCUGCCCUUUAUUCCGCUCUUCACUGUCUCACAAUAAGGGAACAUAUUAAGCUCACCAAAUUGUGUCCCUCAAAAAUAAAAAAUAAACUCACCAAAUUGUAUCACAGGAGAUUGUCAAGUUGUGUUUUAUCAUAUCAGUAUAGUAAGUGUAUCAUUUGUCCAUAUCAACAAGGGAUAGUCAUCUGCCAGCUUAUUAUGCUCAUCUCUGAGCUCGAUCAUGCCCUUCAAUGUUAGUUAGAGGUGUCAUUAAAACAGGACAAGAAAUUAACCACUUUCCACCGGGUCUUCUCUCUUGAGCAGGAAGCAUGUGAUGCAUUCAAGAUUCGAUGAAUUCACGAAAACCAAUAUCGUGGUCCUCCCUGUGCAGCAGGUACCUGAGAUGAAUUGUAUUUUGUAAGUGCUCUGUAUGCGUGCUGUCAGCCGGCAGUGGAGGUAAUUGUUUAAUUUGCAUUCCUGCAACUUCUUGUAUUUGUAAAGAAAAUUCUUACUAUUUGCUGAGUGCACAGCCAUUGCAUUGUCACUUUUGAAAAACCGCAUUGGAUGUACUGAGAUAAAUAAUAGUAUAAUCUCUACUUGCAUACUACGAACGAGAAAUCUUCAUUCUGACUUGCAAUAAGGGAGUUUGUUUAGCUGUGCCUUAUUAGGAAAUGAAGAUACCCCCAGCUGUUAACGUGGUAUCCAAGCUAUCCUUAUUAUAUGUCAGCUCAAAAGGAAUGCCAAGUGCCGAGCUGUUGUGAGAGUUGAUGGUUGUGAUUGGUUACCAAAAAUCAAAGUCACCCACUCAAGAGAGAAAGUCAAUGCUCACGUUGGCUUCCAUUUUUCUCACACGCAAACCAAACACAUCUUGCUCACACCAUUAUCUUCUCCAUUUUGCACUGUGCUUGUGCUAAUCUGUGUAGUAUUGUUGGCAAUUUGGGAUAUGUUGGUCUCGCCAGGAGGCCUGUGCUAAUCUGUGCUAUUUCUGAAAAUAUGCUCCCCUAAUCUCCAAUUAUAUUAUGCGUAAAACCAAAAAGGUCAGACUUCUUGAGAACAUGCCAGUGCUGAUUUGUGUUUUUCCUGCUGAUAUGCACUUUAGUAUAUCAAAAUGUACACUUAAUUAGAUGUUUUAAUUUUAAAGUCACAGUUAGAGAGAGGGACAGUGCACCAACCAGCUGGUGCAAACGAAUGACCUGUGUGACGACCUGAGCGUAUUCUUGAAAAAGAAACCCGAAAUACCACCUAGAUCCAUCCACCAUUAUUGCCAGUGUUAAAAAAAAAUACAGGCGUCUUCUGGGCUCUAAAAGCCAUUUCUGGGUCUUAUCUCUUGAAGAAGCAUUUGAUGCAUUUAAGAUUCAACCAAUUAAGAAAACCAAUGUUCUGGCCUUCCAUCCGUGGCAGGAACUCAGAGAUGAAUUGUCUUUUGCACAAGUAUGCUGACACACGUCUAGUCAGUCGAGGUAAUUUUUGGAUUUGCAUUCCUGUGACCUCUGGUAUUUGGAAAAAGUAAAUCAUAUUUGCUAAGUUCACAGCCAAUGGAGCGAAAAUUUUGAAAAACUGCUUUGGAUUUACUGGCAUAAAUAUCUAGAGAGAAUUCCUUAUUAGACACUCCCUUAAAAUCAUGUUCCUUAUUUGACACUAGAAAAAAUUUCUUCCCUAUAUGACCUAUAGUCUUAAUUUCUUUCCCUAUAUGACACUCUAGUGCAUUUUGUUCACGUGAAAAGACCAUUUUACCCAUAUGUAUAAUGUGACCGCAAAUAUGUACAAGAUAAUAGUUGUUCCAAAAAAAUCAGUCGAGUUAUCCAUAUGUGACAUCAUAUAUGCUGGUAUUGUCAUGUCAGUCGAUUUACUAUUGUGCUAAGAAAUCAUGACCGAGGCCUUCGAUGGUUCAUGUGCUAAUUGACCUCAGCUAGUUGUCUAUACGUAUUUGUGUACAUAUACGUGGCCAGCUUGCCGGCCGGAGCGUAGAUAUUUAAAUACGUACGCGCACCCUGACGAUCAAGCGAAUACAUGUAUUCUAGCUUCGUAUGACCCGGUUCAUAUACAUACGUAUGUUGGCUGCACCGAACCGGGCCUACAUUCGUGCUAGCACGCAACUUCCUUCCAUACUUGCAAAUACGUGCACAUGCACUAAUGGCAUGCACGUAGGCGAUCACGGAAGCACACACAAAAAUGCUUAAAAAAUUCAUUCAUUUUUAAGAAUGCAUUUUAGUGUUAAAGCACACGUACAAAAGUACGUCAAACAAUCACACUCACAAACCAUACCGCAUGAACUAGACCCACAGCUGAAUACGUUCUAAAUACAUUGGAUGCAUGCGCUCAGGUAUACAGAAUACACAUGCAUCCCAAAAAAGACCAACGGAGGAGAUAACAUGUUCAGCUGUGCUCACUCUUAGAAACGAUUUUUUCCUAAUUAGGCUCAAUGCUACAUAUUUCUGGUCACAUUAUGUACAGGGGCAAAAAGGUCUUUUCACGUGUACAAAAUGAACUAGAGUGUCAUAUAGGGAAAGAAAUUAAGACUAUAAGUCAUAUAGGGAAGAAAUUUUUUCCCGUGUCAAAUAAGGAACACAAUUUUAAGAGAAUGUCAAAUAAGGAAUUCUCUCAAAUAUCUAAUACAAUGACCCACUUGCAGAAUUCAGCUGCGUAGCCUGACAGUGAUGUACGUACAUUUGUGGCUUUGCUAGCUGAGUAACUCUGUGCUUUAUGUGGAUGCCACUUCAAAUAAGCAUCAAAUUUGUGCCUAUGCGUGCUAUGCAGGUGGACGAGAAGCAGUUGGCAUGGACAUUCCUUUUCUCUCUGAUGUCUGGCAAGAAAGUCCGUCUUCUGUGCAGCGAUAUCCAUGUUAGUUACAAUAUCCAAUCAUCUCUAUAAUUAUAAUCUCAGUGUUUAUUCUGUUUUGUAUUGUCGUAUUUCAUAUGUGCAUCAGAGGAAAUGUGCUUUCUAGCUAGAGGCAUGUUGCAGCUGGCCGAGUCGCAGAUCUCAUUUAUAUGGCCAUAGGCGGUGACCAAUACAAGGGCACUGGAAUUUAUCUUCGAAUGCCACUGUUGUUCUAGCUCUUUGUCUUUACUUUUGUUGCUUCUGUUGUAUGGCUGCAAAGUUAGGCUUCAUCUGAUUUUAGUUAGUCAAGCGAUCUCGUUAAGAUGAUAAAAAGAAUUCCACACGAUGACACGACCCUUUAUUCCGCUCUUCACCGUCUCACAAUAACGGAACAUAUUAAGCUCAACAAAUCGUAUCCCUCAAAAAUAAAAAAGCUCACCAAAUUGUAUCGCAUACUCAUACAUAUCUUUCAUCGUCAAAUAACAGGAGAUUGUCAAGUUGUGUUUUAUCAUAUCAGUAUAUUAAGUGUAUCUUUUGUCCAUAUGAGCAAGGGAUAAUCAUCUGCCAGCUUAUUAUAUGCUCAUCUCUGAGAUCGAUCAUACCUCUUCAAUCUUAUUAGAGGUGUCAUUAAGAAAUGACAAGAAAUUAACUACUUGCCACCGGGUCUUCUCUCUUCAGCAGGAAGCAUGUGAUGCAUUCAAGAUUCACGAAAACCAAUAUUGUGGUCCUCCCUAUGCAGCAGGUACUUGUGAUGAAUUGUAUUUUGUAAGUGCACUGUAUGUGUGCUGUCAGCCAGCAGUGGAGGUAAUUGUUUAGCUUGCAUUCCUGCAACUUCUUGUAUCUGGAAAGGACACUCUUACUAUUUGCUGAGUUCACCGCCAAUGUAUCUUCACUUUGGAAAAACUGCAUUCGAUGUACCCACAUAAAUAUAUAAUAUAAUGAUGAUCUAAUAGCAAAUUAUAUGGCCAUAGGCAGUGAUGAUCAAUAAAAGGGCACUGGAAUUUAUCUUCUAAUGUAUACGUCACUAUUUUUUUAGCUCUCUGUCUUCAUUUUUGCUUCCUCUGUUGUAUGGUUAAAAAGUUAGGUUUCAGCUGAUUUUAGUUAGUUAUAAGCGGAUCUCGUUAAGCUCUUUAUCUUUAUUUUUGCUGCCUCCGUUGUAUGGUUAAAAAUUUAGGUUACAUCUGAUUUUAGUUUGUUAGGCGGAUCGCGUUAAACUGAUAAGAACUCCGUAUAGUCCUUUAUUCUGGUCUUCACUGCCUCAAAAUAACAGAACCUAUUAAGUGUCGAAAUUGUAUCUCACAAUCAUACAUAUCUUUCAUCGUUGAAUAACACAAAUUAUCAUAUCAGUACAAAAGUAUAUAUCGUUUGUCCAUAUGCACAAGAGAUAAUCAUCUGCCAGCUGAUUAUUCUUAUCUUUGAGAUCCGAUCCUGUACUCAAUGUUAAUUAGGGGUGUCAUUAAAAAAGACAAGAAAAUAACCACUUGCCCUCGGGUCUUCUCUUGUCAGCAGAAAGCAUGUGAUGCAUUCAAGUUUCAAUGAAUUCACGAAAACCAAUAUUGUGGUCCUCGAGAUGAAUUGUAUUUUGUAGGUGUACUGUAUGUGUGCUGUCACCCGUCAGUUGAGGUAAUUGUUUAAUUUGCAUUCCUGCAACCUCUUGUAUGUAUUCGGAAAGAAAAUUCUUACUAUUUUCCGAGUUCACAGCCAAUCCAUUAUCACUUCCGAAAAACUGCAUUGGAUCUACUGACGUAAAUAUAUAAUAGAGUGAUCUACUUGCAAUAUUAAGAACGAGAAAUCUUCAUUCUGACUUGCAAUAAGAGGGGUUAGUCUAGCUUUUUCCUGCUAAUAAAUGAAGGUACCCAUUACUGUCACCAGUUAAUGUGGUAUGCUAGUUGUCCUUAUUAUAUAUCAGCCCCAAAAAAGAAUGCCCAGUGCUGAGCUAUUGCAAGAUCGGAUAGUUUGUGAUUGGUUCCCAGAAAUCAAGCUCAUGCACUUGGCUCCCAGAAAGUCAACACUCACGUUCGCUUCCAGUUUCCUGACCAGCAAGACGUGCUUCUGCUAAUGUAGGCUUGUGCUCCAAAAUUCCCCAUCAAGCUGGCUCCUGCUCCCCCGAAUCCUACCCCCACCCAUCCAAAAGCUUCAAGAUCUCACAGAAAUCUCACAACUUCCGUUCGUCGGAGUAGAGCCUUCAAACAGCCCCGCCCACACAUCCACGCGGCGGCUGCUGCCAUAACUUCACCGGAGUCGCCUUCUCCUUCCGCGCCACGUCACCGGUGCCGGCCAGGCUCUGAAUCUUCUGCUGCUGCCGCCGAUACGAUGCUGGAGCUGGCAUCGACAUGCUUGUGAGGGCCACUUCUUCCGUGCUGUUACUGUGCUGCUGGUUCUGGGUGCUGCUGAUCAGGGGCAAGCUCGUGAAGGUAACUAUGCCUGCAAGAUUGGGAUUUUACUUGUAAUUCGUUCAAGAUCUACCUAUGAACGUCUUGCUCACACCAUUCUCUUCAUUAAUUUCUGCAGUGCACCUGUGUUGGAGGAGUUUCCUCCGAGAGUUCCAAUGGCAGAGCUGGUGGUCACCAUGGCGCUCCGGCCACUGGUCGCCAUGCUCAGGGACAAGGCGUCCAGCUAUCUCCUUGACCAGUACAAUGUGAUGGAGGGAAUGGAGAAGCAGCACAUGAUUCUGAAACGCAGACUUCCUAUCGUCCUGGACGUCAUCACUGACGCCGAGGAGCAGGCGACAGCCAACAGAGAAGGGGCGAAAGCCUGGCUCCAGGAGCUCAAGAGAGUAGCCUAUGAGGCAAAUGAAGUCUUCGAUGAAUUCAAAUAUGAAGCACUUCGCCGUGAAGCCAAGAAGAAUGGACACUACAAAAAGCUUGGAUUUGAUGUGAUAAAACUCUUCCCCACUCACAACCGUGUUGUCUUCGUUCAGAGAAUGGGUAGCAAGCUUUGCAGGAUUCUGGAGGAUAUCAAUGUCCUCAUUGCAGAGAUGCAUGACUUUGGGCUGAGGCAGACAUUUUUGGUGUCUAAUCAGUUGAGGCAGACACCAGUGUCCAAGGAGUGGAGACAGACAGAUUACGUCAUCAUCGACCCACAAAAGAUUGCCAGCAGAUCCAGACAUGAAGAUAAGAAUAAUAUUGUUGGUAAACUACUUGGUGAAGCUAGCAAUGCAGAUCUCACAGUAGUUCCCAUCGUUGGAAUGGGGGGCCUUGGCAAGACCACAUUAGCGCAACUCAUAUACAAUGAACCUGAAAUUCAGAAGCAUUUUCCGUUGAAGCUCUGGGUCUGCGUCUCUGAUACCUUCGAUGUGAAUUCGGUGGCUAAGAGUAUAGUUGAAGCAUCCCCCAAGAAAAAUGAUGAUACAGACAAACCACCACUGGAUAGACUUCAGAAACUGGUCAGCGGGCAAAGGUAUCUCCUUGUAUUGGAUGAUGUCUGGAAUAGAGAGGUUCAUAAGUGGGAAAGGCUGAAGGUCUGUCUUCAGCAUGGCAGCGUGGGUAGUGCUGUGUUGACAACAACCCGUGAUAAACAAGUUGCUGAAAUUAUGGGUGCAACUAGAACCUACAAUCUCAAUGUUUUGAAGGAUGACUUCAUAAAGGAGAUUAUUUUGGAUAGAGCAUUCAGUUCAGAGAAUGAAAAGCCUCCCGAGCUACUCGAGAUGGUUGGUGAGAUUGUGAAGAGAUGCCGUGGCUCUCCUUUAGCUGCAACUGCACUGGAUCUGUACUUCGUACCAAGAUCAGCGUGGAAGAAUGGAAGGCUAUAUCAUCUAGAAGCAGUAUUUGCACUGAGGAAACUGGAAUUUUGCCAAUACUCAAGCUUAGCUACAACGAUUUGCCAGCACACAUGAAGCAGUGCUUUGCUUUCUGUGCCAUAUUCCCCAAGGAUUACAAGAUUAAUGUGCAGAGGCUUAUCCAACUAUGGAUCGCAAAUGGCUUUAUCCCUGAACACAAGGAAGAUAGUCUUGAAACCAUUGGACAACUUAUUUUUGAUGAGCUUGCUUCAAGGUCAUUCUUUCUGGAUAUAGAGAAGAGUAAAGAAGACUGGGAGUAUUAUUCCAGAAAUACAUGUAAAAUCCACGAUCUUAUGCAUGAUAUUGCAAUGUCUGUUAUGGAAAAGGAAUGUGUUGCUGUGACUAUGGAUACAAGUGAAAUUGAGUGGCUUGGAGAUACUGCUCGGCAUUUGUUUUUAUCAUGUAAAGGAACAGAAGGUAGUUUGAAUGAUUCUUUGGAGAAAAGAUCUCCUGCCAUUCAAACACUGAUAUGCCAAAGUCAUAUGCGAAGCUCAUUGAAGCAUCUGUCAAAAUAUAGCUCUUUGCACGCCUUGAAGCUCUGUAUUAGAGGCAAAGAAUCAUUUCUUCUGAAAUCAAUGUAUCUGCAUCACCUGAGGUACCUUGAUCUCUCAAACAGUUCUAUCAAAUCACUUCCUGAAGAUAUAAGUAUUCUAUAUAACCUUCAAAUGUUGGACCUUUCCUACUGUUGUUAUCUUUAUCGACUUCCAAUGCAAAUGAAGCAUAUGACUUUCCUCCGUCACCUCUACACUCAUGGAUGUCAGAAGUUGAAGAGCAUGCCUCCAGAACUAGGAAAACUCACUAACCUGCAGACGUUGACAUGGUUUGUGGCAGGAGUUCCUGGCCCUGAUUGCAGUGAUGUUGCAGAGCUGCAGCAUUUAAACCUUGGUGGUUAUCUAGAGCUACGUCAGAUAGAGAAUGUUAAAGAAGCAGAGGCAAAAGUGGCAAACCUUGGAAACAAGAAGGAUCUCAGAGAACUGUCAUUAAGAUGGACUGAGGUUGGCGACAGCAAGGUGCUCGACAAGUUCAAACCUCAUGGUGGGCUGCAGGUUCUGAAGAUAUAUUCCUAUGGAGGAGAGUGCAUGGGUAUGCUGCAAAACAUGGUUGAGAUCCAUCUUUUUCAUUGUGAAAGAUUGCAAAUUUUGUUCAGAUGCAGUGCAAUCUUCACUUUUCCAAAACUGAAGGUGCUUAUGCUAAUACAUCUGUUGGAUUUUGAGAGAUGGUGGGAAAUAGAUGAGAGGCAAGAAGAACAGACAAUAUUUCCUGUGCUUGAGAAGUUGUUUAUUAGUAAUUGUGGAAAGUUGGUAGCAUUACCUGAAGCACCAUUGCUGCAAGGACCUUGUGGUCAAGGUGGUUAUACAUUGGUUUGCUCAGCAUUUCCUGCCCUAAAGGUGCUCAAAAUGAAAAACUUGGAGAGCUUUCAGAGAUGGGCUGCAGUGGAAGAGACUCAAGGAGAACACAUACUGUUUCCUUGUCUGGAGGAACUAUCAAUUGAGAAAUGCCCAAAGUUGACGGCGUUACCUGAAGCACCAUUGCUUCAAGAACCAUGUAUUGAAGGUGGUUACAGAUUGGUACGCUCAGCGUUUCCUGCCUUAAAGGUGCUCAAAAUGGAAAACUUGGAGCGGUUUCAAAGAUGGGGUGUGGUCGAAGGGACAUUGUUUCCUCAGCUUGAGAAACUAUCAGUUCAGAAGUGCCCCAAGAUGAUAGAUUUACCAGAGGCACCAAAACUCAGUGUCUUAAAAAUUAAAGAUGGUAGGCAAGAGAUCUCCGAUUUUGCAGAUAGAUAUUUUUCUUCAUUGACCAAACUGAUAUUGAAUCUAGAAAACACAGAAACAACAUCAGAGGUUGAGUGCACUUCAAUUGUAUCUGUGGACAGCAAGGAGAAAUGGAACGAGAAAUCCCCUCUUACAGUGAUGGAGCUAAGAUGCUGCAACUCAUUCUUUGGACCAGGUGCACUAGAGCCGUGGGACUAUUUUGUACACCUUGAAAAGUUGGAAAUUGAUAGAUGUGAUGUGCUUGUCCACUGGCCAGAGAAAGUGUUCCAAAGCUUGGUAUCCUUGAGGACAUUAGUGAUUACAAGCUGCGAAAAUCUGACUGGAUAUGCACAAGCUCCUCUUGAGCCAUUGGCAUCCGAAAGGAGUCAGCACCUGAGAGUUCUGGAGUCUCUUUGCUUAGAAAACUGCCCAAGUUUAGUAGAGAUGUUCAACGUCCCGACAUCUCUCAAGAAAAUGUAUAUUAAUGGGUGCAUUAAGCUUGAGUCCAUAUUCGGCAAGCAGCAGGGCAUGGCUGAGUUAGUCCAAGGAUCUUCUAGCAGUGAGGCAAUCAUGCCUGCAGCUGUAUCAGAGUUGUCAUCCUCACCCAUGAAUCACUUUUGUCCAUGCCUAGAAUAUCUACAGUUAUCUGAUUGUGGAAGCUUACCAGCGGUUCUACAUCUGCCUCUGUCCUUAAAGACCUUAGAAAUUUAUAACUGCAGUAGUAUUCAAGUCCUAUCAUGCCAGCUGGGUGGGCUCCAGAAACCAAAAGUCACUACCUCCAUAAGCAGAAGUCCUGUCAUGCCAGAGCCACCACCACCAGCAGCAGCUGCUGCAAGAGAGCAUUUACUUCCUCCCCAUCUCGAAUCUCUAGUAAUACUGAACUGUGCUGGCAUGUUGGGUGGGACUCUCCGUCUGCGUGCACCCCUCAAGAGACUGCGCAUUAUUGGCAACAGUGGGUUGACAUCGCUGGAGUGUCUGUCAGGAGAGCACCCCCCAUUGCUGGAAGUCCUUGAUCUUCAAAAGUGCAGUACCCUAGCUUCCCUGCCGAAUGAGCCGCAAGUAUACAUGUCUCUCUGGAAUCUUGAAAUUAGAGGCUGCCCUGCUAUAAAGAAGCUCCCUAGAUGCCUGCAGCAGCAACUGGGCAGCAUUGAUGACGAGUACAAAGAACUAGAUGCCCAUUAUGAAGGUAUGCUUGGAGCACGUCCUUCUAUCUUUGCCACAUUUAAUAAACAGAUGCAGUCAUCCAUUCCAUUAAAUCUACCACGCCAGCAUGUCUGUACAAGUUUGUUCUCCAUUAUUUUACUUUCGAAUGUUACAUUAGUUUGUAUGUGUUUGUUCUGACGCCAUUUGCAAUAUGUGCAGUGAUGGCACUUAAACCGAAGACAUGGAAGGAGAUGCCAAGGCUAGUCCGUGAGCGGAGGAAGGCCGCUCGAGAAGCCAAGGAGCGCCAGCAAUCCGCCAUGCAGGAGUAAACAGGUUGGAAACCAUGUAGAAAGGGCAUGGAUUCCAAUUGCUCUGAACAAUGUACAAGAUUAUGUCGUGACUGUAAUCAAUCGGCUUUGUUGAGCUUUGGCCUCUACCUAGUUCAGAUAUUUGUAAUGCGAAUCAAAUGAAUCUGCCCGGUUCAGUAGAAGUUAGGAUAAUAUACUCACAUGUGUGUCUGUGAGCUAUCUAUCGUAUCUAUCUGUUUUUGCUUUGCUUAGUUAACUGCGAAGACACUAGCCUUUAAUUGUUCAAUAAAGUUUUUCAACUGUGGCUUUUAUCUGUCGAUUUUCGUGGUUGACAGGCCUAAUCCCUGAUUGUUGCUCUUCUCUGCUCUGCUCUGCUAGGGGAAUGAGCUGUUAUUGCUUCUGCAACUUAACUGUGCCGCAGUCCGCUCUCCGUCGAGAACUGUCAGGGCCUGCGGUGUAGGGCGGCUGCUGCUUGGCGUCGAGUGGAGCAUAUCUGAAUCAACAUCCUAGGCUGAGACCAUCUCAUCUUGAUCUGGUUUGCUGUUGUCCAGUCAAGCGAGGAAACACAGGGAAGAAACAACAUAGAAAGGGCAUGGUAGUUUAUUUUAUUUUGCUUCAGAAACUGUACCAAUUUAUGUCAUGAUUGUUACCUGCUCCGUUAAACUCUGACCUUGAUCUUGUUAUUAAAGAUUCAGACACUUGCCUCGUUUAGUAGAAGCUGGGGUACUUGUAAUGUGUGCCAUAUAUAUUUCUAGUUUCAGCCAUUUCCAUAUCAAGUACAAGCUCGGAAAGGCUUAGGUGGUCUGUGAACUUUCUGGCCCUGCUUGCUUGACGCAAGUUUUACAGACAUAUAAAACAUAAGUUUAUAUAUAUAUAAUAUACAGUUAAGCAGCAGUUUCCUCGCAUGUAAGAUGGUUAAGUAGCAGCCGCAGGUAUCAGUCAGUCCGGUACUUGUUGAAUGGGAUCGACAGUUGAAUUGCUCUGCUCUGCUGCAAAACUCUGUGUUUGCCUGUGGAGGAAUGAAUAUUUCAGUUUCAGAAUUUGUGAGCUACUCCUAUUUAGUUUCUAGUCUGGUUGUGGUACUAUCUAGUUUCAGCACUGUUUAUUUAGUUUAGAAGAAAUUUACUGUUGACCUUUUUAACGUGUUUACAACACGUGCUAUUUGAAAUAUAAUUCUUUUUUUACCUGUUUCGAUACUUGUACAGAUCAAGUAGUACAAGUUGGGAGGAAAAAACCUCAGGUCCGUGAACUGUUUGGUCCUGUCUGUCUGUACAAAAUCAAGUUUGUUCGCUGUAGCCAGUAUAGUGUUGUAGAUAUCUGAAUAACUUGGUGUCUGCUUACGAGAGCAGAGGACGUGGAUGGAUGUUUGCUGCCGGCUGAUGCUGCAGGAACCGAAAGAGCCUUCUCAGUAUGCACUUCAAUGAAGAAGCAACGGACAGAUGUUCAGAUACAUCCGUUUGAGCUGACCGCUAUUUCUGGACGGAGGGAGUAUUAUGUAAGAUUUUGUGUACUUUCCCUUUAUUACUUUUGGUGCAGCUUCAGUUGAUGGUUUGCAUGCUCUUCUUAAGGAUUUACAUUCUCUUAGUGUCUUUGUUUCGUAUGUUUCUUUAGAGCCUCCUGUAGUUAAUCAGGCACUUCUCUGCUUUUAUAGACUAGUGUUAUUAUUGGUUUAUUAUUCAUGUUACUUAGGAAUUAGGGUCAAACAAGCACCUCCUGCUCUGCUGGUAGCUAGCUUAAUUCCCAGGUUUGGUAUAUAUCUAUGUUGUGAUGCAUACUCAUGUUUGUGAGCUAGUAUAUAUCUAUUUUCAGUGUCGUUUAAUGGUUCAGAGAGUGGGCUGUAACUUGUUCAGAUACUUUGUGUUAAACUGUAGAAUUGACCUGCUGCAGUAAUUUUGACAGCUGAGGUGGGAUGAGCUGCAUAUCAUUCUCUGAUUGGGAGUAACAGGUUGUUGUUGUUUGGUUCUGAUGUUGCUAAGCUGUGGUGGUGGUCACAAUUAUCUUCCUAAUCCGGCAA